rnacentral:lncRNA from 1 species
GUGGACGUAUGUCCGCUCCUACUGGAAAGAAAACUGAAGCAGAAGCACUCCGACGUGCUCCUCAUGAGAAACCUCCAUUCACUAUCGGAGACCUGAAAAAGGCUAUUCCUGCCCAUUGCUUUGAAAAAUCAGUCAUCACUUCUUUCCGUUACCUCAUCCAGGAUCUCAUCAUGGCCUAUGCCCUCUACUAUGUUGCCACAAACUAUAUAGACCAGUACUUACCCCAUCCUCUUAACUACUUGGGUUGGGCAGCUUACAUUGCUGUUCAGGGCUGUGUCUUGACCGGGGCUUGGGUUGUAGGCCAUGAAUGUGAUCAUGAUGCCUUCAGUGAUUAUGGUUGGGUCAAUGACCUUGUUGGCCUUGUUGUCCAUUCUUCUCUUCUGGUCCCUUACUUCUCUUGGAAAAUUAGCCACCGUCGUCAUCAUGCCAACACUCAGUCCCUUGAGAAUGAUGAGGUUUAUGUCCCAAGAUUCAAAUCCAACAUCAGGAACUACUACAAAAUCAUGAACAACCCACCCGGUCGUGUCCUUGUCUGGCUUAUCACACUCCUCAUAGGCUUCCCUUUAUACUUGAUGUUCAACGUCUCUGGACACAAGUAUGAGAGGUGGACUUCACACUACGAUCCCCACAGCCCUCUUUACACUGAACGCGAGCGCAAGCAGAUCAUUGUUUCUGAUGUUGCAAUCCUUGCUGUUAUCUAUGGCUUAUACAAUCUAGUACUAGCCAAGGGAUUUGUCUGGGUUUUCUGUGUUUAUGGAGGUCCAUUGCUCGUCGUUAAUGGAUGGUUCACAUUGAUCACCAUCCUCAACCAUACUCAUCCUUCUUUGCCUUACUAUGAUUCAACCGAAUGGGAUUGGUUGAGAGGAGCUCUUUGCACUGUGGACAGAGAUUAUGGAAUUUUGAACAAGGUGUUCCACAAUGUCUGUAAUGCUCAUGUUUGUCACCAUAUCUUCUCCAUGAUCCCACAUUACCAUGGACUCGAAGCAACCGAGGCAAUGAAGCCAGUACUGGGAAACUAUUAUCAGUAUGAUGGGACUCCAAUUCUCAAGGCAAUGUACAGAGAAAUGAAGGAAUGCAUUUAUGUCCAAAAGGAUGAAGGUGAGACCAAAGGAGUCUACUGGUACAGAAAGGAAUUUUAGGUCGUUGAGCCUUAUUAUCUAGUGGAAAGAAUAUCUCAUUACCUAUCAUUGCAUUUUCUUCUGUAAUUUUAAAUUAUUGCAAGUCAAUGCAUUAGGUUAAGAAGAUAAAGAGUUAACCAGUAACUCUAUGUAAUAAAAAGAAUUUCUAAUUCCAUUUUGGUUGUUCAAGAAUUUCUUAGCUAGCUAGUAUAUGCCUUUUUGCUUCUACAAUUUUCAGACUCUAAACUUCAUUGUUCCUGAUGUUUACUAGAAAUGUAAAGAUGAAAGAGUGCACAGAAAUUACAAACAGGACGCGUUACCAGGGAAAAAUAAAAGUCACGUUAUCCGGGGAACAAACAGUACAAAAUGAAAACACUGCAGCCAUAAGUAUCAAAUAUAACAGAAGAACAUAAACUUCAAGUGUUAACUACCAUAAUCUAAAAUCAUCACUAUUGUUGUAUAACUGAAUAAUCUUUACUCUAUAAACCCUUAAGGUGAACAUUUGAUCAAGCCAGAAUUUGAAAAAGUCCCAGGAAUUCUGCUCAAAUACUUGUGAUUCACAGAACUUUCACUUCGAGCUGAUGAAUUCAUACCCAGACCAGAGGUUUUGAAGCGAAAACCAGGUGGAACAUAAUAGCAGCCCCGUAAAAAAGGAUGCUGAAGAGCCUCCAAAGCAGUAGGCCUUUUGCACGGAUCCCAGGAGCAAAGCGAUUGAAUAAGGCCAACCACAUCCUUGCUUGCAGAUGGCAUCAGCUGAGACAGAGAAACACCAGAAUGCUGAGGAAACUGAUAACUUAUAUCAUCUGCAAGUUCAAUCCCAUAAGCCCAAUCAACUUCAGUUGGAGUCCCUAAAACACUGCAUAUUCUGUACAUUUGAUGCUGUUGAUUUACCCCAGCAAAGAGUGGGCAGCUAGUCAGCAAUUCAGCCAUAAUUGCACCCAUUGCCCACAUAUCAACCGCUGGACCAUAAAUUGGCGCAGCAAGCAGAAUUUCAGGUGCUCUGUACCAUCUUGUUGCAACAUACUCAGAAUAAGGAGGCGAAGAAUUAAUCUCGCGAGCAAGUCCCAGAUCAGCAAUCUUCAUAAUAUCUCCAUUCACUAGCAAAUUCUCAGGCUUAAGAUCCCUAUGAAAAUACCCUCUUUCGUGCAUGUAAGCAAGACCUUGAAACACUUGAAAGCACCAGUUUCUGAUUUCAGUUUCUGAGAAGGGCUUUGUCCUGGUACUCAUAAACUGGUAAAGAUUGCAGUCCAUGUAUUCAAAAACAAAGAACAAGAAGUUAUUUUCUCCGAUUAUUUCCUUGAGCUUCACAAUAUUUGCAUGGCGCAUCUUCUUGAGAGACUUGACUUCUCUCAAAUUCAGACAUUCUUCCCACGAGUGAAACUCCUUGUUCAAUCUCUUAAGAGCCACAACUUCACCACUCUGUGUAUUCAUAGCUUUGAACACACUUCCAAAAGAUCCACUCCCAACUUCCUUGAUAAUCUUAUACUUCUCCAUUAUUCUGACUUAUAUUCAACGUCACAACAAAAAACAGGGUACCCCCGAAAAUUCAAGAAUACUCACGCACUAAGUCUCUACCACGAAUAUGCCAUUGCCCUCGGAAGGAUUUCGAUGAAGAUAUGUUAUGUGAUUGUACGAUCAAAUAUAUGAUUGAUAAGACGGCAAAAUAUUUUCGAAGUAGGCUGCAUCACAAUUUAUGGGCUGGGAUGUUUUUUCGAAGUAGGUUGAAGAUGAAAGAAUGAGAAGACGAGAGAAGAGUGCUGAGAUGUGUAUAUAUAGGAGCAGAGAUUUCCGAAGGGAAGUAGGAUCUUUAAGUCGUGAAUUACUAGGUUUAAGGAUCUUACUUGGGGCUAACACAAUAUCUACCAACGGAAGCUUCCUUCUUAGUACUAGGAUGCUCUGUAAAAGAGUUACUAAUUGGUAUUCGUGGCGGUGCUUUUACUCUUUCACUGAGUUUCUUUAAACUCAAAUGAGCUUCCUUGAACUUGAACACAUUUUCAGCCCUGACAAAAAAAAUUCAUCUUCAACCUCUUCCUUGUUACCGAAUACUAAGGGUGUAAUCGAGCCGACUCGAGUCGAAACCGUCAAGGCUUGAGUUUGAUUGGAAUGUUCGGGUUCAGACUGGAGCUGCUCGAACUUUUAAUUUCAAGAUCAAAACUCGGCUCACAAAAAGUUCGAUAAACUGGAGUUCGGCUCGAACCUAUUUUUUCAAAUAUUGACAAAUACUCAAAAUAUGAUUAGUCCGGCUCGAUUGAAUAUAUUUAAUAUAAAUAAAAUAUUAAAUACUUACAUAAAAAUAUAUUUAUAGUUUAAAAAUAAUAGGAGCUUGAUAAGGCUUGCGAACUUUAUAUGGAGAGUAAUUUGAAACUCGGUUUGAGUAUGAUUAGAAAGUUCGAGCUCUAGUUUGAUCAAGUCUUUAGUUUAGAUCGAAACGAGGCUAGUAAAAAAUUUGAUGACUCGAGUUUGGCUCGAAAAUUUGAACCUAUUUUAUUUAACAAAAACUUGAAAUAUGAUCAGCCCGUCUCGAUUAAAUAUAUUCGAUAUAAAUAAAAUAUCAAAUAUUUAUAUAAAAAUAUAUUCAUAAUUUAAAAAUAAUAAAGGCUUGAUGAGAUUGGAACUUUACAAGCAGAGUAAUUUGAAGCUCGAGCUCGGUUUGAUUAUUUACGUGCCGAAUUCGAAUUUUUUACGAGUCAAACUUUAGUAACUCACGAACUGCUACAUUCAUAUUUUAUCAAAAUUUUAGUUUCUAUCUCUCCCCCUCUCUCUCUCCCACACACACGCACACUAUAACACUCUCUCCACACACACACAAACACUCUAACACAAAUCCUGCAAAACCUUACUUCACGCCCGGCGAGUGAAAAAUCGAAUCAGUUAGGUCUCGGUUAUUAUCGUCAACAACACUGCAUCAAAUCGACCAGAAAUGCGAGGUGAUCAUUCAUAUGGUCCAUCUGAUGAGACAAUAUCCUUACAACGUACUGACAGGUGUUAUCUUUCCUAGAACAUAAAAUUACAUGAUUAUGAUUAUGUGAUUAUUUUUUAUUUACAAUAUAUAUCAUUGUUGUAUGGUUCAUAUUUCAUUUUUCUCACGAUUAGGUAUAAGUGUGUGUUUGAAUCUAUUAUGUAUGAGUUGUUUCGUAUCAUAUUUCGUCAUUUUUAUAUAUUGUUUAGUUAGAUUUUAUUUGUUUUGUAUCCUCUUCUUCGGUACUUAGUUUCGCUAGUGUAGAUGUUGGCGAUGAAGGUGGUAUAGCGGUGUAUUAAUUAGUGCGUAUAGAUCAUUCUGAUUGACUAAUGUUAUUGCAUGAUUUUGUUUUAGUUUUGUAAUUUUGGAUAUUGUUUGUUGUUAAUAAUAGUAAUUGUAGACCUUAAUAUUAGUUGUUUUUUGAAUGACAAGUUGACAUUCUUUAAAUGUUCUUAUCUUUGAAAUUUGAAUCUCCAUGUUUAAUUUGAAUUUUUGUGUUUCGAUUAGAAGAUAAUUUGAUAAGAUAAUUGUUGUAUUUUAAUUUGAUAAUUACUGAUUAUUGUACCUGAAUUCCAUAAUUCAUGGGGGCCAUAUAUGAUGGCUUUAUUGUGCCUUAAUGAGGUAUUAUUGUGCCAUUAAGGGUUGAUUUGUUGUUUGGUGUAUACCAAUAAUUAGCUAAAAUCUUGAUACUUUUGUUUGUCAAGAUUUUUAAUAUUUUUGAGUAGAUAUAUUUUAGAUCUUUUUUCAAUUUUCAAUUAUAUUUUUCUAUUUAUAUUUUAAUUUUUUUUAAAUUAAUAGUCAGCUAUUUUGUUCGGAUUAAAAUUUUAUUAUCUAUCUAACCAAAGAGAUCUCACUAUCUCUUUGGUGUAGAUUUUUUUAAUGAUUUGUUUUAUAUUAGUUUUUUAUAUUACUUUCCUUAUUCUUUAAAAUAUUAUAUUAUAUUCAUAUCUUUUAAUGAGUUUAUUGACUCUUUUCGUCUUUCGUUUUAUAUAGUUUUAUUAUUUUAUUGUCUGUAUGAACUUAUUAUGGUUUUAUUUGUAUUGUAUUUUUCAGGGUACGCGAGAUGGAAGAAAGAACGAUAGCGGGAUCAUUUAUGGGUGUUUUCUUAUCGAACAUUAGAGCUUUAUUGUUUAAGCGUCCCCGGUCAUCUCUGCAUAUCCGAGGGUUAGAUGGUAAACUUUCUUGAACGAAAGGAACUCCUGACAGCGGCUAUUGUAUUCUGAUACGAUUCAUCAUACGUGAAAGUAUCUUGUGACAAAAAAAAAACUCACGAACUGCUUGACUCAUUUACGCUCCAAAAGAAAACCAAUUUUUCAAAUUGUAAUUACUUGUUUUGCAGUAAAAAUAUAAUUUAUAUUAAUAAACUUGAACUCCAUGUAAGGAUCCCAAACUCGCAGAUAUAACCUUCUCUCUCCUGAAUAUAAUCAUUCGCUAGCACUUAUCAGGCAUCAGCCAUAAGUUCAUAUUAGCAGCAUAUUAUCUAUUGAGUGAAUUUCUCCACUCAGUUUGUGCAUAUAAUUACAAGUCCCUCGCCCUUAAUUUAAUCAUCAGAAAUUUUGUCAAAGCCUUUGAUGUAAAUCCUUACAUCCAUAAUGUAGCUCAAUUCAAAUACACGAAUAUGACUGAAAAGUAUCAAUGACUGAAAUAGGCUAUCCAGGUUUUCGUGAUUCAUAAGCCAUUUCCAAUACAGCAAGAUGCAAAUCACCAGAAGUCUAGUCUUAAUUCAUUUCCCUAAUUAAGCUGACAGAAAACUCGGAUAGUCAUACCCAAAACAUACUCUCAAGCCAAUUAUUCGGAUAACUAUAAGCUAAUUCACAUGAGUGUAUGUUUUAUGUUAGUAAAUCAGUAAUGUCAAGCUCAAAGAGAUGCCAAAAAGGUAUCAGCCACACAAGGAUCAAACACUGAAGCUGCAUUACGUCUACCCAACUAAUAACAAAGCGUCAAAGCCAAAACAGUUUGCAAAUGAAGUUGUAGUUAUUUAUAUUUCCGUUAUUACUAUUGUGUAUGUGCAGGUGAGAUUUAAAAUGUGAUUAAAUCUUUUAAAAGCAUAACUGAUUUACUGUUGAUGAAGAACAUAUAAUUCACCACAACUUUCAGCAAGAGCACUUUUCACUCACAAUAAAACCAUUUGAUUACACAGCACAGUCAUUUAAAAACACAAGUGUACAAUAUGUUUGCAUUACAAAAUCAGUAUACAGAGUUAAUGCAUUAGGUUAAGAUAAAGAGUUACCAAUCAUUGCAGACAAAACAGAAAAGCCUUUCAUUACCUAUCAUUGCAUUAUCUUCUGUAAUUUUAAAUUAUCUGCAAGUUAAUGCAUUAGGUUCAGAUAAAGAGUUAACCAGUCACUCUAUGUUAUAAAAGUAAUUACUAAUUCCAUUUGGGUUGUUCAAGAAUUUCCUAACUUGCUAGUAUAGGUUUCCUGGUUUCUAUGAUUUUCUGACUCUCAUAUUCAUAGUUACUGAUGUUUACUGGAAAAGUAAAGAUGAAUAAGUGCACAGAAAUUACAAACAGGGCGCAUUAUCAGGGAAACUAAAAACUAAAAGACAGUCGCCUUAUGUGGGAAACUAAAAGACCAUUGCAUUAUCUGGGAAAGUUAAAGAUGGUUCAAGUUAUCAGGGAAACAAAGAGUAGAAGAAAGAAACUAAUGCAGCCAUAAACGAAAAAAUAUAGUAUAACAUAAACUUCCAGUGUUAACUACAUAAUCUAAAAUCAUCACUAUUGUUGUAAAACUGAAUAACCUUUACUCUUUACACCCUUAAGGUGCACACUUGAUCGAUCCAGAAUUUGACAAAGCCCCAGGAAAUCUGCUCAAAUACUUGUGCUUCACAGAACCUUCACUUCGAGCAGAUGAAUUCGUACCCGGACCAGAGGUUUUGAAGCGAAAACCAGGUGGAACAUAAUAGCAGCUCCGGAAAAAAGGAUGCUGAAGAGCCUCCAAAGCAGUAGGCCUUUUGCACGGAUCCCAGGAGCAAAGCGAUUGAAUAAGGCCAACCACAUCCUUGCUUGCAGAUGGCAUCAGCAGAGACAGAGAAACACCAGAAUGCUGAGGAAACUGAUAGCUUAUAUCAUCUGCUAGUUCAAUCCCAUAAGCCCAAUCAACUUCAGUUGGAGUUCCUAAAACACUGCAUAUUCUGUACAUCUGAUCUUGCUGAUUUACCCCAGCAAAAAGUGGGCAGCUAGUCAAUAAUUCAGCCAUAAUUGCACCCAUAGCCCACAUAUCAACCGCUGGACCAUAAAUUGGCGCCGCAAGCAGAAUUUCAGGUGCUCUGUACCAUCUUGUUGCAACAUACUCAGAAUAAGGAGGCGAACAAUUAAUCUCGCGAGCAAGUCCCAGAUCAGCAAUCUUUAUAAUAUCUCCACUCACUAGCAAAUUCUCAGGCUUAAGAUCCCUAUGAAAAUACCCUCUUUCGUGCAUGUAAGCAAGACCUUGAAACACUUGAAAGCACCAGUUUCUGACGUCCGUUUCUGAGAAGGGCUUUGUUCUGGUACUCAUAAGCUGGUAAAGAUUGCACUCCAUGUAUUCAAAGACAAAGAACAAGAAGUUAUUUUCUCCGAUAAUUUCCUUGAGCUUCACAAUAUUUGCAUGGUGCAUCUUCUUGAGAGACUUGACUUCUCUCAAAUUCAGACAUUCUUCCCACGAGUGAAACUCCUUGUUCAAUCUCUUAAUAGCCACAACUUCACCACUCUGUGUGUUCAUAGCUUUGAAAACACUUCCAAAAGAUCCACUCCCAACUUCCUUAAUAAUCUUAUACUUCUCCAUUGUUCUGACUUAUAUUCAACGCCACAACAAAAAACAGGGUACGGCGAAAUUUCAAGAAUACUCACGCACUCAAGUCUUUACCACGACCCGAAACAAAUUGACAAAUUGUCUUCGAAUAUGCCAUGCCCUCGGGAGGAUUUCGAUGAAGAUAUUAUGUGAUUGUACGAUCAAAUAUAUGAUUGAUAAAACGGCAAAAUAUUUUCGAAGUAGGCUGCAUCACAAUUAAUGGGAUGGGAUGUUUUUUCGAGUUUUUGAGAAGCUCUGACUGGUUGAUGAUAAAAGAAUAAGAAGACGAGAGAAGACAGCUGAGAUGUGUCUAUAUAGGAGCAGAGAUUUCCGAAGGGAAGUAGGAUCUUUAAGUCGUGAAUAGAUACUAGGUUUAAGGAUCUUACUUGGGGCUAACACAAUAUCUACCAACGGAAGCUUCCUUCUUAGUACUAGGAUGCUCUGUAAAAGAGUUACUAAUUGGUAUUCGUGGCGGUGCUUUUACUCUUUCACUGAGUUUCUUUAAACUCAAAUGAGCUUCCUUGAACUUAAACACAUUAUCAGCACUGACAAAAAAAAUUCAUCUUCAACCUCUUCCUUGUUACCGAAUACUAAGGGUGUAAUCGAGCCGACUCGAUUCGAAACCGUCAAGGCUUGAGUUUGAUUGGAAAGUUCGGGUUCAGACUGGAGCUGCUCGAACUUUUAAUUUCAAGAUCAAAACUCGGCUCACAAAAAGUUCGAUAAACUGGAGUUCGGCUCGAACCUAUUUUUUCAAAUAUUGACAAAUACUCAAAAUAUGAUUAGUCCGGCUCGAUUGAAUAUAUUUAAUAUAAAUAAAAUAUUAAAUACUUACAUAAAAAUAUAUUUAUAGUUUAAAAAUAAUAGGAGCUUGAUAAGGCUUGCGAACUUUAUAUGGAGAGUAAUUUGAAACUCGAGCUCGAUUCGGUAAUGAAUUCGAAAAACUCGAGUUCAGCUUGAUUAUUAACAAGCCGAAAUUCGAAUAUUUUACUAUCCAAAUUUGAGUAACUCAUGAUCUGUUUGACUCAUUUACACCGCAACCGAAUACCAAUUUUGCAAAUUUUAAUUACUUAUUUCUGCAAUAAAAAUAUAAUUUAUAUAAAUAAACUCCAUGUAAGGAUCCCAGACAGGCAGAUAUAACCUUAUCUCUUUCCUGAAUAGAGUCAUUCGCAAGCACUUAUCAGGCAUUAGCCAUAAGUUCAUAUUAGCAGCAUAUUAUCUAUUGACUGAAUAUCCAGACUCAGUUUGUGCAUAUAAUUACAAGUUUUUGUCAAACCCUAUCAUGUAAAACCUUACAUUCAUACUGUAGCUCAAUCCAAAUACACGAAUAUGACUGAAAUAUAUCCAGGUUUUCGUGAUUCAUAAGCCAUUCCCAAUACAGCAAGAUGCAAAUCACCAGAAGUCUAGUCUAAUUCAUGUCCCUAAUUAGGCAGACAGAAAACUGAGAUAGUCAUACCAAAAGCAUUCCCCCAAGCCAAUUAUUCUGAUAAUUGUAAGCGAAUUGGCCACUAAAAUUCACAUAAGUGUAUGUUAUAUGUUAGUACAUCAGUAAUACUCAAGCUCAACAAGAUGUCAGAAAGGAUAUAGGCACACAAGGAUCUAACACUCAAGCUGCAUUACAUCUCCCCAACUAAAAACACAGCGUCGAAGCCAAACUAGUUUGCAAAUGAAGUUGUAGUUAUUUACAUUCUGUUAUUACUAUUGUGUAUGUGCAGGUGAGAUUUAAAAUGUGAUUAUAUAGGAUCUUUAAAAAGCAUAACUGAUUGAAUGUCAAUGAAGAACAUAUAUUUCACUACAAUUUUAAGCAGAGCACUUUUCACUCACAAUAAAACCAUUUGAUUACAUAGCACGGUCAUUUAAAAACAUGAAUUCAAUGAACAAUAUGUUGUGCAUUACCAAAUCAGUAUACAAAUUUAAUGCAUUAGGUUAAGAUAAAGAGUUACCUAUCAUGACCUAUCGUUGCAGACAAAACAGAAGAGCCUUUCGUUACCUAUCAUUGCAUCAUCUUCUGUAAUUCUAAAAUUAUCUGCAAGUUAAUGUAUUAGGUUAAGAUAAAGAGUUAACCAGUAACUCUAUGUUAUAUAAGGAAUCACACUACUAGAAAUCUGCUAAUACUCUAUGUUAUAAAAUGGAAUUAGUGAUCACUAAUUCCAUUUUGGGUUGUUCAAGAAUUUCUUAACUCACUAGUAUAGGUUUCCUGUUUAUAUAAUUUUCUGAUUCUAAUCUUCAUAGUUACUGAUGUUUACUGGAAAAGUAAAGAUGAAUAAGUGCACAAAAAUUACAAACGGAGCGUAUUAUCAGAGAAACUAAAAACUAAAAGACAGUCGCGUUAUGUGGGAUACUAAGACCGUUGCAUUAUCAGGGAAAGUUAAAAAUGGUUCAAGUUAUCAGGGAAACAAAAAGUAGAAGAAAGAAGUUAAUGCAGCCAUAAACGAAAAAAUAUAGCAUAACAUAAACUUCCAGUGUUAACUACAUAAUCUAAAAUCAUCACUAUUGUAACGUAGAACUGAAUAAUCUUUACUCUUUACACCCUUAAGGUGCACAUCUGAUCGGGCCAGAAUUUGAAAAAGUCCCAGGAAUUCUGCUCAAAUACUUGUGCUUCACAGAACCUUCACUUCGAGCAGAUAAAUUCAUACCCAGACCAGAGGUUUUGAAGCGAAAACCAGGUGGAACAUAAUAGCAGCUCCGUAAAAAAGGAUGCUGAAGAGCCUCCAAAGCAGUAGGCCUUUUGCACGGAUCCCAGGAGCAAAGCGAUUGAAUAAGGCCAACCACAUCUUUGCUUGCAGAUGGCAUCAGCUGAGACAGAGAUACACCAGAAUGCUGAGGAAACUGAUAGCUUAUAUCAUCUGCUAGUUCCAUCCCAUAAGCCCAAUCAACUUCAGUUGGAGUCCCUAAAACACUGCAUAUUCUGUACAUCUGAUCUUGUUGAUUCACCCCAGCAAAAAGAGGGCAGUUGGUCAGCAAUUCAGCCAUAAUUGCACCCAUUGCCCACAUAUCAACCGCUGGACCAUAAAUUGGCGCUGCAAGCAGAAUUUCAGGUGCUCUGUACCAUCUCGUUGCAACAUACUCAGAAUAAGGAGGCGAACAAUUAAUCUCGCGAGCAAGUCCCAGAUCAGCAAUCUUUAUGAUAUCACCACUCACUAGCAAAUUCUCAGGCUUAAGAUCCCUAUGAAAAUACCCUCUUUCGUGCAUGUAAGCAAGACCUUGAAACACUUGAAAGCACCAGUUUCUGACGUCAGUUUCUGAGAAGGGCUUUGUUCUGGUACUCAUAACCUGGUAAAGAUUACACUCCAUGUAUUCAAAGACAAAGAACAAGAAGUUAUUUUCUCCGAUAAUUUCCUUAAGCUUCACAAUAUUUGCAUGGUGCAUCUUCUUGAGAGACUUGACUUCUCUCAAAUUCAGACAGUCUUCCCACGAGUCAAACUCCUUGUUCAAUCUCUUAAUUGCCACAACUUCACCACUCUGCGUAUUCAUAGCUUUGAACACACUUCCAAACGAUCCACUCCCAACUUCCUUAAUAAUCUUAUACUUCUCCAUUAUCCUGACUUAUAUUCACCGCGAGUCCGCGACAACAAAAAACAGGGUACGGUCUCACGCAAAAAUUCAAGAACACUCACGCACUCGUAUCUCUACCACAGCCCGAAACAAAUUGUCUCGGAAUAUGCCAUUGUCCUCAGGAGGAUUUGGAUGACUAUAUGUUAUGUGAUCGUACGAUCAAAUAUAUGAUUGAUAAAAGCGCAACAUAUUUUCGAAGUGGGCUGCAUCACGAAUAAUGGGAUGGGAUGGUUUUUCGAGUUUUUCGAGAAGCUCUGAGUGAAUGAAGAUGAAAGAAUGAGAAGACGAGAGGAGGCUGCUAAGAUACUCCUAUGUAUAUAUAGGGGCAGAGAUUUCCGAAGGGAGGUAGGAUUUUAAGUCGCUGAUAGAUACGAGGUUUAAGGAUCUUACUUGGGGCUAAAGUAAUAUCUACCAAAGGAAGCGUCCUGCCUAUUUUCCAAAUUUUAUUUAUCUGUUUUUACAAUAAAAAUAAUAUAUUAGUAUACUUAUCCAGAUCAGAGAUAUAAUAUAUCUACAUUAUUAUUAAUUAAUCUCUUAUUAUAUUCUAAUAAAAUUUAUAAAUAAUAGAAUUGAAAAUUUCAAAAUUGAACAAUGAAAGUGCGAAAAAUACAAAAAAAAGUUGCAAUAUAGUUUGUUCUUUGUUUUUAGAAUUAUGUUUUUUCAAUAUUCCAAUUUGAACGGAAUCCUGAUAGAAGAAAAAGUUCACGAGAAUAAUAGAACAUAUGAAAAAUAUUAAGAAAAGAAAUUGCAUAAUGUAUAAGCCUACAAGGUAUAUUAUAAUACGGUAUUUAUUUGCAAAACUAGUUAUAAGUCGUUUCAGACGACUUAUAAUAUUUAGUUAUUUUAUCAUAUAUAAUUUAAUAAUUCUUAUGAAUAUAAACUAUAUUAGAAUAAUAUAUAUUUCUUAAUAUUUUACUGUACAACAGAUACAUUUUACUUAGUACUAGUGCUACAUGCACAAAAUUGAGUACAGAAUUUUGCACAAAAUGAUAUACAGAAUUUUGCACAAAAUGAUGUGGCAAGUGAGGUGGGAAGUUUUAACUGGUACUAUUAAUGCAUACACAGGGGGCUCAUUUCAAUCAAAAAUUGACACAUACUCAUUAUGUGAAUAUUUUUGUACCCAAUUCUGUGCCUCUAGCAUUUUCCUUUACUUUUUUAUAGUCUUGCCGGUGCACUGCAAACAAAGAAAGAAAAAGGAUUUUACCCAUAAGAAAGUGCGAUACCAUACUGCUCAGCAAUGCACUUCGUCCAUUCAGCUACACGGUCCAGAUUUAGCAUAAGUUCUAACCCAUAAGAAAGUGCGAUAACAUCUUUAUAACUUUGUUUACGGCAUCUGCAUAUACAAUACAAGUCGCAGAGUAAUUAUUAUGGCAAUAACCGGCAAUAGAACCAACAAGCAAUGAAGGUCCUUUAGACUAUCUCCAACAAAUUAAGCAUCGGGGAAUUUACUUACUGCUGGACAGUUCUGUCGGCAGCCUAGCAAGAAACAGUUGUUCCUAAAUGGAGUCAUUCGCUAGCACUUAUCAAGCAUCAGCCAUAAGUAUAUAUUGCAACUUGCAAGCACCAUAUUAUCAUCUACUGGCCAGAUUUCCAGAGUCACUUUAUGGCUUAUGCUGCCUGAAAGGCACCUGUAUAAGAAUUUCAUAUUACAACUUUUACUAGAAUGCACCCCUACCUUCAAAUUGCAUAAUGCAGCUCACAGCAACUCAACAAUUUCAACAUUGAAACCGCAAAGUGACUUCUAUCAGGAUUUAAUUUUCAACAGGAUGACACUUCAGUAACAUUAAAACCAUUUGAUAAGUCAUUUAAACAAAUACGAAUUGCUAAAUCAGUUUAAGUCCAGCUCAACAACCAAUUGAAUCGAACAGUAAUGCCGAAAUGACAAACUCAGCUACACAAUGAAUCAAACAGGUAAGCUGCAUCAUAUCACACCAACUCAGCCAUCCAAACCACUUCAGCAAAACACCAAGACAUUUUGCAACUACUUUGCAAUUAUUUACAUUUCUUAUUCAAACACUAAUAUAUAAGCAUAGAUCUAAGAUCAAAACAAAAAAUAAAGCAUACAAACAUGCUAAAUAAACAAAAAUAAAUUCACACUAAUUCAGAACAAUAGAGCAAUUUCAUUCAUACUAUAACCAUUCAAUUACACAUCACAUUCAUUUCGAACAAACACAAUUCAACUAAAACACAACCUAGAAACCCUAGAAAUCAACCGCCGAAGCCAUAAAGAGUCCUGCCCUGCCUCUUGAGAGCGUACACAACAUCCAUAGCAGUCACAGUCUUCCUCCUAGCGUGCUCAGUGUAAGUAACCGCAUCACGAAUCACAUUCUCCAAAAAGAUCUUCAAGACGCCUCUGGUCUCCUCAUAGAUGAGCCCGCUGAUUCUCUUUACACCGCCUCGGCGAGCCAGACGACGAAUGGCGGGCUUGGUGAUGCCCUGGAUGUUGUCACGGAGGACUUUGCGAUGUCGCUUGGCACCGCCUUUGCCAAGGCCCUUGCCUCCCUUGCCACGUCCUGACAUCUUAAAUUUCGAAUGAGAGAAAGAGAGAGAGAGAGAGAGAGAGAGAGAGAGAGAGAGAGAGAUUUGGUUGUGUUGUGGAGAGAGAAAUGAGAGUGUUUGAGAUGUGAGAUUGGGAGAGAUGGUAGGGGGUUAAAUAAGGGGAGUUUUGGGGGUUUGAAAAUUUUGAAAGUUUGGGCGGGGUUUUUGUGUUGGUUUUGGUGAUCCUGGUGGUUGAUUGGUGAAUAUGAGACGUUGAUGUUAAAAAAAAUCGACGGUUGGGAAUUGUGUAAAUUAUGAGGCACGGAUCGAUGACAUGGCGCUGAUCAGCCAGUCAGGUCGGACCCAACUCAAUCUGGGGAGUACACGCGCUGUUUGUUUUAGCCUUUUUUUUUCCCUCAUAUUUGGCAUUCCUUAUUUAAAUUCUGACUUAAGGUUAGAAUCAUGGUAUUUAUAUCAUUUACGUAAAUUUUUGUCGAAAUUUCAAAAAUCGAAAAUUCUAGUUUAUGUUUAAUCAUUUAAUUUUUUUAAAAUUUGAUUUUACCAAUUGUAUAUGAUAAUUUUAAAAGAUAAUUUAUAAAAAUGUAUUACUAUUACUAUAUUAAUAAUUUGUGUAUCAAAUAUGUUGUAAACACAAAAUAAAUAAUAUUCAAACACAUAAUUAAAAGUUAUUUCUCACUCAUAGCUAAAUUCUCAUUUAUAAGCAAUAAUCACUUUUUUUUAUGUUAAGUGAAAUGUCCCCAAGGCUGGCAAUCUCCUGAUGCUGAAUUGUAUAUAUAGGUUAAUGCGAUGAAGACAUCUGAAACCGGUCACAUGGCGUGGAUAAUUAACCGAAUUGAUCGUAUAACGGUUUGGAGUGGAUAAUACCUGGUAUACAAAAUGCACGAGUUGAUCGUAUAACGGUGUGAAGUGGAUAAUACCUGAUAUACAAAAUGUAAACAAAGAGUGAAUAUGGAUAUAAUAAAAAGUCUCGCGUCCGACCCGCACUCUAUUCGUACAUAUAUAUAAAUGUACAUGUACUUACUAAAUUUAUCACAAAAAUAUAUUAUAUUUUCAUGUUACUAUUUAAUAAAUUUUAAUAUACAAAAGAUAGUAAGCUCGUAAAAUAUUCAUAAUACAACUUAUUUGAAUAUUAGUUUCAAAUUUGUGCUAAUUAUUAAAGAAAUCAUAAUUCUUUUCAUAAUUUACAAAUUAACUAACAAUGUUUGUAUUUUACACAUUUGACCAACAAGUUUUAUAAAAUCAUGUUAAAAAAAUAUGACACAACUACGCGUAACGCAUCCGUUCACCACUUUGUUCUCUACUCAUCUCACUUCUAAGACAAGCUGCCUUUAGCUAGGAGUCUCUUUUCUUUUUGUCCUGUUCUCGUUCACCACUUUGUUCUCAACUCUACUCACUUUUAAGACAAGCUGUCUUUAAUUAGGAGUCUCUUUUCUUUUUGUCCAGUUCCGCUAAAACGAUGCUCGACUUGCAUGUGUUAAGCAUAUAGCUAACGUUGCUCCUUCUGAGCCAGGAUCAAGUUCUUAUUUUAAAUAUGACUUUGAAACCUGAUGAACCAGGCCUAGUACUUCCCGACCUUAUGUGAGCUUUCCUGCUCUUAUAUAAUUGUAAUGAGAGAAUAUUUCGAAAAUCUUUUUAAUGCUUUUGAUCCGACUAUGCUCAACGAGGUGACUCGUGUAUGCGACGAGACUAAAGACAUGAAGUAGAAUGUUCAAACCAAAUGGUAUCCAAAGGAAAUGAACAACUUAAGGGAACGACAUUUUUCGAUUAGGAGAUCUGCUCCCAGUUUGACCAUCAUCAUUACUCUUAAGGUUAUCACCUUGCUCAAUUGAUUAGUUCUAUCAUCCCAAUAUUUUAGCACGAAAAAAAUGUAUUUGUCAAAAUCAUAAAAAAAUGCGUGAAAAAACUCUUACUUAUUAUUCGAACUCUGAUGAGUGAAAGGACUUUCAAGAAAGUUAUUCUAGAGGAUCAACCAGAGAUCGAUUGACUUAGUUAGUGAUACUUGAUACGACAAACUAAGUUUUAAAGUAAUCAGUCGCACUCGGCAAAGGUGAAUAAUUAAUUUUCAAAUUAACCAUCAUACAAUCACAUAGUACAAAUUUUUGUUCUCUCUCUCUUUAAAAAAUUUAAUUAUCUAAAUUAACAACAUUCCACUAAACAUGGCUAUAAUGUUAUAAAAUUUCUUUCCAUCUCAUUAAUUAAAUAUUCCGAAUAUCUUAUAUGGAUGAAUAUCUAAUGACAAGGAUUACAAACAUUUUUUUAGAACAUCUGACGGGUAAAUACUCAUUUCGGUCAUCUAGCUAAACCACAAACAUUUUUUUAGAACAUCUGACACAUUUUUUUAAACAUCUGACGGGUAAAUACUUAUUUCGGUCAUCUAGCUAAACCGCUAAAUGACAGAUAAUCAUUUUAUCCAGCAGUUUAAAAACGUUGAAUUUAUUAAAAAAAUGUUAACGGCAUAUGAUCAUUUUACUUCAAAUAGUUUAAAAAAGCUGAACAUAUUUAAAUAUUUAUCCAAUGACCUUUGCAAAUAAUUAUAGUAAUAUUUCCCAGCAAUGAAGUAAAAGUGGAAGACAGUGCCAAAAUAAAAUUUGUUACCAAGUUUAUGGGCAAAAACCAAUACAAUAGUAUACUACAUUCAACAUAAUUUUUUCAACCUCAAUGCAUUUGAAGUUUGAAUUCAACAAAGCACACGGUAAGAGUAGAACUAGUGUUGCACUCCUAAUCAACAUAACCAAAUAAACAUAAAUCGGGCAGCAAUUAAAAGACCAAGAGAGCACAUCUUAUUUUUCAUAUAUCAACACGAAGCUUACAGUUUAGGACACUGCAGACAUACCUUUUCCCAUUCAUAAAAUAAAACUGUAAUGUCUAAUCAAAUACAUAAAACAAAAACCAGAAAGCUUUUCAUUUUCAGAUCCUCAGCAACAAAUCCUAGUACCUCGAAAAACUUUAACUGUAUUCUUCAUAACCAAAAGUGACCCAGACAUAUACAUGUUACUGGAGAUCACACUUUCCUUUGGAUUCCAAGCCUCUCGCGGAAGUCACUUUCCAUGAGAGGAAGGCCAUCACGCAACUUUACCUUUGGUUCCCAACCUAACACUUCCUUUGCCUUUGUUAUGUCUGGCUUUCUCUGGCGAGGAUCAUCAGGCGUGUUCUCCACAGUUAUGAUUUGGACUUCUGGAUUAAUAAGCUGCAAAAUAAUUGAGGCCAAUCAACACUUGUCUAUUGAAUGAAAACGUAACGUCAUAUCUAAUUUUUCUUCAAAACAAUAUAUUCGUCUAACUAUCCUUUGGAUAUUGAGCACAGUUGAACUGACCUCCUUUACAUUUUCAGCAAGCUCCAUCAUUGUGAAUUCACCUAAACAUUAAAAAACAGUCGGGUCAUGUAAACACGAAAUUGGGCAUAACUUUUUAACACGCCUAACAAUAGGUAACACAAGUUAUUUUUCUUAUAACACAGAUUUGUUGCAAUGAAGAUCACAUAAUGCAGAUUCGUUGCACUUCAUAACUAACAUCUACCAAAAAAGGUGAAAACUAGGAUCUGCGACAUUGUUUUUUAAAGUACCUGGGUUCCCAAUAUUAAUUGGUCCAGUAUUAUUUCCUUCCAUAAGUUUAAUAAGGCCAUCAACCUUCAACAGAAGUCAGAAUAACUUGUCAGCAAACAAAUUUAGAUUGAAUUGUAGUGCAGGAAAAAUGCACAAAUAUGUCGCUUACCAUGUCAGAAACAUAACAGAAACUGCGAGUCUGGGUUCCAGGCAACUGAACAGUCAAAGGCUCGUUACUGCAACAUAGAGAGGAAUAUAUUAGGGUGGCAAUUAGGUUCCCAAUCCAUUUAAAUAAACCAAACUUUUGGUUUUGGUUCAGGUUAAAAUCAUAUUUAUAUAUGGGUUGGAUUUUGAGUCUCAUAAUGUAUUAAAAAUUUAAAAUGUGAUCUUUCUAAUUCCAAAUAAUUAGUGCAGAGAAAAUUAAUAUAAAAUAUAAAAAUAGAUAAGUGGUUACAUUUGUCUGUAAAACCUAGAAAAGUAAAGUUACCGAAUCGCUUGAGCAAUGAAAUUACUGACAACACGGCCAUCAUCAAUAUUCAUCCGAGGGCCAUAAGUGUUGAAAAUCCUGGCUAUCCGUAUUUCUGCAGUGACCAGUUUUAGACAUGGAAAAACUGGGUUACAAAUAUUCUUACACAAAAGAUGCUAUUCAUCCUAGAAUUUAGUUGGCAGUUGGUAAAAUAAGAGUCUGUACCAAUUCCAUGCUGCCUAUGAUAAUCAAACAUCAAUGUCUCUGCUACUCUUUUUCCCUCAUCAUAACAACUCCGGACUCCUGUAAAAAAUAUAUUGAAUGAAACUCUUUUCAAGAUACAUACAGACUUCGACAAUAAAUAGACAACCAUUAAAUUACUAAUGAAAAGUCUUAAUCUCUACAUGUUUAUUGCAUGUGUACAGCUGACAAAACUUAGCAAUACAACUUUUCAGGAGUAUGUCACAGGCUUCGCAAUAUUAUAUGGACUAAACAAAACAUUUUCUAGUUCUAAUGAUUAAAUUUUAAUUGAGCAAAUAUCAUGUGUGCAAAAACGUGCAUGCAUGUAUGCAAUUACUACUUGUUUGUGAGCUUUAAACUGCGUCAUAAUAUAUUUGAUCUAAUAAGAAUUCCCUUAUCCCUACAGAAGCUAGCAUUUUUAUUUUAUUUUGUCUACGAAUAAUAGCGAGAAGGCUUAUGAUACAUCACAUAUUCAUCUUCUUAAGUAAGAUUAAGUGGCCAAACUAAUACAAAACAGCGGUAAGAAAGUAAGAUAGUCCAUCUACCUCAUUUCCAAGAAGAUAACUCCUAUACACACACACACACGCACACCACAUAUUGAGAACUAUCAUUCUUGAGAGAUGUCAACUAAGGAAUAAUAAAACUCAAUUUCACAACAAAACCAAAUCAACACACAAGGCGGACAACUUAUGUUAAAUAAUAGGCCAGUUGUAUGUACCUAUGGGGUUGACAUUUCCCCAAUAACUCUCAUCCUGAGGAUGUACAAGGGGAUCUCCAUAAACCUCUGAAGUUGAUGUCAAUAAAAUCCUGUAGUACAGUAGUAAUAUGAGACAACCACAAUUCUACAAAUACUAUGCAGCAUGUGUAAUGGAAAUGUUCAAACCUUGCUCCCACUCUCUUGGCAAGUCCUAACAUGUUUAGUGUCCCAAUGACAUUGGUCUUGAUUGUCUGUCAAGUCAAGUAUCAUAUAAUCAGCAUUUAAUUUUGCCAAAUACAUAAACACAUCAAACCAUCCUAUAUGCUUAGCUAAAGCACCAUAUGUACUUAAAAGAGUCUCUGCUCAAAAGCAGUUAUAGUGUUCUACACAAUUAGCAACAACAUAUAUUGACGUGUAGGGUUUUGCAGAUUAGAUAAAUGACCGGGGUAUCUGAAAACAAUACAGCCUGUAAGGACAACUACUGAUAAAAUUUCCUUGCUGCUGCUGCAAAACAACUGGCAGGUUCAGAAGCAUAGAACACAACAGGUUGAAUCUACACCAGCUUUAGAACAAGUAGAUUAAAUUAUUAAUCAAAAGAGCAAAGUACCUUAACAGGAUUAUAUUUGUAGAAAAUUGGUGAAGCAGGACAGGCAAGAUGAUAUAUUUGAUCAACUUCAACCAACAAUGUUUCUGUUACAUCUGCAGAAAUAUUGAAAUGUAUGUAAAUAACAAAUUGAACUAGAUGUGGGAAAAUAGAUAAAUGAGACACAAGGCCAAGGUUGGGACUUGGAAUUAUUGUGCAAAUAAGACUGCUGACUGCAGUUAAGAUACAUACUGUAUUACAAGCCCUUUUUCAAUUUUGAGAGAGCCCUGAUUUUGAUUUUAAAUCUUUACAGGUAUUGCCUAACAUUACUACUAUAUAAUAUAUCUAUAUCGAUAUAUACACAUAUAUAUUUGUAUUUUUUGAUAUCUCAAUAACAUUUGAUUCAGGGUUAAGCUCCAAAGAGCCUGAGAUGAUCUUUUAUAUACGAAAUAUAAAGUUAAUUUGUGGACACAAUGUUGAAUGAAUGCAUUUACAUUUUGAUUAUAUAUUUCAAUAAGGGUUUAAGUAAAAAUAAAUGAAAUAACUUGGAAGCAACAAUAAACAGUCAAUAUAAAGAACACAUUUCGCAUAGAUAAUUCAAUGAUGUUCAUUAGCAUAUACACAAAUGACGCAACUUGGAUGAUAAAAGAACAAAUACCAUGUCGAAUAAGCUCAAAUCUUGGAUGACCAAUCCACUGUCUUAGGUUGUCCUUUGAGCCAGUAAAGUAGUUAUCAACCACGAUCACCUAGGAGGAACGAGAAAGUUGCAUUAUACUAUUGACCAAUCAUGCAGAAAUUCACCAAGCAGAAUCAUCUGACUACAGUAUCAGACGAAACAGAAGAUUAUGAUAGGAAGUUUAUACCUCAUUCUUCUCAUUUUGCAUCAGUCUGUCAACUAGAUGAGAGCCAAUAAAUCCAGCUCCUCCAGUAACUAAGAUUCUCAUGUUGGCCUGUCAUCAGCAAGCUAUUAAGUAACAGAAGAAGAUAUGCAGAGAGUACCAUAACUCACAUGACUCUAGUCAGUUUGUCACAAAACACUCUCCUUAACCUUAACUAUGAAGGAACAAUCAGCCAACAUAUGUUUUACAUGAAAAAUUACACAAUAAGAGAGUUCUUGACAGCUAUGACACAGAACAGUGGUGGAUAUGAAAACCAGAGAAUGUAUUGAAAAAAAUUAUAUGAUUCGGAAAACUUGCCUGCUUUUACCUAUGUACACCAGAAUUUCCGUAUAGAUAUAUUAAAAUUAUUAGCAAGUUUGGAACAAAUUUUCUGGGCACUGAAGAAAGUAUUAUGGUUAUCACAGCAGAUACUUGAUCUGACUAAUUUUAUAGCAGCAAGUGUUUUCCCAAAAGUAAAUGCGAAGGAACACAAAAAUUACCACUGGGACACCCAAUAUGCAUCUACUCAAAAUUUUGAUUCAAAUGCAGUCUACAUUAAAAUAUAUAUGGAAAACCAAACAAACAUUUAUAAAAGAAAGAGAAGAAAUUUUGUUUGCAAGUCAAUAACUUCUUCAUGUUCCAACAAACAACAUAAGGUAAGUAUAUCAUACAUCAAGCACAUAUAUUCUCCUAACCACAAAUGCAUACAGUUCACAGUUUGUGCUUAAAAAGAACCAUCUUGCUGGUUGCAACCUGAAAAAAUUUGGCAGUGCGCAAUGGAGAAGGUGUUGGAGGGGGUUUCGUGGAUCCAUUAGCAACUUCUUUCGACAUCUUCCCAGAUCCUUCUUCGAUUACUGACACCAAAAAUAUCCAAAUAAAGCACCUAUUAAGAUAAACCAAUCAAAUUCAAUACCACAUUACAAAUCACAAAUUAAUUCACAAUAAAAAAAGCAUCUUUUCCCAUAUGCCUCAUCAAAAUUCAAAAACUCAAUACCUGCAGAAAAAUAAAAUCUUUGCACAAAAAACCCACAAAUUUGCUUGAAAUUGGUAAAGAUCAAAACUUUAUAUACACAUCCAAAUGGGUUGUUGAUAAAAGGGCACAAAUCAUCCAAAAAACAUGUAAUAAUCACACCCAAUUAAAGAAAAAAAAAGAAUAUGAAAGCUUAGAGAACACGAAGAGUAAAGAGUACAAAAAGCUCAAAAGUGGAACCCCACUACAACAAACUCACCAAACAACAAUCAGAUCCAAAUCUCACCCAAAAAUCACAAAACAAAUUUGCAAAUCAAGAAUUAAACAGAGAAUUUAGAACAGUAAAAUUAGGAAAAAAAUCAAAAAAUUGUGAAGAUAGGGAUGAGAGAGAUAAAAUUAGUAGUACCUCUGAAUAAACACAAAGAUUUGUGAUCACUGAUCAAUGUGAAGUAGUGCGUGAAUAUAUGUGGGUUUUAUAUUGUAUAAGUAUAGAUAGAUAGAUAGAUAGAUGCAAUUAACAGGAGACGUGAAUUAUGUAAUUUGUGUCUUCAACAUGACGUGAACUUACUGGAUUCAUCUGCCACGUCAAUUACACAUAGGAACGGUAAUCACAUAAAUUUAUUGCUUAUCCUUUUAAUACGGUUUUGAAAUUUGGAGUUAGCAACAAAUAAUGUGUAAUUUUUGUCAGAUAAUUUUUUAUUUAAAAAUAUCUAUUAGAGGUAUUUUUAUAAUUUAUUUUAAAUAAAAAAAUUAUAGUUUAAUGAGCAUGUAAUAUAUAAUUCACUGAAAUUAUGUAAUUCUUGUCACAUAAUUUUUUCAACUAAAGAUCGCUAUCGGAGAUAUAUUUAAAAUUAAUAUUUAAAAAAUAAUACUACAGUUUUUACCUUUAAGAAGUAACAUAUAACAAUAAGUUUAAACAAGUAACCCAAAAAGUAGAUAUUAGAUAUAUUCUAUAAAUUUUAUUACUUACAUUCAUCCUAAUUCGAUAUACAAUUUGUUUAGGAAAAAUAAAAUUGUAAGUAGUUUUUGGGAAACAGGUCAGUCGCAAAAGUGCUCUGCCAACCGUUUCAACGAAGAGAUAAGCAAGUCGAUCACUAGUAUUUUACACUCACGUAAAACAGUUGACAAUGAGAUGAGUGUUAUAGAAUAGUAAGAAUAGUCAAGCACCAUGUCCAUGUAUGAUUAAAAAGCACAUGACUAUUUAACAUGGUUGGUAUAUAACCAAAAAUCACAUGACUAUUUAACAUGGUGGGUAUAAAUGGGAAUUGAAAUUAAUUAAUUAAACUAUCGGAAUUUAUCAAUUUUUUUGGAAGAAUUAAAGUUCGAGUAAAGGACUUAAAGUUUGUUUUACAAAGCAGGUGUGCCAUUUGAGUUUUGUCAAUCUCAUAAGCAGGAUUCUGUCGACAGACCUUGAUCAGUUGAUCAAGUGCAUCUGUAUUUUCUAAAAUUAUAUCCGACCUCUUCAAUUCCAAUCGCUCACUUAUCAGUUAUCAAGCCUUGUAAUUUCUUCAUCAGAUGAGUAAAAUGACGUGUGUGAUUCUACGUUUUACACCUUGUGCAUCCAGCUUCUUAAGUACAGGAAAGAACUCAGACACAUUAGCCUUACCUAUUUCAGACAAAAUUCCCUAAACCACGACUCUCAACUCCUUAGCGGAAUCCACAUAAGGGUUCACCCGGAAAACACCGUGUUGGAUAUAAAAUUCAGCGAGGUCCUAAAACCAGCUCGACUAAUAUCAACUGCCUCUCCAGUCACCAAGCUCAGUCACCUUCCUAUUACGUACAUUCUGAUUUGCAUUAACCGAAAAUAUGUUAGUAGUCACAAUUUUUCUGAGAUUUUUCCACCUCGGGCCAAUAGGCAAUUAUGCUAACGAGUACCUGGAAUGGUCACAAGCACAAAGAGCAUCUGAACAAACCUGCUAGAAAAAACAAGGUCUUGCUUCUGAAGCACUUCUCGAGCUAUAGUUGAUGAAGAAAUGACUAUUGUAGUUAUGCUCCCGAGUUAUAAACACAUGAUCGGACCAUAAAACUGGGCAAGUUCCGUGAGGGACGGACUGAUGAGGCAGCUUCCCUAUAUCGGCUAAAAUACCAAUGACAGGCCACUGGAGAGGUCCUGGAGGAAGGUUUUUGCCUCUGUUUGAGAACAAAAACAGAGAUUCUAAGAAUGCAAAAGCAAGUAUGAGAUAUACUACACCGAUUAACAAGUCCAUUUUGCUUAAACAAAGUGUUUUUAAGCCUGUGAAGUGAGAAACCUUGAGCAGUUGAGCUAUAUGCAUGAUUCAUGAAGCAACUCAAGGUGCAACUAGUGGAGAAUAAAAAUAGAAAAUUAAAUUAACGUAUUAACUAUUAAGUAGUCCUAUGAAACUUGUUUAAUUAAGGGCUGCUCCCUUAAUUAGCAGCCAUCCAUUGAGCCGCUUAUUUGGCGGUAUGCACGUGGCAUUCAUAUAAUCAUAUUUAACUUUUUUUUUUUUGGUCACAAUAUAAUCAUAUUUAACUUGACGUAGGUAAAAAAGGACCACAGUUUACGAGUCAUUGUUGUACCAAAUAAGUAAAACAAUCACUACUACCCUUUAAUUAUAAAUAACCAGCAUUAGAGUACUCUACCCUUUUUAAAGAUGGUAUUUACACUUUAUUUGACCUUGCAAUAUGUGGAAAAAUGGUGUUUCGUUGCUCUCUUUUUACACUAAAUUUGACUUUUAUUAACAUAAGGAGUGGUAGUGUUUUAUUAUUUUCAGUUUUACACUUAAAUUUACAUUUAAUUUGUAUAAAAUACAGAAAAUUCACAAAAUAAUUAUUCAUGUACGGACUAUUAUCACUUGCACCUGUAGAUUAUAUCAAAUUAAUAUUUGUAUUUGUUCUUAAUGCUGUAUUACUGUACACCGAGCUUUUUAUUAAGACCACAAAUUAAUAGUAGUUAAUCCUGAGUAAAAUCUUUUACCAUAACUGAAUAUAUUUAGCAUAAAAUACUAUACAAACAUAUAAAGUGGCUGUAGUUUAGUGGUUAGAAUUCCACGUUGUGGCCGUGGAGACCUGGGCUCGAAUCCCAGCAGCCACACUUUUUUUCCCAUUUUGCGACCCUUUUAGAAGUGUAGGGUUUUUAAAGAGCCCAAUACUCUUUUCUAUUUGCUUUUGUUUUUUUUGGAAGACGCACAAGUUGAAGAUCAACAAAACCUAGAAAAGGUAUGUAUAGAGGUCCAAUCUUUAGCUCAUAUUAUGUGAUAAUCCUGGCCUUUUUGAUUUGAUUAUAUUUCAAUGUGUUCUUUUCGGUUGUCAAGAAAUGCUGUGAAAUAAUAUGAUCUUUCUUGGGUUUAUGCAUAGUUAGUCAUCUAGAUCUAAGACCCCUUGAUGUGAAAUUUAUGUUUUAAGUAGUGAAGAUCACAAGGAAGUGCUAUAAUAAUGUAAAGGUCCAAUCUUUAGCGUUUAUUAUGUGAUUAUGUUGGCCUGAAUUAUGAGGGUGUGAAGUUGAUCUGGGUGUGUUUGAGGCUUUGCAUAAUUCAUGAUUGUAAGCUGAAGACUGUUUUGUGAGGGUAGUAAUAAAAUUCAAUCUUAUGAUCCGGUGAACAGAAUUCGGUGAUGAUGAGUCUAUGACAUAUAUAACCAAGAAAUGACUGGUUCACAUAAAUCCAAAAUCAUCACCAUCUCUAUGGCCACAUAAUUUGGGUGAGUGGAAAUCUUAGAAUUCUAUUUGAAGGAAAGCUCUGACACACACUCAAGCUUUUAAGAGGUGACUCAUUUCUAGGUCUUUGAGAAGUUUGACAUCAUUGUAUGAACAAGUUACGAUGAUGACACUUAAAAGUGACUUGAAAAGUUUAAUGCUGUUCUUUCUAGGUUUUACAGAUUAUGUUUUUCUAAUUUGCAGCAAAACCGCCUUAAGUAGACUAAAAGCAUGUCUGAUAUAGUUGAAUUGAAUAUUUAGUUCCAUACAUCUGAAAGUAUAGACAAUUAGCUCUGUUUUUGAUUGUCCGUUGUGUUUUUAAGUGCGAAACACGCUAAAAAUAUCUUCAAUCAGAACUCGUAUGGUUCGAGAUGUAGGGUUAAAGGGUUAAAUGAGCAUCUACUGUCUGUAAAGCGAAAAAUUUGAUUCUGGUGUUUUAGUAGCUCAUACAAAGAAAUUUGUCAAGAAUAAGUUUGUUGUAGAUUUCAACUUUACAAGCUCUCAAACAGAGUUUUUUGACAAUGAAAAACAUAACUCAUAUUAAAGAAAAACAAACCACAUAUACUAUGUAUGCCCUGCUUUGUAGACAAGGGUUUGGGGAGAGACGAUGUUCUAUAUGUAAACAUUACCUCUAUAUCUAAGAGUAGAGAAGUUUUUUCUGUAUUACUCAAAACUUUAAUUCAUCCUCUUGCUAUCAAAGCUUCAAUUAGAUGUUAUAUGUAUAUGUCUGUGUAGAUGUAGUAUAUAUGAUAUUACAGUAAAAGUGUGUUUAUUAUUAUGUUAAAAAUGGAGCUUGUUGCUUUUACUAUGAAUUAGAAGAAGUACGUACUGGGUAUUUUAGGUGGUUUUGAUGUUCUGCAGAUUAUAUAACUAGGAAAACUAAACGGGGCAUGUCGCUUUAUAUACAUUAUUGUGGUGUCAUCAGUAUAUCUUUUUUAACUUGUUCAUACAUUGCACGUCAAAGCAUUUGGCUGGCCCAGUAUUUCGAUUAUGUUUAAAUGGUAUAUUAUUUGGACACUCAUUCAGCUUUAAUAAUUGAAGACAAUUAAAAGUACACUUUAAUUAAUAAUUAUAACAAAAACAAAUCUAUUGAUAAAUUGGUUAAAUUUAACUCUUAAGCCAUCAAUGUGACUUUAGUUUAGGGCUUGAAUCCAAGCAGUCACACCUAUUUUUGAUUCUUUUUUUUGCAACCUUCUCUAAAGUAGGGUUUUUAUAUGAGACCAGUUGCUUAUUUUUCUUUCCUUUAUCAUUUUGGAGGGCGCAGAAGUUGAAGAUUGACUAAAGACAGCAAAGGUAAUUGCACAAUCUCAUGCUCUACACACACAGACACACACACACAAACAUCACUUAUUAGAUCACUGUAUCAUAUAUGUGUCAUUUUUUAAUGGAGUUUGACUUGGAUGUGUUCUCGUUGGUUCCUAGAAAUUUUGUAAUAUAGUGUGAUCUUUAUUGGGUUAUAUAUCCUCUAGAUCUAAAACCCCUUAUUGUGAAUUUAGUGAAGGUCAUAAAAAAUGCAAUAAUAAUGUAAAGGUCCAAUCUUUAGCUUAUAUUAUGUGCUUAUUUAGCUUAAAUAUUAAUGGGGUGAAAUUGAUCUAAAGUAUGUUUGAGGUGUUUAUUUUUAUUUACGAGGAUUAGCUAAAGAUGGUUUGUGAGGAUUUUUAAAAAAUUUGAUUCAAUGAUCAGGCGCACAUAAUUUGUUGACUACAUAGGGAAUGCCGCAUAUAUAGAAAAACUCUGAAAUGACUGAUGCACUCAAAUCACAAAUCACUGUACACCAUCUCUUUAGCUGCGUAAUUUGGGUGGAACUCAUCAGAAUUCCAAUCUGUCAAUUCAAGAAAUUCUCUCACACCCUUUGCGCCAUACAGUCUACGUCAGACCCUUUGGGUGACCUAAUAAAUAAAUGAUGGUUAAAAUUUGAGAAACGGGUUGUUAAAAUGAUUCAGGGUGUGCGUGAUAUUCCUUGAGAAGGUGUAGCAAUGGAAUUAUAUGAGUUACACCCGAAUUGCAUGGCUGAAGAGAUGGGUGUAGAAAUGGUAAGAUGGUGUGGUUUGUCGAUUGGAUGAAUUAUUGUUUCUGUCACUUGUAGUGAGUCUUUUCGUCCGUGUUAUGUUUCUCUUUGUGGUCAACAAACUUUGCUUGUAGUCACAUUAAUAAAGGAACACUGAUGGUCAGUAUUUCUUGGUACGAGUAUGAGGUACUGAAGUCUUAACAUUUGGAUCAAAAUUGUAACCUUGCAGAUGAUAGACGAUCAAGACUUGGGUUUCAUAGCCAACUUUCUUGGAAUCUUUAUAUUUGGUUUGGUAAUUGCUUACCAUUAUGUGACAGCUGACCCGAAGUAUGAGGCCAACUAGAUCCAAGAUGCAUGCAACAGUUUAUCUCAGUUACAUGUUUCCUUCAUGUUGAAGUAACAUUAAGUUGGAACAAUGCUGGCAUUUACUAUAUUAAAUGUUAGCAGUUUUUAUGCUAGACAUUUCAUUUACAUUUUGUUAAAGCUUAAUUAAAAAGUUGCACCACAAAUUCUGUCUUUGUUAAUCAAAAUCCCACCUGAAUGCUGUGGAAGACGCAAUCUGUUUUUUGACUAUGAUGCUUUCGAUUUUUAAACACUUUCCAUACAGUUUAGGGGCCUUAUCUUAAGCUGUCUGGAUGAGCUUCAAAAUUUACUUUCAAGCCCAAAGUUCCCCCAACAUGUAUACUUUACCUUGCAAGUAACUUUAAUUUCAUAGUUCAUACCUCAACAUUUUCCUGCUCAACCUGAACGAAGUGGGGAUCUGAUCGGGGUCGAGCGGUACGGGUAAAUGUCCAUCCCUGUUUCAUACCAACACCAUUUUCCUGCGCCUUUGGUUUUAUAAGGAUCAAUGUCAUAUAUCAAAUUCCAAAAGAAUAAUUAUGCGGUAAAUCACUAAACCGGUGAGGAACAUCUCAUCAAAUAUCUCGACUGGAGAUGUAAAUAUUUGUAGCUGAUUCUUACCAUCAAAUUGACUGUUUAUUCUUCAUAUCCGAUUAAGCAAAUUGUCAUUUUUCACAAAUAUGAAACAAUGUUACGCUGUUUCUGUGUGUGGAUGUAUCUGCCAAUUUGCCCUGUCACAUUUAUUUUUAAAGGUAACAGCUGUGAAUUGGUGAUUAUUUACUCUAAGAACUUAAGUAUAGCUUGCAGGCUGCAGCAGCAGUAGCAUAUGAAAACCAGUGCAAAACUACAAAAUAUCGUUACCAACAGCGAAACUUUACCACCACCCAAAAAUGCACUUGCGCAUGUAAACGUAACGAGAUAACAAGUACCUCUCUUUACGCGUUUUAUUGUACAUCAGAAUAACGAUAUUAGUUGUCACUUUUCCGGACUGAGGGAGUAUGUUACAUGAAAAUAGUGCAUAAAUCGGUGAAAACAUGAAAUAAGAAUUAAUCAGAAAUUAGUCUAAAAUUAACUAAAUGAUUAAUUAAAUUAUAAUUAAUCAGAAAUUUAAUAAAUUCAACGUCCUAUAAAUUAAUCACCUACUUUAUGCAUAUUUGUCACAUUUCUGAAUUCAGGAAAUAUGCUAGUUUUCAAGCUACUUUUUCGAGGGUGUUAACGUCGAGUCUCACAAUCUGAAAGAAAAUGUUCCCAAGCACCAAUAUCAGAGAAGACCUUCAUCUAUCAUUUUUCCAUUCAAGACACUAUAUCAUAUAGUUUCCAUCCUCCUUUUUCUUUUUAACAUUCCACGAUCUAACGUUUAAAAAUCCUAGACUCAUUACGACCUAGCAUUAGAAACCCUAGACGCUAAUUUAUGUAACGUUCUACUCCUAAAAUGCUACUCGUUUAGCAUUUUACAGUGAUUUUCAACCCCAAACGCAGUGUUUUCUUACCAAAACUGAAACACAAGAUAGUCAAACGUUACUGAAUGAUAUUUGAGGCCAUUUUUGGGCAUUAGCUAUAAGUUUUAAGACAUAUGGGACCUUUGCUGCAAUUUCGAAAAAGAGGUAGCAUGCUAGAUAUAUUUGCAGGACACGAGAGGGAUGAGGGAGUAUUGGCUGCUUUCCCAGGAAGGAGUACACCAGAAACAUUUGCGGGAUGUAAGGGAGGAGGUGAACUGAGGGAGUACGCUAGAAACAUACACGGGACUGAGGAAGAAUGCCGGAAGCAUUUGCAAAGUAAUUGCACAGCACUAAACCUCUUUUCCAGCUAAAUGGCCCAGUACCAUUAUAUGUAAGAACAGGUACAAUAACAUCUGCAACACCUAGCAUUAACUAAAAACCUAAAAAUAAUAAAACUAAAUACUAACAUCUAUAUUUUAAGUUUAAACCUCCCUCCCAAUAUUACUAUAAACUACCAUGCACAUUUUAAGAUACAGCAACUGAGUCUACAUACAAAAUCCUAUUAAAAGCAACAUCCAUCUGCUUGACUACUACAUCCAUCUACUUGACUGUUGAACUGUUGGGCUUUUGUGUGUGUGUGUGUGGGGUGGGGUUGGNNNNNNNNNNNNNNNNNNNNNNGUGGGUUGUCACGGUGCUGGUUGAGUUGCAUGUUUGGCUGCCCAUAAGUAGGCAAUAAACAUCCACAACACAACCAUACCAAUUAUAGUGGUUCUGACCACUUCUUCCCUGCUCAUGUUAGUACGAAGAUCUGAGUAGUGGGAUGGACCAACAUUCACAUGAUUAUGGUGAUUUGUGCUUGAGCUCGCCCCGGUGAUUUCUUCAUAAGUUUCAUCUCCAAUCUCUGUCGUCGUGAUUAUUUCAUCAGUACUAUCUCCAAGCUCUGUCUCGGCGUUUUCUUCAUUAAUUUCAGUUUCAAGCUCUGCUAUUGGGCUUGUCUGUAUGAUUUCUUCAUUUGUACUUGUUACAUUGCUACUGCCUAAACAGUUAACGCACGAGCACGUACCACCUAGGAAAAGAGGUAGUGUCUGUAGGAAUUCAGUGACGACCUCUUGGUAGUUAUCUCCUAUGAUCCUUACUUUCUGUCUAGUGGCAGGUUUGAGAACCUGACAAAAAUAAUAGUAUAAUACUUAAUACAUGAAAAGAUAUGACAGGCAACUUACAACUGCUCCAAAUGUAAUAUUAUAUUGGCUACCACUUGGUUCUCAUGCACAGAUAGAGUUGAGAGAGAAAACCUGCCUGAAAUAGAGUUUGAAUUAUCAUACGUGCAACCGCAGGAAGCCGUAUGAUAGCCAAGCAAGCAAGACGUGUUGGAUAGUGAUCUUGCAGCAGUGUAGCACACGAUCGCAAUAUUUGCAUCGGAAAACCAAAUGGUGAUAAUCCCUUGCAAUCCAUCAAAACCGUAAUUUGAGGAUGCCUCCUGUCAACGAGGUUCAAAACUCCGUGUUCUAUCUGGGAAACUAAAAGAGCAAACUGUAAUUGAUUAAUCUGCUUAAUAAAACAUUAUGAAUUUAGCUAGGAGAACAAAUAAAAAUAAGAUAGUAGCAUAUCAAUGGACGUAGGUAUGUGAAAUGAAGCAACUCAUCCAGUUAUCAUCUGAUAGUAACCUUUAGUUGACCAGUUAAUAUCAUUCCAGGUUUCACCAACUUACUUCAAACAAUAUAGGGUUAGUUCUCAACCUAAUGAAAGCAAUCAAUCAAGCUAGUACAGGCAAUCAGGUCAAUGAUAAGCGCUUUUACAAUAUAGCUUAAAAAGAGGAAUCAAGACUCGUCGAGCUUUACUUUGACUUGUUACUAAUUGAAACAAGUUACUUAAAUGUACUUAAUAGAGAAUACUCACCAACUGCUUUAGCAAAUACGGGCUUAUUGCUAGAACUCAGGUUGGAGCAAGCGAGCCCAAGACGGAUAAUGAGACAGGGUCUUCUCUUAACAUCAUAGCCAUGCCAGAAUACAAAGCAAUCCCAGUCCUUAAGUUCAUCUGGGGAUAACAUAGUGUAAGUUUGUCUCCAUUGUAUCGUCUUCUUCACUGCUGUAACAAACCUUGAGAAGUCACCAUUCGAAGCAGCAUAAAAUCUACAAAGCUCAUCCUCGUCAAGCCUGGAGAGGCAUAUCAUCCAGUUUAACACAGUUAAGAUACAGAUGACUAAUUUUCAAAUGGUUAAUGUUUCUUAGAUCAAAAUUUUCAGGCUUUGUGGCACAGUAAAGUAUCUAGACAUAUCAUCAAGUUUUAAUCCUUAAAAGUAAAAUUACUUUAACAGAAGCAUCAUAUCUAAGGAGUUGUGUCUGCAGUCCUUACCUUUCAGGUAAAGUCAAACCCUCCUCAUUUAACUUCUCAUGCAAGUCUUGCAACCACUUCCUGGAAACAAGAACUCUCGGAGCUUCAUUGGUGGACCUGGAAAAUCAUAUUGACCAACAAAAUGGAAUUUAUAUACACGCAAACAUCAUAUUAGCAUAUAUAAUGAUAAUCUACAUUAUCCAAAUUGCAAAGGAGUAUUGUUAUACUAGUUUAAUUCGGUGACUGAGAUCAAGAAUAUAAAUAUCAUCAAUGACCGAGACAAAUUUAAUUAAACUGGUGGCAACUCAUAGAACUGAUAUUAAUCUGAGCAGGUUUGGUACAUGUCAUGACAAGUAUACGGCUUUAAAAUUCAUACAAAGACUGGACAAAGCUGUAGCUCUAGAUUACUAGCCUAGGAAACACAAAAAGGCCAAGUGACUGCAAAAGCAAGUUUCUUCAGGGUAGUAAGAGGGCCUGACGCUACCAAACAACCAUACAAAUUUACCAGACCUCCCAAGUAUGAACAAUAUCAAAUGGGGAACACAGUAACACACUACAGCAUAUAUCACAAGAAAAAAAAAAAGCGUUCUUGCCAGAUCACAGGAACUUACUAAGCCAAAAAUAUGAGGAAUUAUUUAGUGCUUGUACUUGCAGUAGAAUUCAAUUUCUUACCUUACGUCUGGACUAGAUAAUUGAGAAGGUGACCCCGACUGUGUUUCGUAACCAUCUGGAGAGGCAUAGGAAUUGUCACAUGAAGAUUCAUCAGAGAAAAUUGUUGCGAUUGACAGAGCUAACAUUGGCUUCGACAACCCCUAGCAGAAAUAAGUAUCAUCAGUACCAUUAAUAUAAUCACAAUUUACAAGAAACAACUAUUAAAAGAAUCCUCGAAUAACGAAAACAAAAUUGUUGGCCAGUCCAUAUGAUAUAUAAUCAAGUGUUGGAUCGGAAAGAAAGUCUAUGGCAGUCCAGUUUCCUACAAAUACUGUGAUUGCGUUUCCAUCUUCUCUCAAGCCACUAAGAUGGAAUACCACAGUAUAGCUUGCUUGCUGUCCAUAAAAUUGGCCUAAUAGGAAAAUCCUAUCAGUAUCAAAUAAUCAAUACACCAAAUACAGGCUCAGAGCCAUUAGUCACCAUGCCAGUAGAGACAGAGGAACUACCUAAUUUGAAGCACUCGGAGUUAAUACCUAGAAAUCAAUGAUAUGGAGAUGCACGAAUUUAACAAAUCUAAAAAUAUUGGGAUCUGGUGCUUACUGCUUGGGGAUGCAGCUUAUCUAAAAAUGUUACAAAUAUACAUCUUGAUGAUGUUAUCGUAUAUUAAAUAUAAAAUCUAUAAGAAUUCAAGGGUAAUACAAUUCAAUAGAACCAGAAACUAUAGAAAAAUUUCACAAAAGAAAAAUCUUUAAUAUGUGACAGUAUACCAGUAGUAAAGAUUAAAGAAUUAUGUCAUUGCCCAGAAACUGCGGUACUUAUGUGGUACACACGCAAGUACAACAUAGUACACAAUGCUAUUACACUUUUAAGACAUCAUUUUUCAUUUGUUGCCUACUCUACUCUACCCACUACUCGACCCUAUAGGUGAAUACAAGACUUUACAUACAUCAUAUAUGACAGCUGACAGGAUAACGGAUAACCGAUAGAGACACAGUGGUCGGUGGACUGAAACUAUGAAAGAAGGCCAGAUUCUUUAAAACCCACUAUCUCUCAUCCUUUGAUUACAAAAUCUGCCAUCCCCGCACCCAACACCCCAACGCGCUCUUGCGGACACGUGUCGUACCCAUGCGUCUUGCCCAUUAAACAACUAAUAAAUAUGAAUAACUUGACUGAUAUAUAUUGAAUUGCUUCCUAAUUCGAAAUGGAGAAGAACUUUGAUUAUGAAAAUGAAUUUGCCUCAUUUUUGAACUCAUAUUGAUUAAAGUUUAAUCCUAUUUUGCUCAAUGCCGUGAUAAAAUAUAUAAUAUAUUUUGAGAUAAUUAAUUGAAAUAUUUUUGAAUUUUAUGACACCAAAAUUCCAAAUAAUGGAACCAAAUGCAACGAGAUCUAGCAUCGAUUUGAGAUACAAAUAGCAUAGUCUUUUAAAACUAGCCUUCUGUCACCAAAAAUUUCUAAGCAGCACAAGCUUGUCAGACUAAUGGACAUUCCCCAACUAUGUGGAGGAAUGCGAGCUAAGAAUAUCAAGGUUACCCGUAAAGGCUCCCUUUGUUUCACAGAGAACAUUUUGCUGGUUUCAGAUAUUCUGGUGUUUGUUAGAAUUCUAUUUUACAGAUUUCAUGUCUUUGUUUAGUUUAGGAAAAAAAGAUAUAUCUAUCAGAGUAUGAAAGUUACUUAAAAAAUGAAAUGCUUUAAACUUUCACAGGAAUUAGUGUCCUCCAUUUUGAGGAUUUUCCCUCCACAUAUUGAACAAUUACUCAACAAAAAUAUAUGCGAAAAUAUAAAACAUAUUUUCACACAUAUUUUUGUUCAGUAAUUGUUCAAAAUGUUAGUUCCAAAAAAAUAAUUAAUCAGCAAACAAAUUGUUCAAAAUGCUAUUUCCAAAAAAAUGUUCAAAAUUUAGGAGAAAUAUGUUUCCACUUUUUUUUUUUGAAAUUUCCGCAAACGAAUAUUAUUCCGGAUUUAUUUUCUCUGAAAAUCAAGUUAAAUUUUGGCAAACAACCGGACACGUACAGAAGUAUAUCAAGAUGCCCAUUUCUAGUAGGUGGAUUGUGAAUGAACUAGAUUACAAUGAUGCGACUCCUGUACAGUCAAUUAAUACGCAACAAAAUGAAAGAGAGCUUAAAGAGUAUUAGGAAAUGCAACUUAGGCACUAGAAACAUGGAAAUUUAAAACGGUAAGACAGUAAUAGUGAUACCAAACCAACCUGCAUAUUCUUAACCAAGCCCUUGAAAGGAGUCCAUCUCUCAAUCCACCUGAACGGUGGAUAGCACAGAAGCUGGAGAGCCUGGAGCCCUUCCCAGACAAUUGGGAACUUCGCAUUUGAGAUCCUCCGCACAACUUCUAGCGCUGCAGUUUUAAGAAGAAACACACCUAUGAUACCCACAACCGGAUGUGCUACUCCCUUUUUUAUAAAAGAAACACAUUGCAAACUCUUCUUAGAGUACGCCUCUGGAACUGAACCAACCAAACCUACUUGGUGUGCCAUUCUAGUAUUAACAUCCCUCGUCUCUAAGUUCUCACUUGAACCAGAUACCGAUACAGAGUUCCCCAUUCAACUUCCUUGCAACGUCAACUGAUACAUGUUAAAAAAAUAGUAAAUCUGCAUGCCUAUAAUAUACAAGGAAACUACACAUAAAAUUCUAAACUGAAAAGAUUCCGUAACAUACCUAUAAAAUACAAUUAAUUCAGAGAAGUCAAGUCUAACGUCAUGCAUUUGUCUUCGUGCAAAAGAGACAGAGAAAUUAUAUGGCGGUAUAAAAUGCGCUCAUAUGAAACCCUAGAUGACUUAAAACAGUAUACUGAGUAUAAUGACUGAACGCACUUAUUCCAAAAAUAUACUUUACUGCGCUUUAACUUUUUCUGGUCUUAUUUUAGAAAUCCAAUUAAAAGAAAUCCCUAGGCUGUAGCGUGAUCAACACGUCUAUUAAGACAUGACAUAUUAGGGUAGUUAUAAAUGGAUAUAUAAACUUUAUUAACAAUAAUCGCUCACCAUUUCUCAAUUGAUAUAUGUCACGAUUCUCUCCAUUUCUCACACAAUAUACGUCACGAUACUCUCCUGAUUAACAUUAUACGCAUCAAAACUUUCUAACGAUGUUCACUCCUAUUUUAAUGAAUCCAACCGUCAACUGAUCUUUCUAUUUUUUACAAUUCAAUACAACUGUCGUUAUAACCGUACUCUCUCAAUACAUUCCAGAACUUUUCCAUCAUGAUAAGAUUUCAUUCUUUCCAUAUCAUGACAACCUUACCCGAAAAUGAAGGUCACCAACAGCUGAGCUAAAUUGAGAUUACAAACACCAUUCUCUUCACAAAAAUAACGACUAAACUACCUCUAACUGAACUAAAAUAAUACUUAAUCAAAGGAAUCACUCCGAAAUCAAACUCCAACUCAAAACACAUUACAAAAUCACAUAAACAAACAUAACAGCUUAGCAAAAUUAAACAAAAACACUACAUACAGAAUCACAAAAACAAACAUAACAACUUAACAACAUCAAACAAAAACACUACAUACACAUACACAGGCUAACAAUAACAGUGAUCACAAUCAAUAAGUCAAUCACAGUGAUAUUAAACAAUCAAAUAAUAUUAAAAUGAGUAAAUUAAAUCUUCUAACAUAGCAAACAAAAAUUAUCCGAAAAAAUAUUCAAAAUAAAUACAAACACAUACACAAUCGCAUAAAAAAUAGAGGCGAAGAUGAUUUUACCUUGUUAAUUAGAGUGUUGAAAAACACAUAAUAUGAAAUGAAGAAUUUGUGACACGGAUAUGGAGGAGGAUGAGUUAGGGUUCGGGGAGAAUUGGAGAAGCUUCGUGAGUUUAUGAGAACUCAGAGUCGGUGAAUUGCGACUACUAAAUUUAUUAUUUAUUAUUUAUUACGUAUUUAAACUGGUUUUUUAUUCUGACAAAAAUUAAAAAAAGUUGGUAUUUUUCAUUUUUUUAUUAGUAUAUUAUAAUAAGAAUAAUAAUAUAAUAUAAUUUAGAACGGCGGAGGNCAGCGGCAUGCUAGGUGAAGGCAGCAGGAGUGAUUAAGUCGAAUCAAGAUGUACAAAUUUAGUUCGGUUUGAUUUUGAUUAUCUGAAAAUUCGGUUUAUGUGAUUCAGAUUUAAUAUAUCGAAACAAAAUUCAUAUUGAUCCGAUUUUUAAAAGAAUAUUCGAUCCGUGUCAAAUAAUAUAUAAUAUAAAUUUAUAUUCAUAUAUUUUUUAUAUAUAUCUUAGAGUACUGAGUAAGUAAUUAUAUUUUGAUAACUUGUACUACUUUAAAUUUACAAUUUUAAGACUGAUUUUUAAGGUCAACAAUUGUGUGGCUGAAGAAAUGUUUUUUUAACAGGUUAAUUAUCAAGUUGGUCACUGAAGUGAGCUUAAUGUAUCAAGUUGGUCACUGAACUCAAAACGGUAUCAAGAUGGUUACUAAAGUCACCAUAAAUAUCAAACAAGUACCUUGAAAUAUGAGUUCAAGUAGUAAAAAUAUUAUUUAUAAAGUUUUACACAUUAAUUUUAAAUGUUACCACAACCAGCUAAAAGGUUAUGACUUCUAGUAUUUAAAAUAAUAGAAGUUCCACCAAGAUUCAUCACAUGGAUACGGGGUUGUGUUUGCACCACUCAGUUUUCUGUCAAACUUAAUGGAGCUAGUGUGGGGUUUUUCAAGGGUGCUAAGGGGCUGCGUCAAGGUGACCCAAUAUCGCCGUAUCUCUUCACUAUUGCUAUGAAUGUGUUCUCCUCCAUUCUCAACCAAGUCCCUAGUGGCUUUCAGUUUCAUUGGAAAUGCAAAGAGCUCAAGCUUACCCAUCUUUUCUUUGCUGAUGAUGUCCUUAUCUUCUCUAGGGGCGACAGGACGUCCAUUGAGCACAUAAUGGCAUCCCUUGCUCUUUUCUCACGGGUUAGUGGUCUCUCUGCCAACCUUUUGAAAAGUACUUGUUUUCUUAACAACUGUGAUACCCUGUUGAAGUCUUGGUUUGAUCACACCUAUGCUAUCCCCCAUGGCACCUUGCCUGUGCGCUUCCUUGGCGUCCCCCUUAUCACAAAGCAGCUUUGUGUUAAUGACUGCAUGCCUUUAAUUGAAAAAUUAACUGCUAGAAUUGAUGAUUGGACAAACAUUCUGCUUUCUAUAGCUGGGAGAGUCCAACUCAUUAAAUCUGUCCUUUUGGCCAUGGUCUCCUUCUGGACGAGGCACUUCAUUCUCCCUAAGGGUAUACAUCACACCAUUCAAUCCAUCUUGACCCGGUUUUUGUGGAAGGGUUCUCUGGCUGUAGGUGGGGCAAAAGUGGCUUGGGUUGAUCUUUGUUUGCCCAAAGAGGAGGGUGGCCUCGGUAUUCCUAACCCGGCUACUUGGAAUGAAGCUCAAAUCCUCUCACACCUUUGGAAAAUUGUAAACAAAGAUUGUACAUCUUUAUGGGUCAAUUGGGUCAUUCGAACUGUCAUCAAGCACAAGUCCUUUUGGAUGCUUCCAAUCCCAACUGAUUGUUCUUGGAUAUGGCGAAAGAUUCUCACCCUUCGUGACUCUGCUCGAGGCCACCUCAAUUUCAGAAUUGGGAAUGGAGCCACGACAUUGCUUUGGUUGGACCCUUGGUUCAAUUCGACCCCUAUUGCCUCUUGUCCCAGGGAUCCUAUUAUUUCUUAUCUUGGCUCCACCCCCCAAGCCAAGGUUUCUGACUGGAUUUCUCAAGGGCAUUGGGCAAUCCCGGAUCCUAUUUCUUCUCAGCGUCGCAGCCGAGCCCGCUUUGAUGACUGGUUGGCGACCUUCACUUUUCCCCCUGUGUCCUCCAAUCCUGAUCUGCUUUUUUGGGACUCUAAUGCAGGAAGCAAUGUUACUGCUCGUCUUAUAUGGGAUACAAUUAGGCACCAUGGCCAUGGUGUGCCUUGGUUUUUUGCUGUGUGGUUCAAACAGGGGAUCCCUCGCUAUCGCUUUCACUCUUGGUUAGUUUGUAAGGAACGCCUUGGCACCCUUGACAGACUCGACCAUUGGGAUCUCACACCUACUUUACAGUGUUAUCUUUGUAUUGGUGGAGUGGAAUCUCACUCCCAUCUAUUCAUGCACUGCCCUUAUACUUCCUAUAUCUUGGAUUUGCUGUUUGCCCCUAUUUACAGGAUUCGGAUCUUACCCCACUGGAAAUGGACGCACCUCCUCGAGCAUCUCAUGACCUGUCCUGAUCCUACCAGGCGAACCAUAUCUCUCAUUGCUGCCCAGGUUACUUCCUACCACUUAUGGCGAGAGAGAAAUGCUAGAAGACACAACAGAGGCUCCUUUGGCCCACGAAAGCUUCUUCAUGGAAUCAUCACUGACUUACAGGCUCGAAUUUUUGGGGAGCCUUGGUUCAUUGCUGCUGUUCGUAGUAAUUGUAUUCUGAGAACUUGUAUAUCACAAUUUGACUAGCUCUUGGGACUGUUUAUUUAUGGGGUUGUUCUGCCCUCUUCUUUCUUUGCUCGACUCUCUAGUUUAAAUCUGUUGUCUUAGAUUUAUCUUAGAGAGUCAUAGAUGGCAGGAUAUUUUGUACAUUCUUUUCUCUUCUAAUACAUAUCUAUUUAGCAAAAAAAAAUAAAAAUAAUAUAUAUAUAUAUAUAUAUUUUAUCAAGUUUAUUUAUAAUUUAUAUUUUAUUAUAUAGUUAUUUUUUUAAUUAAAAAUAAAUAAUAAAUAAACUUGAUAAAAUCUAAAUAUAUUAUCAUAUAUAUUAAAAGUCAUAACCUUUUACUUGGUUUUGGUAACAUUCAAAAAUAAUGUGUAAAAUUUUAUAAAUAAUAUUUUUACUGCUUGAACUUAUAUUUCAAGGUACUUGUUUGAUAUUUAUGAUCACUUCAGUGACCAUCUUGAUACCAUUUUGAGUUUAGUUACCAAUUUGAUACUCCCUCCGUCCCAUUUUAUGUGACCUCAUUUCCUUUUUGGGACGUCCCAAAAAGAAUGAACCUAAAAUACUUACUAUUUUUGAACACUACUUUUUACUAUUGGGAUAAUUAAUUUAUAGGUCCUUGAACUUUGGCCCAUUUUUGGUUCGCGUCCUUGAACUAAGUUUGUCAACGUGCGCAUCCUUAAACUUUGUAAAUUUUCAACUCAGGUCCCUCCGUCAGUUUUUAACUAACGGACGUUAUCUUAAAUUUGGGGGUUUUUGAUUCGUUGAUGGAUUGAUGAAACUGAUGGCAUGGGAAGUUUCGGGAGGUCAAACUGAAGAGAUUCAUGUAGGUUUCGAUGGCGGAAGAUUGCCAAAAUGGUAGCCGGAAUCAAUGGUCAUUUUCCGGCCGCCGGAGAGAUUGUCACCAUUCUGGCAAUCCUCCGCCAUCGAAACCUACAUGAAUGUCUUCGGUUUGACCUCCCGAAGAUUCAUAUACCAUCACUUUCAUCAAUUCAUCAUCGAAUCGAAAACCCCCAAAUUCAAAACCCUAAUUCACUAACUUCCGUUAGUCAAAAACUGACAGAGGGACAUGAAUUGGAAAUUUACAAAGUUUGAGGAUGCGCAUAUUGACAAACUUAGUUCAAGGACGCGAACCAAAAAUGGACCAAAGUUAAAGGACAUAUGAAUUAAUUAUCCCUUUUACUAUUACACCCACUAACUCUAUAUUUUAUACUCUCUUAUUAUUAAAUAAACACUAUUACACCCACUAAUUUUCUCCACUAUCCCAAAUCUAUUAUUAAAUAUUGAUAGGUCCCACCACUUUACCCACUUUUCAACUACAUUUACUACUUUUUUCUUAAUCUCCGUGAAAGUCAAACCCAUUCAUAUAAAAUGGGACGGAGGUAGUACAUAUUAAGCGCACUUCAGUGACCAACCAGAUAAUUAACCUUUUUUUUAAACAUAUUAAGGGCUCUGCUCCAAGUUAUAAGAUGUUGUUGACAGUCUUAAAGACAACAUGGGCAAAAAUGUUUACAAGAGCUCUAUUUUGUAAACGCGAGCUAGCGCGGUUCGAACUCAUUUAACUAGGCUUGGUUAGACUUGUUAAACGAGCCGAAUUUGGGUAAAGGUUUCGGCUCAUUUAAAAACGAGUCGGCUCGACUCGGCUCAUGAAAUUAAACGAGCCGAGUUCGGGUAGAUGUUUAGACUCGAUUAAGUGUAAAAUUAUACGAGCUGACUCGCUCGACUUGUUAAAACCAACUCGUUUAGCUAAAUGAGCCGGGUCGACUCGAUUUGUGAAAUUAAACGAAUCGAGUUCGGACAGAAAAUUAGACUCGUUUAACUAAACGAACUGGUUCGACUCGAUUAAAUUUGACUCGAAUUAGGCCCGGCUUAAAACUCGACAGGCUCGACUUGUAAUACCCUAUCUGUGUAUAUAUGUGUCGACUGUGUGUACUGAACAUAUUCAUCUAAUCUAAAAUUCUCAAUCAAUUUGUUACGCACAAGAUGAAUUAUUAACAAUAUUUGUGUGGAAACUGGGCAGUGGACGACAACCCGACUUUAGUUUUGUAGUUGGAUGGUUAAAAAGAACAUGUACACUUUCUAACAUUGUGUUUUUUGACUUUUACGAACUUUAAUUUCUAUAAUUUAUAAUAUUUUUAUACAAAUAUAGUUUAUAGUCUUUAUUUGCAUACUUACAAAAUAUUUUGAUUAUAUUACUUGUUUAUUCAGAAAUUUUAUUUCUCAUACUUUUUACACAUCGAGAAAUUUGAUUCAGAUUUAACAAAUGACACGAAAUUUUAUUUGUGCAGGAAUUUUACUUCUUCAGAUUUUUUUUUACUCAUCCAUAAAUUUGAUUUAAAUUUAAACAAAUGAUCUCUUAAAUUACGAGAAAUCAAUAAUACUAGGUUUUUCUAAAAUAAAAUUACAAAUUUCAAAACAAAAGUAAAAAUUGAAUCUUGAGUUUCUUUAUGGGGUGAAUCUGCUUUAUAAUUCUAGGCACAUUCACAGAAGCUUGAGGUUUGGAUGUUAAAUUGAUUAGAUCAAGAUGAAAUAAGUCUCUAAGAAAGACCAGCUAAAAAAUGUAAUAAAUAAUUUAAUAACUAACUUAACAGCACGAAGCUUAGAUAGAAGAAAGAGGAGGGAGACAGAUCAAAACUAGUAUGAAUGUGUUGGGUUAAUUUUAUAUGGUAAACUGGUGACUCUUUUCAUUAGAUUUAUGAUCGGAAUAUAGUGGUUACACUAAAAAGUUUCUUUGACGAAGAGUGUUUUCUUUUGUUGAUAUUAUUGUAUCAUUCGACAACUAUGUAUAGUGUAUGCUGACAAGGCCUAAGGCCUACUGAUAUGAAACCACAAGCACAAUAGACAAUUAUACAGUAGGUGAGAUGAAGCGUUUAAAUCUAAACACAUUAGAUUACGGUUGUUAGGGAAUAAGGUGGAAAAAAGUGUUGGACGAGAAAAUAUUAGAAUUUUUUUUUUCGCUUGAUAAUAUUGUAUUUUUCAACAAUUUUUUCCGUCUUAGAAUCCGGAUCCUUGGAUUAAUUAUCUGGUUUCUUAUAAUCUGAACCGUGAUCUUUGUUAUGAGAAAUUUACUUAAAUUUAUUAAAGCGACUUAUAGAGUCUAGUCAGUCAAUGUUGUCAGCUGCUUCCUAGAAGAUAACUGAGUGGAGUUUGUCAAUCAACUUUUUCAGCAACCAGCUCUCUCCUUCCUCCCAAGUCCUGAUGAAUUUCUCAUUCUUUCUCUGAAACAUAUAAGAGCUCCUUACUUCUACUAGACACUCAAUUCUCGCAUUCUCUUUUGUUAUGCAAAAUGGCCAGAGGAGAAGAGCCUGUGAUCGGAAUCGAUCUCGGAACCAUGUACUCAUGUGUUGGAGUUUUUCAAAACGGUCAUGUAAAGAUAAUUGCCAGUGAGCAUGGUGGGAGGAAGACACCAUCUUGUGUGGCUUUCACUGAUACUGAGAGGCUUAUUGGCGAAGCUGUAAUUGACCAGGCUGGGAUGAAUGCUGCUAACACUGUCUUUAGUAAGUAUUCUUGCUAUUUUAUGUCUGUUUUCGGUAAGGAUCGAAUUAGGACAAAUUUAAAUAUUCACGCGCACAUAUUUAAGCAAAGGCCAUCGUCUUAACACGUUCAGGUUUUGGGAGGAUCGAGAACUUAACAUAUCCGUUAGGACUUGGGCCAAAUUUUAUUUAUUCUUCAUAGGCAGUGUGGUGAUACAUUUUUGUAGCGUUUCUCACUUCUUAAUGUUGCAAAAGCAUUAAUUAAGAUUCAAGUUAGCCUAUAACUGACAGAACUAUUGUUUGUAUGAUCCUAACAAGAACUCUGUAGUUUCUUCACUCCUUUACCUCUAAACCAUUUUAUAGCUUAAGAUCUAGACCUCGAAGUUCACGAGUACAACCGGCGCUGAUGUAUUUUUCAAACAAACUACUAAAAAGUUAGAUAAUGUAGCAUUAUUUUUGGAAUAAGUGUUAUUGUAGUGUCUUAAGAUUAGCAGACCUAUUUAAGAUAAUACUCCAUUCCGAUUUCUGUUUAAUCUGUCAUAAUCUCCGCAUUAUCUGUGAGAUCAGUUUCAACCCUAAAUGCUCUCCCUUGCUUACCCAAAAUAAUCAAAAACAUAGGUUGGGAGGGGACUUUUGUUACAUUUUCCGGAUGACUGAGGAAUAAGAUCUGAAGGCGCAUAAAAAAAAAUUAAGUUGAUUACAAGUUAUUCUGCUAAACGUGUCCAUGAUCUGAUGUUGCCUGUCCAAAAAAAGUAAUUCUUAUCCUUGUUACUAAUAUUGUGAUUUAUAAAACAGAUGCUAAACAGCUGAUAGGCAGAAAAUUCAGCGACUUGUCUGUACAGCGCGAUAUAAAAAACUGGCAGUGUAAAGUGUUCUCAGGUCCUUUGGAAAAGCCCAUGAUUUUGGUCAAUUACAAAGGUGAGGAGAAGCAGUUCUCGGCAGAAGAGAUCUGCUCCAUGGUUCUCGUAAGGAUGAAGGAAAUUGCGGAGAAGCAUCUUGGAACAACAGUAAGAAAUGCUGUUAUCACUGUCCCUGCUUACUAUAAUGACUCUCAGCGCCAAGCAAUUAGAGAUGCUGGAACCAUUGCUGGCCUGAAAGUAAUGCGCACAAUUGCUGAGCCAACUGCAGCUGCAGUUGCUUAUGGUUUUGACAAGAAGCUGGCAGGAAUCGUUAGUUCAGACGGGGAAAAGAAUGUGCUCAUCUUUGAUCUUGGUGCUAGUAACUGUAACGUGUCUCUUCUUACAAUGGAAGAUGGUAUAUUCGAAGUGAAGGCUACACAUGGUGCGAGUCAGUUUGGAGGGGAGGAUUUUGUUAAUCGUAUGGUCAAUCACUUUGUUGAGGAGUUCAGAAGGAAAAACAAUAAGGACAUAAGUGGUAAUGCGAAAUGUAUGAGAAGAUUGAAAAAAGAAUGUGAGAAGGCAAAAAGGUUGCUCUCCUCUGUCCCAGUGACCAACAUUUAUUUGGAUUAUUUUUACUACGAUGACAGUUUCUCUGCAAAUAUAACUCGUGAUGAUUUCAAUGAGUUAAACAAAGAUCUGUUUGAAAGUUGUGUGGAGCUGGUCAAGAAGUGUUUGAGGGAUGCGCGGAUUGAUAAAAGACACAUCCAUGAGGUGGUCCCUGUAGGUGGAUCUUCUAGAAUUCCUAAAGUGCAGCAGUUACUGAAAGAGUUUUUCAAUGGGAAGGAGCUGUCCAUGGGUUUAAAUACCGAUGAGGGUGUUGCAUAUGGCGCAACUGUCCAGGCUGCGGUUCUGAGUGGCAGAGGCGACGAGAGGUUUCAAGACUUGAUGCUGUUGGAUGUUAAUCCCUUAUCCCUUGGAAUUGAUAUUAAUGGUGAAAUGUCUGUCAUUAUUCCUAAGAACUAUAACAUUCCCGCUAAAAAGUUUAAGAUUUUUCCAACCACUACUGACAAUCAGGUUGCCGUGUUCAUCCAAGUGUUUGAGGGUGAACACAAAUUGACAAAACAUAACAAACUGUUGGGAAAAUUUGUAUUCUCUGGCAUUCCUCCUGCGCCUAGUGGUGUUUCAAAGUACAUAGUGUACUUUGAUAUCGAUGCAGAUGGAUUGUUCAAUGUUUCUGCAGAAAAUGAGAAUUCAGAGCCGUUGGAGGAGAUAAAAGUGCCAACUUACGAGGAUAGAUUUUCAAAAGAAGAGCUUAAGAAGUUGGUACAAGAAGCUAAGAAGUACAAAGCAGACGAUGAAGAGAACAAAAAGAAGAUGGAGGCAAGAAUUGCUGUAGAGUCUUACUUCUAUAACUUGAAGAACAUCAUCAGUGACGAGAGACUAAGUUCCAGAUUUGGGGUAGCCAGCAGGAAGAAAAUGAAGGAUGCUAUUGAUAUCGAAAACCUGUGGUCAAAUGGGAACCAGUUUGUAAAGUUGGAGAACUUGGAGGAAAUUAUUAAGGAGCUCAAGGGACUCGCAAUAUUUUAACAAUGCUGCACUUCUGGGAAUCUUGAUUUUGCCGUGUUGAUAAGUAAGAAUUGCUCGUUUUCCAGUUGAUCAGCUUGUGCAGAGGGGGUAUUCCUAAAGAUUGAGGAGGGUUCUGUCAAGGUCUUGUACCUGCUUGUGUUUGCUUUGGUUGAAAAUUCUGUUUUAUAUUUUAUCUGGUAUCAUGUUCCAUUAUACAGCUUAUAUUACGUGAAUAUAAUAUAAUUCUGGAAAAUAAUUAUAAAAUGUUACCUGGGUUAUAUGGUGACACAUAUGACAUAAAUAAUAUUCAAAUAUUAGAAAAAAGACCCAACUAUAUAAAAAUAUUAAAAUAUUCAUUAUAAAUGACAAGUAAGAUCUUAAUUCAUAUCCAUACCCAUAUUCCAUAUAUUCCAUAUAUACUUAAUACAUGCUAGUGAAUACAAUGGUACGGAUAUGAAUAGUAUGAAUAGAUAUAAAAUUUUAAUUAUCUAUUUAUUAAGAUUAUCGCAAUAGUAUGAAUAGAUAGUAUUUAUAAUACUAUUUAUUCAAUAGUAUGAAUAGAUAUAAAGUUUAAUUUUUUAUAAAUAAAUUUUUUCUAUAUGAAAUCAACAUGGAUAAUUUGAUAUUAUACGAACUAGGAAGAGUAAUCGUGCUCAUCGUAGUUUAUAUAAUUGUUGUUAAUACUAUUAUAAAUUUGCAUACUUUUUAUCUUUUUUUUUUGAUAAAAAUCGUGAUUUUUUUUUUUGUAUUAAUAAUUAUAAAAUCUUAAUGGGAGCUCACGAAGCGCGGGCAUAAUUGCCUAGUACAAUAAAUAACAUGUAAUAUUUGAAUAACAAAAAGAAAAUAUAUAAUUUCCAUAAAAAUCUACUCCCUCCGUCCAUCAGAUUCUUUACAGUUUUUUUUUGAUGUCCCAUCCAAUUCUUCACAUUUCAAAACUUAACAAAAUUAGUCGAUGGGUCCCACCACUACUCCCUCCGUCCCUUUUACAUGUCCACUUUGGAAAAAAAAUUUGUCCCAAAUUACUUGUCCACUUCUCUUUUCAAAGCAACUUUUUGUAUGAGUUUUCAAAAAGUAACAAUUUUCAAUGUUUAACUAAUAUAUAUAUAGGGGAGGGUUCUGGUACAAACUUACAAACUUUUUUUGUUCAACACAUAUAUAACUUGAGUUCAACGUUUUUUAAGAUAUUUUGUUGAACAUCGAUUAAAAUUGUGUUGGAGAAGUACAUAAACUAAUUUUUUAAUAUAAAAACUAAGUUAAACCUAUUAUAUAACCAAGAGAAAAGUUAUAUGGAGACCACUUUUUUUGGAGACCGUGGAGACCAUUAUAUUCUGCAAGUAAAAUAUUGCAUAAAAACAUUGCAAAACUCAUAAUUUUGCAAAUCAAAACACAUUAUUUUGUGAAAUAUGUACUACAAAUAUCACAAAUUCAUCAAAGUUAUUGAAGAACAUCUAUGUUUAAUAAGUAGAAUGUGUAUGUUCUGCAAAUUGAACAAAUGUUCUGCAAACUAAACAUAUUCCGCAGGACAAAACAUUUUGUAAUAUUCUNAUAUGUACUACAAAUAUCACAAAUUCAUCAAAGUUAUUGAAGAACAUCUAUGUUUAAUAAGUAGAAUGUGUAUGUUCUGCAAAUUGAACAAAUGUUCUGCAAACUAAACAUAUUCCGCAGGACAAAACAUUUUGUAAUAUUCUACAUGCAAAACAUACAUGAUAUUCAAGAUUUUAAAUGAUAUAAGAAUCUUUGCACAACCUGUUUUGCAAAAUUAUGAGUUUUGCAAUAUUUUUAUGCAAUAUUUUACUUGCAGAACAUAAGUGGUCUCUACGGUCUCCAAAAAUAGUGGUCUCCAUAGAACUUAACUUAUUUAUAUUUCUAGACCCUACCCAAACCCCAGAGGUAUAGUUUAAGCAUCUCUAUAAAUGUAUUCAACACAAUGAUAACUAAUGUUCUACACCCAAUGUUGAACCCCAGUUACAAAUGUGUUGAAUGCACGAUUUAUUUAUGCGUUAUUUUUAUAAUUGUGACGUUUUUUCAAUAAUUUUAAAUAUAAAUACUUUCUAUAACUAAGGAUUAACAGGUUGGGAGAAUAAAAAAAAUUCAAAAAAAAAGUUUGUAAGUUUGUAAGUUAAAAAAGUUUUUAUUUGAUCCUAUCCCUAUAUAUAUAUAUAUACACAACUCUAUCUAAUUCAUUACAUUUAUUAGAGAUAUGUAUGAAAACAAGAUAUCCAACUAACAUUUUUUUAAGAUACGUUAUUUUUUCAAAAGGGACAAGUAAAAAGGGACGGAGGGAGUAUCUAAUUUUUCCUCUCUUUUCACGCUAUAUAUAUACACAACUCUAUCUAAUUCAUUACAUUUAUUAGAGAUAUGUAUGAAAACAAGAUAUCCAACUAACAUUUUUUUAAGAUACGUUAUUUUUUCAAAAGGGACAAGUAAAAAGGGACGGAGGGAGUAUCUAAUUUUUCCUCUCUUUUCACGCUACUUUUACUCUCUUUUCACAUUACCUUUACUCCACUAUCUCCUUUUUAUACAUUAAAAAUUAAUGGGUCCCACCACUUCACCCAAUUUUCUUUCUCUUUCACUAUUUUAUACGUAUUUCUUAACCUCUGUGUCCAACUCCAAUGUAAAGAACUCACCGGGACGGAGGGAGUACUUAGAUAUGCAAUAUCUAACAAUUAAUAUCAUUUAAUAUCUAAUUAGCAAAAACAAAACAUGCAAUAUCCAAGAAAAUCCACAAGAUAUGCAAUAUCCCAGAAGAUUUUUAUAGAUUUAAUUUCUAACAAUAUUUAUUACUAGUUAAUACACAACAACUAUAAAUAUCAUGCACAUUUUAUUUCCAAGCAUCAUCCUCACAUCAAAGACAUUAUUCAUUUUGUUGAAUUUAUAAUCAGUUGUUUCUUAAGACCUAGUAUGGAGAAGGCUCGAGUCAACAAAAUUAUUUCUCUUCUUGUAUUUUGGUCAUGGUGUGCGAUAUGUCAUGUAGUUCUACAUAGUUAAUCUAUCAAUAUAUAUUAUAAAUAAUAUAAUUUUGUGCUUCGUGAUCUCUGAUGUCAAUGAAAUAUUAUUAUUUUUGAUAAUUUAUGCAGAUUUAAAAUUAAUGGGAACAAAUGCAUCAGAUACACAAUGCAAAAGUGACAAUGAUUGUGAUUUAGUAUGUACCGAUAAAGCCAAAUGUGCAAAAGGUGAAUGUCAAUGCGUACUUUUUGGUUACGUUCCUGGCCCUAUUCGUGGUCAUGGUUUUGAUGAUAUGUAUGGUAGGUAAACAAGUAUGCAAGAAUGGUGUGUGCAAAUGUGUAGGACAUAUCGGUGACGAGAAUGAAGGACGCGGGGGCAUUUAUUAACAUAUGUAUAAUGAUUAUUUUUUCAGUGAUAUCAACUUAAUGAUUAGUUCAAUUUCUUGCUCGAUUACUUUCUUUGUUUUGACUCGAUUUUUUAUAUUUUCCGACACUAAUUAAGUAUAUAAACUUUUUUCCAACACAAUACAUAUAUUAAGACAAAUGAAAGUAAAACAAACAUCAUUUACCUAAAAUUACUAACCUUCUAAUUUUUUUUAUUUCUUUGGUCACAAACUGACUUCUAAUUUAACCUUGAAUAAUUUUUUAUUUUCAACAAUAUGAAAUAUUCUCAACUAGUGACGCUUCAUAAUUUGUUUUGGGGCCAGUUGAUAGAGGAAUACAAUCGACAGAGUAAAUUAAAUAAGAGGAUGUAAAAUCGUGAUCGGUUACGUGAUUAGAGUAAAACUCAAAUAGACAAAAAAAACUUAAAUUAAUAAACAUCAGUAAAAAAUGAAUUGUAUAGAGUCGAACCAAAAUUAAAAAGUUAGAAACAAUUAAUUUUUUUAAACUUUAUUAAUAAAUUACAACCAAACGGAGAAAAUCAGACUAAUUUGAUUAUUAAGAUAAAAUCCUUUUAAUAAUAUAUAUAUACAUAUAUAUAUAGAGAGAGAAAUCUAUAUAUAUAUUAUAUUAUAAUAUAUUAUAUUAUAUUAUAUAAGUAAUAUAUUUUUAAUAUAUGCAAUUUUUUAAGUUACUAAUCUCUAAAUUAUUAAGCAAUGUGUUGUUAAUUUUCUUAAAUGGCAAGUUGUAGGGGGUGUAUUCCGUUGAGAUUUUAAUGAAUUAUAUAUUGAGUUUGUGAAUUUUAAUGGAUUGUAUUUGAUUUAAAUUUUAUACAGAUUCUUAAUAAAAAAUGACUGAGUUGAUGAGAGUCUUUAGGAUUUAAACACGAUACUUCAAAAUCUCAUAGAUUUUGGUGGAAUUUCAAAUAUCCUAAAAUACACCGAAUAAUCUAAAAUAUCCAUCAUUUUAUGAAGUUCAAAAAGAGCCAUGAGCAAUUGAAUACCAUCAAUGGAUUUUAAAUAAUCCAAAUUGAAUACCAUCGAAUUUUAAAGCAUAAUUUAAAAUCCUGAUUGAAUAUCACCAGAUUUUGUAGCAUAAUUUAAAAUCCUAAUUGAAUAUCCCAUGAUUUGAUCAUUUUUUAAAAUUCGAGUUCAAUACCCUCGAAUUUCAUAAAUAAAAAGAAAUAUUUACAAUUCCAAUUAAAUACACUCUCUAAUUUAGUUUUAUGGAUUUCUUUGAUAAUUUUAACUUGCCACUUGAGUGCUUGAGCAUGGAUUGUCCAUAUAUAUAUAUAUAUAAGGAUAUAUUGUCCUUCUAUGGUCACCUUGAUAUCUCGAUUUAUUCUUACUCAUCCUAUCAUUGGACAAAUAAUUCUGUAGACUUCAGGCCCGCGAUAUUUUCACCCGAGAGUUGCAGGGACUAAGAGCUUUAAGGUUUAUAGUAGAAAUAUUAUUUCAAUUAAAUUUUGUUUAUAUUAUCUCACUAGAUUUUAUAAUUUAAACCAAAUUAAUAGUGAUUAGCCCAUGUUUUUAUUUUAAAACUGUCAAUUACAGCUGCGCUUUCGACGUCAAAUAUCUAAUAUAUCUGCUUUCUUGUAAGAAAUGUGCACCAAUGUGAUUCGAGGAUCAUAUUACAUGUGAUUUAAAACAAGUUUGUGAGAACAAAGAACGGUAAGACAAUCGUCCAUAUCAUGAUAAAAUGCAGAACUAUAUAUCAAGAAUAACAAUAAUAUGAAAUAUGCGAUAUUAGUUUUUGAUUAUGAUCGACAAUUACACAAAGAACAUGCACCAUCGACCUAAUGCGAAAAAUGUUUGACAACAAAUUCUAUAAUAUCUGUUCCUCGAACAAUCGAGUAUGAACGAAAUCAUUGUUACCAGUAUUACAUACACAUACGCCCUUAUCACAAUCCACAAAAUCACAGGCCAUUCGAGGACAGUCCGCUUUAGUUUUGCAUCGGGCAGCAUUUGAAUUUUGUAAAGUGCCUGGAUGAAUAAAUUGAUAUACUUGUUAAAUUAAUUAACAUAUUAUAAAUUAUUCUCUAUGUAGCUCUAUAAUGUAAACAUUGCAACUUGGUGAACAAGAUAGGACAUACCGCAAAUCAUAAGCAAUAAAAUAAAAAACCCGCACGUGUUUAGUGAAAGUUUGAGCAUGUUGUGCAUAAAAGAUACUAGUACUAUUUAUCGAUAUUAUUAGUAAUUGCAACGUACAAGUUUCAUUGUAAUAUUGCAAUUGCUUAUAUAAUUAACAUGGUCCAUAUUGCAUUAAAUAAAUGUAUUAAUGAUAAAUUUAUUGUCUCCAGCUAACAUGUAAUAUGCCAGGUAACGAUAAAUUUAUUGUCUCCAGCUCACAUGUAUAUGCUAGUCUCCCAUCAACGAGUGUGAAGACUAUCAUUCAGUUUUAUACAAACGAAUCAUGAUCUUUAUUUGGGGGCUUGUGAUGGACUUGUAGAUUACUCAAAUCUUUCUUUUUAACAUCAAUCAUCAAUCCCUAACUAUCGUCAAAUUUUCAUUCAACAACAUCUUAUAGCUAUCUAUUUCUUUUUUUUUAACUAACUAAAUCUCGCUCCAACUUGGCUCAUAUUUUUUGAGAAAAUAAUUUUUUCAUAAACGACUUUUUAAAAAUUUCCCGUAUAGGAUUGGACACCUUAUUCCUCUUUACCUAUCGCCCACCUCUUAUUCAUAAGACACCAAUUAUAAGCGCUUCCCCGGAGUUGGUAGCUUGCAAGACUAAGUUUAACUUGAUGAUUUUUUUUUUCCAUCUCUAAACAGGAUGUAAUCAUUUAUCGACUUUUGAAGGUGUUAGGUAGAUUUCUCGAAAGGUUGGGGACUUGCCUUCUCAGGAUCCGUUUUAAGGUGUUGAUGAAAUUUGAUAUACUCUUAGAAAAAAUCCAUUUAAAAAAGUGAUGUAGAAAUCAGAUAACUGUUUUGCAAUUUUUUUGAUAUUUAUAUAUUUUGAGUUAUAAGAUAAAAAAAAUAAUUUUUGGUGAGUUUUAAUAGUAAAAAAAGUUUUUUCCAAAAAUAUAUGGGAACCUGCUUUUCCUAAAUAUAAUUUUUGAGCUAAAAGCCGCUAUUCGAAAAAUCUGCUUUUAAAUAUAACAAACAGUUUUUCACAUGUUUUUCAAUAAGAAAAUUUAUGUUGCUGUUUGUCAUAACAAUGCCAAACGGAGCUUUAAACUAAAGUUGACUUUUUGAUUCAGUUGUUUGUUCCCAACCAAUGUCGUUGAAGUUUCGCCAAUUAAUUCAUCAUAUUUAUAUCUUUGUUAUCAUUGUUAUUACCGUUUCCGCUUUUGUUUCGUUGGUGAGUUAUGACUGCUACAUAAUUCAUUUAUAACUUAAUCAUAGUACAAAUAGCAAACAAUAUUCGAACAAAUAUGCAUGACAAAAUAAACGCAAUGCUUGAAUUUGUACUAGUAAAUUGACUGAAAAAGAUAAUUUUUGACGACUUAUAAGCCUAUAAUAUUGUGUCACUAUGUUUUUGUGAUUUUAAUGAGUUGUAGAUUUAAUUUAUGUAACUUUCAAUUUUUUAUGUGAUACAAUAAUUCUGAUUCUACAAUAACUAUGAAAUUAUAAAAAUAUCAAAUGAGGUGUUUUAUUUGAAUUAUGAAGUUAAAUUUAUUUGUAUAACUCAAUACUUACGAAUUUACACAUAUUUAAGUUAGAAAGUGAGAAAAAUUGACUUAGAUAUAUCUAAAUUAUUAGUAAUUUAUAGAGCUUCAUUUCCUUGCAUAUAUAUUAUAUUAGACUAUAUUUUUCUAUGUUGGUUUCUAGGAAUUCUAUUAUCAUUUUGAAUUUUAUUUCCUAAUUAAUUCAUGAUAUUUCAGGUUUAGUUUUAAUGUUUAAAUGAAAGCUAACUGUCUGAAAAUUUAUAUUAAUACAUUUCAAAUUUAUUUCCGUCAAAAUACAUUUAAAAAAACUAGACAUAUUAUACUAAGUUUAGAAAAAUAGGCUUUCGGCCCAAACCAACAAAUAUUAUGCUCCAAUAACACAAUAUAAAUUGUAAAAUUCUAAUCAAAUUUUGAUUCUGAUAUUUAAACCAUAUAUGUAUGAGUUUAAUUGUAUACAUUUUAUUUGAGAUUUAUCGAGGAAUAUUAAAAUAUUAAUUAUAAAUAACAAGUAAGACCUUAAUACAAUAAAUAAUAUGUAAUAUUUGAAUAGCAAAAGAAAAUAUAUAAUUUUCAUAAAAAUCUACUAGAUAUGCAAUAUCCAACAAGUAAUAUCAUUUAAUAUCUAAUUAGCAAAAACAAAACGUGCAAUAUCCGGAGAAAAUCCAUAAGAUAUGCAAUAUCCCAGAAGAUUUCUAUAGAUUUAAUUUCUAACAAUAUUUAUUACUAGUUAAUACACAACAACUAUAAAUAACAUACACAUUUCAUUUCCAAGCAUCAUCCUCACAUCAAAUACAUUAUUCAUUUUGUUGAAUUUAUAAUCAGUUGUUUCUUAAGACCUAGUAUGGAGAAGGCUCGAGUCAACAAAAUUAUAUCUCUUCUUGUGUUGGUCAUGGUGUGCGGUAUGUCAUGUCUACAUAGUUAAUCUAUCAAUAUUUAUUAUAAAUAAUAUAAUUUUGUGCUUCGUGAUAUCUGAUGCUAAUGAAAUAUUAUUAUUUUUUGAUAAUUUAUGCAGAUUUACAAUUAAUGAGAACAAAUGCAUCAGAUCUACAAUGUAAAAGUGACGGGGAUUGCAAAUAUUAUGCUGAAUGUGUCGAUGGUAAAAUGAGAUGUGUAAAAGGUGAAUGCCGAUGCAUACAUUUUGGUAUCCCUGGCCCUCAACCUAGUCACGGUUUUGAUGAUGAUAAGAAAGUUAACAACGAGGUUAGAUGUAAAACAAUGAGAGAUUGUUUAAAUUAUCUAUGUUUAGUAGGUAAACAAGUAUGCAAGAAUGGUGUGUGCAAAUGUGAAGGACAUGUUGGUCACGAAAAUGAAGGACGUGGAGGAAUUUAUUAAUAUAUAUAUAUGUAAUGAUUAUUUCUUGAGUUUUAUCAACUUAGUGAAUUAGUUCAAUUUCUUGCUCUAAUUACUUUUCUUUGUUUUGGCUCGAUUUUUAAUAUUUUCCAACACUAAUAAAGUACAUAAAUUUCCCCCCCACAUAAUACAUGUGGUAAGACCAAUGAAAGUAAAACAAUCAUCAUUUGACUAAAAUUUCUGACCUUCUAAUUUAUUUAUUUUUGUGUGUCACAAACUGACUUUAUACUUAAACCUCAAAUAAUCUUUUAUUUUCAUUUUCAAGAAUAUGAAAUAUUAUGAACUAGCAACACUUCAAAAUUUGUUUUGAAGUUAUUUGAUAGAGGAAUACAAUCGACAAAAUAAAUAAAAUAAGAGGAUGUGAAAUAGUGGUCAAUUACAUGAUUAAAGUAAAAUAUUGGAUAGAUACAAAACUGAAAUCAAUAAAAAUUAGUAAAAACAAAAUCAUAUAGUUGAACCAAAAUUAAAAAGUUGAAAACAAAUACAAAAAUUAACUUUAUUUAUCAAUUACAAAGAAACAGAAAAAAAUCAGACCAAUUUGAUAAUUAAAAUAGCAUCCUUUUAAUAAUUUAUAUACAUUUUUUAUAUAAAUAAUUAUGUAUUUUUAAUAUUAGCAGUUUCUUAAGUUAUUAAUCUCUAAAAUUAAAAUUGAGCAAUGCAUUGUUAAUUUUUUUAUAGGGGAAAAUUCUAGGGGGUGUAUUCAAUUGAAAUUUUAAAAUUUUUUAUAUGAUCUAUGGAUUUUAAUGGAUUGUAUCUGAUUUUAAUUUUAUACGGAUUCUUGAUAAAAUAUGACAGAGUUGAUGAGAGUCUUUAGGAUUUAAACAGAAUACUUCAAAAUCUCAAGGAUUUUGUUGGAAUCUCAAAUAUAUUCAAAUACACCGAACAAUCUAACAAAAUUCAUCAUUUUAUGAAGUGCUAAAAAAUUCAUGAGCAUUUGAAUACCAUCAAUGAAUUUUAACUAAUCUCAAUUGAAUACUAUCGCAUUUUAAAAUAUACUUAAAAUUCUGAUUGAAUACCACCAAAUUUUGUAGUAUAUUAUAAAAUCCUAAUUAAAUAUCCUAGGAUUUGAUAAAUUUUUUAAAAUUCGAGUUGAAUACCCCUAAAAUUUCAUCAAAAAAACAAAUCUUUUAAUUCAAUUGAAUGCGCUUCAUAAUUUAAUGUUAUGGAUUCCUUUAAUAAUUUUAACUUGCCACUUGGGUGCUUGAGCAUGGAUUGUCCACAUAUAUAAGGAUACAUUGUCCAUCUGAGGUCACCUUGAUAUCUAAAUUUGAUUCUUACUCAUCCUAUCAUUGGACAAAUAACUUUUUAUUUGGAAAUGUUACAAGCACCGUGAUAUUUUCUCCCGAAAGUCGCAAAGACUAAGAGCUUUAAGGUUAAUAAUAGAAAUAUUAUUUAAGUCAAGUUUUGUUUAUAUAUCAUUAGAUUUUAUAAUUUAAACCAAAUUAAUAGUUAUUAGAUCAUGUUUUUAUUUUAAAUCUGUCGAUUACAAUGACGCUUUAAAUAUCAAAUAUCUAAUAUAUUUGCUAUCUUGUCAGAACUUCGCACCAAAGCGAUUCGAGGGUCAUAUCACACAUGAUUUAAAACAACUUUGUGAGAACAGAUAAAUGUAAGACAUGCGUCCAUAUUAUGGUAAAAUUUAAUUUAUUAAGCUUGUUAUAUUAAUUUUUAAAAAUAUGUUGUGAUUAGUUGGAUUUAAAAAAUCGAAUCGGCAAAGUAACUUGCACAAUUAGUCAAUCAAAUUGGCAAUUUCUGUAUUGAUAAGUUGUUCAGUUUCUUAAAUAUAUCUUGCACUCAAGUGAUUUCAUCUGUUGAUAAGAAGACCAGGUGAUUAGGUUACAUAUUAUCUUGUGUUAGUUCUCUAAUUAUUUAAUUUAUUAUGUCGCGGUCUUUAUUUAUGAAUACUAGUUGAUGAUCCGUGCCAAGCACGGGUUUAAAUAAAAUUUUAAUUUUUUUUAUUUAUUGGAAACAUAAUAUUUUUUGAAUUACAUUAUCAUAUUUUUAUUAUAUUUAUUUAAAUUAUUAUUUUUAAAUGUUAUUUAGAUUAUUAUUAAUUCGAUAUAAGACUUUCUAUAUAUUAAAAUUUGAUAUUAUUUUUGUAAAUAAUGAAUUUUAAUUAUAUAACAUAUUUAAGUUAAUUAAAUUAAAAAUUCCUUUAAACUUCGGUAUUAGUUUGUCAUACAAACAACUACUAUUCCUAAGUCUAAAAGAACUCCAACCCACAUUAGAAUUACCCAUUCUAACUCUAAAAUAAUUACGGAUUAAAUAUACAUAACACAUAUCUAUUAUAACUCUAAAUUAAUUACAAAUAUUAGAAGUCUAAAAAAAUUCUUAAGUUAAAUAACUUAAAUAUGUUUUUUAAAUAAAAUUCGCAAUAAAUAAUGAAAUAAAAAUAAAACAAAAUAAUAAUUGAGUUUCUUAGCUUAUUUUUUAUUUUAUGUUCUUAUAUCUACAUAAAAACUCUGUCGACUUAUUAUAUUUAUUUGAUAGGAAUUUUAUUGAGUUGAUUCAUAUUUAUUGGAUAGAAAUUUUACAGAGUUAAUUCCUAUGUUAAAUUGUUCGAUAAAUAUAUAAUUUGUAAUUAAUUUAGAGUUAUAAUAGAUAUGUGUUAUGUAUAUUUAAUCCGUAAUUAUUUUAAAGUUAGAAUAGGUAAUUCUAACGUGGGUUGGAGUUCUUUUAGACUUAGGAAUAGUAGUUGUUUGUAUGACAAACUAAUAGGGUUGGUUCAGCUGGUUAAAGAGAGGACAUAGGUUUACCCAGUGCGCACCCGAAGGGUAGCGGCUGCGGGUUCCUACGUUAAAAAAAAAAAAAAAAAUAUAGAAGUUUAAAGGAAUUUUUAAGUUAAUUAACUUAAAUAUGUUUUAUAAAUAAAAUUCGUUAUUUAAAUAUUUAAUUUAUUUUAUGUUCUCAUAUCUGCACAAAAGCUCUUCUGACUCCCUAUAUUUAUUUGAUAGUAAUUUUAUACAGAAUUCAUAUUUAUGUGAAAAGGAUUUUAUAGAGUUAAUUUCUAAGUUAAAUUGUUUCAGUUCUAAAAAUUACAAUAUUUAGUUAUAUUGGGAUAGAAUUAUAUACUAUGAAUAAUCGUUAUGUAAAAAAGUCAUGAGCAGUAUAAUGACCAAAUUUUGGUACUGAAACGUGAUUUCGCUUAUUAACAAAGGGUAUUGAUUGUUUCCGGAAGUUCUUGCAAAAAUCUAAUAAGAGCAAAUUUUUGUGAUUAAUUUAUGAAAGGUCCUACCAUGCACAAUCAAGCAGACAAAUGGAGAUGAAAAGAAAAGAUUGCCCAAACACGCCCUAUAUAGGAUCCAGCCAUUCAAGAUUAAUGGAUUGGUCUGAAGUCACAUUCUGAACUAUUAGCCAGGGAUUUACUUGUAGUUACCGUUGGUAGAAUUCUGGAACAUCGGUUUCGUUGGUGAAAGUGAUCACAAUGAGGUUACUCUGCUCUGAAUUAUUGCGGCCUGCAGCGGCUAAAAUUUGAGUUGGCUUGAAAAAUGAUGUGUAUGAACACAUUGAAAUUAGCCUUUUGCUGUCUGAAUUGUUCAUAGUCAACUUUAUAGCAUCCUACAUCGUCCUAUUGAUUUUUUUUUUCUAUGCAGAUUAGUUAUUUCAGCAGAAGAACUUUAUGUAUUUUUAUUGACUUUAUAUUUGCACUUUUUUUUAGGGUUUUGGAGAAUGGCUGGUGAAGCAGAAGGGCCUGCAGUUAGGAUUGAUCAUGUGCUCAUGUGUUCCAUGUACAAAUUUCAACUGUUUAUACCAAUAAAAUUACAGACCAUGGCCACACAAUAUGAUCACAAUUUUACGCCUUGUAAACCUAUAUGUUAUGCUAUCAUAUCGAAAAAUGAAUAAAUUUAACCACUUCAGAAAGAACUUAUGCGUCAAUUCUCAUCCAGAUUGCAGAAUUACUGGAUUUGAAGAAACUAAUGAAACUCAUUCAGAAAUUUGCAGUUGACUAAAAAAUGCAGUACAGUAUAUUAAGCCUUUUGUUCUCUUAAGCUGCUCAAAAGUGCGAAUGCAGAUUUUAUUUUGAAGCUGAGAAGGCAGAUUAUAUUAAGCUUCUUGUACUAAUAUUUUAAUUAGUCUUUGUUUUGAUGUUGUAUUCCCGUUUAAAAGUGUUUCAGUUCUAAAUUGGCUUAAUGACCUUUUAGCCCUCGAAGUAUGUAUGAAUGUUCCGAUGCGGCCUCGAUGUUUAAAACCGUACCUUUCGACCCUCAAAGUAUCCGAUACGUACCUUUUAGUCCUUUUCCUAAAAAACGGUAUAAAUCGGGGGGUAAAGUAGAGAAUUCCUAAUUUGGGUUAAGUUUAUGCGUACCCUUUAAACCCUAAAGAAUACAAAAAAUAGAAAACACAGUGAAGAAGCUCGAGCUGCUGCGGAUAGAAGAAACAAGGCGCGAUUGGGUGUGGAUUGAAGUCUUAGAUCGUGAUGGCUAGCAUAAGCGACAGCUCCGCUGGUAAUUUCUUAACCCUUUUCUCAAUUGAAUAUGAUGAUUAACCCCCCCCCCCCCUUGUAUCUGCAUCAUUUUCAUAGGGUUUUUGUUUUUCUGUAUGAUUAUUUUCCAAUGUUCAUCUCGUGAUUUUGUGAUUAAAAGGUGAUGAUGCUAUAAUGUUGAGUAUGUUUCAUGGUGGGUCUUUGAAUUGGGUCCCCGUUACCGAAUAUGUUGGGGGUAGAGUCACCGUGUACAAUUUUAGAGACCAGGACGAAAUUAACAUGGAGAGUCUGAGAGCAUGGAGUAAAGCUCUGGGUUAUGGGGGUUUGAGCUGUCUCUAUUAUAGGAUUCCUGAUAGAGAUCUUGAUGGAGGGUUGGUUUUAUUGAAAGAUGAGAAAGAUGUAGGAGAUAUGUUGUCAUUUGCUAUGGAAAAUGACAACAAAAUAGAUGUUUAUGUGCAACAUUCUAAUCAGGAGUUUGAAGAAAAUUUUGGAGGGGUGAAUGAUGCAGCUGAAGAACGCAUGAGUGUGGAUGAACUUGAGGACUCUGAUUUUGCUGAAUCAGAUUAUUCGAUGACUGAUGAUGACUUGCUCUUUAAUGAUAAAGUUGAUGCUGGAGUUGAAUGGGUUGGUGUAUUGAGGGCUGGACUGGGAUUAGCAGAAGAAGUGCCGUUGGAGCCAGAAGAUGAAGAACAGAGUGAGUAUGACAGUGAUGAUCUUGAAAGCUUGGAUGGCAAUGAUUUAGAGGAGGGUGAAGGCAGUAGUAGAAGGAAAACAUUUCCAAUCUACAAGGACACAGAAGAUCCAAAGUGGACAGUUGGGAUGGUUUUCACUGAUCACAAACAAUGCAGAGAAGCUAUAAUGAAACAUUCAGCUAGUGAAGGUAGAGUGAUAAGGUUUGUCAAGAGUGACAGAACAAGGGUGAAGGCUGUGUGUAAAGCUCCAUGCCAGUGGUCUCUUUUUGCCUCUCUCAACUUCAACAAAACCAUGCAGUUAAAGAAAGUGGGCCCAGGUACAUUUUGAGGUUAUUUGUGUCUUUUUACAAUGCCAACUGGGUGAAUGCAUAUUGUAUUUAUGUCUUCUUUUUCUGACAGAGCACACAUGUGCUAGAGAGCAGAGGGGGUUACCUCUGAUAAAUUCAGGAUUCUUGGCAAGGAAAUAUCUGGCAGAAUUCAGAAUCAACCCCUCUUGGCCAGUGAAAGCAUUCCACAACACAGUUUUAAGAGAUCUGCAGCUGGAUAUCAAGCCUCACAUCUUGAGAAAAGCAAGGAGAAAGUGUAUGAGAAUUAUGAAUGGGACACUUGAAGAGCAGUUCCAGAAGCUGUGGGACUACAGGACAGAGCUUCUCAAAAGGAACCCCAACUCAACAGUUGAGAUUGACAUAGAGCCAGGUAUUGUAUCUAAUUAUUUCACUUUAAAAUGCUUUAUGUGUACUUUUUUUUUAAAUUCCAGAUCUGUGCUUGUAGGGGCUGUUGGAGUCUUUAGAAGGAUGUACAUCUGUCUAGGAGGGCUCAAGCAUGGCUUUAAGCUUGGUUGCAGGAAGUUCAUAGGUUUGGAUGGCUGUCACCUGAAAAGUGCUUACAAAGGUCAGUUACUCUGUGCUGUGGGUUUAGAUGGCAAUAAUUGUAUGUUUCCUAUAGCAUAUGCAGUAGUUGAGGCUGAGAAACUUGAUUCCUGGAGAUGGUUUGUGGCUUAUCUUGUUCAAGAUUUUGAUAUAGGCCUAGGUGAUGGUUGGUCCUUCAUUAGUGAUAGGCAGAAGGGGCUUUUGAAUGUAGUUCAAGAGAUGUUACCCAUGGCUGAGCAUAGGUAUUGUGUUAGACACUUACACAAUAAUUUUAAGGGUAAGUAUGGGGGUAGGUCUUUGAAGGACAAGCUUUGGGCUUGUGCUAGGGCAUCAAAUAUUGAGGCAUUUCAGGUUGCUAUGACCAACAUUAAAGAGGAGAAUGAGGGUGCUUGGAAAUGGUUGACAGAGGUUCCAUUCCAUCAUUGGACUAGAUCUCAUUUCAAAACAGAGUCAAGAUGUGAUCUUCUUUUGAACAAUAUGUGUGAGAGUUUUAAUAGGUGUAUUUUGGGGGCUAGGGAGCAAGGAGUUCUAUUGAUGUUAGAAAUGAUUAGAGAAUACCUGAUGAGGAGGCUGCAGACAAAAAGAGAUGAAAUGGUUUCUUGGGAGGACAAAAAAUUUACUCCAAAAAUCUACAAGAUUAUUGAGAAAAACAAGAAACUGAGUGGAUCUUGCUACUCCACAUAUGCUGGUUAUGAUGAAUUUGAAGUUACUACAUUCACUGGUUCCAAGUAUGCUGUCCAUCUAGGAAACAGGACCUGUGGGUGUAUGAGAUGGGACUUGUGUGGCAUACCUUGCCAACAUGUCAUAAGUUGCUUGAAUAGGAUGGGGUACAGUGUAGAGGACUAUGUUGACAAGGUCUACACCACAGCCAACUACAAAAAAGCUUACUCUGGAAUAAUCUAUCCCAUGAAUGGUCACAAUUUGUGGGAGAAGAGUGGUUUAGUAAUGAAACCACCAACUGUUGAGAGGCAACCAGGAAGGCCCAAAAAAAGGAGAAGACCAGAGAUGCCAGACUUAGUUGAAAAGGAGAUUGAAGGUGUGAAGACUUUAAGCAAGAAAACUCAAUUAACUGUGAGGUAGUAAUUUCCUAUAUUUUCUUUAUUUUUUGCCUUUUUUGCCUUUUUCUAUGCUUUAUAAGAUUUUCUUACAUUUAUGCAGGUGUGGGAAGUGCAAGGAAUUUGGCCAUAACAAAAGGACUUGCCCUUCACUUCAUCCAGUUGAGGCAAAUGCUGAGGCAGAAGCUGCAAAUGCUGAGGCAGAAGCUGCAAAUGCUGAGGCAGAAGCUGCAGAUGAAGGAGAUAGUGCUGAACUGCAAGAAACUGCAAUUGAUUAUCCUGACCAAGGUCCACCCUUGACUCAACAAAGUCAAGAGUUUGAGGGACCUCUUGUUGAAGAAGAGGGGGACAGUGAGGGUGAAGCUGCAAGUGAGGACAAUGAGGGUGAAGCUGCAAGUGAUGCAAGUGAGGAGAGUGAGGAUGAUGAAACCCCUCUAGCAAUUGCAGCAAAGAAGAUUAGGCAAAUGAGGAUCCAAAAAAUGGGGUUGACAACAACCAAAGAUUCACCUAUCAUGGUUGCAGCUGGAAAACUGAAGACCCUUAAAGAGAUAAUGGAUUCAGAAAAGAAGAAGGAAACAAGUGUUGCAGAGGCUCAAGCUGUUGAAAUGGAGGAUGCUAGGAGGAAGACUGUGAAACAGGAAAUGCAACAGAGGAUUGACAAAGGCAAAAAUCCAAUGAAAGUCUCUGAGAUUGAACCUAGGAGAAGCUACAGAUUGUUUAGGAAAACAGCUCUUAACAAAUUCACAAACACAGUGGAUACCCCAGUUGUCAUUGAUGAGGCUGGGGAGGAGGAUAAACAACCUCCACGGGUGCAGAUAAAUUCUUACACAGGCCCUAUGAAACUAGGGAAGAAACAACCUCCACCAGUGAAGCAGUAUAAGGCCAUUGUUGGUCAAACAGAGGUAAAGUCUGCACCAUUCUUAUCACAUGGCAGAACUGUAAUCACAAAGGGUACAUUGGCCAAAGCUCUCGGUGCUUUGAAAAAGAGUUAUCUCCCAGGUUCUACAGCAAAGGGGAAGGAUAGCCAACAGCCUUGAUUUUAGCAGUUUUUCUCUAUUAUUUUGUAAUGCUAUGACAUUGGUACUUUGCCUACUUUCUGGACUUAAUUUUAUUUCAGUUGUAAUGCUUUUGGGGAUGUUUUGUAACUUGAUCUUUUGCAAAGAAUUUAAUGUAAGCUAAUGAUUUCCAUUCCAAAACAUCUACUUUCAUUUCAUUACAAUAGAUGCUAGUACAUACUGCAUAGUACAACUAGGGUAGUUCUAACACACUAGGUGAAGCAUUUUUGUUUGCCCUUACAAACACCCAUACUAUUAACAACACAAACAACAAAACCAGUAUGGACUUUUUUCUCUUCACGGGUCUGUUCACACCAGCUGCAGCCUCAUUUUUCUUUGCAUCAUCUUCGAGAUUUCGAAUGCGCCGCAACAGUCCUGGGAUUAUUGCUUUUGAUCUUGCACACAUGGGUGGAUCAAACCAUUGGUGAAAGUUACAAGCAUUGCUUCUGUUAUCCUGCAGUUAAAUUAGAUAUAGUUAGAUUACAUUUAAGAACAAAAAUGAGAGAUUAGAAUCUGCUUACCUUGAAUCUCAUACAUCCCCAGAAUUGCCUCCCCGGAUUAGAAUCAGUCCACGAUGUCUUCAAAGCAGCAGCUGUUCCACACCUACAGUUAGGCUCCAUCUAGACAACUUGUUCUGUUUUACACAAGAAAAUGACAACACACACAACUAUGAUACAUAUAUAUAUACACAAGAAACAUCAAGGGCAAAAGGGGAUGGCGGGAGACCUCCAGAUUUUUGGAGGGAAACUGAGGGUUAAAUGUCUUGUUUGUCCCCCCCCGAUUUAUACUGUUUUUUUGGAAAAGGGCUAAAAGGUACGUAUCGGAUACUUUAAGGGUCGAAAGGUACGCUUUUAAACAUCGAGGCCGCAUCGGAACAUUCAUACAUACUUCGAGGGCUAAAAGGUCAUUAAGCCUUCUAAAUUUUUAUGGUCUGCACUGUUUACUAGAAUUAUUAUCUGGGAAUUGUAGCACUGUUUGUUAGAAAAUGGUAAGUUUAAGACAUGGAAUUACCUUAAUCUAAUUGUUGGAGGUUGUUCCUUGUAAUGAGGACUUAAACUUUCAUGUUUGGAUCUAAGACAUUUUCUUAGUGUAAUCCAUAAAUAAAUUGAGUUGAAGUUAGUAGCUUGAAAGUGGUAAAAUAUGUUAUGUGGGUUAGUCCCACAUUGAUAUUGGAAAGUGAGGUUGGUGGCUUUAUAUAGUACAUGUGCAAGUGUAGUGUUCAACUACUAAGGCAUGUGGGUGUGCAAGGUUGUAGUGAGCGCCCGCCGCCGCCGCCCCGGGUCGGGUCGAAGGGCGAUUUGGGCAAGCUAAGUGAUUUCUGUCUUUUCUUGUCGAUUUAAGGUACCUGAUAUAUAACUGCCUCAUUGUUGCGCUAAUAUAUAUAGUUUAAUAUUUCCAACACUGUUCACAUAGACUCUUUUCAUCAACAUGUAGCUCAUAUGGGAGGAUCAUGUUUAACUUUGAAUGCAGGUAAGCAGUUCAAUAUUAAUAUAAUAAGGAAUAUAAUUUCUGCGAUGAAGAUAAAAUGCUUAUGGAGCAAAUAUAACUUGGUCAAAAUGAAAUUACUCUCUGAGAGGAGACUUUAGAUCUGAUCAGAGUAUCAAACAGACAGACCUUAUUAGACAAUUUGACUAAUUUAGAUUAGGAUGAAGUGCAUGUGUAUACUAUAAGUUGGUAGGGAAUUUGCGAGUCAGUUUCUCAACCUCUAACUUCAUCUUCCGGAUUUUCUAUUUUAUUUAUUUAUUUAUUUUAAACGUAGGAACCGCAGCCACUACCCUUCGGGUGCGCACCGGUUCUUUCUCUGCAAAUUAGUUUUCUAAACAGAACAUCUCUUUAUUUUUAUUCUACUUUCUAUUUUCAGUUCUGCAUUCUGCUUCUCCAAAAUGGCUGGAAGAGGAGAAGGACCUGCAAUUGGAAUCGAUCUCGGAACUAUGUACUCAUGUGUUGGAGUUUAGCAAGGCAUGUUGGAUUUUAUAUAAUCUUAAACCACGCUAGUUAAUUAUCAUUAUUGUUUUUGAUUUCAUUUGCUGUAAUAACGAGUGGCUUGAUAUAAGUCAGCUACUAGCAUCUAGGACCGUGAUUGUCUGGCAGUAGAGUUGGUUUAGGAAUUUUGUUGGACUCAUGUCCUUAUUUCUGGCUUUCCAGUUUUUGAGUCUGUAAUCUAUUUAUGCAUUUUUCAGAAUAAAGAAAAAAGCAAGACUUUGACGAGCAAAACAAAAGCUUUUCGAUCUCUCUCAGUUAUAUCAGAUUGUUGAUAUAUGUUUAUUAACAACACUUGGUAUCAGAGCUGAAGUUCUCUAUGAAUGUCAAAGACGCCAACAAUGGAGAUGAACAAAGACAAAGGCGGUUCAAUCGAUUUGAGUUACCCAAAGGCACCGGUAGAAGAGAAAUUGGCAUGGCUAUGAUUUCCAGUUUUAUACUCCUAUCAAAUGUUGAUUUACAGCUUCUUCUUUUUUUUUGGUAAGGAAUGUUGAUUUACAGCUUUAUAUUCAAAGCAUACAUGAUUUAUAUACUCUUUCUCUUAUAAACUGUUUUACAAUUAUAUCUUUCUUUUAUUCAUAUUGAUACUGCUGUUUAUUCAUAUUGAUACUGCUAUUUAUAGCUCACCCUUGCAAACUAUGUUCAUACAUGUUCCAGAUGCCUAGGACUUGAGCGUUAGCUAGGAGACCUGUAGCAGGGGCUCUAUCCAUGCCCCAACUUUGGAUCUUUUGAGGUAGAGUAAGUCAGUCUUCUAGUUCUGAUUUCAAUACUAGAGCCGAUCCUGGUUGAAAUUGAUUUUUAAUUUAAAUCAUUUUUAAAAUAUGCAAGUUUUGAAAUAUAUGUUUUUACUUUCUUUUAAAAUUAGAGGUUUUAAAUUGUUUUUCUUUUAAUGACACCAAAUUCAAAUUAUUUUUAUUGACUCCGGAGAGAUGUCACUAUGGUAGAGUUAUAUAUUAUAAUAAAAGAUUUAGAGAGCUUCAUUAUCUUGCAUUUAGAUUAUAUUAGACUAUAUUUUUUAUGUUGGUUUCUAGGAAUUCCAUUAUUAUUUAUAAAAAAAAUCUAAUUAAUUCAUGAAAUUUCAGGUUUAGUUUUAAUCUUUAAAUGAAAGUUAAUCAUCUAAAAUGCUAGGCCUUUAUAAUUUAGAUUUAUGUCUAUUAAAAUUCAUUUAAAAAUAAUUAGACAUAUUAAAUUAAGUUUAGAGUAAUAGACGUAUGGCCCAAACCAACUAGAAUUUAUCCUCCAAUAAUACAAUAUAAAUUGCAAAUUUUAGUAAUUAACUAAUAAGUAAUUUUGAUUUUGAUAUAUGUAAUUUUGAUUGUGAUAUUUAAAACUCAAAAUGACACAUAUCCAAGUAUAUAAUAUUUUUUGAGCUUAAAUACAUUAAUUUUAUUUGAGGAUCAGGGUGGAAAUAUUAAAGUUCUCAUUAUAAAUGACAAGUAAGAAUUUAAUACCAUAAACAACAUGUAAUAUCUAAUUAGUAAAGAGAAAAUAUAUAAUAUGUAGAAAAAUCCACUAAAUAUGUAAAAUUUAGGUUGUGGAAAUAUCAAAGUUUUUAUUAUAAAUGACAAGAUAGAUCUUAUCUAUUGCAAUAAGUAACAUAAAUAAUUAGCAAAAAUAAAACGUGCAAUAUUCAGAGAAAAUCCACUAGAUAUGCAUAUCGAGGAAAAUCUCUAGAGAUUUAAUUUCUAACAACAUUUAUUAAUAGUUAAUACAAAACAACUAUAAAUAACAAACAUAUAUCAUUUACAACCCAUCAUCCUCACAACAAGGACACAAUCAUUUUUGCACAACUUAUAACCAGGUGUUUGUUAUGACCUAGUAUGGAGAAGGCUCUAAUCAACAAAAAUAUUUUUCUUCUUGUAUUGGUCAUGGUGUUUGGUAUGUCAUACAACUCUACAUAAUUAAUCUAUCAAUAUAUAUUACAUAUAAUAUAAUUUUGCUUAAUGAUAUGUGAUACUAAUGAAAUAUUAUUGUUUUUUUAUCAUUUGUGCAGAUUUACCAUUAGUUAGAUUAAAUGCAUCAAAUAAAAUAUGUAAAAUAGAUAAUGAUUGCGGAAUUUCGGCAUGUUCCAGUGGUGUAAUGAGAUGUGUAAAUGGUGAAUGCAAAUGUGAACCAUUUUAUUUUGACCCUGCCCCUGUCCCAAGUCAAGUACCUAAUGAUGAUAAAAAAGUUAGCAGUGAGAUUAGAUGCAAAACAGUGCACGAUUGUGAAAAAACUGUUAUAUGUAUGAUAGGUAAGCAGUAUGAAAGAAUGGUAUGUGCAAAUGUGUAGGAUAUAUUGGUCACUAAAAUUGAAGGUCGUCAGGGCAUUUAUUGAUAUAUGUAUGAUGUUCGGUGCUUUAAUAUUAUCAAGUUAAUGAAUUAGUACAAUUCGUGUUUGAUUACGUUUCCUUGUUUCAACUUGAUUUUUUAUCCGACGCUAUAAACACACACACACACACAUACAUAAUAUAUAUAUAUAUAUACACACACAUAUAUAUACAUAUAUAUAUAUAUAUGUAUAUGUAUAUAUGUAUGUUAAUGAUCAAAUACAAACUACAAACUAAUCUAAGCCAUUAAAUCAAGCUAAUGUAAUUGCCGUCCACUCUACCCUCUCACACAUAUUCCACAGAUUCCCUCCAUUUUUAAUUUGAUUUUUCACGUCAAUCAAAUCACUUUUUUUGAAAUCCGACUUCACUGUAUUUUUCUUCAUCUCCCAGCAAUCAAUUUCCAUACCAUAUUUGAUAUAUUUCGAUGCGAUUUAUAAAUUUUUUAUUUUGGUUUUUAGUUUUUAUUCUAAGAAAUGUUUGUAGUGGAGGAGCAUCCUAUAUUAUAUAUAUCUAUAUAAAAGAAGGCUCAAUGGAGACCAAAUAUUUUGGAGUCCUUAGAGCAUCUCCAAUGGGAGGUGCCAAGAGGGGUGCCAAUGCCAUGUGGCAUGACAUGGACCGGCACUCUCGUUGGCACCCCCAUUGGAGAUGUUGGAGUGCUAUUGGGGUGCCAGGUGAGUUGGCUUUAGGGUGCCAAAAGUUGGCAACCGAUAAAGUAGGGUGCCAACUUCAUUUGUGGUCCCAAUAAUACAUAAAAUAUAGAUUUGUGGUCUCAAUAAUACAUAAAAUAUUAUUUCUCUAUUAAUAAAGUUGGCAUCUUUGGAGUGCCAACCAUUGGAGUGUAUUUUUAAAAAAGGGUGCUAAAAAUGAUUUGGAAGAGUGUGAAUAUAAAAAAUAAUAUUUUGAGUUAUGUGUUAAAAUUGGCACCCCUUGAAGGGUGCCAGCCAUUGGAGAUGCUCUUGGAGACUACAAGAUCUACCGUUAAUAUAAUCUGGCAAUUAACGAACAUGAUUAAAUAUUUUUGUCCUGCAUUUCUAGUAAUAUUCUUGUCCUGCAUUUCUAGUAAACAACAAUUGCAGAACAUUGUAAUUUGAAGAAUAGAUUCUUGAGAUAUCAUAGCUUCAGUUGCUUCAAGAUCAUCAACAUGAGUUUUAGUUUUAAUUCAAAAUUAUCUUUAUAAUUUACUGUAUUCUUGUCGUAAUGUAGUAUUAAUAAUUUGUCCCGCAUAUUUGUGAUAUAUCUAAGUGUUAUUUUGUCUCGCAACAAAUUCAAUUCGUUGCAGGACAAUAACGAUGAGUUCAGUGCCAAUCAUAGCAAUGUCCAACUACAUCUUUGUUUUGUAUCCAAUUAUUAUUUUUAUUUUAUUAGGAUUUCGGUGAUUGAACACCAAUAUCAUGGAAUUAUUAUUUUAUGUUCUGCAGGAUUUAGAAAUUCUGCAUGUUGUUCACUGAUUUAGAAGUGCUGGACAGGAGGACCUGCAGUUAGGAUUGAUCUUGGGACCAUAUGUACUCAUGUGUUGGAUUUUGGAGAUGACACCAUCUCAUGUGGUUAUUGCGAGUGUUUUUAAUGAAGCUUAGCAAGGACAUUAAUUCUGAUGAGGCAGUUGCACUGGAUGUCGCUGCCAUAGCUGACACGAUGAUUAGUGACGAAGGUGGUGGAAUGAUUAAUGUGAUGCCACUGGAUAUUACUUCUGAAGACCUUAGUAGUGGGAAUUAGACUGUUCUAUCUCCAAAAAAUACAAGCUGUCCUUGACUUGGUAUUGAUCCAAGUGUUUCAGAUUAGGGUGCUGGUCCCUGGCAUAUGAUUGCCAGGGAGGGGUUAAGUAACACAUGGUUUUCUGGCUGUCGGAUGCAUAUCUAGCGCCCAGGAUUAUAACAUUUUUCUUCAGACUUCUAGCAGUUUUUAACCGCUAGACGCUAGACAGAUUUUCCCCUUCUAGCGGUUAAAAACCGCUAGACGUGUUAAAAUUUUGUUAUAAUCCUGGCCGCUGGAUAUGCAUNUGUCGGAUGCAUAUCUAGCGGCCAGGAUUAUAACAUUUUUCUUAAGACGUCUAGCAGUUUUUAACCGCUAGACGCUAGACAGAUUUUCCCCUUCUAGCGGUUAAAAACCGCUAGACGUGUUAAAAUUUUGUUAUAAUCCUGGCCGCUGGAUAUGCAUCCAACGGCCAGAAAACCAUAUGCCAGUUAAUCAGUCCACAGCCAUCGAUGGCUGUGGACCAGGACCCUUCAGAUUAUGCCUUGUUACAAUAUGAAUGNCAUGGUUUUCUGGCUGUCGGAUGCAUAUCUAGCGGCCAGGAUUAUAACAUUUUUCUUAAGACGUCUAGCAGUUUUUAACCGCUAGACGCUAGACAGAUUUUCCCCUUCUAGCGGUUAAAAACCGCUAGACGUGUUAAAAUUUUGUUAUAAUCCUGGCCGCUGGAUAUGCAUCCAACGGCCAGAAAACCAUAUGCCAGUUAAUCAGUCCACAGCCAUCGAUGGCUGUGGACCAGGACCCUUCAGAUUAUGCCUUGUUACAAUAUGAAUGUGUAUUAUAUCGAAAAUAUAAUUACAGAUUAUGGCCACACAAUAUGAUCAACAAUUUUAUGCCUUGUUAACCUAUAUGAUUAGUGUAUAAUGUAUUAUAUCGAAAAAUGAAUAAGUUCAAUCACUUCAGAUAGUACAUAUGCAUUGGUUUUCAUCCAGAUUGCAGAAUUACUGGAUUUGAAGAAACUAAUGAAACUCAUUUAGAAAUUUUCAGUUGACUAAAAAAUGCAGAACAGUAGUAUAUCAAGCUUUUUGUCCUCUUAAGCUGCUCAAAAGUGGGAUAGUAUAUCAAGCUUUUUGUUUUCUUAAGCUGCUCAAAAUUGGGAAUGCAGAUUUUGUUUUGAAGGUGACAAGGGAGAUUAUAUUAAGCUUCUUGUUCUAUUUUUGUUAGUAUUAAUUUGUUUUGAUGUUAUAUACCCAUUUAAAAGUGUUUCAGUUCUAAAUGUGUAUGGUCUGCUGUGAUGUUUUUAGAUGGAUCUUCACUAACAAAAUACCAAUUCAAAGGAAAACAAGCACCAGCACUUAAUAAUAAGAUCCAGAACCAAGUUGCUUACAAUGAAAAGAAACUAGAACAGAUAAACUGGACAAUUCGAGAAGCCAGAGUCUCCUUACUAAAUUGAUUAAACUAAAAUGAUAUUCUCCAUAAGCCCCUCCUCUCAACCCUAAUUCCUCUUAUCCCCUCGCUUCCUCUUGCUGUUCAGUUCCCUUUCUACCCUUGGGCUUCCUUCUGUUGAAUACUAGUAGCUUAGUGGGCUGGGCCUGAUCUGUAGGCUGGGCCUGAUCUGUUACAUUACUCCCCGCCAGAUCCUGAACCUUGUCCUCAAGGUUGAAAGCUGGGAAACGUUGGUCCAACAAAGCAGCUUGUUCCCAAGUAGCAUCAAAUGAGGGCAGUCCUUUCCACUUAAUCAGUGUGACAGCCCGAGAAUCCGGGGGUCUGGAUUCUGACGUCACCACAUAAAGCCAUUUUAAAACACUUUUGAAAACCUGUAUUUAUUUGAAAAGAUAAUAAAAUCAAAGGAUUUAAAACUUGAAGACUUUAAUAAAAGAUUUAAAAGAAAACACUUUAACCCCCUAAAAACAGGAUCGCAUCCAGGUCACAGUAUUGAAAUUAGAAUCAACCGCUAUAAAUAAACAAUGUCUUACAACCUCAGAUCAUCUUCGAUGAGAAGAAUCACUGCCAAUCUAUUUAAAUUAUGAUUACAACUGAAUCUCAACAAUUCUAUCUAGAACCAACCUUGACAAUCUCCCUGAACAUUUCCACUUGUCCUCUGUAUACUCUAUACUCUGACUCCUCGCCUAGCCUUAGCCAUACUCGCAACCUCAAUCAUGCAAUUCAUCGUUAAGCUUUUCUGAAAUGGUUAAAAAGGAAUAGCAAGGGUGAGCAACAAUGCUCAGCAAGUGUAUAUAAGCAACAAUAGUCCUGAAAUAUCUUAUCAGGGUUCACAAGUUCAGGAUAUGCAAUUGAAAACUUCACAAUUCUUAUCAGCAAUUGAAAUCAGAAUUCAAACUUACAGAAGAAUUGUCGAAUUGGAUUCAUCACAUUUUUACUUAAAAACCAAAGGUUAGGCUGCUGAUCAGUCACGCACUAACCCCGAACAUGGCACACAGCCCUGUUCUCUAUACUGGAUCCAAGGCACACAUUGGCCUAUAAUUGACCACGAAUCUGGUCUGACCACGAAUCUGGUCCACAUAUUUUAUAAAAACUAAUCCAAUUCUAACAAUUUAAAUCAACAGACAAUUGAAACAACAGAACAAAAUCAUAAUCAUUAUCAGCAACAGAAAUAUUUCAAAUCAACUUUUGGGAAUCAACAUUUCAUAAACCACAGUCUGUCUUUUGAUAAAUCAUAGUUCAGGAAAUUCCUAACUAUUCAGUAUCCUCCAUUAUCGGCUAAGCAACUGAAUUUAGCCUGCUAAACCAGCAUGACAAUGGCGGGUUGAAUAAUCAAGAAGAUCCCAAUUCAUUCUAGGUUCUAACUAUCACUGAGCAACACAUGCUUCAAUGACGGUCUGAACUUCGAAUUAAUUUGUAGAACUGGUAUUUUUAAAAUCUUGAGGAUUGGAAAGAAUGGAUCAAAAUAGAAAGUUGAGAGUAAUUAGGUGUUUGGCUUUUCAAAACUUGGAAGAAGAAAACAAUCAUGGGAUUCAUUCUCAGAAGUAAGAGUUUGUUUGAGAAGGGUCUCAGCAUAAACAAUAUCAUAAUCUUGACAGAAUAAUCAGAACAUGCAAUAUAUAUAUGAGGAAGGAUUUAGGAAUACUUGCCUUAAAUCCGCCUCCACACCCAUAGCUUAAUCUCAUCUUUCCAAUUCACAAUCUAUGCAUAUCAUAACCUCCAGACCAUCUCUGUAUAUACUCUAUUCGCAAUACGACUUCGCUUUCUCGACUCGUUCCUUAUUCGCUUUGCAACAUCGUUUGACCUUCUGUACGUCUUCAAUCGUAUACGCCUCGUCCAAAUCCUUUACGAGAAUAAAAUACUACCAUAAUUACUAAAUAAUCUAUUGAUUCUUAUCUUACUUAUCAAACUCGGUAUCAUAACCUAUCGCAUAUACAUAUCACGUAUAUCGAUAGCAUUUAACACAUAAUCACAUAUCACCCUAUAUAAUCUCUAUGCACUUAUCAGAUAUCACUUAACAUAUAAUCAUGCUUUGACUCUAUCAUAUAGUCACAUCAUACUCCAUGUAGCAUACUACAACUCAAUAACCAUAUAUAUCCUAUUGAAAAUCUGACAGCGUCUUGUCUAUUUAUAGGACUAUCCAUCUGUUAAUCUAUUUCAACCAACAACCAAUCAAUCAACUCAAAUUCCUGUAAUCUACAUAUUCUUAUCCAACAUUAAUCAAGAUAAGAUGCUAUGUCUCCCAAAUCAUUUAUCAAAUCAAAUGGACACGUAUUUCAUAUAAUCAUCACUAUAUAGCAAAUAGAUCACGUAUAGUCACAUUAUGCAUUUUCAACAAUCUUUAUACACAUUGGAAACUCAAUCAUAUUGUUACAUUAUAUUAAACUAGAGUUUCUAAGCUUUAACCUCUUUUUCGUUUCACUCGAUUCUGAAUUACGGAUCAAAAGUUAUUAACAAAACAGUUUUCUAACUCCCUAUCGACAUAUAACAUAUCACACAGACAACAGAAAACACAUUGCACAUAAGGUUUCCCAUCCCAAUCGAUAUCCAAUCAAGUCUCAGGUUAAAAAUGAUUUUUCGAGAAUUUUCUGGAAUUUUCUAAACAUUUUUCGGAAUUAAAACAGGUAAAAGAAUCCAUUUUUGAAUAAAUAAUCAAAUCCGAUUGCUCAAGAUCGGAUCCGAAAUCAUUUGAAAUCAAUUAACGAGCCUCAAACAUAUUUUAGAAAAAUAAUCCAAAGCUCGAAACUAUUUCUCGGAAUUUUUAAAUCAAAAGAAAUCAUUAAAUCUAAUUAAUUAAUCAAUUAAAAUCAAUUAAUAAUUUAUUAAAAUAAUUAAUCAAUUAAUAUUAAAAUUAAUUGACCAAUUAAAAUAAUUAUUACUAAUUAAAUUUAAUUAAUAAUCUAAUUUCAGAUUUAUUUUUGAAUAAAGAAGUAAUUAAAAAGCAUUUUUGAAAUUAAAAUAAUUAAAUAAAACAAUUUUUGAAAAUUAAAAUCAAAAGGUUUAUUUUGUAAACUUUUGAAAGUUUUCGGCCAGGGUUCAAAAUGCAACUUUUCAAAGUUACAGGGGGUGUUUUGUAAGAUUCAAAACUUGGAUACGAUGACUUCAUCAUCUUUAUAAGUUGGGUGGCCAAACGGCAAUUUGCCGCCGGCCACCACUAACUUCGCCGGACACGGCGCUGCCGCCCCCCAACAUGCAUCAGAAACUCCAGAAACAAUGUAUACACUACCAGGAUCAUGUUCAAGUCGUUAAAAUCAGUAACAAAUCGAAGGGUUGGCCGUAAAAUCUUAAUAAACAACCGCCGCCGGCGGACCCAUUUCCAGACUCCGGCGACUCCAUUCGAAUUCCAACAUAUAAACUAAUUACACGAACAAAUUCAUCUCCUCAUGCUCUAUCCAGUGAUAUAAGCCAUAACAGCCCAGAUUUAGCGAAUUAAAAACCCCCAAUUUCCGAUUGAAAAUAUUCAUAAUCCUUCAAGAACAUUCAAGAACACAACCCAAUAAUCAAACCCAAUUUUAUAUAUGAUACGGAAGUCAAAAAUCGAUAUAUAAUAUACCAAAACGACGAGAAAAACACGCUCUACAACAUGGAAUCAUCAAAUCAAUCAAACAAUCACGUUUGCAAAAAUUCACUAUUUAAAUCAUAAUAAUUCGAAUUUUAUAAAAAUAAAAUAAAAUCACCUGUUCAAUCUGCAUAUAAACGGAUGAUUAUACUAGAUUCUACUCGUCAAGAGCUUCGUUUUGACUAUUUAUACGCCUCUAUCCGAUUCCAAUAACGCCUUCAAAUCCUCGUUUGAUUAUGAAGAACACGAAGAACACCCGUUCGUUUUCUCUCGGUAUUCGUGCAGAGAAACUGACGAAAUGAUUAUACGCGCGAAAUAAACUGGUAAAGGAUAUUUAUAGAAGAAGAUAAGAGAAUAUUCCUUGAAUAUGCUUUGGAAUAUUCCUGGAAUAUGCUUCACGCAUUACGAGAUAACCAGAUAAUUAUUAACUUUAAAAAUAUUAAUAAAACCGUACCGGAUCAUUUACGGGACAAACCGUACUCCGGAUCGAAAAAGUUAAAACACGAGAAAUGCUCAGAAUGUCCCAAAUAGCUUAAUGGCGAAAUUUUCCCGAACGCCCGCGGGGUUUAAAAUGCUAAAUAACUAUUUUAAUAUAAUUAAUAAUCAAACGAGAUUAAAUUCACAAAUCGAUUCUAAAAUCACGUAGCAAUCCAAAAAUCGAUAUGAACAUAUCUAAAUAAACUAUAUUUUAUCCUGAUCAUAUAGAAAUUGAAAUAUCUCAAAUCCGAACACAUAUGGGCAGUCAAUUCAAUAAACCAGAUAACACAACUCUUACAACAAUUUAUAUAAAUAUCACAUACUAUUCAUAAAUUAUCAGGAAAAUACCCAAAUGUUUUAUAUUUUAUUUUGAGAAUAUAAAAAUUGAAAACUCGUGAUUGCAACAUAUAUAAGCAAUCAAAAUAGAAAACUAGUCCUCAUAUGAUUUACCAAAUAUUCAUAUAAUAUUCAGAAAUAACCAUAACUAGUUACACGACCAUUACACACGUAACACUUAAUCAAGUAAUGCAUAUAUUCAAAUAUUAACCAUCUAACUUUCAUGACCAAUCUCUGUAUUUUCAGAAAUAAUUUUUGAAAUGAGUUUUGAAAGGACACUCAUAUAUCCAUAUAUAAAUCAUUUGAAAAUAUCUAAAUAACAUAUGACUCAUUCUGAUAAUAUCAAUAAUUAAACCCACAGUUCUAGCACAUAUAAAUAACGUUUACAGAAAUUCAAUUUGCACCAAAAUUCAUACAAUAUUCACAUUAAAUUAUCAUAACUAACUAAACUCACAAUUCCACAUGCAACACUUAGCCAUAUAACAAUAGCAAUCUUUUAAAUCUUUAAAAUCAAUUAUAUAAAAUAUAAUUUUGAAAAGACAACCCUGUAUUGAUAAAACAAUAACCCGGAAUUUAAAUAUAAAGUUUUGAAGACACAUUAAACUGGAAUAAAAUAUUGAACUUUAUUCCUUUCUCUCUAAGAAAAUUACUUUCAUAACAAUAAACAAUUUUUGAAAAAUCCGGGUCGUUCAAAUAUACGAAAUUCCAGAAGAAGAGUGCACAAUCUGUUUAAACCUUAUAAUUUUACAUCACAAUUAUACUCAUACUACACAGACUAUUCAUCUUUUCAGAUAAAAGUCAAUUAAAGCCAAUAAUAAUAUUCAAAAACUUAUCUCGAUUUUAAUAAACUAAUUCUUAAAAUCUGGGAUGUUACAAUCAGUAUCUCAACUUGCUGGUCUGGGGUCUGUCUUACUGCUAACAGCUGCUCCGGUUCCACACACAACUCCAUAUCUGCUGUUAGCUGCUCAGGGAUCGUUGCUCGCACUACUUCUGUUCCAACAUGUCUUUUGAGAUGAGAUACAUGAAAGACUGGGUGAAUUUUACAGCCCUCCGGUAGUUCCAGUUUGUAAGCAACUUCCCCCACUCGCUGUAUUAUGCGAAACGGCCCAAAGAAUCUGGGUGAUAACUUCUCACAAGGACGACGAGCCAACGAACUUUGUCGAUAUGGCUGAAGCUUAAGAAAAACCAAAUCCCCAAUAGUAAACACUAAAUCCCUGCGUUUAGUAUCAGCUGAACUUUUCAUAUGGUGCUGGGCUUUAAGCAAGUUGGCCUGCAGUUCAUCUAACACAGCGUCUCGGACGCGCAGCAUCUCGGACGCGCAGCAUCUCGGACGCGCAGCAUCUCAUCAAUGGAGUCGACUGGGGAUUGUCAUCUUCCCAACCUGUACAAUGACGGUGGUUCACGCCCAUAGACUACUUGAAACGGCCUAAACUUUGUUGACAGGUGUGGGGCUGUGUUAUAGGAGAACUCAGCCCAAGGCAACCAUUCCGCCCAAUUCUUCGGUUUGCCCUGGAUAAAACACCUGAGAUACGUUUCAAGCCCCUUAUUUACAUUCUCAGUUUGACCAUCCGUUUGGGGAUGGUACGCGGUGCUCUUCUUAAGCACUGUCCCCUGUAAGCGAAAUAAUUCAGACCAAAAAUUGCUGAGAAAAAUACGAUCACGGUCGGACACGAUAGCAGAAGGGAACCCAUGCAAACGCACAAUCUCUUUAACAAAAACUCCUGCCACUGUCACAGCACUAUAGGGAUGGCGCAAACCCAGGAAAUGAGCGUAAUUGGACAAGCGGUCCACAACAACCAAUAUCGAGUUAUACCCCUUUGGUGACGGUAAUCCAUCGAUGAAGUCAAGAGAUACCUCUUCCCACACUAAAUCUGGCAAGGGCAAUGGUUGUAACAACCCCGCUGGGGACUGUUGUAAGGCCUUUUGUUGCUGACAGGUCUUGCACUUCUGCACAUACAACCCGACAUCUUUCCUCAUACUUUCCCAAAACCAAUCUCCUGCCAAUCUCAAAUAAGUCUUCAACUUCCCCGCGUGACCUCCCAUCAUAGAGUCAUGAUACUCGUGCAACAACCCAGGAAUGAACGCUGACUUCUUAGGAAUCACAACUCUCCCUUUGAACAUGAGAGUGUCAUCAACCACUGUUGUACCCUUUGUGAGUUGUGCUCCCCUGAGUGAGCUCUGUUUUUACCAGCUGUAGCUACGAAUCCGCCGCUAUCUCUUGGCGUAGCUUGCUCCAAUCUAACACUGGGCGACAUACUAACGCCCUCAACAGAACUUCACCUGCCUGUUUACGCGACAGGGCGUCUGCCACGCGAUUGGCUACCCCAGGUUUGAACUGCACUUCAAAAUCGUACCCCAUCAGUUUUCAUACCCACUUCUGAUACUCCAACCCAAUUUCACGCUGCUAGGUGAUGAAUUUAAUACUCUGCUGGUCAGUUCUAAUUACGAAAUGUCGGCCUAGGAGAUAACUCCUCCAUUUCUGUACGGCUAAACACACAGCCAUCAACUCCUUCUCGUACACGCACUUCUGCUGAGCCUGAGGACCUAAAAGCUUGCUGAAAAAUGCCAAUGGCCGUUGGUCUUGCAUUAGUAUUGCACUAAUACCAAACCCGGAUGCGUCGGUCUCCACCACGAAGCUUUUCUGCCAAUCUGGCAUGGCCAGUACCGGGGGUUGUGUCAUCGCACUUUUCAAUCUGUUAAAUGCAGCUGUUGCCUCUUCCGUCCAUCCAAACUUAUCUUUCCGCAACUGUUCAGUAAGCGGUUGAGCAAUUUGCGCGUAAUGCUUGACAAACUUACGGUAGUACCCCGUGAGCCCGAGGAAACCCCGUAAGGCACGCAAAUUUGCAGGCACGGGACAAUCCAUGAUUGCUUGCACCUUCUCCAUAUCAACCUCCACCCCUUUCUCUGAAAUAACAUGUCCCAAGUACGAAACUACCCGCUGUCCAAACUCACAUUUCUUCUCAUUUGCGUAAAGCUGGUGUUCGGCUAAUUUACUCAACACCUGGCUGACAUGAUAAACAUGUUCACUAUCAGACUUGCUGUAUACGAGGAUAUCGUCAAAAAAAACCAGCACAAAUCUGCAUAAGUAUGGACGAAACACAUCGUUCAUUAGAGACUGAAAUGUUGCGGGCGCAUUCGUCAAGCCAAAAGGCAUGACCAGAAAUUCGUAGUGGCCGGCGUGUGUAUGAAAAGCAGUCUUAUGCACAUCCUCAGGGCGUACCAAAAUCUGGUGGUACCCGGCUUUCAAGUCGAGCUUUGUGAAAACCUUUGCACCGUAUAGCUCAUCAAGUAACUCUUCAAUGAUCGGAAUAGGGUAUUUGUCCGGUAUUGUCUCCUUGUUCAAAGCCCUAUAAUCAACGCAAAACCGCCAUGACCCAUCUUUUUUCUUAACUAGUAGUACUGGACUAGAAAACGGACUAGUAGAUGGGCGGAUCACCCCAGCUGCUAACAUAUCUUGAAUGAGGCGCUCAAUCUCAUCCUUCUAUGAUUGCGGGUAGCGGUAAGGUCUUACUCCCACCGGAUUACUCCCCUCCCGCAAUGUGAUAGAGUGGCCAUGGCUUCGCUGUGGAGGUAAGCCCGGAGGCUGCUGGAACACGGUGUGGAAGUCAUGUACCACAGACUACAAGAAUUCAGGCACCUCACCCCCCCCCCCCCCCCUUGCUCCACACCCACCCCCCCCUGUNNNNNNNNNNNNNNNNNNNNNNNNNNNNNNNNNNNNNNNNNNNNNNNNNNNNNNNNNNNNNNNNNNNNNNNNNNNNNNNNNNNNNNNNNNNNNNNNNNNNNNNNNNNNNNNNNNNNNNNNNNNNNNNNNNNNNNNNNNNNNNNNNNNNNNNNNNNNNNNNNNNNNNNNNNNNNNNNNNNNNNNNNNNNNNNNNNNNNNNNNNNNNNNNNNNNNNNNNNNNNNNNNNNNNNNNNNNNNNNNNNNNNNNNNNNNNNNNNNNNNNNNNNNNNNNNNNNNNNNNNNNNNNNNNNNNNNNNNNNNNNNNNNNNNNNNNNNNNNNNNNNNNNNNNNNNNNNNNNNNNNNNNNNNNNNNNNNNNNNNNNNNNNNNNNNNNNNNNNNNNNNNNNNNNNNNNNNNNNNNNNNNNNNNNNNNNNNNNNNNNNNNNNNNNNNNNNNNNNNNNNNNNNNNNNNNNNNNNNNNNNNNNNNNNNNNNNNNNNNNNNNNNNNNNNNNNNNNNNNNNNNNNNNNNNNNNNNNNNNNNNNNNNNNNNNNNNNNNNNNNNNNNNNNNNNNNNNNNNNNNNNNNNNNNNNNNNNNNNNNNNNNNNNNNNNNNNNNNNNNNNNNNNNNNNNNNNNNNNNNNNNNNNNNNNNNNNNNNNNNNNNNNNNNNNNNNCUUGUAGCUACACAUCCAUCCAUCUGGUUACAUUCCAUGAGAUACCCACCCCCUUCCUUCCUUAAAGUUCUGAUCAUAGCCUUCAACGACAGCUGAGCCCGGACCAAAGACGGAUCCCCAACCAACUUCACCGGCUGUCCAUUCAUAUCAAAGAUCAUCACCUGAGUUUUCCAAUUGGUAAUAACCGUUCCCAGUCUCUCUAACCACUGGACACCGAGUAUAAUAUCAGAAUUGCCAAGCUCCAAAGGCAAAAAAUCAGUCACGACCUCCACCCCUCCAUCUAAGUGUAGCUUGACCCCUUCACAGAUGCCCUUACCUCGUAUAGCCUCUCCGUUUCCCAAAUGUACCCCGAAACUGCCCGAGUCCGUCACCACAAGGCCGAGUUCCUUUACUACCCCAAGUGCGAUGAAGUUGUGCGUCGCACCCGGGUCAAUCAUGACUACCACUGAUCGAUCCUUAACCAAACCCCGCAACUUCAUUGUUUUGGGACUAGACAACCCAAUAACUGAGUUCAAUGAGACCUCAAGAGUGGGUUCCUCCACCGUGGUUACGACUUGCUCCUCCUCAUUUGGGCCCUCCAUAUCCUCCCCGCCAUCCAUCCACAACAUGCUCAACUCCUUUUUAGUGCAACAAUGGCCCAUGCUCCAUUUACCAUCACACUUGAAACACAGACCCUUAGCCCUCUUUUCCUGAAAUUCCUUGUCGGAGAGCCGACGUACUUCACCUAACAGCUUGGGCAUUGCUACAGUACUGGUCUUAGCCCCAGAAACAAUCGAAGUUGAGUUGGAAUUGUUAUUUUACACCAACUAUGAGAAAGAUUGUAGAAGGGGGGGUUGAAUACAAUCUUUUACAAAUUUAAAAGAUUCAAGAACAAUACACUAAGAACACAAUAAACAGAAAAACACCAAGUAUUAAAAAUACGGGUGGAUUGAAUGAUCCACCCGUGAGAUUUUAUAUAGAAGAAUCUGUGGAUUGUUUUACAAUUCGCACAGCUGCUGGUUCAUCACUCAAAACAAGUUCUAACUCUCAGAUUUUUCUCUCAAGUAAUUGAACAAGUUCAACUGAUGCUACUAACUUGGUUAUAUACUCCAAGUUUUACAAAGCUUUUAGCUAGAUUACAAAAUGCACUCUAAUCUAAAAACAAUGCUGCACAACUUUGUCUUAUGCAUGCUUUCUGAGAUGUCUUCAUCUUUGACCAUCAUCUUGAUUUGAUCCAGAUUGCGCUGCAUGAGAUAAGUAUGUUUCUGCUUCUUCUUUAUUUUCCUAAUUAGGCUUCCAUGUCUAUUUUAGUGUAAUUCGAUCCAUGUGAUUUGUCAGACUUAAGCUCUAGUCACUUUCAACUGCUCUUUGCUUCAUCAGUUGAAAGUUCUGGUUGCUUUCUNNNNNNNNNNNNNNNNNNNNNNNNNNNNNNNNNNNNNNNNNNNNNNNNNNNNNNNNNNNNNNNNNNNNNNNNNNNNNNNNNNNNNNNNNNNNNNNNNNNNNNNNNNNNNNNNNNNNNNNNNNNNNNNNNNNNNNNNNNNNNNNNNNNNNNNNNNNNNNNNNNNNNNNNNNNNNNNNNNNNNNNNNNNNNNNNNNNNNNNNNNNNNNNNNNNNNNNNNNNNNNNNNNNNNNNNNNNNNNNNNNNNNNNNNNNNNNNNNNNNNNNNNNNNNNNNNNNNNNNNNNNNNNNNNNNNNNNNNNNNNNNNNNNNNUAAAAAUGUUUAUGUUAUCAUCAAGUGUAAUCACCCUGAGAAUUGUGGUUGUGGUUGGAAAAAUUAUUGAUUCCUAACAAUCUCCCCCAAUUUAUGACUGGAGAAGAUGCAGACAUAAAUUCUACACUUGAUGAUAACAAAACAUUAAUAAAAUAAAAUGCAGAAUUUAAAUACAAGAGUUAGAAAAGAUUACAGAUGAUUAUGCUCCUCUAGACUGAGCAGUUACUUGUUCCUAGAAGAUCUUCUUCUUCUGGACUUAAGUUUUUCUUCAAGAAUAUUAAUCUGCUUCUGAAAGAUCCUGUAGAACCAUUCUUCAUCACUAUCUUGUCUGUUGAGCUUGGAUUGGAGAGUCUUCAGAGUAUUCAAGCUAGCAACCUUGAGUUGAUCUUUAGGUCUGAAAAAUCUCCUAACACCUUGAUUGUCCCUAAAUUCCAUGACUGGAGUAGGUUCAUGAUGAAUUUUCUUUCCAGUGUAGGGAAUUUUCAGCCUUCUUUGUAGACUAGCAUCUGAGUUCCAUUCCUUCCUGAUCUCAAGGAUUCUCUUUAGUACCAUUUGCUUUGCAGGUGGUGUAAAUCCUCCAGUCCUCUUCAUAGAUCCAUAUAUUUUUGUUAGAGAACUGAAUCCCUCAGAAUUCAGAACUCUGUGAAGAGGCCAGAUGACAUCACCCUUGUUUUUGUAAGAGAAUACCAAUCUUUCAGGUAACUUUGAAGUUGCCUCUAUUCCUCUUACUUCUUGAAGAUCAUCCAGCUCCAGAUCCAACUCAGAAAUUUCUUCAAUGUUAGCAAUGAUGAGAUAGUCAUCAAGGUUCUCAGGUUCUUUUGGAGGUUUAGGAGGGUUAGCCAUCCUUUUAGCCACAGACUUGACUUUCUUCUUUGGCUUGGAAGAUUCUUGGACAAGAAAAGCUGGAAUUGGAAUAUCUUCCAAGUCAAUUGGCUCCUCCUUUGGCAUUAUUGGCUCAUCAUGGAAGUUGACAUCUGGAUGUACUACUGUGGUAUCCUUGAUUGGAGAAGAAGGCUUUGAGAUAGGCUUUUCUGGCACUUCUUCUCUUCUCUUGGCUGCCUCAGGCAUCUUAGUUUUAGAUUUGACUCUCUUUUUCUUUGGAGAAGAUUCAAGAGGCAAUCCUUUCUCAUUUAAAAGCUCAGCUGCCAACUCCUCUUCCAGCUCAAUAGCAUACCUUUCAUCCACCUCUAUUUGGUUCAAAGAGAGUUGGGAUUCAAACUCCUCUUUUUCACAUUCUCUGGCCACCUCUUCAGCUUUUGCAAAUGAGUAGUGAGGAUGGCCAGUUCCAAUAAACAGCUUCUGGCCUUCUCUGUAGAUGAUGGCAAAAUGAGCCUUUAAGGCCACAUCUGCACAAUCUUUAUAACUUUUGAUUUCUUGGCCCAAAAGCUUGUAUUCAUUUUUGUCAGGCCUGGCUAGUGGAAAGUAGAUUGAGCUUGAGUCUUUUCCAGGCCUGGAGUAACCACAAUUGUUUGGAAACAGAAUUGGCUUGAACUCAUUCAGAAAUGAUGGCUCACCCUUUUCUGUCUUGGAGGGAAUAACAAUCUCAGGUGUAAUUACCCUGAGAAUUGUGGUUGUGGUUGGAAAAGAGAUUUGAGCUGUGGUGGCUGUAGAAGAUGUAGACGAUUUCUUGCCCAGUUGAGCCACUCUCUUUGCAAUGGAGUCCAAUUCUUUCAUCCUUGCAAUCUUCUGCUUUUCCCUUUCAGUGUGGAAAGGGGGUAGAANNNNNNNNNNNNNNNNNNNNNNNNNNNNNNNNNNNNNNNNNNNNNNNNNNNNNNNNNNNNNNNNNNNNNNNNNNNNNNNNNNNNNNNNNNNNNNNNNNNNNNNNNNNNNNNNNNNNNNNNNNNNNNNNNNNNNNNNNNNNNNNNNNNNNNNNNNNNNNNNNNNNNNNNNNNNNNNNNNNNNNNNNNNNNNNNNNNNNNNNNNNNNNNNNNNNNNNNNNNNNNNNNNNNNNNNNNNNNNNNNNNNNNNNNNNNNNNNNNNNNNNNNNNNNNNNNNNNNNNNNNNNNNNNNNNNNNNNNNNNNNNNNNNNNNNNNNNNNNNNNNNNNNNNNNNNNNNNNNNNNNNNNNNNNNNNNNNNNNNNNNNNNNNNNNNNNNNNNNNNNNNNNNNNNNNNNNNNNNNNNNNNNNNNNNNNNNNNNNNNNNNNNNNNNNNNNNNNNNNNNNNNNNNNNNNNNNNNNNNNNNNNNNNNNNNNNNNNNNNNNNNNNNNNNNNNNNNNNNNNNNNNNNNNNNNNNNNNNNNNNNNNNNNNNNNNNNNNNNUGCACACACGGGCACUCCGCACUUGUAAAUAGAAGAGUAAUUGACUUAGUAGCGAGAGAGAUGAAAUUCGAGAACAUUAGCACAAUCUGAGGUAUUAUAAUUGGCAAGGCAAUUACUUCAUAGUUCACUCAUUCAUCACGUAGUUGCAUUCAUGCAUUGCAUUGUAUUAUUGUAUAGUGUCGUUGACGCUUGAGGACAAGCAUCAGUUUAAGUUUGGGGGUGUGAUAAGUGGUAUUUAUACACACUUAUAGGCCUUCAUUUCCACUUAAAUUGGUUGGUUGUACUUAAGUGUUUAGUGUCUUUUGAUGUGUUUUUAUUGUUUUUCUGUGCAGGUCACGAGUUGAGGUGAUGAAGUGAUUUUCUAUCAUUUUAGGUUGGUUUUGGUGCAUUAUUUGCAAGAAUAGAGAAUUGUGGAUUCAUCGCGACUUGGGAUUUUGUGGGUAUAUCUUCUACAAACCCUCACGAGAGCACACUCGUCCACUAGAGCUAUCUAGGGGUUUAAAGGGCUUGUUGCAUGUGCUAAAUGCAACCGUGAUCACCUACGGAAGUGGUACUAGAAGCGAGGAAGGACAUGCACGCGAGAACGAGCGAGAAACGAAGAAACGGAGCUGCCAGUGCAGACACUAGCGCGCCCGCGCUAAGUGGUAGCGCGCCCGCGCUACUAACUGCAUCACUAGCGCGCCCGCGCUAGAGUAGCGCGGUGGCGCCCCACUGAAGCUUCCCGGGCCGAUUUUUACAGCUUUUCUGAUGGAUUUUCGCAGCGGCCGAGGCCCGGUUGACUUAGUCAAUGCAUUUUAUUUCUCGUGUGUAAAAACCCUAGCCUCAUAGUAGUUAGAAUAUCGAAACAAUAUCAUAGCUAGUUUUCUUUUGUAAUCGAACACAUUAUCAGUUGUAUUAGAUCGUUCUUCGCGAGGAAGUGACAGUUUCGAGCAAGAUCGUGAACUUCAAUCUGUAACGUGUGAUCUUUAUUAUUAAUUCAAGCAUUUUUAUUCCAAUUAAGUCUUGUCUUUUCUUUAUCAUGUUUUCAUUAGAACCCAUGAUGUCGAUUAGUUCGAUUAUGAACUAACCGCCUUCAUGGGAUUCUAAUGGAUUUAUCGAUGUAGUCUAGUAAAGAAUAUUAAUUACUCGAUUUUGUGACAUAUGUUGAUUUCUUUGCAUGAGCCGUGCUUAUUCUUCUUAGGAGCGUAGCUAACUUCUAAGUUGUUUGUUAAUUCUUUCUGAAGCGAGAGUGGAUGAUUGAAUUUAGAACUAUGCCAUGUAAACAUAGGAUUAUGUGAAUGAAACAUAAUUUGUGGUAGACUUGAACUAUUUUUAUCACCCUGUGUAAUCACGAUAGACGACUUGCUAUUAAACCUCUCUGCUUACACUACCGCUAUAGAGAUAUAGGGUCUGAGCUUUGUUGGUGUCCAUGAGAUUUCUAUCUUAAUUGUGGAUUUCGAUUGGUAUGAUAUGUGUGCAACGAGAGUUGGCAUGUAUUACUUUCGUGUUGUCUGAUUAGGAUCAACAGUCGCAUAUUAAUCAGUAAUUUCAAUUCUAGAUGAAUUCGAUAAUGAAGUUAGAAUCCCAUGUGUUUUCCUAUUCUGAAUUUGAUUAGUAAUUUUAGUUAUUAGUAUAAAAGAAACCAUCCUUGUUAAUUGUCUUGGCAGUGAAAAUUGAUCAUACAUUGUUGCAUAGGUGCGUAUUCUUAAUUCACCAGUCUCUGUGGGAUCGAACUUAAUAUAUUACUUGUGAUCACGUGCGCUUGCGUGUAGAUUUUUUGCGAACAAGUUUUUGGCGCCGCUGCCGGGGACUCGGUGUUAAUUAAUUAGUUUAUGUACUUGUCAUCAGUGUGCAUUAAAAUUCACUGACUAGGAUUCUAUUCUCUUCUCACUUUUCUUCUUUUCUUUAUUUCAGGUACUUGGAUCGCGUUUUUACUAACACGUUCUCAAGCUCGUAAAAAAGCAAUUGAUUCAUCUUCAUCUUCUUCUUCUGAUUCUGAAAAAAUGACAGAACCUGAAGCACAAACAGACAGUAAGGCAUUGAAGGAUUUCUCUAUGCCAAAGAUCGAUGAUAUCCAGUCAAGCAUUGUCAGGCCUGCAAUCGCAGCCAAUGCCUUUGAAAUCAAACCAGGAACUAUUCAAAUGGUCCAGAACUCGGUACAGUUUGGGGGUUCUCCUACUGAAGACCCUAAUAUGCAUAUACGUAAUUUUAUAGAGAUCUGUGACACUUUCAAAUUCAAUGAUGUCUCUGAUGAAGCUGUGAAGCUAAGGCUUUUCCCAUUUUCACUGAGAGAUAAGGCUAAGGGAUGGUUGCAUUCUUUACCAUCUGGCCCUAUUACUACAUGGGAAGAUCUAUCUCAGAAAUUUCUCACUAAAUUCUUCCCCAUGGCAAAGACUGCUGCACUACGAAAUGCUCUAUCUCAAUUCUCUCAACAAUCAGGAGAAACAUUCUGUGAAGCCUGGGAGCGAUAUAAGGAGAUGCUAAGGAAGUGUCCCCAUCAUGGCAUGCCGGAUUGGAUGCAAAUAAACUGUUUCUAUAAUGGUCUUGGACCUCAAUCCAGACCUAUGCUUGAUGCUGCUUCUGGAGGUGCGCUAUGGGCUAAGAGUUAUGAAGAAGCUUAUGAUCUUAUUGAAAAUGNNNNNNNNNNNNNNNNNNNNNNNNNNNNNNNNNNNNNNNNNNNNNNNNNNNNNNNNNNNNNNNNNNNNNNNNNNNNNNNNNNNNNNNNNNNNNNNNNNNNNNNNNNNNNNNNNNNNNNNNNNNNNNNNNNNNNNNNNNNNNNNNNNNNNNNNNNNNNNNNNNNNNNNNNNNNNNNNNNNNNNNNNNNNNNNNNNNNNNNNNNNNNNNNNNNNNNNNNNNNNNNNNNNNNNNNNNNNNNNNNNNNNNNNNNNNNNNNNNNNNNNNNNNNNNNNNNNNNNNNNNNNNNNNNNNNNNNNNNNNNNNNNNNNNNNNNNNNNNNNNNNNNNNNNNNNNNNNNNUUUUUUUCUAUUUUUCUCAAUUUUUUUUAUUUUACAUGUUUAGUAGUAAUUGUCGUAGUCAGUAUCACGAGCAUUUGCAUGAAUUAUGAAGUUAAGCCAAGUUAAUUGCCUAUGAUGAGUUAUGUGCGUAGUUCUUGAUUAGUAGUUUCAAUUGCAAUGCUAGGUUAGUACUUGGAAAUUGCUUGUGUUGGAAAUUGUAAUUCACAUAUGUUCUUGAGAUAGGAUUUAGACGAAAUUCCAUGAAUUCUAGGAUUGAAUUGAGCAUCCUUCAGCUUAGGUCUGUAAAUCUUAAGUUUGGGGGAACUGAGGAGUAGAUAUGCCUUUCUAAAAAAAAAAAAGAAAAAGAAAAAAAAAAGAAAAAAUAGUAGUAAAUAAAUUCACUAAAAAAAUAAGUGGUAGAAUUAACUAGGUUGAGCUCAUUAGUACUCGAGUAAUUAAGUCUGAGGGGACUUUGUGCCUAACAACCUAAAGCCCUUCGUGGUUUGGGAUUGUUGACCCAACGCUCGCUACAUGGGUACUAGUGCAUAAAUCUUUAGGGAUCUCAACCAUUGCACGGUUAAAUAAACCACUAGAAUAAAGUGAAUAAUUGGUGUGUGAAGUCUUGUGGUGUUCGUAACGCAUUUACACUGCGAAGCGCUCUGACCUUAGACCAAGCAAUUAAUCACCAAUAAAAAAAAGAAAAAAAAAAAAAUAAUAUAGUGAAUAAAAUAGAAGGGUGUGGACAUUCUUUGGGACCUUGGCUUUUAGUUGGACUUGAGUGACGGGGUGUUAGUUUAGACUUUUACGAUUCUUGAUUGGGAUUCUGUGGGAGUAGUAGUUUUUGUCUUGUCUCAAUAAAAGAGCAUGCUUGCACACACGGGCACUCCGCACUUGUAAAUAGAAGAGUGAUUGACUUGGUAGCGAGAGAGAUGAAAGUCGAGAACAUUAGCACAAUCUGAGGUAUUAAAAAUUUGCAAGGCAAUUACUUCAUAGUUCACUCAUUCAUCACGUAGUUGCAUUCAUGCAUUGCAUUGUAUUAUUGUAUAGUGUCGUUGACGCUUGAGGACAAGCAUCAGUUUAAGUUUGGGGGUGUGAUAAGUGGUAUUUAUACACACUUAUAGGCCUUCAUUUCCACUUAAAUUGGUUGGUUGUACUUAAGUGUUUAGUGUCUUUUGAUGUGUUUUUAGUGUUUUUCUGUGCAGGUCACGAGUUGAGGUGAUGAAGUGAUUUUCUAUCAUUUUAGGUUGUUUUUGGUGCAUUAUUUGCAAGAAUAGAGAAUUGUGGAUUCAUCACGACUUGGGAUUUUGUGGGUACAUCUUCUACAAACCCUCACGAGAACACACUCGUCCACUAGAGCUAUCUAGGGGUUUAAAGGGCUUGUUGCAUGUGCUAAAUGCAACCGUGAUCACCUACGGAAGUGGUACUAGAGCGUGAUUGAUUUUAAAGGAAAAUCCACAGAACACACUGUCACAGAGGAAGGAAAUGGAAGAGAAAGAUCCAACAAAUCAUCAAAAUGAUGAUGAUCAAUCUCAGAUGGGGGCUUCUCCAUGAAAUCCAAAGAUGGAGAAUUUACAAGUGUGGUGUGAAUUAAUUCCACAUCCACAGAAGAGGUUGGGGAUUGUGUUUGAGUAGUAGAGAUGGUAAGAUCAUAAAUAUGGGUGAUUUGUUGAGAUGAAGAAGGGGGCUGUGACUCCACAUUUAUUGGAGUCACAUCAAUCUGACUUUGAGAAGUUACAGGCAUAAAAUCCAGAAUGGAUGCCUGUGUGUGUGCAGAGUGCUUAAGUUUGUCACUUCUCAUCUUCUUUCUCCCAUAAGCUUUGAUUGGUGAAGAAGUGGUGUCCCUCCCCCUUUUUAUCUGUGUCCCUGGUUGGGGACUAUUUUCAAUAGCAACAUCCUUUUGGGAGGAUGCUGCUAGGGAUGUGUUUAAUUCCAUAUUAACAUCUACAGUCUUUUGGGAGACUGCAGAGUGGCCAGGCUGGUCAACACACACCUCUCCAUCCUUAUUCUUAGGGCUUCUUUUAUGUUCACCCUUUCCCUCCCCCUCACAACCUCCAAUCACACUCCCCUCAGGUUUGUGUUUCUUGGAUUUUACAACAGAUGUCUUUUGGGAGGCAUCUGAGGUUGGUUUAGAAGACUUGUUUUUAGAAGGUUUUGCCACUUGUGUGGACUGUUGAUGGGCCUCUUCAACAGCCCUGAUGGCAGAAAGCAAAGAAGGUGAGGGUUGAGAAAGAGUAGUAGGAAAGCCAUGUACCUCUUUGUGCUUUCCAGCCUCCAUUGUUGGCAGGUACACCACCUCCAAGGAGGGAUAUAAAUUCAUCCUAAAGAGGUCUUUAAAGACUCUCUUUUCCUGCACAAAACUGGGAAGCUUGGCUUCCUUGUUAGUAAUAACUAGCUUUUUGUUGAGAUGAUUAGCUAGCAUCAUGAGAAAUCUGACAUAAUAAAUAUUCCUAGGUCUACCAGUUUUAUCACCUAGUUUCUCCCCAAUUUCUUGGAUCAUCAAACCACCAAAGUUGAAAUAUUCAUUAGUCAGGUACAUGUAAAGCAUUUGUAAAAUCUGGGAAGUAAGAGCAUUGAAAUUACUAAUUUUACCAGAAAAUGCCUUAAUAAAAGCAUCACAUAAAUAACUCCAUUCUCUCCUAAGACCCCUUCUUUCUAUUUUACCUAAGGCAUCAGUUGGCAAAACAUAAUUCAUGGCAUAAAGUAAAUUAACCAACUGAUUAUCACUAGGCAAAGAUAAAACAGUAUCUUCAGGAAUCUUAAAGCAUGCUUUCAUAACAUCAGCAUUGACAGAAUGAAUUUCAUUAUUGACAGAGAAAGUUAGAGUUUCAUGCUCACUAUUAAACUCUGCAGAGGUCCACAUCUCCUCCACUAUUUCAUGGUAGAUGGUAGGAGCUUCAAGCAUAGCAUAAGAGAGCUGGCUUGACUUGAUGAACUCCAUCAUCCUGUGAUACUCCUUCUCCUCCACAGCCUUGGUAUCCACAAAUGACGCGAAGUUGUUCUUCUCAUAAAUAAACCCACUUGGUGCAGUAUACUUCUUCAUUGGUGCCAUUGUAGUUACAGAGAAAGCUUGAGGAAAAAUUAGAGUUUGCUUUUGCACAGAGAGAGAAGAGAACUUGAAGAAUUCGAAAGAGUGAGAUGAAAAGAAAUGAAAAUAAAUUAAAACACUUAAAUACUUUCUCAGAAAAUUGCUGUGAUUGGCUGAGAAAUUACCGUUGAGAAGAAAUUACUCUUAUUUAACUCUACAAAAAUUACACACACGAUCGUGUGUAUAAAGUAGGAGAGAGACAAAAGAAAUUUCAACGGCUCAGAUCUGAUAAUACUUUCAACGGAUGAAAUAAGCGCCUCUUUAAACUUCCUAUUCAACUGAUGAAGAUCAGUUGAAGGCGUCUUCAACUGGUGUCAUCAGUUGAAUGAAAAACAACGCAAGAGGAUAUUGUUUCAAGCAUCAGUUGAAACAAUUUCACUAGUUCAUCAGUUGAAAUAUUAUAGACUUUAUCCAGAAUUAUAAUUAAUUCAAUUUUGAUAAAUCAAAAUUAAUCAAAUUCUGGCUGCCAAAUUACAGAAAAAUUCACUCUAAAUUAGGAGAAAUUUAACAUACCUAAUUUACUUACCAACCUUGUGAAUGUGGAUUCAUCAAGAGGCUUUGUGAAAAUAUCUGCAAUCUGUUCUUCACUUGGAACAAAAUGCAUUUCAACAGUACCAGCCAUCACAUGUUCUCUUAUGAAGUGGUAUUUGAUGUCAAUGUGCUUGGUUCUUGAGUGUUGUACUGGAUUUUCAGUUAUAGCAAUAGCACUGGUGUUGUCACAAAAUAUUGGGAUUUUUGAGAGAUUUAAUCCAUAAUCAAGUAAUUGAUUUCUCAUCCACAAUAAUUGUGCACAACAGCUUCCAGCUGCAAUGUACUCAGCCUCAGCUGUAGAGGUUGAUACAGAAUUUUGCUUUUUGCUAAACCAAGAAAUCAAUCUGUCACCAAGAAAUUGACAGGUGCCUGUUGUACUUUUUCUAUCAAUUUUGCAUCCUGCAAAAUCAGCAUCUGAAUAUCCAAUUAGAUCAAAUCCAGAGUCUUUAGGGUACCAAAUACCAAGAUUUGGUGUUCCCUUAAGAUAUCUGAAUAUUCUUUUUAUAGCAAUAAGAUGUGAUUCUUUAGGAUCAGAUUGAAAUCUAGCACAGAGGCAUGUAGAAAACAUAAUAUCUGGUCUACUAGCUGUCAAAUAUAAAAGAGAACCAACCAUGCCUCUAUAAUUAGAGAUGUCCACAGAUUUCUCAUUAGGACUUAACUCUAAUUUGGUGGCUGUUGGCAUGGGAGUCUUAGCUUCUUUGCAAUCCAAUAAAUCAAACUUUUUAAGUAGAUCAUAGAUGUACUUAGUUUGAUUUAUGAAUAUACCUUCCUUUACUUGUUUAACUUGUAAACCAAGAAAGUAGGUGAGCUCUCCCAUCAUGCUCAUUUCAUACUGACUUUUCAUUAGAUUAGCAAACUUCUUGCAAAGUUUCUCAUCUGUAGAACCAAAAAUUAUAUCAUCUACAUAAAUUUGAACCAGAAUAAAGGCACCAUUUACAUUUCUGUAAAAUAGUGUUUUAUCCACAGUUCCUCUGGAAAAAUGAUUAUCUAACAAGAAUUGAGACAGAGUGUCAUACCAUGCCCUUGGUGCUUGCUUUAGUCCAUAGAGUGCUUUUAAUAAAAAGUAAACAUACUCUGGAAAUUCUGGAUCUUCAAAACCAGGAGGCUGACUGACAUAUACCUCCUCUUCCAGUUCACCAUUUAGAAAAGCACUCUUGACAUCCAUUUGAUAAACUUUAAAGUUUGCAUGAGCAGCAUAGGCCAGGAAGAUUCUUAUUGCUUCCAGUCUUGCAACUGGUGCAAAGGUCUCAUCAAAAUCAAUUCCUUCAGAUUGAGAGUAUCCUUUAGCAACAAGCCUUGCCUUGUUUCUGGUGACAACUCCAUUCUCAUCCACCUUGUUUCUGAAUACCCACCUUGUUCCUACAAUUGUUCUGUUUUUAGGUUUGGGUACCAGCUUCCAUACAUUGUUUCUCUCAAAUUGAUUUAAUUCUUCUUGCAUAGCAAGAACCCAAUCAGCAUCUUUGAGAGCAUCUUCUAUGACUUUAGGUUCAUCCUGUGAAAGGAAUGCACUGUACAAACACUCAUCUUGAGUUGCUCUUCUUGUUUGUACAGAUGCAUUUGCAUCUCCAAUAAUUAGCUCAAAAGGAUGAUCCCUUGUCCACUUUCUUUGUGGUGGAAGUGAUUGUCUUGAUGAUGUGGCUUCAUUAUUGAAGUUCAGGUUUCCAUGUUGGAAAGCUCCCCCUAAAUUUGACAUCUCAUUAUUUCUAGACUGAUUGAAACUUUGAGACAUUCUUUCAACUGAUGAUCCUUGAGGUGUUUCAACUGAUCCCUCCAAUGUAGUUUCAACUGAUGCUUCAGUUGAAUUUCCAAUUGCAGUUGUUUCUUGCACCAGAGAGUCAUCAGUUGGAAUAUUAAUUCCAGGAUUAAUUCCAACAUUUUGAAUAAUGUCAUCAUCAUCAUCACUGUCAUACAGAUCACCUUCACCUUCAUUUUCAAAUCUGAGAUUAUCAUGAAAUCCUUCAUCUGAGAAUCCUUGAAUCUUCUUAUCAUCAAAAACCACAUGGAUUGAUUCCAUAACAAUGUUGGUUCUCAGAUUAUAUACUCUAAAUGAUUUUCCAUCAGAGUAUCCAACAAAAAUAGCUUCAUCUGCCUUGGCCUCAAAUUUUCCAAGAUUUUCACCUUGAUUUCUUAGAACAUAACACUUGCAUCCAAAUACAUGAAGAAAGCUAAUUGUUGGCUUCUUUCCUUUGAAGAGUUGAAAGGGAGUUAGAUUAUGAGGUUUGGUAAUUAGUGAAAUGUUUUGAGUGAAGCAAGCAGUGUUCACAGCUUCAGCCCAAAAAUAGGUUGGAAGUUGAGCUUCAUUAAUCAUGGUUCUUGCAGCCUCAAUAAGAGUUCUAUUCUUCCUUUCAACAACACCAUUUUGUUGUGGAGUUCUUGGUGCAGAGAACUCAUGAAUAAUUCCCUCUUCUUCACAAAAUUCUUUCAUCACAGAGUUCUUGAAUUCUGUUCCAUUGUCACUUCUUAUCCUUCCAACUUUGACAUCUGGAUUGUUGUUUAAUGCCUUGAUAUGAUUGAUGAUGAUUUUCCCAGCUUCAUCCUUAGAAUGCAGGAAGAAAGUCCAAGUGAAUUUUGAAAAAUCAUCAACAAUCACUAGGCAAUAUUUCUUCUUUGAAAUAGACAUGAUGUUGACUGGUCCAAACAAAUCCAUAUGCAAGAGCUGAAGGGGCUUCACAAUUGAUGAAAGAGUUUUGCUUUUGAAAGAGCUUCUCUUUUGCUUUCCUAGCUGACAAGCUCCACAAAGUCCAUCUUUGGAGAAUUCCAGCUUAGGUAGACCUCUUACCAAGUCCUUCUUUACUAACUCAUUCAGGGUUUUGAAAUUUAGAUGAGACAAUCUCUUAUGCCAUAGCCAACUGUCAUCUGAGCUUGCUUUGCUGAGAAGGCAAGUGAUAGAUUCAGACUUUACAGAAUUGAAGUCAGCUACAUACACAUUUCCUUUCCUUUGUCCAAUCAGAACCACAUUGUUGUCAUCUCCUUUGGUGACAACACAGGCUGCAGGAGUGAAAUUAACUUUGUAACCUUUGUCACAGAGCUGACUGAUGCUAAGCAAGUUGUGCUUAAGACCAGACACCAAUGCAACUUCAUCAAUGAUGACAUUCUCUUUUGCAAUCAAGCCAUAUCCCAUAGUAUAUCCUUUGCUGUCAUCUCCAAAGGUAAUGCUAGGGCCAGCUUUCUCCACAAACUUUGUGAGCAGGGAGGAAUCACCAGUCAUGUGCCUGGAGCAUCCACUAUCCAAGUACCACAAAUUCUUCUUGUGGUUUCCCUGCACACAUUUCACAAACAGAUCAAGUUGAUUUUGGUACCCAAAUUGCUUUGGGUCCAGAUUUGUUAGUCUUAGCAGCCUUUUCCACUUUCUCAACCUUUUCCUUGGAUUGAAUUGGUUCAAUCUUUGGUUUUGGUUGAGAAAUUGGAAUAUCAACUCUGUUUUCAAACACAGGCCUUUGAGACAUGCAUAAAUUGUUCAUUCCAUGCAAAUUUGAAUGAAAUUGAGGCAUGUUAAAGGCAUUGAAAUAAGGAUUGAACAUAUAUGGCAUGUUAGGCUGAGAAUAAGGAUUGUGAGGCAAUAAACCAGGCAUCAUAUUCAUAGCAGAUAAAUUCAUGUGAGGAACAGAUGUCAUAGGAAUAGGCAAAGAUAAAUUAGGAGCAAUCACAGUUUUACAAUUAGCAGAUAAAUGAUUUACACUACCACACUUACUGCAGGUUUUCCUAAGAGCACUAGCAUUGGGAGUGUAAUUGGUGUGCUUGUUAACUCCUAUUUUGCCAUUUCUAUUUCCUUUCUUCUUUUUAGUCUCCUCAGAUUUAUGCUCACUAGUAUCCAACUUCUUCUUGUUCUUGUUACUGGAAUUAAGAGUGUUAUUAACACUAUCACUGGUCUCAGAAGAACUAUUCUCACCUUUAACAAAAUUCUUUUUAACAGGACCAUAUUUCUUGUUAAGCUUCUUGAGAACACUCUUGUCAACUGAUGAGUUUUUGUUCAACUGAUGACUCUCAUCAGUUGAGACUUUGCUCUUCAACUGAUGAUCAUCAUCAGUAUUCUCAUCACCUGAACUGUUCUCAGAUAUCUCAAGCACUUUCUUAUUCCUCUUCCACUCAUUCUCUACAAAGGUCUCUCUACCUUGCAUGUUGAUGAUAUUGGUGGAAACAUCCCUACCAGAUUUCCAUUUGGCAAUAAUCUCUUGUUCCUUAUCAAGCUGCUUUCUUAUGAUCUCUUCUCUUUUCAGAACAACCAAGAGAUCAUCCUUGGCUGUCUGACACUCAAUUUUCAGCUUCUCAAACUCAAUAAAUUGAGCUUCUAAGACACUGUUUCUAUCACUAAGAAAGGUGUUAGCUUCCUUAAUCCUACUAUUUUCCUUAGUGAGAGAUUUUAAAGAAACAUACAAGUGAUACAAUUCUGUAGACAUUUCAUUAAUAGUAGCAUUGCAUUCAUCUUUAGUUAACUCAACUAGGUUUGUAGUGAAUACCUGACUACUGCUUCCAGUGUUUUCUUCUUGAUCUGUGGAGUUGGCCAUUAGAGCUAGAUUGACAAACUCCUCCUCUUCAUCAGAAUCAUCUCCAGCUGCCCAAUCAUCCUUUGUGAUGAAUGCUCUUUCCUUUUGUUUGAGAAGUUCAUAAUAUUUCUUUUUGUAGUCAAUGUUUUCACUUGACUUCUUCUCAACUUUAGGCUUUCUGCACUCAUUUGCAAAGUGACCUGCAUUCCCACAGUUGAAGCACUUGAAUUUUGAUCUGUCUACCAUGCUUCUAUCAGACUUGGGAUUGCCUUUAAAAGAUUUUGCAGAAUUAAAAUUCUUUUUGAAUUUCAGUUUGGAGAAUCUUCUUGACAGGAAGGCUAGAUGUUCAUCAAUUCCAUCACUUUCUUCACCAGAAUCAGCUACUUCUUUCUCCUUUCUUCUUCCUUUGCUUGACUCUGAGCUCUCCUCUUUGACCAACUUCUCAGUUUCUUCAACUUGAGACUUUCCCUUGUCCUUGACAGUAUCCUCCAGAGAUGCAACUAGAGCCACAGAUGAAUGCCCUUUCUUUUGGCUUUUCUCAAUCUCUUCAUCUUGUUCCAUUUCAAGCUCAUAAGUCUUUAAGGUUCCAUACAGUCUCUCUAGAGUAUAGUCUUUAAACUCUUGUGUAUUUCUGAGAGAGACUGUCAUGGGUUUCCAUUCUUUGGGAAGAGCUCUUAAGAAUUUCAAGUUUGAAUCCUUAACUUGAUAUACUCUUCCAAAGAGCUUUAGACCAUUUAACAGUUUUUGAAAUCUGUUAAAUGUAUCACUCAAACUUUCACCAGCCCUGAAAUGGAAUGACUCAUAUUGUUGAAUAAGAAGCUGCAUUUUGUUCUCUCUUACUUGCUCAUUCCCUUCACAGAUGGUCCUGAUGGUGUCCCAAACUUCUUUGGCACUUGUGCAGCUAAUAACACUAUCAAUCAUUUCUUGAUCCAAACCAUUGAACAGAAGGUUCAUGGUUUUCUUGUCCUUGUGCACUUCUUCAGUAUCUUCUUGAGAAUAUUCAUGGAUAGGUUUUGGAAUCAUCUUACCUACCAUGUCUUCACCAUCAGCUCCCAUACUUGUGCAGACCUUCAUGGGGACAUGAGGUCCUUUUUCAAUGCAGUUCACAUAGCUUUCAUCAAUGGACAACAGAUGCAGAUGCAUUCUCACUUUCCAGUGAAAAUAGUUGUCUUUGUCAAGAACAGGAAUCUUCACUCCAGCAUCCUUCUUUCCCAUCUUUCUCUAGCAGUGUUGAUCUUUUUCCCUGUUUGUUGGGAACCUCGCUCUGAUACCAAUUGUUAUUUUACACCAACUAUGAGAAAGAUUGUAGAAGGGGGGGGUUGAAUACAAUCUUUUACAAAUUUAAAAGAUUCAAGAAUAAUACACUAAGAACACAGUAAACAGAAAAACACCAAGUAUUAAAAAUACGGGUGGAUUGAAUGAUCCACCCGUGAGAUUUUAUAUAGAAGAAUCUGUGGAUUGUUUACAAUUCGCACAGCUGCUGGUUCAUCACUCAAAAAAGUUCUAACUCUCAGAUUUUUCUCUCAAGUAAUUUGAACAAGUUCAACUGAUGCUACUAACUUGGUUAUAUACUCCAAGUUUUACAAAGCUUUUAGCUAGAUUACAAAAUGCACUCUAAUCUAAAAACAAUGCUGCACAACUUUGUCUUAUGCAUGCUUUCUGAGAUGUCUUCAUCUUUGACCAUCAUCUUGAUUUGAUCCAGAUUGCACUGCAUGAGAUAAGUAUGUUUCUGCUUCUUCUUUAUUUUCCUAAUUAGGCUUCCAUGUCUAUUUUAGUGUAAUUCGAUCCAUGUGAUUUGUCAGACUUAAGCUCUAGUCACUUUCAACUGCUCUUUGCUUCAUCAGUUGAAAGUUCUGGUUGCUUUCAACUGCUCUUGACUUUAUCAGUUGAAUGCCCGGCUCAUCAGUUGAAUGAAUUACAAACUCCAUCAGUUGAAUGCUGUUCCAGUCUCAUCAGUUGAAUUCCUCAGCAUCAUCCGUUGAACACUUUGUCUUCAGUUGAAUGCUUGAUUUUCAUCAGUUGAAACAUCAUCCAGUCUUCAUCAGUUGAAUAGUUACAUCUCAUCAGUUGAAUAUCCUUCACUUAGAUAAAAUUACAUGGCAUUGGAUAUUUACAAUUAGCCAUCCUAUUCUACCCAUCCGUUGAUAAUUCCCAAAGACAAGAAGUGUAACAAUUACAACUGAAAUUUGAUAAAGAUUCUAAGUAAGACAUGUUACAAAAAUGUUUAUGUUAUCAUCAAAAAUUAUUGAUUCCUAACAGGAAUCACUUACCCCAGAGAUGGUAUUGUGACGAGUGAACGGGCUAGUUACAAACCCUGAACUGGUAAAUCCUGUGGCAGAACUCUUCUGCCCUGUAGUUGCCUGCCCCCCUUUAAUACACACAGACCCAUUCUUGGAGUUGCCUACUGCCUUAUAUUUUUCCUCGACUCGCAAAGCCAUCUCCAUUGCCUGUUCGAGAUGUAUCGGGUUCAGGAGUCGUACUUCCGCCCGAAUGUCCUCCUUUAAACCAAUCAGAAAUUGCCAAAAACAAAAUGCUCUCAGGGAUGCGAUCCAAAGGAGCUGCCGUCUCAAUAUAACUACGCUUAUACUCCAAAACCGUAGAGGUCUGUUAAGUGGCCAACCAUUGUUCAUACAACGAGCCCCCAUCCGCAACCCGGAACUGCUUUAGUAUGAAAUCAUUAAGAUCACUCCAAAGCCGAAUUGGCCGCCUCUUAUUCUCCCAUUGAUACCAUCGCAGAGCGUCCCCUUCCAUAGCCACAACCACCGCCUCUAGCAUCUCCUCCUUCGAUAAGCGAUAAAAACUGAAAUAACGCUCAACCCGGAGUAUCCACCCAUCCGGAUCUGACCCAUCAAAGACCGGCAUGUCCAACUUACGAUAACGCCAGUGGCCGGGACCACCACCCGACCCACCGCCCCCAAACCCAUGACCUUCCCCAGUAGGUGGAGCAAAUCCGCGGUGGCCCUGACCGCCUCCACCAAAAGGCAUGCCGAGGUGAGUGGGGUGAGAGGAGCUUCCUUCACCACGAUCGACGCCCACAAAAUUAGUGGAAGUGAGACCUGUGAGAGCAGAUCUGAGUUCAGCCUGAAACUUGAGUUGGUCAUUGCGCAUGAGAUUAAUCAUCUGCUCAUGGCUCUCACGAGAUCUAUUAAUUCGCCCUUCCAAUCGAACAGCCAAGGCAUCGAUAUCCUCCCCCUAUUUGCGCGCUGUGGCGUUCUGCCCUUGAACUAACAACUCGGUGAGCGACGCGCGCACCGCCCCCAUCGCAGACUCAACUGCUUUCGCAACGAGCUCGGCCAUAGACUCCUCGAGCUCCGUCGCCUUCUCUUCAAGCUGAUCAAUACGCUGAGUGACUGUUGGCGGCCCCAUGGAUGCAAACGCUUUGAUACCACUUGUGAUGUUUUUAGAUGGAUCUUCACCAACAAAAUACCAAUUAAAAGGAAAACAAGCACCAGCACUUAAUAAUAAGAUCCAAAACCAAGUUGCUUACAAUGAAGAAAAACUAGAACAGAUAAACUGGACAAUUCGAGAAGCCAGAGUCUUCUUACUAAAUUGAUUAAACUAAAAUGAUAUUCUCCAUAAGCCCCUCCUCUCAACCCUAAUUCCUCUUAUCCCCUCUCUUCCUUUUGCUAUUCAGUUCCCUUUCUACCCUUGGGCUUCCUUCUGUUGAAUACUAGUAGCUUAGUGGGCUGGGCCUGAUCUGUAGGUUGGACCUGAUCUGUUACAUCUGCGCUAUGUGUAUGAUCUACAGAAUACACAAGGCGAUACUCGUUUACUAGAAUUAUCAAAUAUAAACUCGUCAAAAUGAAAUUACUUUUCAAGAGGAGACUUUAGAUCUGAUCAGAGUACCAGACAGACAGACCUUAUUAGACAAUUUGACUUUAUUUAGAUUAGUUGUUAGGGAAUUUGUGAGUCUGUGAUUGCCAGUCCAUAUGAUUCUGUUUGUGAAAUUAAAUACUGAUUUGUCCCAUCCACUUCCAUCACUGGUGUUGCUGUUCCCGGAAAUGCACUAACCUCUCUCAGCCACUUUGCGCCGAUCGUAUGAUUUUUCCUACGGGGUUCAGCUCGCAUCCAUGUACCAUAACCAUAAGGUUUUUCAAUCAGUUCUAUUGGAGUCUUGAACAAUCUUCAGCAAAAUUUCUCACUAUGCUUAAUCAUGCCGCGUAUGAAACAAAAAUAAUAUUAUUUUGAAAUUCCCUAGAUUUGAUCAAUUCUAAAUGUCCUCGUAUUAUAUUAAAUUAAAUAUAGUAUGAGGGAAUGUAAUUCCUACUCCUAAUUUCGGAACCUAAUUAAGAUCUGAAAAAUCUAUAUGUGGUUUCAUUCUGAUUUUUGAAACUAGAUGUGGUUUCAUUCUGAUUUCUGAAUUUGCACCAUCUAGUAUUUAAUGGUUUUUACACCGUUCGAACAGAAAUAAAGAUUCUCACAAGAAUUUGUGAAAAAUCCGAAAUACUUUUAAAAUAAUUACUACUUAAUAAAUUACUCAAAUAUGAAUCAAUAUAUAAUCAUGGUAUAAUUAAAAAUAAACAUAAAUUAUUAUUAAUAAAAUCAUAUAACAAUAUGAAAUAAUAAAAGUACAUAUAAUAUAUAUGAGAAUUGAGGAGCGAGAUAAAAUAUAGAAAAGAUAGCGGGGUUCUGAAUUAAAGGGUCAUAAAAUUUUCAAUUCUCCGUUCGGAAUAAAGCGAUUAAGAGCAGUCGGUGAUAAAUUAAAAUAAUAAAUAUUAAUUACUGAUCGAAGUAUAAAUUAACUUAAAUUAAAAUAAAUAAAUAUUGAUUAGUGAUAUAAAAAAAUAUAUUUACAUAAAAAUUAUACAAACAUAUUUCAUGUAAAAUUGGGAGGUGAUUUUUUUUUUCUUUUGUAACCUGAAAAUAUGACAGGGGAGCGAAAAUCAACGCAAGUCAUAAGACACGGCACAACGUUAGCAAACCAGAAUUUAAAAUAGAAUCCCAACAUAAUAUUCUUCUAUCCCCUUUUACGUAUGUUCAUUUUGAUUUUAAUUUUUAAUUAAACAUAACAAAUUAUCUAUUCAUUAUUUUUAAAAUCUUAAAAUUGCAUAUACAAAAAUAUACAAAAUAUAUUUUCUAAUGAUAUAAUUUUUAUUAUUUUUUCAAUUAUAUAAUAUGUAAAUUUCUGCAAAGUAUAGUCAAUUUAACUGAUAAAAGUCAAAAUGGACACAUAAAAGGAGACGGAGGGAGUAAUUGUCUUCCUAGUUAAAGUUGCGAAGCAAAAGAAGAUAUGCAAUCUUUCUUUCCGACAUCGACCAUCAAUCCCUAACUAUCAUCAAAAUUUUGUUUAACAUCUAAUAACUAUUUAGUUCGAAUGCAAUCUCAUGUCUCUUGACAGUCCUUCCUCAAACUGAUGCGCCUACUAACCUCCUCCUUUCUAAUCAAAGUUACAUCAUACUAACCCAUAAUGAAAAGUCAACUUCAUGCUCGGAAAUAAUUUGUUUCUCUCUUUUUUCCAAACUAAUUAAAUCUCGCUCCAACUUAGCUCAUAUUUUUUGAGAAAAUUAUUUUUUUAUAAACACCUCUUUAAAAAUUUCCCGUAUAAGAUUGGACAGCUUGCUCCUCGUUACCUUUCACCCACCUCUUAUUCAUGAAACACCAAUUAUAAGCGCUUUUGAGUUGGUAGCUUGAAAUACUAAUUUUUAACUUGCCGAAUUUUUUUCCAUCUCUCAACAGGAUAUAAUCACUAAUCGACUUUUGAAGGUGGUAGGUAGAUUUCUCUUAAGUUUGGGGACUUGCCUUCUCAGAAUCCAUUUGAAAGUGCUGUUGAAAAUUGAUAUACUCUUAAGAAAAGUAAAGAUAAAAAAAAUAAUGUUGUGCAAAUUAGAUUAAUGUUUGACAAUUUUUUUUUAUAUUUCCAUAUUUUGAGUUAUAACAUAAUUUUUUUGGGUGAAGUUUAAAAGUGAAAUCUGUAACAGCUUCCUACAAAAUUGAAAAAUCAGCUUUUUUUCAAAAAUAUAUGGGAACAUGCUUUUCUGAAAAAUUAUUUUUUAGCUAAAAACUGCUAUAUAUAAAAUAGUUUUUCACCUGUUUUAUAAUAAAAUGUUGGCAUUGUUGUUUAUAAUAACAAUGCCAAACGAAGCUUUAAACUAAAUUGUUAGGCUUUUUGGUUCCCUUGUUUUUUCCCAACUAAUAUCGUUGAAGUUUUGGCCCAAGUAAUUCGUCAUAUUUAUAUAUUUGUUUGUUGUCAUUGUUAUUGUUGUUUUCACUUUUGUGGCGUUGGUGAAUUAUGACCGCUACAUAAUGCAAUUGUAACUUAAUAUCAUAGUACAAAUAGAAAUAAUAUUGGGAGAAAUAUGCAUGACAAAAUUAAAAGCAAUGCUUGAAAUUUUACUGGUAAAAAAAUUUAAAAAUUAAUUCUUCACGACUUAUAAGCCUAUAACAUUGUGUUAUUAUGUUUUUGUGAUUUUAAUGAGUUGUGUAUUUAACUUAUGUAACUUUCAAUUUUUAUUGUGAUACAAUACUCUGACUCCACAAUAAUUAUGAAAUCAUAUAAGAUAGUAAUUGAAUGUGGUGUUUUAUUUGAAUUAUUAAGUUAAAUAUAUUUGUAUAACUCAAUACUAAUGAAUCUAAAGCAGUGUUCUAAAAGUCGGCGAUUAAUCGCGGAUUAAUCGCUGUUCGGUCGGCCACCGUCUCGAUUAAGCGUUAAUCGGUGAAAAAAAUCGUUUUUUCUGAAAAUCGGGAUUAAUCGGUCAAAAGUCGGGAUUAAUCGGAAAAAGUCGGUCAAAAAUCGGCGAAUUUAAAAAAAUUUAAAAUAAAACGUAAAAAAAUUUUAAAAUUAAUUUAAAAUAAAACAAAAGGCAUGGAAAUGACAAAACACAGAAAUUAAAGUUGUUUUUUAUUACCUUUCACUCUUUCAAUAUUAGCCUCUAAAUUCUAAUUACAUAAAUUUGCAAUAUCUUCCUUCGCAGAUUGAAUCAAAUUCAAGUUUAUAUAUGAGAUGACUAGACUUGUAUAUGUAUAUAAAGGCAUGUUUUGUAUUAUAGAAAAUCAUUAAUCUUUUGAUUUUAUAUGUCUAUAAAUUUAUACUAUAUAUAAUUUUAUUAAUAUAUAUAUAAUUUUAAAAAUAAUAUUAAAUUGAUCACGAUUAAUAAUCUGAUUAAUCACUCCGAUUAAUCUCCGAUUAUCCGAUUAAUCGUUGGACGGUGUCUUCACCGACUAAGUCCGAUUCCCNUAUUAUAGAAAAUCAUUAAUCUUUUGAUUUUAUAUGUCUAUAAAUUUAUACUAUAUAUAAUUUUAUUAAUAUAUAUAUAAUUUUAAAAAUAAUAUUAAAUUGAUCACGAUUAAUAAUCUGAUUAAUCACUCCGAUUAAUCUCCGAUUAUCCGAUUAAUCGUUGGACGGUGUCUUCACCGACUAAGUCCGAUUCCCGCUUUUUACAACACUGAUCUAAAAGUAUAUCUAAAGUUUGAAAGUGAGAAAAAUUAACUUAGAUACACCUAAAGUUUUAGUAAUUUAUAUAGCUUCUAUCCUUGCAUAUAGAAUAUAUAUGUUACACUAUAUUUUUCUAUUUUGGUUUCUAGAAACUUUGUUAUCAAUUUGAAUAUUAUUUUUUCUCUUAUUAAUUCAUGAUAUUUCAAGUUUAGUUUUAAUCUUUAAGUGAAAGCUAACCGUCUGAAAAGCUAUAUUAAUACAAUUCAAUUUAUAUCCAUUAAAAUACAUUAAAAAAUUGAGAUACAUUAACUUAAGCUUAAAAAAAUUAGCUUCGCGCCCACACCAAUAAAAAUUAUGCUUCAGCAAUACAAUAUGAAUUGUAAAUUUUAAUAAUUAUUAGUAAAUCUUGAUUUUGAUGCAGGCUAUUACGUGAGCUCGUGGGUUUAUCCAGUGCGCAUCCGAAGGGUAGCGGCUGCGGGUUCCUACGUUAAAAAAAAUAAAUAAAUUUGAUUUUAAUAUUUAUAACUCAAAUACAUUUACAAGUAUGUAAUAUAUAUNNNNNNNNNNNNNNNNNNNNNNNNNNNNNNNNNNNNNNNNNNNNNNNNNNNNNNNNNNNNNNNNNNNNNNNNNNNNNNNNNNNNNNNNNNNNNNNNNNNNNNNNNNNNNNNNNNNNNNNNNNNNNNNNNNNNNNNNNNNNNNNNNNNNNNNNNNNNNNNNNNNNNNNNNNNNNNNNNNNNNNNNNNNNNNNNNNNNNNNNNNNNNNNNNNNNNNNNNNNNNNNNNNNNNNNNNNNNNNNNNNNNNNNNNNNNNNNNNNNNNNNNNNNNNNNNNNNNNNNNNNNNNNNNNNNNNNNNNNNNNNNNNNNNNNNNNNNNNNNNNNNNNNNNNNNNNNNNNNNNNNNNNNNNNNNNNNNNNNNNNNNNNNNNNNNNNNNNNNNNNNNNNNNNNNNNNNNNNNNNNNNNNNNNNNNNNNNNNNNNNNNNNNNNNNNNNNNNNNNNNNNNNNNNNNNNNNNNNNNNNNNNNNNNNNNNNNNNNNNNNNNNNNNNNNNNNNNNNNNNNNNNNNNNNNNNNNNNNNNNNNNNNNNNNNNNNNNNNNNNNNNNNNNNNNNNNNNNNNNNNNNNNNNNNNNNNNNNNNNNNNNNNNNNNNNNNNNNNNNNNNNNNNNNNNNNNNNNNNNNNNNNNNNNNNNNNNNNNNNNNNNNNNNNNNNNNNNNNNNNNNNNNNNNNNNNNNNNNNNNNNNNNNNNNNNNNNNNNNNNNNNNNNNNNNNNNNNNNNNNNNNNNNNNNNNNNNNNNNNNNNNNNNNNNNNNNNNNNNNNNNNNNNAUAUAUAUAUAUUUGAGUGUAAUUAUAUUUAUUUUAUUUGAGAUUUAUAGUGAAAAUAUUAAAAUUUUCAUUAUACAUGACAAGUAAGAUAUUACUACAAUAAAUAACAUGUAAUAUCUAAUUAGCAAGAAAAAAAUAUAAUAUCUAGAAAAUCUACCAGAUAUGCAAUAUCUAACAAGUAACAUCAUGUAAUUACUAAUUAGUAAGAACAAAACGUGCAAUAUCCCGGGAAAAUCCACAAGAUAUGCAAUAUCCGAGAAGAUUUGUGUAGAUUUAAUUUCUAACAAAAUUUAUUAUUAGUUAAUACCCAACAACUAUAAAUAACAAGCACAUUUCAUUCCCAACCCAUCAUCCUCACAUCAAAGACAUAAUUCUCUGUGUUAUAUUAAUAAUCAGUUAUUUCUUAAGACCUAUUAUAUAUGGAGAAGGCUCUGGUCAACAAAAUUAUUUCUCUUCUUGUGUUGGUCAUGCUGUGUGGUAUGUCAUGUAAUUCUACAUAGUUAAUCUUUCAAUAUAUAUAUAUUAUAAAUAAUAUAAUUUUGUUCUUCAUGAUCUCUGAUACUAAUGAAAUAUUAUUAUUUUUUGAUAAUUUAUGCAGAUUUACAAUUAAUGAGAACAAAUGCAUCAAAUAUACAAUGUCAAAGUGACACUGAUUGCAAAUAUUUUCCUGAAUGUGUCGAUGGUAAAAUGAGAUGUGUAAACGGUGAAUGCAGAUGCAUACCAUUUGGUGUCCCCGGCCCUCAAGCUAGUCACGGUUUUGGUGAUGAUAAGAAAGUUAACAACGAGAUUAGAUGUAAAACAGUAAGCGAUUGUGCAAAUACUUUUCUAUGUUUGGUAGGUAAACAAGUAUGCAAGAAUGGUGUGUGCAAAUGUGAAGGACAUAUUGGUCACGAAAAUGAAGAACGUGGAGGCAUUUAUUAAUAUAUAUGUAAUGAUUUUUUCUUGAGUUUUAUUAACUUAAUGAGUUAGUUCAAUUUCUUGCUCUAAUUACUUCUUUGUUUUGGCUCGAUUUUAAUAUUUUCCGACACUAAUAAAGUAUAUGAAUUUUUUUCCGACAUAAUACAUAUGUUAGGACCAAUGAAAGUAAAACAAUCAUCAUUUGACUAAAAACUUCCGACCUUCUCAACUUUCUACUUAAAUCUCAAAUAAUCUUUUAUUUUCAUUUUCAAGAAUAUGAAAUACUCUCAACUAGCAACACUUCAAAAUUUGUUUUUGGGUUAAUUGAUAGAGGAAUACAGGCAAAAGAAAUAAAAUAAGAGGAUGUAAAAUAAUGAUGAAUUACAUGAUUAAAGUAAAAUACUGUAAUAGAUACAAAACUAAAAUCAAUAAAUAUCAGUAAAAACAAUAUCGUAUAGAGUCGAACCAAAAUUAAAAAGUAAAAAAAAAUAAAAAAAAAAUAACUUUAUAUAUAAAUUACAACAAAACAGGAAAAGAUCAAACCAAUUUGAUCAUUAAAAUAGCAUCCUUUUAAUAAUUUAUAUACAUUUUUAUAUAAAUAAUUAUGUAUUUUUAAUAUAAGUAGUUUCUUAGGUUACUAAUCUCUAAAAUUAAAAUUAAGCAAUGUAUUGUUAAUUUUCUUAAAUGAGAGAAUUCUAGGUGCUGUAUUCAAUUGAAAUAUUAAUAAACUUUAUCUAUGAAGUUUAAUGGAUUGUAUCUGAUUUUAAUUGUAUACGAAUUCUUAAUAAAUUAUGACGGAGUUGAUGAGAUUUUUUAGGAUUUAAACACAUAGUUCAAAAUCUCAUGAAUUUUGUUGGAAUUUCAAAUAUAUUAAAAUACACCGAACAAUCUCACAAAAUUCAUCAUUUUAUGAAGUUCAAAAAAAUCUGUGAGCAUUUGAAUACCAUCAAUGAAUUUGAAAUAAUCCCAAUUGAAUACUAUCGCAUUUUAAAGCAUACUUAAAAUUGUUAUUGAAUACCACCAAAUUUUGUAGUAUAGUAUAAAAUCCUAAUUGUAUAACCUAGGAUUUGAUACAUUUUUUAAAAUUCAAUUGAGUACUCUUAAAUUUCAUUAACAAAAAGACAAAUCUUUUAAAAUUUCAAUUGAAUGCACUUCGUAAUUUAGUGUUAUGGAUUUCUUUAAUAAUUUCAACUUGCCACUUGGGUGCUUAAGCACUUAUUGUCCACAUAUAUUAUAAGGAUACAUUCUCCUUCUGUGGUCACGUUGAUAUGUAAGUUUGAUUCUUACUCAUCAGAUCAUUGGACAAAUAACUUUUUAUUCGGAAUUGUUACUAAGCACUGUGAUAUUUUCUCCCGAGAGUCAGCACAGACUAAGAGCUUUAAGGUUAAUGAUAGAAAUAUUAUUUCAGUUAAGUUUUGCUUAUAUUAUCAUCAGAUUUUAUAAUUUAAACCAAAUUAAUAGUAAUUAGACCACGUUUUUAGUUUAAAUCUGUCGAUUACAAUGGCGCUUUAAAUAUCAAAUAUCUAAUAUAUUUGCUUUUUUUUUUGUCAGAAAUUCGCACCAAAACGAUUCGAGGAUCAUAUUACACGUGAUUUAAAACAACUUUGUGAGGAUAGAGAAAUGUAAGACAUGCAUCCAUAUUAUGGUAAAAUUUAAUUUAUUAAGCCUGUUAUAUUAAUUUUCAAAAAUCUAUUGUGAUUAGUUGGAUUUAAAAAAUUGAAUCGGCAAAGUAAUUAAUUUGUACGAUUAGUCGGUCAAAUUGGCAAUUUCUGUAUUGAUAAGUUGUUCAGUUUCUUAAAUAUAUCUUGCGUUCAAGUGAUUUCGUCAGUUGUUAAGACUUAAGAAGACCAGGUGACUGCGUUACAUAUUAUCUUGUGUUAGUUGUCUAAACUUUAUUUAUUAUGUUGCGGUCUUUGAUUUAUGAAUAUUGUUUGCCGAAGUUCUUGCAAAAAUCUAAUUUUUGUGAUUAAUCUAUUAAAGAUCCUACCAUGCACAAUCAAGCACAUGCACAAUCAAGCAGGCAAAUGGAUCGACGCCAUUCAAGAUUACAAAUGGAUUAGUCUGAAGUCACAUUCUGAACUCUUGGCCAGGGAUUUACUUGUAGUUACCAUUGGUAGAAUUCUGGAACAUCGGUUUCGUCGGUGAAAGUGAUCACAGUGAGGUUACUCUGCUCUGAAGUAUUGUGGCCUGCAGCGGCUAAAAUUUGAGUUAGCUUGAAAAAUGAUGUGUAUGAACACAUUGAAAUUAGCCUUUUGCUGUCUGAAUUGUUCAUAGUCAACUUUAUAGCAUCCUACAUCGUCCUAUUGAUUUUUUUUGAGUAUAUUGCAAAACGCACCCCCUGAUUUUUGCGAAAAGCACUUUUUACCUUAGACUUUCCAAAAUUGCACUAUCCACCCCCAUCAUUUGAAAAGCCUGGCAGUAUGCACCUGGUUUGACCACAACCGUUAGUCUCUCCCGUUAACGUUAAACUUUAAGGGUAAAGCUGUAAUUUCACCGAAGGCUUUACAGUCCACUUCUAUUUUUCUACUAAUUGUUUACCCUAAAUAUCUAAUUCCCUCCCAAAUUGAGACCCUAGAAUUGAUAUACUUGCACUAAACUUUUUGAAGCUUUGUAAUUAACAGCAAUGAGAGGGCGUUUAAGGAUCGGCGUUCAAGCCCGAAAUGAUGGUGACCUUUGGAAAGAGGAUAAAGAGAAGAAGAUUCAGUAAGCCAUGAUUCAGUAAGCCGAUUUGAAGAAGAAAAAAAAACGAAGAGAAAAGAGAAGAAGAUGCUGUGGGGUUGUAUGUAGUGUGCGUAUAUAAAGCCAACAUGAAUAAGACCGUUGCUCAGCAUUUAAUUAAAAAGAAACUGAAAUACCAAGCAUACCCUCAGCAUUAACUAACGGUAACGGAUAUAUUUAGCGGAAGGGUCUAAAAUGUCGCGCCAAAAAAAUUAUCGGGCUGGAUAGUGCAAUUUUGGAAAGUCUAGAGUAAAAAGUGCUUUUCGCAAAAACCAGGGAUGUGCGUUUUGCAAUAUACUCAUUUUUUUUCUAUGCAGAUUAGUCAUUUAAGCAGAAAAACCUUUUAUAUUUUUAUUGACUUUAUAUUUGCACUUUUUUUUAGGGUUUUGGAGAAUGGCUGGUGAAGCAGAAGGGCCUGCAGUUAGGAUUGAUCUUGGGACCAUGUGCUCAUGUGUUGGAGUUUAGCAGCGGGAUUGUGCUGAAAUUAUCUCCAAUGAUGAUAAUAAGAGGAUGACAUGUCUCAUGCUGUUAUUGCGAGUGUUUUUAAUGAAGUUUAGCAAGGACAUUAAUUCUGAUGAGGCAGUUGCACUGGAUGCCGCUGCCAUAGCUGACACGAUGAUUAGUGAUGAAGGUGGGGGAAUGAUUGAUGAGAUGCCACUGGAUAUAUAUUACUUCUGAAGACCUUGGUAUUGAAACUAUUAGUGAAAUAAUGACUGUCCUAUCUCCAAAGAAUACAAGUGUUUGAGGGACGAGGGUGACAAUAAUAUGACAAAAUAUAACUAGUGUUCCAUGUACAAAUUUCAACUAUUUAUACCAAUAAAACUACAGACCAUGGCCACACAAUAUGAUCACAAAUUUAUGCCUUGUCAACCUAUAUGGUAUGCUAUCAUAUCAAAAAAAAAAAAUUCAACCACUUCAGAAAGAACUUAUGCGUCAAUUUUCAUCCAUAUUGCAGAAUUACUGGAUUUGAAGAAACUAAUGAAACUCAUUUAGAAAUUUGCAGUCGACUAAAAAAUGCAGUCCAGUAUAUUAAGCCUUUUGUUCUCUUAAGCUGCUCAAAAGUGGGAAUGCAGAUUUUAUUUUGAAGCUGAGAAGGCUGAUUAUACUAAGCUUCUUGUACUACUAUUUUUAUUAGUCUUUGUUUUGUUGUUGUAUUCCCAUUUAAAAGCGUUUCAGUUCUAAAUGUUUAUGGUCUGCACUGUGAUGAUCUACAGAAUACACAAGGCGAUACUCGUUUACUUCUCAUAGACUCUUUUCAUCAACAUGUAGCUCAAAUGGGAGGAUCAUGUCUAACAUUGAAUGCAGGUAAGCAGUUUAAUAUUCAUAUAAUAAGGAAUAUAAUUUCUGCGAUGAAGACAAAAUGCUUAUGCAGCAAAUAUAAGUUGGUCAAAGUGAAAUUACUCUCUGAGAGGAGACUUUAGAUCUGAUCAGAGUAUCAGACAGACAGACCUUAUUAGACAAUUUGACUUGGUCAUUCUUUUUGCAAGUUGACUAAUUUAGAUUAGGAUGAAGUGCAUGUGUAUACUAUAAGUUGGUAGGGAAUUUGUGAGUCAGCAGUCAGUUUCCUCAACCUCUAACUUCAUCUUAGAGAUUUCUUUCUCUGCAAAUUAGUUAUCUAAACAGAACAUCUUUCAUUUUUAUUUCACUUUCUAUUUUCACUUCUGUAUUCUGCUUUUGCAAAAUGGCUGGAAGAAGAGAAGGACCAGCAGUGGGAAUUGAUCUGGGAACCAUGUACUCAUGUGUUGGAGUUUGGCAAGGCAGCCAUGUCGAAAUCAUUGCCAAUGAUCAUGGUAGCAGGACGACGCCAUCUUGUGUGGCUUUUUCUGAUACAGAAAUUCUGAUUGGUGAUGCUGCACGCAACCAGGGUGGAAUGAAUCCUGAUAACACCGUCUUCAGUAAGUACAUUAUGGCUUAUGCUAUGUUUUGUCCCAUUUCUACAAUUAUUAUUCAAUUUUUAUUCAAGCAAGCAUAGCGACUCAGAUGUGAAAUCACCCAGACAGUGUUUUUCUUUGUUCAUUUGUAUAUAGUUUUGCAUAAUGACAUGUGUAAUACAAGUAGAUUUUUGUUUCUCUAUUGUUAAACUUGCUCAGAAAAUGUCAUGACCUAAGGAGUAAUGAUUUUGGCUAGUGUUUGACAGUGUAUCCCAUUGCCUAUAGAAUUUUUUAUGAACCUGAUGUUUCUUUCGUAUUAUUUUUGUUGCAUAAAGGCGUUAAACGGUUAAUAGGCAGAAAAUUCAGCGACUUGAGUGUACAGAAUGACAUGAAAUUUUGGCCCUUUAAAGUCAUUUCUAAUCAUGGCGGAAAACCUAUGGUCUUGGUCACCUAUAAGGGGCAGGAGAAGAGGUUUUACGCGGAGGAACUCUCCUCAAUGAUUCUAAUAAAGAUGAAAGAAAUUGUUGAGAAGUGUCUUGGAUCAACUGUAAGAAAUGCUGUUAUUACUGUCCCAGCUUACUUUAAUGACUCUCAGCGGAAUGCAAUUAUAGAUGCUGGAGUUAUUUCUGGCAUUAAUGUAAUACGCGUAAUUUCUGAGCCAAGUGCAGCAGCAAUUACAUAUGGUCUUGAAAAGAGGAAGGCGGAUAGUAGUACAGGCGGUGAGAAAAAUGUGCUUGUCUUCGAUCUAGGUGGUAGUAAUUGUAAUGUUUCUCUUGUUGUAAUUGAAGAGGGAAUUUUUGAAGUAAGGGCUACCACUGGUGCCAGUCACCUUGGAGGAGAGGAUUUUGUCCAUCGGAUGGUGAAUCAUUUUAUUCGGGAGAUCAUGAGGAAGAACAAAAAGGACAUAACUGGUAAUGCUAAAUCUAUUAGAAGAUUGAAAAAUGCUUGUGAAAGGGCAAAGAGGACACUCUCUUCGGCUGCAAUGACAUCAAUUGAGUUAGAAUUUUUGUAUGAUGGUGUUAGUUUCUCUGAAAAUAUUUCUCGUGACAAAUUUGAAGAGUUGAACAUGGACCUCUUUAAAAGUUGUUUGGAGCUGGUCGAGAAGUGUUUGAGGGGUGGCAAUAUUGAUAAGAGAAACAUCCAUGAUGUGGUCCUUGUUGGUGGAUCUACUCGAAUUCCAAAAGUACAGCAGCUAUUGAAAAACUUUUUUAACGGGAAGGAGCUCUGCAUGAGUUUGAAUCCUGAUGAGGCUGUUGCAAAUGGUGCAGCUGUGCUAGCUGCAAUCCUUAGUGGCGAAGGCCACGAAGCUGUUCAGGACUUAAUGCUGUUAGAUGUCACUCCUCUAUCCCUUGGGAUCGGAACUAGUGGUGAAACAAUGUCUGUCCUUAUUCCAAAGAAUACAACUAUCCCCACUAAGAGGGAGCAAAUUUUCUCAACCUCCAUAGACAAUCAGCUUGAUGUGCUGAUCGAAGUCUUUGAAGGCGAAAACCCAAAUACCAAGGAUAACAACUUGCUGGGAAAAUUUGUACUCUCUGGCAUUUCCCCUGCACCUAAGGGCGUCCCUCAGUUCACCGUUUGCUUUGACAUUGAUGCAUAUGGGAGGCUAAAUGUGUCUGCCGAGGAUAAGACUACAGGGAAGAAGAUCAAGAUAAAAGUAACCAAUAACGAGGAGAGAUUGUCGAAGGAAGAGCUUGAGAAGAUGGUAAAAGAAGCUGAGAAGUACAGAGCAGAAGCUAAAGUGAACAAGAAAGCGACAGAGAAAAGGUAUGCUUUUAUUUCCCCGGGAUUUUUUCCUUUCUGCAAAUUAAUUACUUUGACAGAAAAACUCUAUAUCUUUAUAUGAGUUUUUAUUUACACUAUUAUGCUUGAUUUUAUAGAAUGGCUGGAAAAGGAGGACCUGCAAUAGGACUUGAUCUUGGAACCAUGUACUCAUGUGUUGGAGUUUGGGAAGGUAACCAUGUCGAAAUCAUUGCCAAUGAUCAUGGUAGCAGGAUUACUCCUUCUUGUGUGGCUUUCUCUGAUACUGAGGUUCUAAUUGGUGAUGCUGCAUACAGCCAGGGUGGGAUGAAUCCUAAUAAUACUGUCUUUAGUAAGUACCAAGUGCACUAUGCUAUCAUGCUAUGCUUUGUAUAUGCCUAAUCCAGGAUCUGGUUUGUGUUUCAUAAUUGUGCAUUUUAAGAUAGUCAAAACAAUAGAAAAACACGACGUAAGAGCAUCUUCAACGGGGUGUUAAUAUUUGGGUGUCAAUAUUAUCAAAUUAUUACGCUAAUAUUUUAUCCUCUCUCUUCGAUAGUACUUUUAGAACCUUUCUUACCAAAACUUACUUCAAUGAUUGGCACUCAAAGUUGCCAAUCAUUUAGACAAAUAUAUUAAUAAUAGAUAUUAAGAUACAUUUAUCUAUUUUGAAAGGGCGUCAAAAGUUGACAACUUUACUUGGCACCACUUCAACGAAGAACCAACAAGAGUGUCAUGCCACAUCAUGUCACAUGUCACAAUAGCACUCUUCUUAAAACUCUCAUCCGACUCAUUCUAAAUAUACAUAUUUCUUAACAUUUGUCUUUUCACUUUGGAAUCUAGUUUCACUGCUUCGAAUAUGUAUAUAAUUUGUUACUGUUGCAUACAUAGAUCAGGAUACCAAUAUACAAGCUGUUCAAGCAUAGUGCAGCUACCUAAAGUAAAAUCACCCAUUAAUUUUUUUGUGAAAUUUGUUAGUUAAUAUAUAGUUCUGUGCAAUGUAACAGAGAAUCACAUUAUAGCAGCAGUAGUAGUAAAGCUUGCUCGAACAAAAAUCAGAACUAAAAUAAAUGACUACUGAAGAUGAUCCUAUUUUAGACUAUACAGCACAAGACUUUUUUAAGGUCUCUCACUGGUGUUUAUGAGCUCCGGUGUAAAAGAUGUGAAGUAGAUGUAAAGAGAAUAGAUUAUAGAAGGGCUGUUAAAUGUCUUCGCCUCCCCUUCCCCGCUCCCAGUAAGAUUCAAAGAAACACAGAGAUCAUAGUGGUUAUGUUUGGGAACUUAAAUUUCAUUUAUAAUUUUGGUUUUGAUCAAAUAACGUGUUUGGAUAUAUGGUAAAAAAAAUAAUUAGAUUUGGAUUUCAGUUAAAUACAAGGCAUUGAAAUACUAGUAUAAAUUUAAGGAUCUGAAAUGACAACUCAAAUCAUUUCAUUUGAAAUCCAACGUUCGGAAUAAAAUACAUGUUCCCGAUAGCAAUUAUUUAUUCACUGAUGUUGGUCUUUUCUUUUCUUUUCCUUUUUUUGCUUCAAAGGUGUUAAACGCUUGAUUGGCAGAAAAUUCAGCGACUCAAAAGUACUGGGUGAUAUAACAUUUUGGCCAUUUAAAGUAAUCUCCGGUCCCCGUGAAAAGCCUGUGAUCUUGGUCACCUAUAAAGGUCAGCAGAAGCAGUUUCAUGUAGAGGAAAUAUCCUCUAUGAUAUUAAUGAAGAUGAAAGAAAUUGCAGAGAAUUAUCUUGGAUCAGUUGUUAGGGAUGCUGUUAUUACUGUCCCCGCUUACUUCAAUGACUCUCAGCGCAAUGCAACUGUAGAUGCUGGAGUCAUUGCAGGCCUUAAUGUAAUGCGUAUUGUUGCUGAGCCGAGUGCAGCUGCAGUAGCAUACGGCCUUGAGAAGAAGAUGGCAGGUAGUAGUACAGAAGGCGGAAAAAACGUGAUAAUCUUUGAUCUUGGUGGUAGUAAUUGUAGCGUCUCACUUGUCGUAAUUGAAGAGGGUAUUUUUGAAGUAAGGGCUACAACUGGUGCUACUCACCUCGGAGGAGAGGAUUUUGUCAAUCGGAUGGUGAGUUAUUUUGUUAAGGAUUUCAUGAGGAUGUAUAGAAAGGACAUAAGUGGUAAUGCUAAAUCUGUUAGAAGAUUGAGAAAUGCUUGUGAAAGGGCAAAGAGGACACUCUCUUCUGCUGCAAUGACUACCAUUGAACUUGAGUAUCUGUAUGAUGGUGCCGAUUUCUCUUCAAAUAUUACCCGUGACAGAUUCGAAGACUUAAAUAUGGACCUAUUUAACGGUUGUUUAGAGUUGGUCGAGAAGUGUUUGACAGAAGCCAGUAUAGAUAAGAGAAACAUUGAUGAUGUGGUCCUUGUUGGUGGAUCAACUCGAAUUCCAAAAGUGCAGCAGCUAUUGAAACACUUUUUCAAUGGGAAAGAGCUCUGCUUGAGUAUGAAUCCUGAUGAGGCUGUUGCAAAUGGUGCAGCUGUGCUGGCUGCAAUCCUGAGUGGUGAAGGAAACGACACGGUUCAGGACCUAAUGCUGUUGGAUGUCACUUCUCUAUCCCUUGGGAUUGGAACUAGUGGCGAAACAAUGUCUGUCAUGAUCCCAAAGAAUACAACUAUCCCCACUAAGAGGGAGCAAAUUUUCUCAACCUCCAUAGAUAAUCAGCUUGACGUUUUGAUCGAAGUCUUUGAGGGUGAAAACAGAAAUACCAAGGAUAACAACUUGCUGGGAAAAUUUGUGCUCUCUGGCAUUCCUCCUGCCCCUAGGGGUGUUCCUCAGUUCAUCGUAUGCUUUGACAUUGAUGCAUAUGGGAUGUUAAAUGUGUCUGCCGAGGAUAAGACUACCGGGAAGAAGAUCAAGAUAAAAGUAACCAAUAACGAGGAGAGAUUGUCAAAGGAAGAGCUUGAGAAGAUGGUAAAAGAAGCUGAGAAGUUCAAAGCAGAAAAUUCAGAAAAUAAGAAGGCAGCAGAGGGGAGAAAUGCUCUGGAGGAUUACAUCUUUAAGAUGAAGAACGUCAUGAGUGACGAAAAAUUUAGCUCCAAACUUCCAUUUGCGAGCAGAAAGAAAGUAGAGAAUGCUAUGAAGUUGGCAACACAGUGGUUGGAUAGGAAUCAGACCGCAAAGGUAGAAGAGUUGGAGGGAAUAAUGAAAGGGCUGAAGGGGUUUGCAAUUGCUUGAAUGUAUACCUUGUUUGAGAUAAAGUCCCUUUGGCCGCUGGCCGGUGCAAGAGGUGAAGGCCGGAGACGGUAAAAGCGGAUUUCCCAAGUUGUUGUAAUUUCUAGAUAAAAUUGAUUUGUUUCUAAUAUGAUUUGAUUACAUUUUCUUAGUGUUAGGGAGAAGGAUGUCCGCUAGGGACUACAGGACGGAUAAAUUUGGAACUUCAGUUCAUGUUCACAAUCAUAAGUCUGAAAGGAAGCUCGGCAAGAAUCAAAGAAAAUAUGGAAGGGCGUUGUAGAUAAUAGUCGAAUUCAAAUUAACAUUGAGAUUCUCAACUAAUCGGUUAAUUUAUUGAUCAUUUGGGAUUCACAAUUAUAAGUUUGAAAGGGAGCUCACCCAGAUAAGAAUUAAAGAAAAUAUGGAAGGGAAUUGAAGACUAUAGUCAGAAUACAAACACUUAAAACAUACUUGAAACAUAACAUAAAUUGAAAAGUGAAAAAUACUACUUAAAACAUAAUAUAAAUUGUAUAGAAGAAAAAGGCAAGAUGAUAAAGUUGAAAAAUUCAUUUAAUUUUAGUUUAUGGAAUAAAAUUAGUAAACAAAAGAAGCAGCAUGCUGUUUUAAUAUUCUUAAACCUAUCACACUAAUGCUUCUGUCAAAUCGACAUAUGCACGCUGCUCACGCCAGGGAGAAGGGCGAAGGCAUACAUGAACCUCAUGUUCUUCUGGUCCAACACGAUGUUUGGGAACCUCGAUCUCAAGCAUUGUACCUGUCUCAUCCCCAUAAGCUUCAAGUUUUGCAUCUUCUGGAAUGCGUGCUGGAAGGGUAAUUUCCCUAACAAAUUCCCCUGGUGGGCAGUGUUCCGGUGUCGGAUCUGUUAACUUGAAUGUUCUAUCUUGCCUUUUAAUGAUUGGCAUACACCCAGUGCUCACACAAGAUAUCUUCACAAUUCCAUGCGAGGGAGUGUUUCGCCAAGUGACUUUCACCCGCUGCAAAUCAGCACAAGGUAAGCUGACAAUAAUCAAAAAACCCUUAUCAUCCUCAUAAAUUGUUUUCGCAGCUGUUACUGGCCCGUAUGUGCUCCUCAUUACCCCAGUAAAUUCAUUAACCCAGUGUGGCUCAAUGGAGUGUGCGUCCACAACCCCAUCUGAAUGUGAACUGUUAUUAGCCAACGUACAAUCAUAAUCAUUUUCGGGUGCAAAAUAAUUUUUCGGCCGUUUGUUACAAUUAGCCAGAAGGUCCAUCCCUUCACCAUUUACAUGGUUUGGUUGCUGAGUUGAUAAUUUCAAACCACACCCGUUAAGCAAUCGUUUUGGUUGCUGAUUAACAUUGUUCUUUAAUGGAGGCAGUCGCUCAAUCUCAAGUUCUGUGACAGGAAGUGUCCUCCAUGAGCUGAAAUCACUAGCCUCAAGAGGAAUUGAGAAAUUCAAAUCUCUUCCAGUAAGCUCCAUCCACUUCUUGCAUUCUCCCUCGUCUAGGCCAGCAAAAUUGGGUGAAGGAACAACUUCUAUUCCAUGAACACAUUGGGGAUUAGACAGACCCCUAUAGUGUUUCCUCUGCAUUCUAUGAGAUCGAACAAACCCCUUAUCAGCACUGAAUGGAAAUGGACGUUCUCCUUGGCGUGAAUGACCAUUCAUGUAACUCCUUAGCUGCAUUUUGCCUAAUGCGUUAUCAGGCCUAUCCUUGAAAACCCACAUAUACAUAUUCUCCAUAUCAUGCUGAACCAAAAAGACAUCCAGCUUCAAAUCAGUUUUAUCAUACCCGGAAACUCCAUUAGUGUCCCGCACAGCAAUCUUAGACUUAGACUUCUCAUUUAAAGCUGGCUUAAAGUAAAAAUUAAAGAAAAACCAAGCACCCCACACACUGUCAAGCCGUUUAGCACACUUCUUUCCAACUUUAGUCAAAUUAAUAUGUGUCUCCGCCUCAUAAUGCUGAGGAGCAUGGCUAACAUCUAAGAUAUCACAAGCAUCAUUCCAAGAAGGCGGCGGCGGACUCGGUUCCGCUGACAAAGGGAGAUUAAUAUCUGGAGGACUCGAGACAUUAAUUGCACGAUUCAAUUCUCUCUCAAUUUCCUCAUGAGACGACAAACUCGAAUCCAUGGACAACAAAGUACACAAAUGACUAUCCAUAGAUAAUGUAGUAAUUACAGCUCCCCCCAUCUUUUCUUUCGUUGGCAUAAUUGUCGCUACUUCGGUGGAAUCAAUAGUCCCACCACAGUCAACACUCAAAAGCAUGAGCACCUCACACACAUAUUCACCCUCUAAUUCUAACCAAUCAAGAAACUUCCAAAGACGACCCUAAUCAAUUGACAACAUACCGAAACACCAUAACCACCUCAAAGCCAUUCUAAACUAAACCCUAAGAGAGAGAAAAACCAAAAAACAAACCAACCAAUUCAGAGAAAACCCAUCAAACCCCAAAACCUAUAAAACCAAUCAAACCCCUUAAAAACCAAAAAAACACCAAGAACUGAUUAGAUUGAACUAAAAUAUAGAAUUAUUCUAAGCAAUCAAUCAAUCCACAGCAUACCCAAAAUCCCAAAAACACUUCAUAGCCAUUCUAACCCAAUCUAAGCUCAAACCCAACAGAUCAAAUCAAUAAAAACUAGCCUAAACCCAAUAAAGAUCCAAUCUUUAAGAUUCAAACAACCCAAUAAAGAUCCAAUCUUUAACACUCAAGAUAUCAAACUAACCUAUAAAACACACAGAUUUCAAAGAUUUCUUAAAUUAGCAACAGGGCGUCCAAUCUUUAUCUUUAGCAAAAGUAAGAUAAAGAGAAGAAAUCAAAGAAAGAAUAGAACGGUACCUUUGAAGACAACGCAUUGAUCCACAAAAUGAGGGAGAUUGAGAGAGAUGAUUGAAAGAGAAACAAAGAGAGAGGAGAGAAAGAGGAGAAGAUGGGGUUAACGGAGUUAGUUUAUAGAGAGAUGGAGUUGGGACCUGCACCAGUUAGAACCGGUGAGGAAGAUAACGGAGGGGCGUUAAAAUAGACGGUGGGAAUGAUGAGAUAGAGAAAUGUAAUUAUUACUAUUAUAUGCAUGUAUGUUAAUGUUGUUGAGAUAAGAGAAGUGUCAAACUAGGCGUCUGUCUGAGUGUGUGAUUGGUUGUAUAAUGUAUGCAAGACUUUUGUGUAAUGUAGGUAACCCUAAACGGGAGUUAUGUUGUGUAUACGUAUACAAGGUUAUCUCUAUUAUGUUGUGUGGCUUUCACUUUUGCCGACUGUGGUAAGGUUAGUUGUGAUGAUAAGUCAUGUAUACGAUUUAUUGCAAAUACAAGUAGUGCGAUUUCGUUUUUUUUUACAAAGAUAAGAAGAUUUCAUUAACUUGAAUAUAAUACAGCUGGAAUAAACCCUCAACUCUUGAUAGUAUAAUGGAUCAAAAUUUAUUAAUAUCGUAAAAGAAUAAUAUUAUAUAUCAAAUUAGAUAUAAAAUUUGUUAUAGAAUAAGAUGACGUGACAUUGAUAAUGUGAUAUUUCCGAAUGACUUAAUCAGAAUAUUCAAAUAUACAUGAACAUAUCAUUUAAGUUAUAAUUAAUAAAAAUAUAAUAUGUGUCAUUUUGUACAUGUUUUUUUAAUUUAAUUUAAUAUUUUUAACAUUUUCUAUUAUAAAAUAUUGAAAUUUGAUAUUAUGUGUCACUAAGCGAUAUUUUGUGUGUAUUCAAUAUACAUGUCAUCUUAACUAAAUGACGUUGAUGAUGAUAAUUAACUGAACUAAAAUAAAAAAAAAUUGAUUAACUAAUUAUCCAAUAAAAUAAUAUUGUGACGAGCAAUUUGAAGUGACUGUAUAUGAUAUAUAAAAUGAUAUAUGUUAACUGCUUCAGCAAUAUCGAGGUUGCGUGAGACAUAAUCAGCCUCUUAUUAAUAGAUAUGAGAAGUGUGGAAAAUAUAAAUGAAUGAUGUUAGAUAAGGGAGAAGGAUAUUAGUAAAGUCUAUAUCUAUAACUUAUAUGACGGUAAUUUUGAUAAUAUUCAUGAUUGGAAUCAAGAGUCUCGAUGAUUUUUUUUGCCGAAAUGUGCUAGUUGUGUGUUAUUUUAGACGGAGAUUAGACUUUUGAGUUGUCUCCUUGUGAUCUUAUGAUCUCUACUCAUGAUUUCCUCAUUUGCUUAUAUACGCAUAUAGGGACGGAUCUAGGGAUUUUAGUCAAGUGGGGGGGGGGGGGGGGNNNNNNNNNNNNNNNNNNNNNNNNNNNNNNNNNNNNNNNNNNNNNNNNNNNNNNNNNNNNNNNNNGGGGGGGGGGGGGGGGAAUCACUUUUUAGAGACAAAACGAGACAAAUUUUCAUUUAACCAAAAUGGUUUGAGUUGAUUGAUGAGUUAAAAUAUAAAUUUAUGAUAAGAAAUAUACAAAAUAUGAACAGAAAUACUGAUAUUAGCCCAGCCUUAUGGGACUGCUGAGAGCAUGAGACAAGUAAAUAUUAGAACAGAAGGGGUUGAGACACGAGAGAUAUUAGCCCAGCCUUAUGGAGCUGUUGAGAGCCUGAGACAAGCAAAUAAGAUAUUAGCCCAGCCGAAAUUCAGAUCGAACCGAAAUUCUAAUAUUUUCCGGACCGUACCGGACCGAAAUUCUAUUAUGAACCGAAACGAAAUAAUUCGGUACGGUCCGGCCAAAAGAACUGAAAACUAAAAUAAAAAUUACAUUAUAAAUAAAUUUAAAUUUUAUGAAUUAUUUUAAAAAAUAAUAUUUAUUUAUCACCAACACUUCAUAAAAAAUAGAUUUAAUUAAAUUUACAAAUUACAUAUUAUUAUUAUAGUAUAUAAGAUAUAUAUAAAAUAUAAAUAUAUAUUAUAUAUUGUUUGGACUAUUCUAUCUAUUCAGUCUGGACCAAAAUAUUUAUUUAAGGACCGGAUCGAACCGAAUUUUUAUUUUGGUCAAUUCGACCCGAACCGAAUAGACCGAAUUUUCAGAAAAUCAAAACACUUCAGUUCGGUUUUCCGCUUCCACUUUAAUUUUGCUCACCCCUAUUAACAAUUACUCUAUUUUUUAGUUCGAUGUUGGAUCUCUAUUCGCUCUCAUCUCAUUAAUAAUGAUGAAUUGAUGAUCUUUCUGCAUGCAAAAGCUCCACACUAGAAAGACCUUUGUUAUUUUGAGCAUGAAUAUUUCAACUUUUUAUUUAAUUCGAUUCGAUACGAUACGAAACUUUUUAUGGCCCGGUUGACAUCAUCAUCACAUACUUAUAUAAUUAGUUAGAGAUGCAACAGUGAGUUUAUAUAUCUAUAUCAAUAAUUGGCUAAUUCUGCUGUCAAAUUAUAGUUUUAGUCAUCCAUAAUCUUCUGACGCGGUGUUUAGAUUUCUAAUCACCUCUUUGUAAGGCCAGUUAUCCGACACACCCACACUCCAUGUUUGUUUUUUCGUAUAUUUUAGUUGGGUGACCUAUUAUGGCACCUAACUUAUCUUUAACAUAUUGUUUAUGUAAUUAUAUAUUUUGUUGUCUACAUGAAAAUGCGGAUAUUCCUUUAAUAUAUUUAUGAAUAUCCGAUUUGGGUCUUAAGAUAAUUAUUUAAAAAAAUAAUCUUUAUUGUUUUGUAAGAUUUAGUCAAUAUGAUUGCAUUUAUCAACAAACUAUACAUAGCUUAGCAGCAUACUAUAUGCUAUCCUUCUUCUCAGUUUUCGGAUUUUUCAUGGUUGUUACUCUCAUCUCAAAUAUUAAUGAUCAUACUGAUUAAACUUUAUUUGAAAAAAUAUUAUGAUAUAUAUAAUAUAAAGAAAUUAAAAAGUAUAACUAAAUAUCUUGAUAUUAAUUUUUUCAGAUUAUAUACUUCUCGUCCUUCUGAUUACUUUACGGUUCUUUUACAUUUCUUUACAUUUAUUUUAAAGUGCAUAUAGUUUCAUAAUUUUUUAAAAUUUUAUAUAAAUAUUUAAACAUUAAUUUUUUAUUCAGAUAACAAAAAAAUUAAAAUAAUUUAUAAAACUAUAUCUUUUAUAAAAAUAUUAAAAUACCUGUCAAGCUCCCAUUACACAUAUUAUGAUAAAAAGUAUAUGGUCAAAGAGAGUAGUAUAUAGAAUCCGUAAAAAAAAAAAAAAAAUAAACACAAUAAUCAUAUUGAUUUUUCUCUUUUUAAGAGUAAGUUUUGAGAGAGAAAAUGAAAUUUUAAAAUAUUUUAAAAUCAUCAUAUAAGAAAUAUUAAAAGCAACAUAUAAAUCAGAACUAUAUAAUUUUGAUUAAAAAGAGUAUUUUACUAGUUAUCUACGAAAAUAUAGAUUGCGGUUAACCUAUUUGAAUGCGUCAUCUAACAAGUGUUUAGUUACUUAAACACUCAACAUGCUAAAAGUGGACAUAUCAUCAAAUAGUAUAAGGGUAGACUUUUCCCUUAUAUAUUUUUGUAUUAUACACACAAUGUAUAAAUUUACGUAUAGGCUAGUGGUUUCCAGAGUAGUUUUUUUUUUUUUGAUAAGCAGCAUUAAUAUUAAUAUCUCGGAAAGUCUUACAGCAAGUGUACUAAGCCACCAAAAGGAUGCACACAUGCAUCUGCCACCUAACCUUGCAGCAAAACAACUAAAGAACCUAGAGAACCUACAUAGCCAACAUGACUUCCAUAAUCUUAGCAAGAGGGUCCGAGACCUAACAUAGAACUGAACAGUUAAUAAACCGAAAAGCUAAUAAAAGCGACAAAAGAUAUGAAAGGCUAGAAGUGGUCAGAUGCUCGCGCUCCUACGCAGCUUUCUAACCCUUAACCCAGCAAGUGUAGCAUGAGAGACAUCGCGCUUUCGUUUGAGUGUUGGGGCAGGGGGAGGACCAUCCUCAACUUCUCCCAGGCCAAAGUUAGGAGCCACUUCAUCGAUCGGAGCCUGCAGCACCAUCCCCAUAUCGCGAUCCACAUGAUAUUUCAGGUCACCAAACCAGCCCGGGGUUUCAGCGAAAACAGAGAGAUGCUGUAACCCAUAGUCUGCUAGAUACCGAGCAGUUGAGUUCAUUUCAGUGGGAAUCCAUAUGAUCUUCCUAUUUGUGGUGUUCACCUUGAAGUGGUUGGCAUGCACUGUGUUGAAUAGCCUGAAAGGUUCCAGUUGGUCAUCACGCAAGAAAACAUGCUCUUGAGUUGAGAUAGUUUCAAAAGUGUUAUGGUUGGACGUUUCUAUAAGCGUCUUUUCCCAUUUUUUGUGCACAGAUUCCACACACGCCGCUUGAAUGCCAGCCAUGAUCGCCUGCUCUUCAUUCAGCCCAUUCAUUGGACCUGAGGCAGUCCACACAUUUGCACCAGCAUCAUCACGGGCAAUCACACCCACCCCUAUUGAGUUUCCAUUAGCGAGAGGCUCAGGAAGAACUUCACAAUGGACAUUAAUUUUAAUGUAACCCUCGUCAGGAAGCUCCCAAGUGACAUCCAUUAAAAACAAAGUGAAAGGAGAGUGAAAAUAGAGAAGGAAAGAGGUGAGUGAGAGAAGAUUAGAAGGAGAGAUGAAUAUAUAGUCAACUUGGGGCAGAGAAAAGGAAAGCAAAUAUACAGGUAAUUGCUACAACCCCUGGACACGGAGAAGAGACCGAUGGACAAUGCACUGGCUCGACUGCAGAAGUUAACGUUGGAAAAGCCAGCAAAUCUGAGAUUAGCCGCCAAUUUUAGAGGAAAUCUUUCAUUGGUUCCCUAAAAUCAGAGACCCCCUCUAAAAAAGCUGGCAUGAACAGUAACAUUGAAAAUGUCAAUACUAAUAGAGCUGUUCCAUGCAUUUGAAAUAGGUUAACUAGCAGAACAACAAAGAAAUGCCCGGGAAAGUGAGAUGGCAAAAUCCAGGGGUCAAGUGUCAAUGUGACUUGAGGCCCAAUAGCAAUGAAAGUUAGGCCUGUUAAGCCCAUCUUUGGCCAACUGGUCUGCAGAAUGAUUAAAAGUACUGGGGACAAAUUGGAUGCUAACUAGUCCUGCCAGCAGUUGGAGAAUGUCAAAGUCCGGUUGUAGUAGUGGGAAUGAAUCGGAUAAUCCUCUGUAUAUAGCAUUUAUAGCUCCAGUAGAGUCAGAGCAUACAACCACCCUUUUGUUAACUAAUUUACUGGAUUGAAUGUAGUUAAGGACAUGUAGAAUGGCCAUAACUUCUGCCUCCAGCACAGAGAAGGCUGGAACCUGGCCAGAGAAGCAGUAAAGAGUUUGUUUGCUGCUAUUUUUGAUACAACCUCCCACCGCACAACAUAACUUUCCCCAAGCAUUAACAUUUUUUGCACCAUCAACCAUGCAGAUGUAAUCAUAAUUUUGGUAUUUAAAAUCCCAGAACGACAUUGAAAUGGUGUGGUGAUGUAUAUUAAUUGCACCAAUUGGGUUCACCUUCCACAGAGGAUCAUCCCCAAAAUUCAUUAGAUUCGAAGCAAGUCCCCAUUUAGAUGAACGAAUGAAAAUAAUCUCUUUCAUGGCUGCUCUCGAAGUUCUCUUAGAUUGGAAAAUAAGCUCAUUUCGCGUCAGCCAAAUUGUCCACAAAGUAGCUGCAAUCACCAUUCGCCAAAUUGGAGAGACAUGUUUCUUGUGAAUUAGGCUAAAUAAUGAGUGUAGAGAAAAUUUGGGCACUCUGGCUAGUUGUGGCUUGAGGCUCCACCACUGUCCAACAUAAUCCCAAGCCCAUAUGGCUGGAGUGCAUUCCCAAAACACAUGGUUUACAGAUUCUACUUCAGAGUCACACCAAGGACAAAGUGCAGACAAAUUCUUUAGCCGGACACUGAGAAAAGACUUGGUUGGGAGAAUGGCCCAAGCAAGUUUCCAUAGGAAAGCGGUAAUUCUUGGGGGUACUUUUAUAGCCCAAAUGCAGUUCCAAUGCUUGGAUGAAGUGGAGGACGAGUGAUUAAUCCCCAGUUGAAAGAAACCCUCUCUAGAGGAAUAUGAGCCCUGGUUGGGUAUCCACUUGAGAACAUCCUCCAUGUCAUCUAACAAGAUUGCCUGCAGGUGAAAAGUGAUAUAAGAAAUAGAUUCCAGAUCACUGCUAGAGAGCUGUUCUGCCCAAAGUUUCACCCCGGUUUCUCCUUGUAGCCAGAUACCAACUACUGAGCGAACAAUUGUUAAACGCAUUGCUGAUUUUUUAUAUAGGCAGGGAAAAAGGACUGAGAGUGGUUCAUCUCGAAGCCAGCUGUCUUCCCAGAAAAGUACUCUCCUGCCGGAUCUAACUCUCCAUUUAAAAUUCCUCCUUUGUACUAGUGGUCCAACUCUCGAAGUGUUAAAAACCGAGAGCAUACUUUUUAUGACUGGAGAGGUCUUAGACAUUUCAACCUUGGAGAGGUCAUAGUUCCACUCCUUACCAUAACGCUGGACGAAGAAGUUGUUCCAAAAACAACCACGUUCCUUGUAGGCUCGCCAAACCCAUUUCGCCAACAGGAGAUUGUUUUUUAAAGAUAUAGGAACUAAACCUUGGCCUCCAGCACUCUUUAAUUGACAAAUACUCUCCCAAUUUAAUAGGUGCAUCUUUUUUUCUGAGUCCUUAAAUUGACCCCAGAAGAAAUUUCGACGCAUUUGUUCGAUAAUGUUGACAAUUUGAGAAGGCAUUUUAUACAAGCUGAACCAGAAAAGGGGCACGCUAUCAAUUACUGCUUUGAGAAGCACCACUCUCCCGGCAAUGGAAACUUUCGAAGCAUCAAAGGACUGCAACUUCCUUCGAAGUUUGUCAAUCAGAGGGGUCCAGAAGGAGAUAGAAUGUGGAGACGAACCAAUCAUUGCUCCAAGAUAUUUGAAAGGUAGGGACCCAACUUGACACCCCAGAACUCCAGCCGAAUUUGUUAAACGUGAAGUCGUUGUAUGAAAACCGAAGAGCUGACUUUUUGAGAAGUUUAUUUUUAACCCCGACAAUAGUUGAAAACAUUGUAGUAUCCUCUUGAUCCCAUACACUGAGCCUUCAUCUCCUUCAAGAAACAGAAUGACAUCAUCCGCAAAUUGCAGAUGAGUUAAAGAUUCAGAACAGCCCAGAAGAGAUAUUCCUUUGAAAAUUUUUUGAGCCUCGCCUCUGCAAAUCAAUUGAGAUAGUACUUCCCCCACCAGAUUGAAGAUUAGAGGGGAUAAGGGAUCCCCUUGGCGGAGGCCGCAUUUAGGACUAAACUCAGCUGUAGGUGAUCCAUUUACGAGGAUCGAAAUUUGAGAGGAAUCAAAAAUUUGUUGAAUCCAGUUGAUCCAUAGAGAGCUAAAAUUCAUCUUGGCUAAAACCUCAUAAACAAAAUCCCAAUUAACACGAUCAAACGCUUUCUCGAAAUCAAUUUUGAAAAUCAUUCCGGAUGCAAUCUUCUUUUGUAGCAUGAAUACAAUUUCAUUGGUGAGAAGUAUACUAUCCGAAAUUUGUCGUCCCCGAAUGAAACCUGAUUGUUGCGGGCCAACCAGAAGGUUCAUAAAUUUACUAAGCCUGAUCGACAAGACCUUCGUAAGGAGUUUCACUAAAGCAUUCAUGAGACUGAUUGGUCGAUAUUCCGAACAUUUCAUCGGCUGUAGUACUUUAGGAAUUAGAGCUAUGAAAGAGGAGUUGCAUCCUUGAGGAAGUGAACCAGUAGAAUGAAAAUUUUGAAAAAACAGCAGGACCUCAUGCUUUAUCUCAGGCCAUAGAAGAGAUAGAACGCCAGCAUUUAUUCCAUCAGGCCCCGGAGCCUUGGUCUUUUCCGUAGAAGACAGAGCAAAUUCUAUUUCGGUUAAUGUGAAUUUGGCAUCUAGAAAGCUACACUGGCUCGGGGACAGAGUAGACAAAGAGCACGAGCCCAGAUUGAAGACCAUCCUUGGAGGCUCCUUUGCUAACAAAUUGGAGAAGUGAGAGUAGAAAGCUUGCUUGAUUUCAACCGCCCUGGUAAGAGUUACUUGCUCAUACUCGAUUUUUCGAAUAGUGUUGUGAGCCCUGCGUUUAGCUAUAGCCCGAUGGAAGAAACGAGUAUUCUUUUCCCCAUAAAGCUGCCAGCUCGUUUUGGACCGUUGACAUAACAUACGAGACCUUAUCCUGUAUAACUUAUCAAGAUCGAACUGGCAUUUGGUUGAUGAUUUCGGGUUUGAAAGUCCAUUGUCUUCCCUAUCCCGAGCUGUCUCUGCUUCCUUUAUUUUGAUAUCUAUAUUACCCAUCUUGGUAGAAUUCCACCUCUUAACAGCCUCUCUUAACGACCUGAAUUUAUGAUGAAUAUUGGAGGACUGCGAGUUCUUCCAUGAAUUUCGUAAAGUAUGAGCGAGUGUGUCAUCUUCCAGCCAGCAAUUAAAGAACUUGAAAGGGCGCGGACCCCAAUCCUGAGUAGAAGUUUUGAGUAAAAGCGGCUUGUGAUCAGAUAAUUUCCGACAAAGAGCCUGAAUGCCCCAGUCUCCAGACAUAAACCACGCAGGAGAUACUAAUGCCCUGUCAAGACGACCUUUCUUAGGAGAGGGACCAAACCAAGUGAACGUGGAAUUGAGUAUUGGGAUAUCAGCUAACCCACAGGAAUUUAGGAAAGAGUUAAAAGCAUCCGAGAGCGCAUGUGAAUGAUUACAACCAAACCUUUCAUCUGCAGAACGAACCACAUUGAAGUCUCCAAGUAAACAGACGUAGGAUUCAUCUAGUAGUCCUAAUGCAGUACUAAGAUCAGCCCAAAGUUGCAGUUUAUCUCGAGCACCUUGAGGUGCGUAGAUAUUAAAACACGCAAAGCGGGUGGAAUUAGAAAUCAUGGUGCCUCUAAUUAAUAACCAAUGACGGGAAACUUCAGACGAGCUAAUGUUUACCUCUGCUGUGUUCCACACUGUAAGAAGGCCCCCCGAAAGGCCUCGAGCCGGAAAUUCAGCCCAUCCUGGAUCGUGGCCCAUACCUAAUCUUUUCACUGUAUUUGAGUCCCACAGAGUACAUUUUGUUUCCUGCAGACAACAAAUGACUGCCUUUGAAGAUUCGUUUAGUAAUCUGACAAAUUGACGACUAUCAGAGCUGCAAGCACCCCUGACAUUCCAGCUUAAGAAAGAGUGUGUAUUCAUAAAAACUUAAACAAUGAAGUAGAGAGAAACGAGAGAGAUUAAGCAGCCAGAUUCUGCCGGAUGAGUUCCAGUGAUUCUUGCCUCGAAUUAUUAGGGAGUAAUCCCAUCAGUAGUCCAGUUUCCAAAAUGGAUUCUGCCUCAUCAGUUGAGUUGUUAAGAAAGAAAUGUGAAAUCUGUUGAAGACCUUCCCCUUUUUUCCUUCUACGUUUCGGAAGUUUGAAAGAUUUGUUAAUCUUGUUUGAGUUGAGUUUACGAGGGCGUCCUCUCCUCCCUUUCACUUUCAGUUUAUCCAGAUCUUGCAAGAUGUCCAUACUCCUAUCCUGAAUUGAGAUAAAUUCAUCCAAGGAUUCCUCAUCCACAACUGAUCCAUUGGAAUCCGAAGCAUUUAAUGGGUCUGAGGGUGAGGUAUCUCUAUCACGGGGAAGCCAAUUUGUUGUGACCAAUGUGAUAGGAGACUCUUCUGAAAAGGGUGUUAGGGGGUUUAUGUCAGAGUUGGAAACUUCCCCUGCUAAGUUUUCUUCUUCAGGAAUAGUGAUAUCGCCACACCCCUCAUCCGUCAAGGUGUGGGUCUCAAUCUCUGAAUCAAUUAGAACUACAUUCCCAGUUCUAUUUUCCUCCAAGAUUACCUCUUCAUCUAAGAUCUCUUCCUCAUCUUCAGCAAGUAUUUCCUGAACUUCCUCUUCAUCAUCAACUAGUUCAUGAUCAUUGAAGUGAUUAUGCUCGGGAAGGGCAGUUGAUCCUGCUGGGUUACUUGAGAUUGACAUACAUUCCCCCUCAGAUUUCUUAGUGGAUUCGCAAGACCUCCUUGACUGAAUGAAGUCAUUAGCAGGAGAAUCCCGGGAAUAACUAAAAAAAUCAUUUGGAAUAGCAUCAUUUAGUUGAGACAAGGCCCCGGUUGUUUCCAGAAAACGUACCUUCCAGAUUUUUCCCAUGAGAUUAAUGUAUUUGAUUUCAUCGAUCUCAGAAACGCUCUGUGUUUCUAACAGGAAUUUUGGGGUUUGGUAGAAAUCCUCCUCAUCACGAGUUUUACCGAACUGAAGAAUGGUUCCAAAGCUACUAAGAAUAUUCUUGAAAUUAUCUUCCUUCCAACCAACAAUAGGCAAACCUCUAACUUCGACCCAUGUUUUCCGUGAUGGGAGGAGAUCAUCCAAAUGCAGGUCACGAACCUCAGCAAACCCAAUCUUUAGGAACUCUCGAUCAGUAUCUUGCAGAUCCAUGUAGUGCGGGAAAUAAGCAAUGAACCUAUCCCCAGAUAAACCUCUGAUUAGAGCAUUGACCGCACCUAGUCCCUCCGCAAUCAUACCCACAGUGUCUGUUGUUUCAUGUUUGACUGUCCUCAGGAAUAAGCUAUUUUCCAUGAUAUGAAUAAAAUCUUCGUCCGGCAAGAGCUCUACUGAGGCAGGGGGGGAAGGGAGAUCCCGAGGCAAUGAGUGACUUACAGAUUUAGGGGACUCAGGUGGGGUAAUAUGUACCUUUGGAGCCCGCGUAGAACUAGCAGAUUUAGGGGGCUGAGAGGGAGGCUUUUGAGCACCCUUAGCUUUAGCCAGAUAUAAUUUCCUUGAGCCAAUAAGUUUGCCAUUAAGAGCGGAAAUGAUGUUGUCAGCCUGUUUCUCAUCGGACACCAACAAGAACCCAAAUCUAUUGCCAAAUUUGUCUCUUUUCCGAGGCAGAAUAAUAUCCCUAAUUUUCCCUUCCUUUUUAAAGAGAGACCAUAGAUCUUUCAUAUGGAGGCUAUCAUCCAAUUCUGUAAAGAAAAUGGAUGAUUUAGGCGCCAUAUCACCCUUCUUUCGGGAAGAUUGGGAUUUUGGGGGAGGGGAUCGUUUAACAGUAGGGGACGGCCUUGCUGAAUUCUUAAGCAGAGCCUCUCUGAAAGUUUGUGAGGGAGACUGAGGAAGGGGUUUCGUUGAAGCGUGAUCACCCGUCAGCGAGUGAUGGUGGAUCUGUCCUAGAGCUAGGGAGAGGGCCUUGUCAUUACCACCUAAUGCGUCUUUAAGUACACCAGGCUCCACCAUAGAAGCAUGAACUUUGAGAAAAUCAUAAGUGAUGAUCUUUUGUUCUUCCACCAUGUAAUCCUUUUUAUUGGGCGAAAUAAACUUUGGUUUCUUUUGUAUUGGCCUAGCGCUGAGAGAGCCAAAAUGAAUCUGAUGGAGGGCCAUACGGACUCCUUCUUGGUCUCCAUUGCUAGCUUUAGCGAUUGUAUUUGGAUGUACCAAAUCCGCAUUCGCCCUUAUAAAGUUUAAAAGAGUAGUGUCAUUAUUAGCUUCAGAAUACUGACCUUGAGAUAGUUGCCGGAAACCAUUGAUGUAGAGGGCUGAGUCUUGAGAAUGUGGCUGAGAUUGCUGAAGGUUGACCGGGCGGACCCUAGAUCCCUGUUUCCCCCUUUUCGCCAUAACUCCUGCUUGUGCUUGAAGCUCUGAAACAUUUGCUCCUUUGUUAUCUGCUCUCUCGCCUUUCGUCAUUGAAAUCCCCUUUUGCUCCUGCCUUGCUAAUUCUAUAGAUCCAUAAUGAAUUUGAUUUAGAGCCAUUCGCACUGCCUCUCUCUGCCCUUGUAAUGCCUCUAUCCUUGUAUUUGGGUGAAUUAGAUGCUCAUAAGCUGAUAAGAAAAGGAGGAGAGGAUCCAUAGUAGCAGAAUCUCCUUCCUUGUCAUUCCUUUCAAUUUCUAGGUUUGAAGCCUUCUCCCACCACCCAUUAUUGUAGAGGAAUUCAUGUAUACUCCACAACGCCUCCUCAUCUCCCUUGACUCCUUCUUCUAACAACUCUCUUGAAACCACUCCCAAGAGAAAGUCCACCUUUGCCUCUGCCAUGGGUAGCAGAGCAUGAUUCCCUUUGUUAACUGCUGCCACUAAUUCAUGAUCAAGCAAGAACCAGAAUUUAUUGAUUGUUUCCAGCUGCUGUUGCUUUUUAAUUUCCUGUUCCGAGUUAUUUCCAAGCUGUGCUUCCUUAAAACCAGAUGAAAAGCUUCCAUUCCCUAGGUUGGUUGCUCCCUUACUCUGAAUCUCACUUCCUUUACUACUCUUCUCGCCGGAGGUGCCCUUGGAGUUGUUAUUACCUAGCGGUCCGUUGUUGGGUUUUGUGACCGUUGAAGCCAUAUUUAUAUCCAUGUGCAACUUUCCUUUUUCGGUUUCCAGAGUAGUUGAGGGAGUAGAGGAUGGCGAGUUGAUAUGAUAAUUGGAGCUUUUGAUGAAGAAAGUGGGCAUGUAACGAUAUUUGCGAGUAGAUUCUCCAGAUAUUUCGUAACAUGGGUUGGUUAUUUAUUUUCAUUAUUUUAUUUUAUUUGUUGUGGAAAUGAGAGAGCACGUGGCUUCUUAGUGGUGGUAGCCUGCCUUAUCAACAUUGUAACCUCAGUUAUCACCUUUCUCAACUUGGUAUUAUUUUAUUGUCGAGAGAAAAUGAAGGCCUUUUUCUUUGGUUAGCCAAACUUUAGUUUUAUGCAUGUGACUAUGUGAGUUAAUAUACUUGUACUUUCUCACUUUUUAGUAGAGCGAGACUUGUUGUUUACAACUUUAUUAUGAAUAUAAAUGAAUUUAGAAUGUGGAAAACAAGUGUAGAAAUAUGGGAAAGCUUGCCCAAGUUGGCAAGUAAUGCAAUCAACUACCCACUUGAAGUUGAAUAACCUAUAUUAAUGAUUUGAAUUAGAUCUUCGAUAUUUUGAAAAUAUAUGUUUCUCAAAUAUGUAUAUUAAAAUAUAAUAUGCUGUGAACUCGAUUUUAAUUUUAAUUUUUAAAAACACAAGUAAGGAAUCAUAGUUUCAUUCUCACAUCCCUAUGUACUCCCUCAGUGCCGUUGAGUUGUUAAUGUUCACCGUUUACACGUAUUUUGAGAUUCUUAUAAAGUAUAGUUCUACAAAAAAAUUUUAAUUUAUUUUUUUUGAAUAAAAAUUUAAAUAUUCAGAUUUUUUUUUGGGAAAAAAAACAUCAUGAAACUAUAUUUUAAAGAGAUCUUAAAAAACAUGCCAAAAAGUAGGGCUGGCAAUUUCGGGUUUCGGGUCGGGUUCGGGUCGGGUUGACAGUCGCGGGUCAAAAAAUUUACCCAACCCGAACCCGACCCGAAAAUUUAAUGGGUCAGAAUACUCAACCCGAACCCGACCCGCAUUACCCGCGGGUAACCCGAACCCGACCCGAAAAUUAAUAUUUAUUAAUAAAAAUAUUUUUUAAAUAAUAAAUAAAUAUUAUUUUAAUCCAAAUAAAUUAAUUUUUAUUAAAUUAAAUAAUUUUAUAUUAAAUUUAACUAAUAAAUUUUAUAAAAAUAAUAUAAAUAAUAUAAAUAUAUAUAAUAUUUAUAUUAUAUAUUAAUUUUCGGGUAAUUUCGGGUCAAUUUCGGGUAACCCGAAUUCAACCCGAAAAUGACCCGAUUUUUCUGGGUUGAUUUUGGGUCAACCCGAAUUAGACCCGAACCCGAAAACCCCCAACCCGAAUUCGUAUUUUGCGGGUCGAAUUCGUGUCGGGUUGUCGGGUCGGGUCCAAUAUUGCCACCCCUACCAAAAAGUGAUGUUAACAAUCCAACGAGACGGAGGGAGCUACGAGUUUUGAAAGAAGUCCCGAAGCUCCCUAAAAUUAUGACUCAAUGUGAUUUAUCAACGAGUAGUGCUACAUGCACAAAAUUAGGUACAUAAUUUUAUACAAAAUGAUAUGACAAUCUAGGUGAGAAAUUUUAAUGGGUGCUAUUAAUACAUAUGUAGGGGCAUUCCAAUCACAAGUUAACACAUACUCAUUCUGUGAAUGUUUUUGUCCCUAAUUCUGAGUAUGUAGCAUUUUCCUUUAACAAUUAUCGUGAUUUAAUGUGAUAAGUGGGAAAUUUAAAAUAUCUAUUUGGAUAAUUUUUGAUUUAUUAAUGACAUUAUGAGUUAUUAAAAAUAUAAUACUAGAAAUAAAGAUGAUUUAUGGGUAACUUAUGUUUUAUGAGUAAUUUUUAUCUAAAAAAUUGUUUUUAAAAAAUAAAUCAAAUAUCUCAAACUAACUUCUGUCUUUAAAUCAGUUUCUGAUUUGUUUUUAAUUUUAAGCAGACUUCUAACUUAUUACCCAAAUAAAUAUUUUGUACGCGCCAAUAAGAUCAACAAAGGCAUUCGUGACACUGGUGGGACACGGAAGUCAUGGGAAGUCAUUGGUCUGAGGCUUCGGGUGAAACCAAUAAUUAGCUCAAAAUGGAAAAUGACUUAAAUCCUGAAUUUUAAGUCGAGAUAAAUAGCAUUUUAAUAUCUUUUUUCCGGUCUAAUUUUUUAUGAACAAAAAUACAUUACACCGUGAUCAAAUAGUUUUUUUGUAUGAACGAAAAUGCAUUAUAAUGUGAUCAACUCAUAAUUGGAUGAACAAAAGCACAGUACAAUGUGAUCACCUGACGUUGGAUGAACGAAAACACGUUAGAAUGUGCUUAGUUUUGAUUAUUGUUUAUACAUCGUAUUCCAUUUCCCUAAAGAAUUGAUUAACCUUGAAAAGGGCCGGCAGCUUUUUUGAAUUGUGUUUUGGUUGAUAGUUUAAUAAUCCAGGAGGUUGCCCACUAACUUAGAACUCCAAGUCUCCCACCAGUUCGUUAUAAGUUUCAAAUGUGUUAAAUUUCCGUAGCCCAUUUCAAACACGGCCCAAAAACUAUUGCAACAAGAUCUUUCAAAAAUAAAUAAUUGACCUUGUCUGAAUGUCUGAUAUCAGAAGUCCAGAUUCCAAUUGCCAAAUGGGGUCCCAGAAAACGCCAAUUUUUCUUAAACAACAAACAUGUCCAAACUAUGAGAGCAAAUCCAAGAUGAGACAAACGUUACAUUUAAAAUAUCUGUCAAACAUUAUUUAAGGGUCUUUUGAUGUCAAUGAACAACUAUUUUUUUGGUAGUAGAGAUUUUUGAGCAUGCAAAAAACAUCAUUAUUAAUGAGAUUGAAAUCGACACAAAUAUGUCAACUAACUAAAAAUUGGUUGUCAGGGUGUGUCCUAGAAAACCGAACAUUUAAUAAUGUUCCAUAUUUUCCCCUAGCUGCAGGCCAACACACUCAGUUUCCAACUCCUCUGCAUCAUGGCACAAGACAAUGAAGGCAGCUCUAGUUCCAUCGUGCCCAAACUAGUCAUCCUCUUAGUCGCCAUAGCUUGUGCUGGCUUCAUAAUUGCGUUGUACCAUUGCAUCCGUGUCGGUUGGUGCACACAAUACCAGCAACGUCCCCCUCUGCAACCGCGAAAUAGGCCUUUUCCUUUCAGACGCGAGGAGCAGCAGAGCAGCGUUGAAAAUUCUAUUGCAGAGCUCAUUCCUGUACGUAAAUUUAGCAAGACUAAUUUGGACUUGGAGGGCGGGGAUAACCAUACGUGCUCCAUUUGCUUGUGUGAAUUCGAAGAAGGGGAGGAGCUACGUACAUUGCCCGAAUGUGUUCACUCUUUUCAUGUAAGUUGCAUUGAUAUGUGGUUUUAUUCGCAUACUAGUUGUCCGUUGUGCAGAACUGAUGCUACGCCAUCUCCACGGGGACUCAUACAUUAUUUGGAGUUGAAUUCGGAAAGGCCAGCUCCAAGGCAAGGUUUAGAAUCCAGUGAAGUUUGAGUUUGUUUUAUUGCCUAUAUUCUGAACUUGUGUCAGCCUUCUUGAACUAAAUUUUAUUUUAUCAAUGAGAUCGUCUCCUCAAUUGGGACUUUGGGGAAGUGAAAUCGUAGUGUUUUUUUUUUCGAACUUGAAAGUAGAAAUGUAAAAGUAGGGGAAGGUUCAAAUGGAAAAUUUGGUCUCUGGAAACUUGUAUAUUCUGUAUAAAAAGUGGCAUCUGCUUAAAAUUUUGUAGCUAAACUUUAUUUCGAAGAAAUUAUAUUUUUUUCUCAUAAUAGUGCUUUUAACUAUUGAACCCAUGUUUUUUUCAUAUUACAAAAUUAUAAUGUUUAAAGUGUUUUUCGAGUUCUCCAUAGAAUCCACAGUUAGUUUAACAGAUCACUGGCAAAUUACUAACUGCAAGAUUUAUGUUCACGAGACAGUAACUAAUAAGCGACAAACUAACUAACUAAAACACUGAACUGAGUAAUGUGUGAAGUACAUAUCACAGAACAACGGGAAAAGAAUUAAGAGUAUAAGUCUAUAAUGGGGAGGGUGAUCCUUGAAACAACAAUUCUGAAAACAAAGAGAUUUUCCUCCCUUAUGAAAUCUGAACUGAAAAUAUGACAAUUAAGACCAUUCUUACUUGAAACAAAAAUUCUGAAAACGAAGAGAUUUUCUUCCCCUUUUUUUCCCACUUAAAAUAUGAGAAUUAAGACCGUUCUAAUGAUCACAGGAGACCAAACUGUAAACACUGCAAAUUCACAGGAGUCCCCUUCCUCGCAAACCCCCUUAUUUCAUCCAUGCACAUGAAUACGGAGUAUACUGAACCAAGACCAGACGUCAUAGUAUUGCAGCAGUACUGUUUUCUAUUCCCAGUACUUGAUGAAUGAUGAUAAAAUUUUAUUGCCAGUUCUGCAUGUGGAUGAACUGGGAACUAGUAACUGUACAUUUUGUAUUCCAGAUAAACCUUUCGUUCUGAUUGCUGUCAUAAACAAGUUAUCCCAGAUCUCUAGUAAGAGAUUUCUUGUAAUGAUAACAUCAUAUUAUAAGUCCAUCUCUUGCAGGAUACCUCUUAAUCUAGAGGAAGAAAGCUUGUCACAUCAUAUGGAAAGCUAAUAUGUAAAAUAAAGAAUAUUUCGACACAUCUGUUAAUUACUUCAUAAAAUUCAAAUUCCCGCUCUGGAAUUGAAAAUUGACUUCCUGUACAGACUAAAUUCCAAGCGGAAUCGCCAAAAUUGUUGUCGUCAUUUUGUGAAAGAGCAGACAUAUUAAAACUAUGAAAGCAUACAGAGGCUUUACAUAGUAAGACAAACACUACAUAAUAAUUAUCAACCCAACAAUGACUAUUUGAUAUGCACUCAUUUCCAACCAUUCCUCUACCAUGGCACAAGACAACUCUAAUUCCCUCAUACCAAAAUUAGUCAUCGUCUUGGUCGCUGCAGCCUGCAUGGCCCUCGUUAUUGCAUUGUACCAUUGCAUCCGUGUUGGCUGGACCACGCGAUACCACCACAAUGAAACACCGCAGCAACAUCAUCUUGGGCAAGAGGAGCAACAGAGCUUUGAGAAUUCAAUUGCAGAGCUCAUCCCCAUACACAAGUUUAAGAAGUCCUGUUUGGAUUUGGAAGGCCGAAAUGAUCAUACAUGCUCAAUUUGCUUGAGUGAAUUCGAGGAAGGGGAGGAGUUACGUACCUUGCCUGAAUGUUCACACUCUUUUCAUGUAAGUUGUAUAGACAUGUGGUUCCAUUCACAUACUAGUUGUCCGAUGUGCAGAAUCGAUGCUACGCCAUCAUGGCACGGACUGAUGCAUUAUUUAGAGUCAGACUCAGAGAGGCCGGCAACAAGGCAAGGUCUGGGAUCCAGAGAGAUCAGAGUGUAAUUUUUUUAUUCUGCAUUUGUCGCAGAUUGGAUUAAAUUUUAUUUUAUCUCUUUGUCGCAUAUUUGGCCAAAGCAGCCGUAUCACAUCAAUACUGAUUUAAUUAUUUUUUAAGAUCAGACCAUAUGCUGAUCAGUUGAUAUAACAAUGCAGAAUGCCGGUUUAAUUAUUGUUCCAUAUCCCUCUAAUGAAAGCCAAGGCAAAGCUCAUUGGAUAUAUAAGUUUCAAAAUAAAAUAUUACACUAAAGCUGUUCAUAGUAUUUAGCUCUAAAGAGAGAUUCGGUUCAUGAGAGUGUGCUAAUAAUUCUUAAAAGUUACAAAGUCGAGUUAAAAGUAUCCUUAAAUUUCGCCUAAAGGAUACCCCUCUCUUAGUCGUUCAAUGUCAAUGAUCGAGUAUUUAUAGAAGUAUGAACUUGUGUGUACUAAACUAUUAUAAAAUCCAACUUCGAUUACAAAAAUUAUACAUGACACUGGCAAACGGACCAAGGAAAUUUUGCCCUUCCCUAAAAAAGAUCAAAAUAUUAUCACUUGGCAAGACAAAUUUUGACUCAUUCACAUUAAACAACUACAAUUAUCUUGUAAUAACCGUCAUGGCUACAUAGAUUUUGAAAUGGCCUUUCUAUCUAGCUAGUAAUUCUCUCCUAAGCAACUGAAAGAAGGUCUUCACUUGUCUUCACAAUGUCUAGCCUCAAUUUUCUGAGUCAUUUUUAUAUCCUCUUUCUUGUAGUUGCAUCCAUGGCCUUCUUCGUUACAAUUUAUCACUGUAUUAUGGUGAGUUGCCAAAAUAGAAUUGAGCGUCACAAUUCUGAUCAAGUGUCACAGUCCACUGUCAUCAGAAUACAGAACUUCUUACUUUGGCGCAAUGGACAAGAACUUAACAGUGCUCAAGAUCGUGGUGCCACGGUCCUGGGGCUUGAGAACUCGAAGAUUGAGCUAAUUCCAAGACAUAAAUUUGAAAAAGGUAAAGGGAUUCUUGAUGCAGAGUGCGCUGUUUGCUUGAGCGAGUUUGCAGAGGAUGAAGAAAUACGAACUUUGCCAGAAUGUUUGCAUUCUUUUCAUGUAGAGUGCAUUGACAUGUGGCUUCAUUCACAUCCUAAUUGUCCAACAUGUCGGGCCAAUGCUUCACCACCAUCCUCCUCCUUGCUAUUACAUCCUUGCCCAAAGUGAUACCGUGGUUAUGGCAUAGCAUAUUAGGAGAGAUGAAGAAUUGAAGAAAGGGACCGUGCAGUUAGCUUGGUUACAUGCAAAUGAAAGGACAGCGCAGGGCCGGCCCUUCAUAAGGCGAUCAAGGCGAAUGGCUAGGACAGCCCUUCAUAAGGCGAUCAAGGCGAAUGGCUAGGACAUCACUGUCCCACGGGCACCAAAAAAAUCUAUGCAUAUGUAAUAAAUAAUGAUAAAUUUAUGCAUUUAUAGACAUACAUUUAAAUUGAUUGUGUUGUUAAUUUUAAAAUAACGUUUUUAUUAAAUCAUUGUAUAUUGAUUUGAAUGUAUGUAAAAUUUUCAUUUACUAUCUUGAAAAAUAGGGACAUCAAUCACAUCAUUAUCAAAAUUCGUCUAGGACACUCAAAUCUGUGGGACGGCCUGGGUCAGUGCGUCUUUCUUUAAUGUAGCAGAACUUGCAUUACAUGAAAACUGAAAGACUUGUUACCAGUUCCUUAUGUCAAAAUUAGAAGAAGAAUUUAAUUCGGUUAUAUUGCAAGCUGCUGCAGCUGUUAGCUGUUACCCUAUCUUUUCUAAUUUCUGUAGACAAUGGUAUUAGAUUUUUACACGCCUAACUAAAAAUUAUUACAAUUCUAAAUCAAUAGAACAAGAAGCACAUCUGUCAUCGUUUGGCCAUUAGUCUGUGACCUUCAGAUGAAUAAAAUCAUGAACUCGAAAUCUUGCUUUAUUUUAGCAACGCAGAAAACAAAGCACAAAUGUAUUGAUGUAUAUAAGAUUUAAUUUCCAUUACACUUUAUUGAGAAUGAAUAAGAAGGAUGGUCAAGACUUGGAUAUUACUAAGUGCAGUUACAUGCCUAAGGUUUCAUACCCCUAAGACCACGUCUGUGAAUUUGAUCUUGUUUCCCAGUACAAACGCAAAGACCAUCGACACACUUGCCUCCAAACGGACACACGUUCGAACAUCCAGUAUCAAUGCAUUUUGAAAUUUGAUCUUGUUUCCCGGUACAGACGCAAAGACCAUCGACACACUUGCCUCCAAACGGACACACGUUCGUACAUCCAGUAUCAAAGCAUUUUGAAAUUUGAUCUUGUUUCCCGGUACAGACGCAAAGACCAUCGACACACUUGCCUCCAAACGGACACACGUUCGUACAUCCAGUAUCAAAGCAUUUUGAAAUUUGAUCUUGUUUCCCGGUACAGACGCAAAGACCAUCGACACACUUGCCUCCAAACGGACACACGUUCGUACAUCCAGUAUCAAAGCAUUUUGAAAUUUGAUCUUGUUUCCCGGUACAGACGCAAAGACCAUCGACACACUUGCCUCCAAACGGACACACGUUCGUACAUCCAGUAUCAAAGCAUUUUGAAAUUUGAUCUUGUUUCCCUGUACAGACGCAAUGACCAUCGACACACUUGCCUCCAAAAGGACACUCUGUCAAACAAUUAGUAGUGCAUCCAUGUACAUGCACCAAUGACACAGUAAACACCAGGACUAGUGUUAAGACUAUAGAAAACUGCUUCAUAUCUGAUGGUUUUUCUGGAGAAUAUAUAUCUGAAAGAUUUAAAAGAGAAAAUGUUUUCUCCUCUCCUUGCGAGUGUUUUAUUUCCGAUGAAGAUCCUCCACAAUAUAUACAGACAUAUUAUACAAUCACUCCAUCCGAAAGACAUAACUGUUGGAUUUCAUAAUAAAUUCAUAUUAAUUGUCAUUAAUAUGAUAAUUAACUUAUGUAACUUGCAACUAUUCACUUAAGUAUAUAUUUUAGGAUGUAUCAAUGGAGAUUUUCAACUGUUCGGUAGGAAUGAAAAAUGAAACCAUCUGGUGGUAUAUCACAGUUAAACUAGCAUAAAAACCCGUGCGAGGCACGGGCCUCUAGUUUGUGUUUCUGUUUUAAAUAAUAUUCAUGUCUCGUCAUAUUAUUUCGAGCGUAACUAUCACGUUUUAUUCAUUGACAAAGUAUGUAAAUAUGAAAAUGUAAUAUUUGCAACCUAGCAUUAAUAGUAAUAAUAAGUAUUAUAUUUUUAAAAAAAAUUAUGGAUCAGAAACUACAUUUGAACAGAUUUUUCUAUAUUCAAAGUCGUUAGGAUAUAGAGGCCACUACCGUACAAUCUACAUGUUCAAAAUUAUAUUCGAAAUUAAUAUUGAAACUUUUAAAUUUUAAAUAUAUUAUACAUCAUUAAAAGUAUCUGUAAUUAAAUUAUUUCAUCUAAUAUAACAUGAUUUUGAUUUAAACUUGUUCUUGAUAUGUGAAUUACGAUAUCUUAAAUCAUGAUUAAAUGAAGAUGUGUGGUCCGUAUUGUUUUAUAUUUAUUUCUUCUUUUUUAAGUGUAAGUUUGCGUAAUAAUUAAGUGAUACAUGAUGUGGCAUAUCAUCAACACAUUUUUUUUUAGCAUUGUUGCACACACCUUGUAUAAGUAGAAAUUGAACUAUGUAAAAAGACUCAUACCCUAUUUUAUUAUAAAAGUGUCUAUUGAAUUACUAACCUUAUAGUUGUACCCAAAAAAAUUCUGACACCUUUGAUAUGGCUUACCCUUUUAAUUUUCAUCUCAAUUAUAUGGUAUUUCAAUGUCUUAGAUUUUUAUUGUUAAUAUGUUAUAAUACUGUCUCGUUAUAAAAAUUUUAUUUUUAUCAUUAGUUAUCUAAGCUUGUUGAUUAGUACUUUUAAUGAUUUUCCAUUUAAUUGUUAUAAACCAGAUCUCAAAAUAAUUUUCUGGAAUUUCAAAUAGCAAAACGAGAGUAUAUAUGAGUUAGGCCUCAAGUUCAUAAAAACAUGAAAUGUAAUUACUUUUUGUAGUUUUGUACAAACUCACAUUUUUUAAAUAUUUUUAUACUCGUAUUUCUUGGGGGUGAGCAAUGUAGCAUAUCAUUUUCAAUUGUUAAAGAUCAGAUCAGGUAUUCGAUAUUCUGGAUUAUGGAAAAACUAUCCUUGUUCUAGUCCCGUUUAGUAAGAUAUUAGUUUUCAUCAUAUCGCGUCGGAUUAUCCGGCUCAGAAUUAAUUAUAUUUUAUUAGUUUAAUUUGUAGAUGAUUAAUUAAUUUAAUUGUAGUUUGAAUCAAUUUAUUUAACUGGUAUGUUAUAUAUUGAUUGAUGGCAUGUUAAAAUUAUAGCUUUAAGAUUUUAAUAUAUAUGACUUAUUUCUCUGUGUUAUUUUAUUUUAACCAAGUAAAAUUUAUAACUCAAUUCUUUUAGUUGGUCUCAUAAACAUUUAUUAUUAUUAUUAGUUGACUUUUGAUUAACAAUAUAGUGGGGCUGUUUGGGAACCGGAAGCAAUUUCUGCUUCUGGCUUCUGCUUUUCUUGACCCGUUUGUGUAAAGAAGUAGAAGCACUUUUAAGAAGCUGAGAAUGCUAACUUCUCUUUCACAGAUUCUGCUUCUUUUCCAAACACUUUAUUAACUUAUUUAUUUCUCACUUCUACUCCACUUCUUUACUUUAAACAUAGAAUCACUUUUUUUAAGCUUGGCGAAACGGCGAAACGGCCCCAGAAUUUUUCUAAAUUCACCUUCAUAUCACAAAUUACUAUAUUUCAAAUUCAUUUAUCAUCAAAAUUACAUCAUUUAGAUAUAUUUUCUAACACCAAAUUUGAUAUCUUUGUCAUUGUUCUUAUAUUUAUAAUUUUCUCAAAAAAAAAUUUAGUUACACGCCGAAUUCUGAAUUCAUAAGUUUAACAUAAAAAAUAUUUUAAGUAAGAAUAUUCUUUCAUUUACAUUAUUUCGUGUUAUUCAAAAUAUUGUAAUCUCUUUAUAAAUCGCCUUUUAUAAAAAAUAAAUAAAUUAAUAUGACAUUGUCCAUGUUGAAAGUCCAUCAAUUAUUUCUUUCAAAGAUGCUAACUAAAUCCUUAGUUUUUGUGCUUAUUUCUCACAUUUAUGACUUAAAAUUUCUGUAAUAUUGUAUUCGUACUCGUUUAGAGUAUUAAGUUGGAUUUGAAUUCUUUCAUUUUUAUUCGAAUAUGAAUUAUAUCUAUUUUUAGAAAUCUGAAUCAUGAUUCGAGCCCGAUCAUUCAGAUUCUUUUUCUAUUCUAAAUUUAUUUACGUAAAUAAUUGAUUUAUAAAUAUUAAUUAAUCAUGUAAGCAAUAUAUGAGACUUAUCUGAAAUAAUAACUUGUCUCAAAGAAAUAAGAAAUUGAAGAGAAUGUAAAUACAACAGUUUUAAUGCACGUGGUUAAUGCUUUUGAAUAACAAAACUAAUUGCUUAUGUAGCUCAAGUGGUUUGAGUGAUGUAUUUGUAUUGGAGAGAUCUUAGGUCCAAGUCUUAUGAAAAACAAUUUUUUUAUAUAUAUGAGGAGGAGGCAGGUUCGGAGUUAGGCUCGGGUUCGGAGCUAGGUAAUUUAUUUGCUCAGGAGGGAGGCUUAACACGAACCUGUUGUGCUAUUAUAUAUAUAAGUAGAAGUCCCCUGCAUUGUCAAUUUAUCAUAGUAACUUUCACUCAUUUGCCGUAAAUUCAAAUUUCCAUAAUUAUGCGUAAUUAAAACAAGUACAUUAUUUUAUUUCCUACCUAUUUUUGAUAUAUAUACUCUCUUGUUUUUGCUUUUUAUUAGAUUUACUAUCAUUUUUACAUUAAUUAAAAUCUAUAAACAUAUAUGUGUGUGUGAUUUUGUUGUAUAUUGAUUUAUAUUUUGUUUGUUUGUUUUUUCUCCGUAUAUCAUGGAAGCGAGCUGUUAUGUGACUUAUGGGUAUUAUUUUCUCAUUCAUUUAUGCUCUGUUGUCUAAACGUCCGGAACUAUACUUGCAUGACUUUAGUUAGAUGAUAAACUUUCUUUGAAAGAAAGAAAUCUGGAGACGGUUUAUUGUAUACCGUUCAUCAGCCGGAACAUAGACUAAAAUUAUCUUAUAAUGACCGUCACGACUACAUAGAUUUUGAAAUGGCCUUUCUAUCUAGCUAGUAAUUCUCUCCUAAGCAACUGAAAGAAGGUCUUCACUUGUUUUCACAAUGUCUAACCUUAAUUUUCUGAGUCAUUUUUAUAUCCUUUUUCUUGUAGUUGCAUCCAUGGCCUUCUUCGUUACAAUUUAUCACUGUAUUGUGGUGAGUUUCCAAAAUAGAAUUGAGCGUCACAAUUCUGAUCAAGUGUCACAGUCCACUGUCCUCAGAAUACAGAACUUUUUACUUUGGCGCAAUGGAGUAAUGGACAAGAACGUAACAGUGCUCAAGAUCGUGGUGCCACGGUGCUGGGGCUUGAGAACUCGAAGAUUGAGCUUAUUCCAAGACAUAUAUUUGAAAAGGGUAAGGGGAUUCUUGAUGCAGAGUGUGCUGUUUGCUUGAGCGAGUUUGCAGAGGAUGAAGAAAUACGAACUUUGCCAGAAUGUUUGCAUUCUUUUCAUGUAGAGUGUAUUGACAUGUGGGCUGUGGCUUCAUUCGCAUCCUAAUUGUCCAACAUGUCGGGCCAAUGCUUCACCACCAUCCUCCUUCUUGCUAUUACAUCCUUGCCCGAAGUGAUACUAUGGUCGUGGCAUGGCAAGGCCAUGUGGUUAAUCUAGCAUAUUAGGAGAGAUGAAGAAUUGAAGCAAGGGACCGUAAAAUACAGGAUUUUAGUGCAGUCUGAUGCUUGGUUACGUUACGUGCAAAUGAAAGGUCAGCACUGGGCCAGCCCUUGCUAAGGCGAUCAAGGCGAACGCCUAGGACACCACUGUCCCACGAGCACCAAAAAAUCUAUGCAUAUGUAAUAUAUACAGUAAUAUAUAAUGAUAAAUUUAUGCAUUUAUAUAUAUAUACAUGCAUAUAAAUAUACAUGCAUAUAAAUUGAUUGUGUUGUUAAUCUUAAAAUAAUGUUUUUCUUAAAUCAUUGUCUAUUGACUUAAAUGUAUGUAAAAUUUUCCUUUACUAUCUUGAAAAAUAGGGGCAUCAUUUUCAAAAUUCGUCUAGGACACCCAAAUAUGUGAGACGGUCCUGGGUCACUGCGUCUUUCUUUUAUGUAGCAGAACUUGCAUUACAUGAAAACUGAAAGACUUGUUACCAGUUUCUUAUGUCAAAAGUAGAAGAAGAAUUUAAUUUGGUUAUUUUGCAAGCUACUGCAGCUGUUACCCUAUCUUUUCUGUAGAAAAUGGUUAUAGUUUUUUACACGCCUAACUAAAAAUUAUUACAACUCUAAAUCAAUAGAACAAGAAGCACAUUUGUUAUCGUUUGGCGAUUAGUUUGUAACCUUUAGAUGAAUAAAAUGAUGAACUCGAAAUCUUGCUUCAUAACAACGCAGAAAACAAAGCGGAAAUGUAUUGAUGUUUAUAAGAUUUAAUUACCAUUACAUUUUAUUGAGAAUGAAUAAGAGGGAUUGUCAAGACAUUGGCAAUCACAAGUGCAAUUACAUGCCUAAGGUUUCAUACCCCUAACCAUGUCUGUGAAUUUGAUCUUGCUUCCCAGUACAAACGCAAACACCAUCGACACACUUGCCUCCAUACGGACACACGUUCGUACAUCCAGUAUCAAAGCAUUUUGAAAUUUGAUCUUGUUUUCCGGUACAGACGCAAAGACCAUCGACACACUUGCCUCCAUGCGGACACACGUUCGUACAUCCAGUAUCAAAGCAUUUUGAAAUUUGAUCUUGUUUCCCGGUACAGACGCAAAGACCAUCGACACACUUGCCUCCAAACGGACACACGUUCGUACAUCCAGUAUCAAAGCAUUUUGAAAUUUGAUCUUGUUUCCCUGUACAGACGCAAUGACCAUCGACACACUUGCCUCCAAAAGGACACUCUUUCAAACAAUUAGUAGUGCAUCCAUGUACAUGCACCAAUGACACAGUAAACACCAGGACUAGUGUUAAGACUAUAGAAAACUGCUUCAUAUCUGAUGGUUUUUCUGGAGAAUAUAUAUCUGAAAGAUAUUAAAGAGAAAAUGUUUUCUCCUCUUCUUGCGAUUGUUUUAUUUCCAAUCGAUGAAGAUCCUCCACUAUAUAUACAGACAUAUUAUACAAUCACUCGGAGUGAUUGAUAUUUACACGAGUGAAUCACUCCAUCUCAAAGACAUAACGGUGGGAUUUCAUAAUAAAUACAUAUUAAUUGUGAUUGAUAUGAUAAUUAGAGUAUAUGUGUUGGUAAAUCAUACAUUCUUUGUUUUAAAAAAUUUGAUUACAAUCAUAGUCGACUUGAUUAUUCCGUGAAAAUCUCAGAGAAAUUGGGUUCUUUUUAAAAAUAUCCAUCUGUAAAAUUACUUUUCUAAAAAUACUACCAUCUUUAUCAUUGUUUUUAAGAAUAUCUUUUCAUAAAUUGUUUUUUUCAAAAAUACGAUUUGCAACUCCAGGCGGCGCCAGCCGUGUUGCAACUUCAUUUGCAACCUCAUUUGCAACUUUUGCAACCUCAUUUGCAACUAUAUAUAGUUUUCAGUUGCAUUUAGUUGCAACUGAGGUUGCAAAUGAAGUUGCAACUGCAGUUGCUUGCAACCUCAUUUGCAGAAUUUGCAACUUACAGUUUUCAGUUGAAUUAGUUGCAAUUACAAUUGCAAGAGUUGAAACUUUCUAUUUUUAUUUGCAACUUUUGCAACCUCAUUUGCGACUUUUGCAGCCUCAUUUGCAACUGAAAUGGUUGCGCCGCCCAAGGUUGCAAAUGAGGUUGCAAACCGUAUUUUUGAAAAAAAAAAAUUUAUGAAAAUGUAAUUUUAAAAAUAAUUCUGAAAGGUAGUAUUUUUGAAAACAAUAAAAGAAAAGGUAGUUAGUUUUGUAGACUUCCCAUAGAAAUUCCAUUUAACUAGGGUAGGAUAAGUGUUAAUUAACUAAUCCUACUAAAAUAUUGAUAGUAAUAUUUACAUGAUCAUAUAAUAUUUUAACAUUUUUCUUAUUUAAUCCAAUUUUAUAUCGAGCUUGAAUUGUGGGUGUACAUAAGUUUGCUUUAGUCUCCACAAGUCUAAACUCAUAUUACUCACUCCGCUCAAUUUAUAAGUCCUUUUGUUUAAGUUUCUUUUACUUUUCCAAGAGUCUUAACUAAUUUUGGAUCAACUAUUACAAAAUAUUAUUUGUUGUUUUAGAAAAUAAAAAGUUACAUAUUAAAAUUGAUUUGAUUUAUCUUUUGAUGAUUUUUUUUGCCAGAGAAAACUCAAGUAUGAAGAAAAGCGAGAAAAUCUGUGUUAAUUACGUACAAUGUAUAGUAUUCUUUUCUUAAUUGCAAUCAUAAAUAUAAGGGCAAUUUUGGACAGAAUCUUGUGAAUAAUUACAUAUCUUUUAUUUAUGGUAUUUCCAAAAUUCAAUUUCUGCCACAAUUAAUGUGAAUUACAUUUCCAAAAUUCAAUCAAUUAAAUUAAUUUUGAAUAUAUCUUAAUAAAUAUAUUAACUCCUAAUAAAACACUUAGUGGAAUCAACCAAAUAAUAAAUUUAGCAGACAUAAGAUUUUACAAAAAAUCGUACUAAUAAAUACAUUAUGAUUCUAUUAAGAAUUUUAUUAAUAUGUUACAAAAAAUGUCAUAUCAAUAUUAUUAAGAUUUUACUAAGUAAUUCACUAAUGACAUCGGAUUUCUACUAUUUUAAUAUUCGAUAAAUUUAUUCCAUAUUAUUAAGUUCUAUCAUUUGAUUCCCUAACUAUAUCAAGAAUUUAUUAAAAAAUUGUUUCGUCCGUUAGUCAUAUAUUGACAUUAUUUAUUAUGUAUUCUUUUUAAACAAUGUAGAAUUUAAUAUAAUAAAUUUUAAUGAUACAUUAAUUAAUAUUCUAAUAAUUAAUGCAUUAAAUUUUCGAAUCUUAAUAAAAUAAAAUACUUAAGAGAAUUUUAACAAAAUAUUUUGUGUUGUAGAUUAAUUAGUAUUAGUAAUAUGUAAUAAAACAUUUUUAAGUGUCUUCAAAUAGAAAUUUUUAUUAUUUAUUUUAAAAGAACAUAUAAUAUAUUUUUAUAUAUUAUUAUUGUCUAUUCUAGAUAUUUAACAAUAUUAUUAAAUUUGUAAUAAGAUUUCACUAACAAUAUAAAAUUAUUAUAAAUUUCUAAAUCAUGUGAAUAAGUGUAUUUUAUAAAUACGUUAAGAUUCUAAUAAAAAGUUUUAUCAGGUUAUUCGUUAGAACAAUUAUUAGAGAUUCGUUAGAAACACGAGUAGAAAACAUUAGAAUUUUUUUAUAUUAUAUAUAAUCAAAUUAUCAAAAUACAUAAUAAAACUUUUCGAAGAAUCUUAGUUUAUUUAUUAAAUAAGUUUAAUAAUAAAAUUAAUAAUAAAAUUUAAUUUAAUAAUAAAAUUAAUAUAUAUAGAAGAUUCUCUAAAAUAUUCUAUUAUUUAUAAGUAAUAAAUAUUUGUAUCAUGCAAGAUUCUUUUAGAAUAUUUAAUUUUUUUUAUAUAUUAUUCACUCUAUAAUAUUCUUUUGACUCUUCAAAUAUUUUUAAAUUAAUAUUAUUUUGAAAAAUUUCAAACUAAUUAAUAUUUAAGAAUUCUAAUUUAAAAUUAUAAUAAUAUUUAAAGGAACACUUUAAGAAACCUUCAAAUGUUAAAUGUUAGAGGUGAAACACUUAACAGAAUCUUAAUAUUAUUAAUAUAUAUAGAAAAUUCUCUAAAAUAUUUUAUUAUUUCUACUAAUAAAUAUUUGUAUCGUGCAAGAUUCUUUUGAAAUAUUUAAAAUAUUUUUGUAUAAAUUAUACAUCCUAUAAUAUUUUUUUGACUCUUCAAAUAUAUUAUUAAAUUAUUAUUAUUUUGAAGAAUUUCAAACUAAUUAAUAUCAAAGAAUCUAAAUUAAAAAUUAUAAUAAUAUUUAAAAGAACACUUCAAGAAUCUUUCAAAUGUUGAAAGUUAUAGGUGAAACACCUAAUAGAAUCUAUACAUAUUAUUAACAUAUAUAGAAGAUUCUCUAACAUAUUUUAUUAUUUCUAGUAAUAAAUAUUUAUAUCGUGCAAGAUUUCUUUAGAAUAUUCAAUGUUUUUUAAGAAAAUAUUCACCCUAUAAUAUUCUUUUGACUUUUCAAAUGAUUUUAAAUUAGUAUUAAAUUAAUAUACAAGAUUCUCUAAGAUAUUUUAUUAUAAAUAUUAUAUGUUAAAUGUAAAAUGUAAAAUAGUAGUUUUCAAAUCUUUUCAAAGUGAAUCUUUUAAAAUUUGAAAUUUGAAAUUCAAACUGAAUAUACAUUAAAUGAUUGAUUGAUUGAUUGAGAUAUGAAGAAUCUAUUUAAAUAUGAUAUUAAUGUGCGAUUGAUUUUAUAUAUAUUUAUGUUACAAAAUUACCCUAUAUACUCUAGAGUUGAUUGACAUAAUUAAUAUGUACAAUACAUAGUAUUAUUAAACAAGUAUACGUGAUCAACGGUGAUUAACAGGGUUCCUCAGUUUUCUUAAUAACAGCAUCUCCAACGGGGUUGGCUAUAAUCGUUGGCUAAAUUGAACCUGUAAGACAAUAUGUAAAAUUUGCCGAACCUGUAAGACAUUGUACUUCAAUGGUGUUGGCUAUAUUGGUUGGCUAUAAUUUAAAAAUAGGAUGUUAUUAAUAUUUUAGAUUUUUAAAAUAGAAUAUAUCAAUUUAAUAUGGUACUAAAUGAUGUGUAAUCUUCCUACAGAUCUCUUACAAGCCUGUAGAGGUUCGACAAAUAUAGCCAUCUAUAGAAGGUUGACUAAAAUUAUUGAUAACAGAUUAACAUGGUUGGAGGGAGACCUUUUCAACAGAUUGGCUAUAUUUUUUAUAUUUGGCAAGACAACUCAUCAUUUAACUAAGAGGUUUGUAUGGUUGGAAAUGCUCUAAGUGGGUUUUCUUAGGAUCUUCCUCAUGAUAAUUAACUUAGGCAUCGAACCCACAAAUCCGUCCAUACUCCCUAUAAAAGACAUAGGCAUCCUCAAUAGUAGCGAAUUGCUGAUUCGCAUAGGGUGUCUUACUGACGCAUUUAGGAGUAUAAUAUUUUAUCCCAUUUGCUUCAACACAUGUCAUUUCAGGUUCCUCAAUACUGUUAAAUUCAACAUUACUUGACUGUGUUGACAAAUGUUCAAUUUCAUCAUCCGAAUAUGAACUACCAAUGUCUGGAACAUCAGAUUCAUGAUCAGAUCUCUCUGAGUCUGAGCUCUCAAUAUGUGGGGCAGACACGGAACCUACAUCGCAGAAGUAUAUCGUUAAACGUACUUCGGAACAUACACGCUAGGAAAAACAAACUCAAAAAACAAUGUAAUUAAAAGAUGUUCUGCAGUAUACAAAAAAUCAGAUACAAGUACAAUGUAAUGCUUUGUAUGUCAAACACUAUUGAAGAACAUAUAUAUAUAUAAUCUGUUCUGCAUUAUAACGCGAAAUACUAACAAAAGCCAGAUUAUAAAUCAGAAAGAGGAAAAAACGAAAAAAAAGAACCAUUCCCAUCAGACACGAUUAAAACAAACGAACACACAAAUCACAUCAAAUCAAAUCAUCAAACCUAGGAAGAAACACAAUAACGUACUUGGUUCUUCAUAUUGAGAAGCCAUGUCAAGCACAGAACACAAAAAUCGAAAAAAUAUUUACUCGUGAAUCUUUGGUUAAAAAAUUGUAUCAAAAACAGAACACAGAUUGCAAGCCCAAUAAGGUGUGACUUAUCAAGCGUAAUUGUUUCCCCAUAAUUCUGCACUGCACUUACGUGAUGUUAACAGCGUUAAAACUAACGGAUUAGAUAAAAGAAACUGUAAAACUAUUUUUUUAUAUUUUACUUAAAAUAAAAGAGACAUAAAAUAAUGACCAUCAGAUUAAAAUGUAAUGGAUGGCCAGGAUCUUGGACUCCUAAGACUCCAAAAAAUGUGUGAACUCCAUAGAACUUACUUCAUAAUAUAUAUAUAUAUAUAUAUAUAUAUAUAUAUAUAUAUAUAUAUAUAUAUAUAUAUAUAUAUAUAUAUAUANNNNNNNNNNNNNNNNNNNNNNNNNNNNNNNNNNNNNNNNNNNNNNNNNNNNNNNNNNNNNNNNNNNNNNNNNNNNNNNNNNNNNNNNNNNNNNNNNNNNNNNNNNNNNNNNNNNNNNNNNNNNNNNNNNNNNNAUAUAUAUAUGCCCAACAUUCAAAAAGAGGGACUCCUUAUAUGGAGUUACAUAGUGCGCCACUAUAAAUCAUCAAUUUUAUUAUAAAUUCUGUUAUAGAAUACAUAUAAAACGUGAUUCUAAUAUAGAAUACUAUAAAAUAAAUCCAUUUUAAGUAAUUUAACACUUAAAAUUUGAUUAAAAAAAGUAUAUUUUCGAAACUGUUCUACAACAGAAUAAUUCUGGAUGAUUAUUAUUCUGUUAUAGAAUCAUGUUGAGAUAUUGCAUAAUUGUAGAUGAUCUUUGGAAUAAAAAAAAUGUAUAACUUCGUUUUCAGUUUAAUAAUCAAAAUUUGUAAUUAUAUUUCAUAAAAAAUAUAACAUAAUAUAUAUUAUGUAUAUAUUUAUAAUGAUGUGCUACGUAACUCCAUAUAAGAGGGUAUGCUAUGUAGUGCUACCCUAUAUAUAUAUAUAGGGAGCUAUUCUAGUACAAACUCAACUAAUCUAAAAACCUACAAACCUGGUCCGAUCCAAUAGCAAAGCCCAGUCCAAUAAACAUAUUAUAACACCGCCCAGUCCAUCAUACAAAACAUCCGCCAGUCAGACAAAUUUAAUAUUAUAGUCAGAUAUACCUAUACAUACAUUACAGUGACGCUGCUUUUGCUCUCGCACUGUUCAUCUUCCUCAAAACAAAAGGUACGAAUAACAUUUUCUUUCAAUUACUCACUGAUUUCUUCGUGUAUUUGAUACAACGGUUCAAUUUCAUAGCGAAAUCGAGCACUGAAGUCGAGCAAUGAAUUAAGCAAAAUCAGUUUCAAAAAUCUUCAAAAGGUACAUUCCUAUGCUUUUUUAGUGAUUUAAGUGAAUAAAUCUUUCGUAGUGAUUGCAUGUCAGUAUAAUGAUGAUUCCCAGGGUUUAUUUUUGAUUUUUGACAAAAGCUAACUGUUCAUUUUAAUGUUUCUCUAUGACAGCAGGUAAAUCUUAUUUAUUUCAUAGUGAAGGCAUAAUUUAAUGGCUAGAACUAAAGGAGGUAUGAUUUUGAAAAUUUUCUAUGAUUGCAUACUUUUUUUUUUAUGAUUUGACUGUUAUUGAAUAUCAAACUGCUAGUGAUUGUAUUUCUCAGCACAUUAUGUGUUAGUGAUUGUAUUUAUCAUAAAAAAUUUUGUUAUUGCAUACUUGUUUUUUAUGAUUGUAAGUUUCAGCACAUUAUGUGUUAAUCACUAUCUUCUGACUCAAAUUAAGUUAGUAAUUAUUUGUUUAUAUUUUAGUGAUUGUAAUGCUGAUUGUGAUAACAAAUUGAAUGUAUUAAGUUCUCCUAUUGAAACUCCAGUGAUUGUAGAGCUAUAUUAGUGAUUGAACAGCCCAAGCUAAUGACAUUUCAAUAAUUAAAUAACAUUGUUGUUAAUUGCUAGUAAAUUUGUAGCCAAAUGUAUACAUACAUUAAUGUCCCUUAAGACUGGAUAAUUGUAACUUUAAAAAAUCUAUAUCUACAUAUAUAAGAAACUACUAAGAGUCAUGUGAUUAAUUUAGUACCUUAGGCUUGUAUUAUAGUGACUGAUUAACUUAUAAUUGUCAUUGUAGUCAUUCUAGACUUGUUUUGUAGUGAUUGCACGCUCUUAUGAUAAAACACAGAGUAUACCUUCACCUUAGUGCUAGCAUAUAUAGUAUUAUCACCAUAUAUGUUGUUGAUAAUUUUGUUAGUGUCAAAAUAUUUGGUGCCAUUCACUAUGUUAUUAGAUUCAAAAUUGUUGUUAUGAACUUGAAAUUACUUUUUUAAUGUGAUAUAAUAUUAUAUCUGCAUAAACUUAAAUGGCAUACACUUGUGCAAUAUUAUGUUGAUUAGUGCAUAAACUACAAAAUUUUUAUGUCACUGAAUAUUUAUGACUUUUAGAGCGGGGGAUGAUUACUUUUAGAGGACGGGUGAUGACUUUUAGGAGGGAUGAUGAAUUUUACAGGGCGGGUGAUGAAUUCUGGGGGGGGAGGGAUGAUGAAUUUUAUAGGGCGGGUGAUGACUUCUGGGGGUGGGGGGUUUAACUAAUUUAGUUUUUAUUUUGUGGUUUUUGUUGGAGUUGUUUAUAGUGGUUUUUGCAAUACCAAUUUGUUUAAAAACAGCAUGAUAUUGUGGUCUGUCUGUUUUAGUUGAUUGUAGAGUUAUAUAUUUUAGUGAUUCUGAUAAGAGUCCUCUGAUUCUUUUUUUAAUUUAGGCAUGAAUAAUAGUGAUUGUAGGCUUAUUUUAUAGUGAUUGUUUACAUUACAUAGAGUACUGUUAAGAUACAAUGUUAAUGUUAAAUAUAGUGAUUAAUCCACUAAAUAAGCUGAAAAACUUAGUGAUUCUAGUCUUGUUUUUCAAUGAUUAUAGGCUUUAUUAUGGAAAGACCAUUAUUGUCAUAUAAACUACUAAAAUACAGAGUGAUUGUAGGCCUAUGAUGAAUUGAUUGUAGCCCCUAGGGGCAUCAUGACAUAUGGGGGGGGGGGGGGGGGGAGCUUCUGGAGUUCUACAUGUCAAAAAAUGGCAUGUAUGUUUAAUCCCUUUCCGAGAUUCAUGUUUGCAGGACAUAGACCACAGCUUAGAAGAAGCUCCAAAAUAAGACAACAAAGUUUCCCCAAAAGUACAAGCACGGAAGCAAUAUAUCUUGUACAAUCAAGCAGUGCUUCAGAGCCUGACGAUAAUAUGGACCGCCAAACAAAGAUAUAUCGUAAGUCGGGAAAUAAGGCUAAAGUCACAGCAGGAAGACCAGUUGAAGAUCCUCAUCACACCACUGUAUAUCUUUGUUAUUGUUCUCAUAUACUUAAUGUUAACAUUUUACAAAAUUGUAUACUACUAAAAUAUUUAUUCUGUAUCUAUUUACCAGGAAUCAAGCGGACGUAACUACACACUAGCAAAUUUGCAAAAAAACUCACCACCAGUACUCUUAAAGAAGCCGCCCACCACAACCAAUGAUUGUUUCAACAACUACUUUUGAUGAAAUCCAUGACGACAACUUGACAAACAAUGAUUGUUUAAGAACUAGUUAGCUUAUUUUUGUGAAUACUCGACAAGCAAUUAUUGUAUGGCAAAUUAUCUGUCGUAUUCUAUCUUAAUUAUUCACUUUUUCAUGAUGCUAUUGUACAAGAGAUUCUAAACUGUUCUACAAGUAUCAAUUUUACUUUUAACUUCUUCAGAGGUUGCAAAUUCAGUUCAGUAAUAUGAGUAAUUUAAUUUAUGCUAUUAACAUGUUCCAAAUUUGUAGUAUGUGCUUCAAAUUUUACUAUAAUAUGUACAAAUCUCAAUCCAUUGAACUGCAAAUACAAAAAUAACGACUAAAAAACAUAACUACUGUUUUUAAAAUACAGCUAAACUUCAGUGAUUGGAACUCACAUUCUAGUGAUUACAACAUCACAUUUUAGUAGUUGGACCAUAAAAAAUUAAUGAUUGGAAAAUAUAUUUACUAUAUAAUCCACAAUAUAUUCAUUCAAAUGAACAUAAACUGUCAAAAACUAAGUAAUAUCAAAUUCAUACUAACUACUGUACAUUUUAAACAAAAUAUGACCACUUUUACAACAACUUUUCUUCAAUCUACACUUUCUUCAAUCUGUGCUUUCUUCUUCUUCUUAUCACAUGUCCUGGAGUCAUGAGUAGUUGCACCACACUCUUUGCAUUUUCUUACUCUUUUUUUGGCUUUCUUCUGUUCCCUUACGAACAUCAAAACCUCCUAAAUGACCAUAAUUCUUGUAAAAUAAAAACGCUUUUUCCAAGCUGUCAUGAACUUGAUUAACAGCUGGCACACAACUAAGAUCAACAACAGAUGGUAAAUAAUAUUUCCGUCCACCAGGAGACAAAACAUAGCUUGAUACUGAACCAUCAUUUUCACUAGAAGAAGGAUCACAACUCGCAUUUGAACUACUAAUAUGAGAUAAGUCACCACAACUAGAACCUGCAUCCGCACAUGAAUAACAAUUAAAAGCAAAAACUACACACACUACUAAUCAACUGCAUAACAAUUAUAAACCUAUAUUAUAUUGUAGUGAUUUACAUCAUCAAACUAUAGUGAUUGUAGAUUUAUAUUAUAGUGAAUAUGGAGUUACAUUGAACAGAUAACUUUGAUACACUACAAUAAACCACAAAAUUAGAUUAAGUUCAGCCAUAACAAAACAACAAUAUCUCACUGAACAAAACAAAUUUAUAUGUGACCAAAACACAGAACAAGUUGAAUAAUAAACCAAAACAUAAACAUGAAAUUAUCACUGAAUACCUAUAUUACUAAUUAAACUCAUCUGAUUUACUAGUUAACAUCAUAUAUUAUUAAAAACUACUAGACAUUCAUACAUAUGCAAAUUGAAAACAAGAAACUACAACUUUCAAACAAAACAUCUAGUACAUCAUCAUCUCCAUAUCUCCAUAUAAUCAUUCACAAUGAGAAACUACAAAUGUAAUAAAAAAAACUGUUAAUCAGCAUCAUUUGGCAAAAGAAAAAACAGUACAAUCACUAAACAACAUAUACACUACCAUCAUAUCACAAACAUUACACACAAGAACAAAAAACUGAAUUUACGGGGAAAAUACAUACUUGACCUCAAAAAAACAAAAAACCACACAGGAUAAGCUAAUUUCAACAUCAAAACAACACAUUUUUUAACACUAAAAAUACUAAACCGAAUUGCAAUAACAACAUUAUUAAAAGCGACAAUUGCAAAUAGUAAAUUAAACACAAAUUUCAUAUAAUCGAGGACAUGAAAGCAAAAAAGUAACUCUUGCCUUGAUUAUCACUGAUUUUGAUAAGAUCUCUUGUAAUCAUCGUGUACAACUUCAAUCACCGACUCCGACAAAAGCUUCAACACGAUAAUGAACGCCUCCAGUACGAUACUACCUCAAUUGAGCAUAAGAGCAAGCAUACGAAAAUCUCUCCAGAAGCUCGAAGAGAACGAGAUGAAAAUCUGAAGACAACAGUAACGAUAAAACAUGAGAGAGAAAGAGAGAUAGUAGAGAGAGAAGCAGCAACGCGUUAAAUGACACGUAAUCCAUAUCUUUUGUUCUUAUUUUAAAGCAAAUAAACGGAUGGCUACGAUUAAAACUAGCUACACAUAUAUCAAGGGCCCAGAUUAGUUCCUAGUUUUUAUUAAAAAAUAGGUUUGUAUUUGAACAAAAGCCUAUAUAUAUAUAUAAUAAUUUUUACCUAAGAGCUCGGUAGGAAGAAAAUUGAAACCCUCUGGUAUGUCACAGACAAAGUCCCCUGCAUCGUCAAUUUAUCAUAGUAACUUCCCCUCGUGUGCCGUAAAAUUCAAAUUUCCAUAACUAUUCGUAAAAAAAACAAGAGGAUAUUUGUGUAAAUAGAGGACAUCCACGUAUACAAACUGAAUGACACAUCACUUUUUUAUAUUACCUGAUCCCAUGUGAGCAUUUCUUGGACAACGUGACAUCUUUAGUCUCAACAUUAAUUUAGACAAGGAUAUGUUAUGCCCACCCUUUUUCCCACUCUUUACUUACCCCCUCCAGCUGUGAUUUUAUUAUUAUUUUUUUCUGCCCAAGUUUUUAGAGUUUUGAGAUUAAAAACUAUUAUUAAACUCAUGGUUAGCACAAAGUCAUAUUCCAUUUGUUGUUCAUUUUUCUGUUUAGUAAUCAUGUGAUUAUCCCCAUUUUAUAGAUUGUCUUUUUUGGUUUUAAUAAAGUUGCAAAGAUAGAGAGAUAAGUUUUUUGUAAUCAUACUUCAUGAUUCAAUAAUGUGAUUUUGUGUAAAAAGGGUCUUUGGUCAAAAGUGUUAUUCACUCUUGGAUUCUUGUUUUUGUGUUGUGUCUUGGUGAAAUGAGACUACUCAUUUAUAGUACCUAAAAAGACUUCAACUCUCUUUCUUGUGUUUUUUUUUGUACUAGUUUUGUGGUGUAAACAAUCUGCUUGCAGUUGAGGAAUCAGGAUUUUGGAUUAGUGGGAGCUGAAGUAGACUAGAUUGAGAUCAGAUGCAAAGAUGAAAUCUUUAAAUACAGUAGGGCUAGCUCUGAGUGUUGUGUUUGGGUGUCUUUUGCUAGCUCUUGUUGCUGAAAUUUACUACUUGUUAUGGUGGAAGAGAAGGUUUAGAAGUAGAGAUUUAGAAGAUGGUUAUAACAGCAGCCCAGCUACAAGAGAGUUCUUUUACAUGUUUUGUUGGAAAAAGCCAUCAUCUUUGAGCUCAACAGCUUUAAAUCCAGGGGAACUCACAGAAACUAGCAGCACCCAUGUUCAAGAAUCACUGUCAAAUGGUCAAUCUAGCAAGGACUUUUGGUUCAGACCAUUUGGUGAAGAUAGUGUAGAAGCUGAGCUCUUGGGCCUGCAGAAUCUCUCUGGCCCACCAAGAUUUCUGUUCACUAUCAAGGAGGAAACUAAAGAGGAUUUGGAAUCUGAAGAAGGUGGUGGCAAGUCAAGAAAGAGCUCAAGAACCAGGAGUUUGAGUGAUUUGGUUCUUAAUCCAGAGACUCCAUUUUUGACACCUCUUACUUCACCAUCUUAUUUUACACCUCCUAGAACACCUAUGGAUACUUUGUACAAUCACAAUGGAUUCAACCCUCUCUAUGAAUCAACAAGUGAUGCUGAGUUCAAUAAGAUAAAGUCAUCCCCACCUCCAACUUUUAAGUUCUUGAGAGAUGCAGAAGAUAAAUUGCAGAAGAAAAAGUUACUUGAAGAAGCUGAGAAUUGCUCUCAUAAGAAAGAAAGAUUUGUGACAGAAGAUGAAGAUUCUUCUUUUAUCACACUCAUUGUGCCUAGACAAAACAAAGAAAGAGACACAUUUUACUCUUCUAGCUCCUCACAGGUUCUUCCUCUGUCUGCUUCACCUCCCUCCUACAAACACUCAUCUAACAAGAAACCAUCUUUACAUUAUAAUUAGAGACAUUUUUGUUGUAUUUGUAAGAUUUCUCAUCUUAUUUUGUAUGAAUCUUUAAUUUUUCAGUAAAAAAAGUGGUAUUUAUUCUAGAUAAGUUUAAGAAUGAGCGAGAAUCGAACUCAGAACCGCAAUCAGAUAAACCAUGGCAACUUGGCUAUGCCAUUCUUUAGUUUUUAGAAAUCCUUACUGCUAGACUUUUUUAGUUAGUUUGUUUUUUGUUACAUGAGUGAUGAAGUUGAUGAUGCAAAUGCCUAGUGCUAGAGAAUUGCAUCCUGAAUUUUCAGAAGGAGACAGCAUUUCCUUAGAGACUUUAACUGAUUGUAAGUUUGGUGAAAUGAUGCCAUUGGAGGGGCUAGUGAGAAUGAUUUGUUUUUAUUCAAUCUAUGUGUCCCUUCAGCUGUGUAAUGAUUCAACACAUGUUAUCAUUCUUGUGGAUGAUGAUGCUAGUUUAGAACUCAUUGUAUGAUAUUGUCAAAAAGGUCAUUGUAUAUUCUUAUCAAAAUUUAAUGUAAAAUCAACUUUUUGUUGUCCAAUAAAUCUCUGUAAGCUGGGACUUAUCUAUUGUGACCAACUCAUUCAUCCAUAUCGUAAGUUUCAUUGGAGGCACUUGCUCCAUUUCCCGGAUGCUAGUGGUCCUGUCUCAGUUCUCAACCAGAAACUGCCUUAUAAUGUUAAUCGAUCAUCAGAACUAACCGAUUGACCUUUUAUCAGAAAUUUAUCAUCAAUUUUUUCGAUAAAUCAGAGAUUUUAGUCUGAUCGAAGUAUGAUCAGUAAAUCGGUAAAAUAUUUUUUAAUGAUCAAUCAGAUAUUAAUCGAGAAUCUUCAAAAUAUUCCUAAAACUUACGGAUAACUUUUACAACCGACAUGAGAUAACCCGUAAAUUUCGACGAAAUUUCUAACUUAUAAUGUUAACCAAUUUAUAUUCGAACAAAGUCCUUUCUUCAAAAUUUAAGAUUCUGCACCUUGCACUGAAGCUGAAGCAUGAGUGGUCUGCGAGCACUGGGGAUAAGGAAACCUCAUAGAAAAAGUGCAUGAGUUUGAUUGUUUGCAUAAAUUAUUAAUAUUCUAUAUUCUCUCGUUCUAAUAAAGUAUUGAAUCUUAUAGCACUAUAUUGUAGAAAAAUGUGAUAGUUUUGGUCAUUUACCUAAACAACAAGGAACGAGAAGCAAGCGUUCGUGACAAUAUCUGGUUUGGUAAGGCCGAAAGGCAAUGCACACACUGAAGAAUCAUUACAGAGUUUACUUUGACAGAGCACUUGUAUAUAAAUAUAUGUUGUUGAAUUUUGUGGGUGAAAUUUACAGGCUUUAGAAUAGGCGCCAAUCAUACACAUGGGUCUGUCUAAUGUAAAAUUAUUACAUACGAGACCGUAAGAUUAAAAAUAAAAGUUAAUUUGUCCAGUUUCUCAUGUCACGUUGCAGGAUUUUUCCAACUGUUAAAACCUGAUUUGUGAGGUUAAAAAAUGCAAGGUACAGAGUUACAGGUGAACUUUUUUUUCAUGAAGGUAAAUAUAAAAAGUAAGAGCCUGUUUGUCCCGACUUAAAGCCGGGAUUUAAAGUUUAUCCAAAUUUAAACUGAAAAAUGUCAGUUUGUGUAAUAAAUUAGAAGUCAGUUUAAAGUCAAAAAUAAGUCAGGAAGUUGACUUAAAGUGAGAAGUCAGUUUGAGGUAUUUUUUUUCAGGGACUUAAUUUUUUUGAACUUUUUUUUGAUAAAAUUUACCCCUAAGUCAUAAGCUACCAAUAAAUCAAUUUUAUUUUUAUUUUUAUAUUUUUAAUAACUUUUAAGUCAUUAGUAAGUCAAAAUUACCCAAACAUACAUUUAAAACUUUUAGUUUAUCACAUAAAUUUCGUUAAGUCAUAAGUCAUAAUUCCAGUCGAACGGGCUCUAAACCUAAAAGGCUUUUAAAGUUAUGUAUUACUCCCUCCGUUUCAAUUUACAUGUCCACUUUUAAGAAAAAUUUUUGUUUCAAAUUACUUGUCCACAUCAACUUUCAAUGCAAAUGUAUAUUUCCAAAGUCAAUUCUACUCCACAUAUCUUUUAUUUAUAUUUCCUAGAUCAAUCUCACUCCACAUAUUUUGAUCAUUUAAUGCAAUUAAUUUGUGAAUAUUCACUUUUCUUAAAUUGUGUGAUUUUUUAAAGUGGACAUCUAAUUUGAAACAGAGGGAAUAUCUAAUAUAUACACCGUCAUAUGAAUAAACAUGAUUAUAAAUUGUUUAUUUGUAAAGGAGGAAGAACAGAUAAAAGUCGCAAGGGACAUGAAAGAACACAUGUGGCCUGUUUGAUUUCUAAUUUAGUAUUUUAUGUACUCAUAUUAUAAUAUUUACUAACAUGCAAGUUCUACUGGGGGAGUGGACUGGUGAAAUAUACACGAUCACUUGAUUUUGGUUUGUGGACGGUUCAUUGAGAUUUGUUAAUUUAUAGAUUGGAAUUUCCCGACUUUAACUCUUUUAAAAGCUUUGAGAUUUAAGAAAAUUUUGAAUCUGAAGCUUUGAUUUUGGUAUGUAUUAUUUGUAUAUAUAAUUUGCAUGUAAUUAUUGGCCAACAUGUUUUCCGAGUAAUAUCAUUGAAAAAAAUUUAUGAACAUUUUGUUGGAUCAGACUUUUAUGCUUUUCAAUAUUUUUCAACAUAUCUGGCUGUGAUAAUGAAUUAUGAACCAAACCAACAUAUUCGUUAUAUCCCGUUUUAAAUCGGGCCUGAAGUGGGUAAAAUAUACCUCCUACCCUUUAACUUAACUAGAGAGGUGCUUUCUUUUAUCUCUCGUUUUGAGAGUCGACUCCCGUAUUAGGGUUUCAGCCGUCACUUCUCCGUCUUCCAGAUUUUCAUCUUCACACCAAUUAACCAAUUCGCUCUCUCAUCCCUUUUAUUAUUUUACUAGUUUUUUAAUAAAAACAAGAUCUAAUCUUGUUUGAGUACCUUGUUAUCAAGGUUGUGUGCCCAUCUUUUUGGGAUGUCAGUGUUAUGUUUUCGUAUUUUUAUGUGUCUUGAUGUGUCGUUCGAUUAUCAAUCUGAAAAGGAUUUAUACGGUAUUUUGGGAGAUCGGUAAGACUCGCAUCGAUUUCGGAACGAUGGUGGAUAUCGCAAGAGCUCACCUUUCACAACAAAUAAUUGUUCAUGUUUUGGAGACGUUUGGUGCUCCAAGAUCAGUUGAUUUGACUGAUAGUUCUGAACAUUGGGCUACAGGUGAUGCUUAUGUGAAGGUCAAUUGCGAUACUACUAGUUUCAUAACUGAUGUAGGUUGGAUUGCUCGAGAUAUCAUUAUAAUACUUUUUAGAUCAAAGAAUAUGAAUAUUCUAUUUGUUAAGCGAUCUGAAAACAAAACGACUAUUUGUUUAGUUCGUUCUUUGUUUCACAAUCAGAUUGUAAUUGACAGUUCGGGGGUUUGUCCUGGCUGGUUUUAUGCUUCGUAUUAAAAAAUCCUUUGUUUGUCAAAAAAAAACUAGAGAGGUGCUUUCCGUGAAAACUCCGACUUAGUGCAUAAUAAAUAAAACAGUGUGAUAUAAUAUUAAUAUAAUACAUUGACACAUGACCUUUUUCACAUGGGACUUACUUAAAUAGUUUCGAUUGUCGAUGAUGGGCGACAAUGAUUUGGAACCAAGAUAUCAGAACUGUCAUUGCACACUUUCUUAAAUUAACUUGAUUCCUUUUUGUGUAAUUCAUUAUUCUCCAUUAUCUACGUUGCUAAAGCAACAACCGCCAAUACACUAACUGCCAUCAUUCCAACGGAGCCUAUUUCUUUCAUGCCCUCACUCCCAUUCCCAUGUAAUACUAUUGUAGAUGCCGACACGAAUUCUGACGCUUCCACCACAAAAAUACGGUUGUCAAAUUUAGAAACAGCGUGAAACCUUGCCAAAUCCUUCAACAAACCAACAUCAGUAAUGAUUCAUUGGUAUGCGCGGGUUAAUAUAAAUGAUUCUAAACUAUGAACGUUGAUCCUAUUUUGAUAUAUAUAAAUCUAUGUAAAUGAAGAAAUUAUAAUAGUAUAUUGAUUUUUUUUCCUUUAAGGAAUGAUGAAAUCAAGUUGCAACCAUAAUUUCUUGAAACAAAGAAGAUAAUUGGUAUCAUAUAAAAUUUACUACCUCUUUCAUAAAAAUUCUUAAUAUUUAUCACUCAUUUUAAUAUAUGUAAAAGAGAUCUAUAUAUACUAUUUAAUAUGUAUUGUAAUUUUAUCAAAUAUAAAAUUUAUAUAGUCUUAAAAUAUUGUUUCUCGUAUCGUAUAUAUUCUAAUAUGUUAAACCUGUAAAUAAAUAGGUCGUAUAUAUUUUUUUGAUAAAUAUUUAAAUAUAUAUAAUUAGAGUUAAGUUCUAUGGAGUACACAAAAACAUUGGAGUAUUCGAGUACAAGUCUUAAUUUUUUAGUUUAAUCAUAAAUAAUAUAUUUGAUUAUACAAAUUUAUAUACAAUCUAUCAUUCAUAAGUUGUCUUGCACAUAAUUGUCUAUCAAUCUUUAAUAUCUUUCAACUUUAACAAGUAUUAACAUUAUUGUUCUGCUUAUUAGUUAUAUUGCAGAACAUAGAGUCCUGUAAUUUAUAAAAGUCAUUAUUCUACCUUUUGUUUACAAUGUUUAUGUUGUGUAGAACAUAAUGUGCAGGUUAUUAAAUGUUUACGAAUAUUAUUGAACAAAAAAAUUGAAAUUUAGAUGAAUAGAUUAUAUUUUAUCCAACUUUGUACUCCAAUACUCCAAUAUAUUGUGUACUCCAUUGAACUUUACCAUAUAAUUAUAAUAAAAAGUAUAUAUAUAUGUGUCAAAAUAAUGAAGAAAUCUAUAAAUGGACAUAUAUCGAUCAAAAUAGUUAUUAAUGCAAUAAUAUAAUUCAGUAUAAAUUAGUUACUCCCUCCGUGCCUCUCAUUUCUUUACACUUUUUUUUGCAUUGUUCGAUGAGCAUUUUAAGAUAGAAUAUAAUUUUAUAACCUUUUUCUGAAAAUUUUCUUUUCUUAUAAAAAUUUAGAUAAUAACUAUUUAUUCUGAAAAAAAAUUGAAAUAUAUUUUCAAACUAUAUUUUUCCCUUCCCCCGACGUAAACGGAGGGACGGAGGAAGCAGCUGAUUUGAGGUCGUUUACGUGAGCUCUCAGGCCCAUGUUACGGCAUGCUCUUUCUGAUCCGUCCAUGGAUUUCCAACUUUGGGUUAUCUACACGGGCCUGUUCAGCGAGUUUACUAUUCGAGAGUCAGAUAUGCCCACAUAUCGUAGUCAUAGUACCACUGUACUAGUAUGCAAGGUCGGAGCCCAUUCCAUAAUAUUUAAACUUCUGAGCUUCAUAUAUAAUGCCAAUGUCUAUACCAUUACUAGCCUCAAAUUAUAUUUUAAUAUUAUUUAAUAUAAAAUGUUCAAUUAUGUUGUGAAUUAUCAUAAUUACUUUGUUUAGUAUGGAAAGUGAAAACCAUCGUAAUUAUUUAGCCAAACACAAUAUAUUUCAAUUUUCCUAAACUUGUAAGAAACAGUACAUAGCAGUAUUCUUUGCGGAAGACUUGGUAAACCUUUGCUUGAUAAAAUGAAAAAAAAGUAAUUUUUCUAAAGUUUCCGCAUGUUUUUUAAAAUAUUACUUUAAAAUUUAUGAGAAGCAAAUCUCUAUAUAAAAUCUUAUAAAAGUUAAUUAACUUCGUGCAUUCUGCUUGCACGGUUUCAAAACUUUUAUCACAUUGUUGUUAGAUUUCUACAGCAACCGAACUUUUUCGCUAGCACUGUUUUGAGGGACACACCUUUUGAACAGGAUUCUAAAAUCAUUACUUACUCCGUCUCAUUUUACCAAUUUCAUGUAUUUUAAGUUGUUAAAAAAUUCACAUCUAAAUAUAAUUUUUAAAAAAAAAAUUAUAAAAAUCUAAAAUUAAAUUUAUAUAAGAAUUGAUUUUUUUUAUUGUGUGUAGAUAUUUUUUUUUACACCUCAAUGUAUUCAAUAUAGGUGUGAAACAGUCAUGGGAAUAACAAAUAUUUGAAACUUUAGUGAUAAUAUAUAAAAUAUUACAUAUUCCCUCAAUUAUGGCGGUAUCGUACACAAACCCUGUUGAGUAAACUGUAAACCAUCAAGACCCCCGCUAUCAUAAGUCAUAACAGCACUUUUAAGCUCUCUGAGCUAAUUUCACAAACACCUGGUGUGCGUUUUGCUGAUCAUCCAUGAAAGGAAGCAAAACAGCUGUAUCUGUCGUUGAAAAAUGCAAGGUAGCAUCCCUUUAUCCCCCUCUAAUAUCUACUUGCGCAUAUAUGUGUGUAUAUAUUUUUGAUAAUUUAAUUUUUAUUUGCUUAUAAUGUAUUAUGUUCAUUUUGUAGACUAUAUUGACAUCAAAUUGGCAAGGGAAUCUCAAUACCAUCAUGGCUGACGCUCAAGGAAGGUAUUCACUGUGCCCCCAUCACGCUGAAAAUAAAUUAUUUUGAAUGUUUGAUCAGUUACAUUUCUAAUGCAGCAAAGGGGAGAUUUAUACGUCGAAAGUUAAUUACUUCAUUAAGAAAGGGAAGCCGUACUUAUGGGUACCCGAAGAGGACUUGCACAAUGUGGUAUGCAACUUGUUUUUGAUUGGUUUAUUUUUGUGGAUUAUAUUAUGUGAAAUUUUUGCAAGCAUGUGUGUUGCUUGUGUUUAUUCGUAAUUAUAUUGGUGUGUUUUGUUAAGCUCCUGAGAAGUGAAGCAGUUCAUUGAAGUGUUUUUGUAGAUCGUUGUUUCUGUUAUAUUGUAUCAUAAACAUGAUAAUUUUAACUAUGUUGUUAUUACUGUAACUGUUAUUUUUGUUGUUAUCGGUGCUGCUUUUGAAUUUGGUUUGGGGGUACUAUAGCCUUGAAUCUCUAGUGCAUUUUGGCUUGCACGGAGAGAGAAAGUUUCGAAACAAUUUUUUCUGGCAGUGUAAGUGUGUAACCAAAAAGACGUGCCAGAUAACGGAAAACCGGUGAGUGGUGGCUAUCGAGAAGUAUGUGUAACAACCAAAAUAACUUAAACCCAAUUGUUUGAUUAAUGUAGAGUAAACCUCAGAGUUGUGGCCAAAGUUUACAUCGAUUUUCAAAACGUUGGCUAUAGUUCCAAAUUCUCAAAAAGAUGGCCAAACUUUGGCUUCGCUUUUUAAAAGUGUGGCUCUCGUUAAAUGUCACUAACGGGAGCCCAACGGGAGCUCAUUUUUAUCCUUUUGUUUAUUCCAAAUUCUCAGAAAAGUGGCCAAAUUUUGGUCCGCUUUUCAAAAAUGUGGCUCCCGUUAAUACAUUUAACGGGAGCCACACUUUUAAAAAUCGGAGCCAAAGUUUGGCCAUCUUUUUGAGAGUUUGAAACUCUGGCCAACUUUUUGAAAAUCGGUGUAAACUUUGGCCACAAUUUUGAAGUUUACUCUUAUAGUUGUGUGUAAGAAGGUGAGACAGGGUGAGACAUAACUUGGAAUUUGAGAUGAAUGUAUGUCUUUAAAUGGCAAGACUGAGUGUAAGAUAUCAUUAAUUGAAUGACUGAAGUACUGCAUGGGCAACUGUUUUCAUUUCUUGUUGUGUUGAAUAUUUAAAAAGUUAUUGAUGUCAAGUAAUUUGGCUUUUCAACCAAUUUUAGUGGAUUAGAGAGAAUCACUAAAUGAGUGAUCACAGUUCUCCAAUAACACAAUGAAAUAACUUUGCAUUUCAUCUAUAAAUAGCUAGAUUAGUCUAGUUUUAGGAUAUUUUACUACCAUUAGCAGUAGUGCUCUUCACUCCUGCUAGCACUGGAAUGCAAAUGUGCACAUUACUUAGCUGUACGACAUUUUUGAUACUAAUCGGAACCAAUUCCUGGUAAUGGCGUGUUAGUAUAGUAACUAACUCCAAGAAUCUUCUGACUAGUCAUCAAUCCAGACGGUGAAUGUAUCUGCAUAUCUUUCUCAAAAGAAAUUAAUAUUUGUGACUCCCGCCAGAUCAUCACCAGCCGCGAACCUAAACUUGGAUAAUAAUUUCAGAAGUAUGAAAUGUCGUUGUGCUUGAGCUUCGUCCAAAAGUAAUUGUUCUUGUGCAUCGAAAGUGAUUUUUAUAAGUUCUGUUUUUUUAAUUUUUUUGUUACAUAUAUAGUACUUGUGAUAUAAUUGACAGUGAAAUCAAAUCAAAUUUGUAAUUUUUGCAACAUGAAUACUGGUUAUUAUUUUUUCUUGUACACCUUAGUUGUUACCGAUCUUCUAUUUAAGCUUCUCCUUGACGAAUUUACAAACAUGUUAUUGGUUUGCUGCAUGGUUCAAAGUCGUGGACAAAAUUAACUGCUCAAUUUGACUUCUCUUACUUUUCUAGUAACAGUGUGUAGCUAAGUAAUUGAACUCGUCUUUGUGUCUUUUUAUUAUGUAGAAUACUAUCAUCGACGAACGCGGAUCAUUUGCUGUGGCCACACCUUUUCCAGGCCCGCUUUUAAACAUACUCCGGUCAAUGAAAAAGGUUUCUUGUAUAUAAUUCUAUUUCAUUCCAUUUCUUCAAUUGAAAUUAUCUCUUUUUUAUUGCAUAUAUAUAUACAGUAGCUGGCCAAUCAUAUAUGAACUUUGUAAAAUAGGAUCUUGGAUUCUUCAGACAAGUGACUUAAGACACAAUGACACUUUUAAUAUAACAUAUUAGAUGGUCUGUUAAAAAUAUUCUUGGUUAAUAUAUAAACUGGAAUUAGAGAAAAAUAUGACUUUUGGAAAAUAAUUUCCUAAAUAGCAUACAUGUGCAUCAGACAUGUAUCACUUAUCUAUAUUAUCAUUUUUUUAUUUUAUUGAUCACUCACUCAAACAAAUUUCUAAUUGUAAACACGGGCUCUGCAAUAGCACAUUUAUUAUAAUUUCAUGUAAUAUUGUGCAGUUACCACCUCGAGUUGCUCUAAUGGGAGACAUUGUUCCUCUUAAAGAUGAAAAGGUAUGAUAUCUAUUAAAUCCAUCAGAUUCAUAUAUAAAACUUCUUUCGAAUGACUUCGAAAAUUUUCUUAACUGUUUCCCUAGAACUGUUUUCUUUUGAGGUGAUAGGUCUGUACUCUGUAGCAUGACAUAGGAUUUGUCACAUUAACUGUUCUGAUAUUCUUCCAAGUUGGUGAUUCUUAUUCCUUUGGGGUUUUCGUCAUCUUAGAGUUUCUUGCUGUUUCAAGUGUUGGUUUUGUGGCUGCAGUGAAAUUUUAAUGGGAAAUUGCUUAAAUAAUUAUUCAGGGUACUUGUGUCGCACAACCUACAGUUACGCCCCAUUAAGUUCGAAGGAAAGAUCAGGGGGACAAUGGAAUGAAAUAUUUACUAUUCAUCAUAAGUUUAUUCCUUUCCUCAUUUUGCUCGAGCAAAUUUUGCAAAUCACACUAUAGCUCAAUUCUGCCAAUCAAGGGACCGAUGCUUGUUCCCAUGUUCCUACCUCCUGCUUACAUCCUUUACAACCCUUAUUUGUAGAUUAUUGGUGCCUGUUCUUGUUCACUUAUUUCUACUGUAACCUUUUAAUCCAAUCUUGAUUUCCUUGCAAUUUCUAAUUCCAUUCCUCCUAGCCGAAUGAAACAUAAGCAUUUAACAUGGUUGCUUGUACACAAGGGAUAACUGACGGGGACCUAAUUCUUUGGGAAUUUUUGUAUUGAGUUUAUUGCAAGUAGUUAUAGACUUUCUGAUGUAUUAUGCAACUUCUAAUUAUCGCAGGUAAAACUUGUAUUUUCAUGAAAUAUAAUUUAAUUUGUUGGAUUUGAAACUCCACCAUUUGAUUAGUCGCUACUCUGUGAAGCACCCCUAUACAUGUGAUGUAGGUUUAGCUUUUUAGGUUAACUGCUAGUAUUAACUCCGUAAUUUCUAUUUUCUUUCCGUCAUGUCGCAGGUUCAGUUAGCUACAGAAUGCCUUAGAGAAACCAUAACUUCUGAACAGAAAGCAUUUAAGGAAUCUAGCUAUUCAGUUUCUGGUGUAUUAAGCACUGCCAAUCUGGAGUCCACUUCAAGAAGCCAAAAUCUUCAGGAUCUCCUUGAUAGCAAUAAAAGCUACACAGUAUAUAAGUUGGAUUUAAGGUAGCAAAUUUUAUUAUUAUAUCGUUUACUUUAUACAAUAUUUCAUCAAAAUGUUGUUUUGUAUGGAACAUAGAAAGUUAGAGAAAAGUACUUGAAGUAUAAGACAAACACACAUCGAAGAGGAUAAACUAUUAAGCAAAGCAAAUUUAUCUGUUAUAUUUCGCUCGUAGAGCAUGAGUCUGGAGUGUAAGAUGUUUGCAGACCCUACCUUGACUAGUUGACUCAUGAAAGGAUAGGCUGUUUAUGCAAAGACCCUCAUCCCUAAGCCUUGACAACGCAAUUACAAUAAUAAAACACAUACAUAAAAGCAGUAUAGACACGAACACAAUACAGUAGGAGCCCUCUAAGUUAAUACGUUCUAAACCUAUAACUCUCUAAAUUGAUAAGAGGUCCCUGUCCCAAGUUGGGACCAAUAUUAAAAUUUAAUAACCCUUCUGUUGUGAUAACUAAUAUAUUUUAAGAUAAUCCCAGUGUUAAAUAUCGGUCCCAACUUUUGCAUAAAGUGAUGUUCUCGACUAUAUACAAUUUUGUAUACACUUUGUGAUCGUGAUUUUUUUUUUUUUUAAAUAUUUAUCGGUGCAAUUUUUUCUUGUUAAACAUCCACACCAUGUAUUAUUAUCUAAAUUACUUUUAAUUCAUCUUUAUGAUAUCUUUUAUGUCAUAUUGAUGAUUUUUUUUUCAAUUUAGGGAAUGUUAUUUAAAUUUAUAUGUGUUAUUUUGACCCCGGAAGCAUGGUUGUCAUGUCGGUCGACUAGUCGCGACUAGUCGGCGACUAGUCGAUUAAGCGAUGAAGGGAUGUCGACUCAACAUUUCGACUAGCUGAAUGUCGAUAUUUCGGUCGCCUGGUCGACUAGUCAGUCGACUAGUCGACUAAGCGGUCGACUAGUCGACUAUUUCAGCUACAGAUUGAGCAUUUUGACUUUUUUUAUUGCCGACUUCUUAUUGUUUCCACUUUCCAGCAGAAUGUGUUUACUGAUAUGUUAAUGGUUUCUGGUUAUGUGUUUCUUGCAUUCUGUAUUUCUAAUUUCUGCACUCCGCAGUUUGAUUUCUGUUACUGUUUGUUCUGCACUUAUGCAGAUUUCUGCUCUUUAUUCUACAGAUUAUUGCUUUUGCUCUGUUUAUUUGUAAUCUGCAUUGUGCAUAAAUAAUUCUGUACAUAUUAUUUCUGUAUAAUUUUGUUGUGCACUGCACUACCAGUACCAUACUUAAUUACAAAUUACAACACAUCACAGUAUCACACAAUUGUUAAUUUGUUAAUUGUUACAUAUUUUACAUGAUCAGAAGUACUUUGCUUUGUUGUUAUUUGUUAACUCUUUCCACUUUUCCGUCAUUCUCUUCACGUGUUCGAUCUUUAAUUCCUUAGAUUCUGGAAUAUAAUAUUGUGAAGGUGUCAGAACUUGGGAAACCUGAAUUACAUAAUGUAUAUAUAUUAUAUUCAAUAUAUAAUAAUAUAUUAUUUUUUGCCGACUAGUCUGCGACUAGUCUACGACUAAUCGACUAGUCAACUAGCCGAAGGUCCAUCGACUCGCUUCGACUUACCGACGUGACAACCAUGCCCGGAAGUGUUAAUGCAUAUAAAUAUAAGUAAAUCACUUGAAAAUAAUGGAUAUGAUAUGUAUUAGUAGGUAGAAUAUUUAUUAUAAUUAUUUUUAUCAAAAAAUAGAAACCUCUCUUAUAUGAUAAGUUGAUAACCUCUCUUAAGUGAUAAACUUCUCUAGUCCCAAAAAUAUAACUUUACAGGAUUUCUACUUAUAGAACUCUAUAAAGUGAAUACCAAGAGGUAAAAUGUCAAGCACUAAAUGGACGGAGAACAAACGGGAAGCAUAUUACACCAAAAGAAAUUAACCAUUAAGCACUCCCGUCCGCACACCCACCCACACUCCUAUACUACAUUACUACCAUCCCCUUUACCCCCAAUUACAGGAACUUUCAACCCUUUAGGAAUGUCAGCUGUUAUGUCCUCAAAUAAGGUUCAACUUUAGAUGUUGAUGUAAUGAAUUUUAGUAUUAACUGCUCCAUUCACCACGAUGAACUAUGUUAACCUUAACAAAUCUGCUUUUUUGUAAUUCUGAAAAUUCGAAUACCACAAAAUACAAUUAGUGUUGAAAUAUAAUGUAGUAAAUGGUUAAUUUUGCCAUUUGUUUUGUCUUUGCUUUUCUGUCUUUCGUGUUCCAAUUCUUACCACCUUAUUCUGAGUUCUUAUAUACAGUAUAUCUUAUUGCUUGUUUCACCCAUGUACUGUUUAUUGCUUGGCUGAGACUAGGGGUGAAUAAUCAUCUUAUCUUCUUAGUAUUUGUUGUCUGUUUUGAAAUUACAAAUUGAUUACCAGUACUGAAAGCUACUUUUUCACCUCCCUUUACUUUACAUGGUAAAUUAUUUAUCUAUGGUCAAAAUGGUAUCACCCUUUUAUUUCUUAAGUAUCUUUUUGCACAUUAAAGAUAUAUUAAUAAAAAGUUUGAGUUUCAGUUGAAACUCUGAUUGGAGUAAUCUAUGUGGGUGAGGUAACAAGGCAGAUAAUAGUUGUAAAGUGUUAAACACACUGUUCACAAAGUUUAAAACUUUCAUAGCAUGAAGCUUAAAGCUAAUCACCGUUGCUAUCCGAGGUACAAUUUUAGAGAUUUGAGACAAUGUAGGCCUGUAGGGCUCAAUUUUAUAUCUACCACUUAAUUUACUAUAAUUAAAGUAUGUACUAGCCAUGUGAUUAGCUAUUACUUAUCUACCAACUUUUAACAUUUUAAAGUCCUGGUUAUCUUCUUAGUCCUGGUUUGUCCGAUUUUUGGCCCUGGUUUGGUGUUUAUCAAGGCAAAGCCUUGAAUUUGAUAAUACUAGUACCUUGUUUGGGAUACAAGAUUCUGAUUAACAAAAAACAUAUAAUUGCUAUAUUUACAGUAUCAUAUGUAUGUACCUGAAACUCUCACAGUUAACCCAAGGGUCAUGUGUUCAUAUCUGAAAUUCCUCUACCGCUGUUGCGAUUCCGAUGAUGAUUCCAAAAUAAUCCCUACCCUAACUGCUUCCCCAACAUCACAGUUUUCAGUUACUGUCCAUUCAACUCGUGUCACCAAUUUUCAUCCCAAUAUUAACAUUUUUAUACUCUGGAACUCACUGCAAAGGAUUGAAGCAGUGGAGUUCCUAAAUAACAUUAGAUCUGUAGCAGUUCCUCAGACAUAUGUCAUUUCUAAAAAGCGAUAUGUUGUAAUAUUGUGAAACCUGAUUAUUUGUAAACCAUAUACUCGAAAGACAAUGUAAUGGGACUCAAACAGAUUGGUAAGUUUUGAGAUUUAUUCUUUCGGUAUAUAAAAUUAAUAUCAACAUUGAAGGAAAAUUUAUUCAUGAAGUCACAAGGUAAAAUACGUUCAAGCUGGAAAAAACAAUCAUGCGUCUGGCGUAAAAAUGAAAUCAGACCAAUUUUCCAAUGGAUUCUUACUUGGGAUACUAGGAUGACAUUGUUCAGUAUGCUUACUCCUGGUAGCGAAAUUAAGACUUUCAUGCAAAAGAGUUUUAUUCAUCCCGUAUUGACAUUACAAAAGGACCCUUGUAGAGAUGGCAGAAAAAACCGAUCCGAAUGGAUACUCGACCGUUUCGACCCGAAUGGAUAUUACCGAACCCGAUAUUUUGGAUUUGGAUUUGGAUACUAGGUUUUCCUUAUCGAAACCCGACCCGAAAUCCAAACCCGAUCCAAACCCGAAGCCCCAAAAAAAAUCAAAUAUAUAUAUAUAUAUAUAUAUAUAUAUAUGUGUGUGUAUGUAUACUAAUAUACUUUUUUUCAAUUUUAAAUCUACUAAAUUUUGUUUAUAUAUAUAUAGGUAGAGUGUGAAUGUGUAUAUUCUUGGGUUAUAGUGACUUUUUUUGUUUAACUAAUGAGUUACUUUAAAAUUUCAUACUCCAUAUAGCGAAGAUUUGUGUUUAGAAAUUAUUAAAUACUGUUCAAGAUUUUAUUAAUGUGUAAUAAUUUAUUAUUAAAGUAGUUUAGUUUUAAAUAUAAUGAAAUUUAAGGGCGAAAAAUCAAAAAUAAUAUUUUUACAAUAUUAUAUAAAUUUCGGGAUUCAGGUUUUGGAUAAACCCGAACAAACCCGAACCCAAUCCGAAACCAAUCCGACCCGUUGCCAUCUCUAGACCCUUAGUAUGUAAAUAAAUAGAUUUUAGUCGAAUCAGUAAAGGUUAAGUUAUUGAUACCACUUUCUUGAUCUGAAAACUUUUCUGCUAUGUGUAUCUCUCCGCAGCUCAUGUACUUACAUAGACAGCAACGGAAGUACCCAUGAAGUAGAUUUGGAGACAAUUAGAAAAACUAAAGCAGACGCUCUAUGUAAGUUCAUAAAAUUCUUGUCUUCCCUCCCCCCAUCUAAGCGAGUCACUCAUGAGCAGUAAUACCGUGUGUGUGUGUGUGUGUGUGUGUAAUAGUUGCUGGUAACUAUAAUAUUUUAGUUUAAUCCUUCUUAGUCCUUACGCUACGAAAUUGUCUUCUGUAGCACCUUUCUCUAUGAGUUUAAUCGAUGGAAUUAAUCAAAGUGAAGCAAGGAGGAGAGCACUGAUCUUUUUCUGCAUCACAUAUUUAAAUAAGAAUGUCAAGGUAAGUCAUUAAUCAUCAAAUUUCUGUGAACACCAAGGAACCAUGUAUAGUAUGCAGUGAGAUAUAGGAGAAAUCAAAUAGGGCUUACUUAAGGCUUUUCUCUGCACAUUUGAGUAAAUAAUACUUCCUCCACUUUCGAUGAAUUGAUAUAUGAAGUUUGGAAACAAUGAGAAAUUGGUUUGCUGAUAUUAUAAUAAUUUAGAAAAUUCACUAAUUAAAAAAGCAUGAGUUUUGUAGUUCAUGUGUAUACAGACAACUGGAAACUUGGGUAAAAGCCGCUAAAUAAUCUUUACAUUUUAUUUCUGGAGAGAAUAAGUUGAGAUAAAUGAUAAUUUGUGUGGUUAGUCAAUAAGUCAGAUAGUUGUAGUAACUGAUAACUCUAAUAUGAACACAUAUUUACAUAUUCUACGGCAAGGUUGCUAUCUUAAUGGGAAUGAGGAUACUAAUAUGUGUUCAAAGGCGUAGCUUGUGACUCACUCGAGUCUAGCAGAAUCAAAUAAGAAUUUCAAAUAAAUGAACUUGAGCCAUAUCUGAUUGAGGCAAAACAAAAAUUAAUUGGAAUCUGAGCGAGUUAUAUGAAUUCGAGUAGAAUCUGACAAUGUAAGUAUUCGUAGGCAUUUUAUUUGGUUUCACCCCUCUCCUAGUAAUUAAUAUGUGUGGAAUAUUAAAAAUUUGGUGCGUUCACUUGCCUAAAUAAAUUGAGGUUUGAGGUUGUAAUUUGAACACUUUACUUGCUGGAAAAUAAAUAUUGGAAAAUAUUACUAGUUCUACUUUGAAUCACAUGAUAACAGACUUGUACCUGUACUGUAAUUUAUGUAGUAAAAUAAUAAAUUGUGGCAACAUAUACUUCCUAGAAGGCUGAAACUUAUUGUAAAUUCUAGCACUGAUAAUUUGUAAUCCAUCAUGCAAGCUACAGAGAACUAAAAUGUUAUACUAUUAUCUCUGAUGGAAUAUACUUGAUCGACCAUGAACUUUCACGUUCUAGUUCAAAGCUAUGUGAUGUUAAGUGCAUUGCUAAAGUCUUGGACUAUCAAUCCAUAAUAAACUAUUGUCAGCAGUUUCCUAGAACCUGUUAUUCUUUCACCCAAGUUCUUUCCCUUGUAUCAUACGGAUUCCUUCUUCAAGUAACCUUUACGUUUCCUGAACAGGACGCGUUAAUGCUCUCUGCCGAUAGGAAAGGCUUUGACGUUCUAGGCAAGACUCUUGGGCCAGUGAUGAAUGAUGGUUCCCGUCAGUACCUGUGGGAAGAACUCAGAUUUGAGCUCAAUGAAGAAGCAAAAGAUAUUGAAUCAUUCUGUCAACAGCUUGUCUCAAUGGAAGUGGAGGCCCUUAAAACUGUCUCCAAGUUCAGUGGUAUAUGAUGCGCAUAGCCAUAUUCAUACCAGUAGUGGCCUAUGAGAAUGAGACAUGAUGUCUGCAAAAUUGAGGUAAGACUGGAGAAUUAGAUUAAUUUUGCCAAAAUAGUUGUAUGCUUCUGUCUUUGUAUACUACAUUUAUGAUUGUGUUUUUUUGAAAAAAACUUCCGAUCCUUGAAAUUUCUAAUCAAUUCGUCCAAGCCAGUUUUCUUAGGUUCAGCUCUCACAGAUAUACACGGUCAUGGACCUUUGGAUAUAUGAUUUGGUGGAAUUGGCUUGGGUUGUGAAACUGGUGUACCAUAAAUUUUACAGUUUAAGAUUUUCUAUUCACUUCAUUGUGCUAAGUCUGCAAAUUUGUCUGGUGGCUGCAAUACUCCAGAGAGAUUUACAAGUAUAGGAAAGGAUUCAAAGUGAUGAUCAGUACACAAUAAAAGCUAUGAUCUUGUACCACUAUUUUUUUAAAGCCGGAUUUCAACACAAUAUCAUAUUCUCAUGCAUGAUUCGUAAAUACGCAGUAAUAUGUAUAAUUUCGAGUAAAAUGCAUGACUGCUAUUGGGUUGGCUUCGGAACUUAAAACUUGUCAGUUCUGUGCAGAAAUAUCAUUUUGAACAAUGCAUGUAACAAAGAUUUGUCCUCGCUUGUUCAAAAUGUUGUUUUUUAUUUGAAAUUAGUUAAAAUCCAUAUAUUUUUUUGUAUUUCGUGUUCCCGUGUCACGUGUCAAAUCGUCGGGUCUAGAAAUAAGUCAUGCGACAUAAACCCUCAAAGAAAGACUUCAAGACUAUAAAGUCCGUUAACCACAAGAAAUGGAUUACUAUCAAAUAUAGAAAAAAAUGGGGGUUUACUAUGAGCAAACUCGUGCGUUUACCAGCUUCUUUUAUACAUAUAAGAGCCAGGCAAGAAAUGAAGAAGAUGAAUGGGGAGACCAUUCAGAAGUGACGUGGCACGUGAAGAAAAGCAGUAGGAGACUACCAAGUCCGACCAUAAGCAUCUUCUGCUUGCGGUAGAGCCUCCUCAGCUCAAACUAUAUACUUUAUAUAUCUUACUUUAUCAUAUGUGUCCAGUGGUGAUAUCAGACACGACUCGAACCCGACCCGAACUUGUAACCCAUUUACUGAAACAAAACUCGAAAGUGACUCGAAAAUUACCUUCAAUUUUCGAAAUUUUCAAUUUUCAGUUUUAUUUAAUUUUAGAUGAUUUUACCUUGACCCGAAAUCGACCUAAUUGCUGACAUGAACACGACUCGUUAUCCGAAAUUGCCACCCUUGCCUCUAGUAAAGUUCAUACUGCCCCAUAAUUUCGUUGUUAUUUUAUUUUCCGCAAGGCUCAUGUAAAUUGUUUCUGAUGACCCCCCGCCCCGCCCCACAUUUCUUGUUCAUGAAUGUAGAUGUAUUGCCGGUGGCAAAAUCGACCAGGAGAUUCCAGCCUAAUGUUUGUACAAUUUGACUUUAUUAUUUAAGUAGUUUUUAUGGUCUUGAUUCAGUUAUAAGGAUUUUAUGGUAAUGUAUUUCUUCUCGAUUGUUCAAAAAAAUAGUUGUAAUACUAUAAUAUGUAUGAGUAAUGUUAAGUACAUCAAAAUCUUUUCCCAAAUUUAAUAAUAUUUUCGCAAUAUGUGAAAUAAUAAUAUUUAAAUUUGCGGGACGAGAUUGGAAUUAAGAUGAACAUGAUCACAACAUCCAGCAGUCCCUUAUUGCAGCUCGAUCUUUAAAAAUUCCGUGCCUUGUAAGAGUGAGAUUCUCUCCCAAACACGUCACAUUCAGAUCUCUUUGUAGCAAAAGCAUAAAUCACGAACAUCAAGCUCAUAGCAAAAUGUUGUGGAGCCUUACAUAAUAUAUAUAUUCAUGCAUAUGUUCGUUUGCAUGUGUAUCAUGUCUUGAGGGUCGCAUCAGUCGGCUGCACAUAUUUUCAUCCCCUUUCGUCACCGGAAAACUUGGAGCUUCAUAGUUGAGACCUGAAUGUGUUUUCAAAUUUUGGUCACGACUAGGGUACUCCUGUGUUUAGAAUUUUAAAUAAAGUGAUGUGACACUUUUUAUGUUUAGACGCUUUUUUGAUUUGGUCUCAAACAAUUGUUUUCUGCAGUAUGCAUUUUAAAGUUCGAAAAACGCUUCGCUUUGCACCCCAUGACCAUUCUCCGUUUAAUUGACCGUUAAAGUUAACAGAUUUCAGAUUUUCAUCAGAUUUUCAUUUUGCACCCACAAGUAUAAUUUUUUUUCAUGAGCAUUUUGAUUUUUUUUUCAUGAAUCAAAAAUUUGUUUAUCAUUUUCGUCUGCUAGGAUAUUAAUAAUCCAAAUUAUCCGAAACUUAAUGUGGAAAACGAUACAUGCAGAUGGAUAAGCCCUCUAUACUCGGGGAUGCUGCCCUAUUGUUCUUAUCGUAAGAUGAAAAACAAUCAACAUCACCGCAAAUGACAAGAACAUUUUGCAUUCAUGAAAAAAAUAUAUUUCAAAAUACUCAUAAAAAAAUUAAAAUUGUGGGGUGCAAAGUGAAAACCUGAAAUAUGUUAACUUUAACGGUCAAUUAAACGGAGAGUGGUCAAAAAAGUGCAAAGCGAAACGGUUUUCAAAUUUUAGGGUGCAUACUACCAAAAAAUUUGUUUGAGACAAAAUCAAAAAUGCGUUUAAAUAUAAGGAAUGCAAAGUGUCAAUCACUCUUUUAAAUAUAUAAAUGAAAUUUAGAGAGCUAGCUAGGCUGUAUAUGAACUUAAAUGUAAACCCGAUUCAUUCGUUUUCAUGUCUUAACUAGGAAAAUUUAAAGUGCAUGAGUAUCAACUUAUAAACCCCAUCCAUUUAUAUAUAUAGUCUUUCUCUGUGUCCUAAUUUAUUAGAAAAAUCUAGUGCAUAUUUGGCAUAGUCUGCUUCUAACUUUUUUCAAUAAGAAACCUGCUUCUACUUUCCAUCACCCGUUUGUGUAAAAAAUCAGAAGCACUUAUAAAAAACUAAGAAUACUAACUUUUGUUUCGGACUUCUACUUCUUUCCAAAAUAGUUUAAUCAUUUAUAAGUCUUAAUUUACUUCUCACUUAUAAUCCACUUCUUUAUUUUAAGUAAGUAAGAAGCAUUUUUUUUAAAUUUAUCCAAGCGGGCUUACUCUAGUUCCCCCACCCCAGAGAUCGACAGAUCAACUUUCUCAAAUGUUAUACUCUAACAUUGCGUUAACUUAGAUGGAAUAAAAUGGAAAGAGAAUGUAAUGAAAUUUAUGCUGGGGUAAUCGAAAAAAAGUCUAUAAGAUCAAUUUCUUCUAUCAUUACAUUCCAAAAUAUUUAAAUAAGAAAUUUCAUGUGUUUUAGAAGGAAUGCUCAUUUCACUUCUUCACUAUAAUUUUUUAUUAAUAGAAAAUUAAACUUACCUAUAUUUAGUUAAUUACUACAUUCUCCUUCUUUUCUUUUUCUUCAUAAUACUUCUUUGAUGUUUCUCAUAUUUCAUUUCAUCCAAGUUCAUUUCAUCCAAGUGAAUACAACCUAACUGUGCUGUGAUCAUUACAACUUUAAUCCCUAUCAUAUAUAAUGUUAUAUGUGUGACCACUACAACUUUUGGUAACCGUAUAAAAUCACAUAAGAAAUCUUCCUCAAAACCCUAACAAAAUUUAUAACUAAAGUGAGAGUGGGCUAUAUAUAUAGGUAGCCAUCAAGAAAUAAAUAAACAGACACACACUUCUUCCUUUAUCUUUUCAUCCUCCACUUCUUGCUUUCUCUCUCUCAGCUUUAGUGACGCAAAUUUCCACCAUAAACCACCCAAACUUUAUCAAAAGAAAGAAAAGAAAGAUUAAAAGAUCAAAGCACUAUGGUUUUCUCAUCUGUUCCAGCCUUUCAAGUACUGGAUCCUCUCAAUUGGCAAUACCAAGUAAGUUUUUACAUUUAUCUCUUCAUCAUGAUUAACUUUAUAUCUACUUCUUGGAAAAAUUUGGAAUCUAGUAGCUAGUUGUAAGAUGUGUAUAUACUCUUAGACAUGUUACAAGAAAGAAUUCCGCACUUUCACAUGGACUUUUGACACCAAAUUUGUCGGAUUGACUUUAAAUUUAAGUAUGAUAUAUAUAUAUACAGAGAAGUGCUCAAAUACAAACUAUAAUCGAUUGGUUUUGGCUUUAAAUUUACAGCCACCAGGAGGAUCAGUAUCGGAUAACAAUAACGAUGAUAGCAAUCACAACCACCUCACACUACCACCUAUGCCUCCGUCUCACGGCCUUCCAAUCGGGCCUAAUUCAAUGGCAGAGAGACCUAAGUUAACAAAGCUUCCACCUCAAGAAACAGCCUAUAAAUGCCCGCGUUGUGCAUCCACCAACACGAAAUUUUGCUACUACAACAACUACAGUCUCUCACAGCCAAGGCACUUUUGCAAGGCCUGUCGUCGCUAUUGGACUAGGGGCGGUGCACUGAGAAAUGUACCUGUCGGUGGUGGCUUCCGGAGGAACAAGAAAAGUAAAAGAAUUAGGUCAAAGUCUCCGAUUACAUGUAAUAGCUCAGCAAGUGGAGUUUCUUCUGGUAGCUGUACCACGAACAAUAUUUUAGGUCAUUCAGCCCCUUCAAUUUUACCACAAUUUCCUUUGUUGCCCUCGAUGAAAUUCACUGAGAUUCUUGGAGCUGAGGAUAUUAACAGCUUGAUUUUCCGGGGAAUUCAGUCCCCAGCUGCCGCGUCUGGUGAGUAUAGUGAUCAAUGGAGAUUGCAGAAAUCCGCUGUUGCGCCUGGAGUACUGGAACCAUUAUCAACAGGAGUGACGUAUCAGUUUCGAGGUGAAGGUCUAGGGGAAGCUACCACCAGUCAGCAUGAUUUUAAGACAGCAGACUAUUCUAGUGGCCCUUCUCAAGCUGAGUUGAUAAAAUUUGGAGAAGAUCAAGGAUUCAUGAGUUUGCCGAAGAACGUUUUGGAUUUUCCGGGGAAUGAACAACAAGAGUAUUGGAGUUCUGUCUAUGCAUGGAAUGAGCCAAAUGGUUUAAAUCCUUCUACAGGUCAUCUCUUGUGAUUUAAAUAAUUUUUUGUUUCCUUCGAAACCCUAUUUUAUCCAGCGCUGGACUAUAUAUUAUUUUUGUUUGAUUAAUCUCGUGUGUUUGAUGUAUAUUGAAUAUAAAUCUCUCUGCUAUCUUAUACAUGAAGACUACCGUAAUUUAAGAAUUUGUACUCAGAUCAAGGGUGAAAGAAGCAUUGGCCGAGUGAAUGAACGUGUUCUGUUAUUUCUACGACUGAAAACCCUAAUGAAGAAGAAUGGAUUAGUAUGUUUGUUUUGAAUUUUGAUAUGUAUUGAUCUUCUCUAUAAGAAAGAUAUUCUUGUGUAACUACAAUUUAAGAUCAACAUAUCAAGGGGAUGAAUAUAUGUUUAUUUAUAUAUAGUAGAUAACCUUUGAGCACUGAUAAUUGGUUCCUGCAUGCGUACUUUUAUGUUGUGUCUGGUUAAAGUGAAUGAAUUAGGAGAAACGGAAUGAAAUUUUAAAUAUGUUAUGGACAAUAUAAUUGUUUAUAAUUUUCAUUCCUUCCCCCAUUCUAUUCCUCCUUAGCUAGUAAGUACUUUUUACGAGUAUAGGCUCGUAAAAAUGUUUCAUUUCCACAGAUGUGUAGGCAGUUGCCAGUCACUCCCCAUGCAUGUUUGUUCAAGCAAAUAUAGUAGUACGUCUAGUAGUCCUAGCUCGAUGAGCAUCAACUCAUAAAGAACGUACUGAUGAAUUAAAUUUUGUACUUCUCUCCCAUGCCCUAAAACAACCCUCUUUCUUGGACAGUUCAAUUCCCAAUGUUGAAUAGUAAGAUGAUCACUUCAGAUUCAUCAGCUUUUUAUGGUGGGAGAUAGGUGUCGUCAAAGUGGAGUAUUCGAGUAAUUAAUGAGGUUCGGCCAUGCUUGAAUACUACUCUACUCUCCCUUAAUUUCCUUUCUCAAAGCUAGCUUCUGGUAAUUAUAAAGAUCGACAAUAAAAGCCUAUUCUCCAGUACACGCACUCUCCUUUAGAUUCAGCACUUCUGUGCAGGGUAAUAACAUAAAUUGGGACCUCAAUGUAUCCCAUGUUUUAGUGUUCGAUUAAUUUGCAUUUUAGCUUUCCUAAGUGAGAACUGAGAACCUCAUAUUCAUCAAGUCGUAGGUAAAUAAUUUACAAUACAUCUCUUUUUGUGAUACAAUAGCGUUUCCAUUCUUAUUUACCUCAACCUCAUAUUCAUCAAGUAGGUAAAUAAUCUACGAUACAUCCCUUUUUGUGAUGCAAUAGCGUUUCCAUUCUUACUUACCUCAAUUCGACUAUUCUCAUACUCUUCAUUCCAUUUUCAUUAUCAUCCGCCAUCGGACAAUGCCCUUAGUCUAGAGAAGCACAUGAAUGUCAGUGUGAUGGGAAAUAAUUUUGUAAGAAUGAUACAACAAUGAUCCAUAUAUAUGAUUGAGACAUAAUUAAAGUGGUGGCAAAAGAGUAAUACAUAAAGAAGAGCCGCUGAGUGUAACAACUACAAAUUAUUUAGUAACAGAAUCUGUACUUAAAGUUUGUUGGGGCUGCCAAUUGCUUUUGUGAUAACCAGGACAAGGCAAAGGCAAAGCAAAACCUCGCCCCCCUCCCCCUCUGUCAAAAAGCUUCUGCGCAUAUAUUACACGCACGCACUCGCUUUCUAUCAAUGUGUGCAUGAUUUGUGAAAUAAUUUAGCGAUGGUUGUAGUGGUUGUGUCCAUUUGCUGAAGAUAAAAAAAUGUGGGGCGCGACUGCCACACAAUCACUUCCUACACCGUAUUUUUUAUCUUUAAAAAACACGAUACUUAAUAUGAUUAUCAGCGAAUUCUAUGAAUAUACCAGAUAUUGAGAUUAUAUAUCGAAUAUUAUUUUUCAAUGUCUUUUAAUAUUGAGUCUAUUUUAAAAAUAAGGGUGAGUGUACAAGUCCGGACAUGUUUUGUAUAAAUAUAAUUCAGUCUCGGUUAGAAGAAUUGAACACAUAUCGGAGCAAGAAAAAAAGAUGUCAGCCUUAUCGGAUAUAGGCUGAUUAAUUAAAUGUAUACAUGAUAGUUUUAAAUCUUGCAGGUGAUAUAACAUUAAAUAAGAAAAAUGGAGGACGGCGUAUUAAAGUUGUUGAGUCUUGAUCCAUGGUUUAGAGAGUAAGUUCACUUUGAAAAAAUCUUGACUUUGGUCUCAUGGCUUACAGUGGGUCACUUCAUUUUGAAGAAUUUCAUAGGCUAUGUCGACUUCAAUCUGAAGUGUUAUGUCAUUUUGGUUUGAAAAAAAGGCUCGUAUCAUUCGAUGACAGAGAAUUUCAUGACAAAAGCGAGUAUCAUGUUUAGAAAAUUAUAGAUCAAGAUACUAUUUAGUAUUUACAUAUAUAUAUAUAUAUAUUACACUCACACACACACACACACACACACACACAUAUAUAUAUAUAUAUAUAUAUAUAUAUAUAUAUGAGGUCGAAAAUGACAUUUGAAAACUGAAACUUGAAAUCAGGAAUUCAGUGGNNNNNNNNNNNNNNNNNNNNNNNNNNNNNNNNNUCCCUACACUUUUAUAAUAAAGACAUGGUUUUCGUAUACAUUUUACCCUUCCCACACCUUAAUCUAAGUGGGAUAUAGUUUGUAUGUUUAGUCUGGUUUAGUUUAUCUUUCAGUAAAUAUAAACACAUUUACGAGUUACGACUCAUUCUUGAUUUUUUUUUUUUUAAAUUCGCUCACCUAAUCCUAAAAAGAAUUAUCUAUUAAUUUACUGAUUAUAUUUCGAUUUAGCUAAAAAUUCCUAUUUAUCCAAUUUUUUUUAAUAAAUUCUAAAUUAAUAGAUCAAUCGAUUAAUUUCGAUACUAAUUUUUACGAAUAAUUAUAUAUGUUGUCACAUCGGAGCUUUUAUUUGUGUUGCAUGUUCUGCUCCGCCCAUACCAUGGUCGAUGUACCCUCCUUACUUCUGAUGAUAAACAUACUAAUUAAAUGUAGUGUAUGUAUGUUUCUCUUUUGCUAGCCUAUUGUUUCUUUAAACAUUCAACCGGUAGUCAUUCCAAUUGUUCAAUUUUAAGCAAUAAUAAUUAAAUUAUUCGAGGACUCUCAACACUACAAAAAAAAAAGGACAAAAUCGACCGGAUAAAAUCGACUGCCUAAAAAAAAUGUCAACUUAAAAUCGACUGGCAGCAAUCGGUCGGUCAUGAGACAGCACGACAUCGUUUUGCCUUGCUGACAAGUUCCAAGAACUCUCGUGAAUCGGAGAUAUGCUCUUUCUAGCUCGCUCGUCCGCUGAGAGAUAUAGCAAAAGAUAACGUGCAUGAGAUCAGGUAGAUUAGUCCAACACAUUCGUUUUAUAAUAUUAACACUUGUGUCUUGGUAAUUAUAUAUCUAGCAAUUUUACAUACGCUACGCGUUUGAUUGUGAAGCGAGAAGCAGUUGACUAGGCUGGUAUAUCAUCCAGCGACUCCUUGCGAGUUUCCGUCUCACAUUACUAAAUUACUGUAUUUUCCUAUCACGAAAAAGACGCGAAGAACUCAUAUAUUAUUCUACACUUAAUUUUUUAAAUUUUGUUUAAAGUAAACUUCAGAGUUGUGGCAAUGUUUACAUCGAUUUUCAAAACGUUGACUAGAAUUCCAAAUUCUCAAAAAGAUGGUCAAACUUUGAUUUCGCUUUUCAAAAGUGUGGAGUCUAAUGAGAGCCACAUCUUUGAAAAACGGACCAAAAUUUGGCCACUUUUCUAAGAAUUUGGAAUUCAUUUUUACCUUUUUGUUACAUUCCAAAUUCUCAAAAAAAUGGUCAAAGGUUUUCUUACAUAACAGCGUGGUCUAGGAACAAAUGAUGCAAGUCGACUUGUUCAUUUGGAGUUUUAUGCAGCUUCUGCUAUUAUCCGAUAGUGAUCUCAUUUUAGCCUUUAAGCUCAAGAGAAAUUUCUGUUCGCUACUUCUUCAAGCAAGUUGCAAAUAUUUAGCUCACAACCACAUCACUAGUCAACCAGAGCAGCUGUCAUAUAUGUUUAAUUUAUCUUCAAAAAUGUAUUCAUAUUUGUUAAGAACUUUCUUUUUAUUUUUUUUAUUUUUAAUCAUCGGUCAACGUACGUACGAGGCAGUUGACCACAAGCCUGGCUAAACAUUCAAAGUAAACCCUACAAGCUGGAAGAUGCCCAGUACUUAUAAAUCCAUCAUUUUUCUCAAACUCAAACGCUGACUUUACACUAUAAUUCUAUAAAUAUAACAAGAACAAGUGUACAUAAUUCACAAAACAAAAAACACACAAAUUUUCUACACUAAAGAGAUUAUACAGUUGACAUAUAUAGCUGAGGAUAUAUGGCACCACCUCCAACGCCGCCCGUCGUAGCGCCGCUAGUAAAACUAGUGGUGAGAGUGCUUACUUUCAUUUGCUUGCUCAUAGGACUCAUCAUCCUCACCACCAACACCGCCUCCAUUUUCAUCAACUUUGCGGAAUUUAAGAUCCGUUUCCAGGAUGUUAAAGCCUAUAGGUAUAAAUCUUCAUACUUUUUUUUUUUGCUAAAUAUAAAUCUUCAUACUUGUGUUUAGUAUUUUCGGAUGGAUCCUAGCUAGUUUAAAUAAAAUAACACACAACAAAUUAAUACGUAAUUAUUUAAAUACAUUGUCAUCCAAAAAAAGUCUGUGACAGCGGGUACAAUCCUAGUUUUACGUAUUUAGUGAUGAAUUAUAUAUAUUGAUCAGGUACAUGCUUGCGACUAUUGUAAUUGGCAUCGCGUAUACUCUCAUGCAAACUGCACUCACCGUCUAUGAAGCAACCAGAGGAAACCGCAUUGGUGGCCAAGGCUUCCUUCUCUUCGACUUUUACGGUGACAAGGUAUUCACACCGAGAACUUCAGAUUUCAGCACAAAAAGAUAAAUAUAUCCAAAAUUAAUUAAUUGAGAAUUAAUGCAAACAUAAUUAAUUCAAAUCUGUGCAAAUGUGCAGUUUAUAUCGCUGUUGCUGGCAACGGGCACCGGUGCAGGGUUCGGCGUGACAGUAGACUUGAAAGAUCAGUAUGGCGCAAUAACUUCGGGCUACGACAAGUUUUUUGACAAGGGUUAUGCUGUUUCUAGCAUGCUUCUCAUUGCAGUUCUCUUCUCGGCUGUUUCUUCUAUUUUCUCAUCUUUAUCGCUGCCUAAGAGAGCUUAGUUCCGUUAGUGAGUCUUGUGUUAAUUCAUCGUUGUAUUUAGAUUUGAAUACGAUAAGUUUCUGUAAUUUAGAUCAUUUGCAGUUGUUGUACUUCCAAGAUUAUUCAUUGUAGUAUUUUAUAUUCAUUGUAUUCAUUGUAAUUGUUGUAUUAUGUUGUCAUGCAGCAAGAGUUCAUAAUCUCGAAUAAAUAUAUCUUCACGCAAGACUAGCUAUUAUGGUAGUUUAUAUGAAAACUGAAAUGAAAUUCCCUUGGUAAAUAAUGUUCAUGCGAUUCAUCUCACUAUUACAAUUUACAAAGGUCACAAUUACUAAAAAUUUGGAGAAAUUAAGGAUUCUCUGAUUUGAUGAUAUCGGUCCUCACAAAAUGGGUGAUCUUCUGUAUAUCCAUGCCGAGAACUGAAUCCAGAAUCAGUUUUUUCCCUUGCAUAGUCCGGUAUGAAUCUGUAACCUUCGGAAAAUUCUGGUAAAUUUUGUACUCUUUCGUCGAAAAAAUAUCUGUUGUUUGGGUCGUCCUUGUUGUUUUGGGAAGUAUUGUAAUGUGAAUUGCAUCUUCCGUAUUGUUUAGAGUUUGAAUCUGCGGAAAUAGAACGCUGGCAAAAACUUCCUGAACCUUUUAUCCCACUUGUUAUCUUUCGAGCUUUAUCCCUCUCUUGUUUAAGAUAUGACUCGUCUUUAAGCAGCUUCAGUAUUCUCUCAGAUUUGUUUCGGACACUUAAUCCCCAGUUGAACCUGCAUCACAAGUUAACAUGCAUUACUGCCACAAGAAUACUGCAUAUAUGCGUUGACCAUGUUGACGGGACCAUCAUGAUGUGGUGGCCUGGUGGGCCCCACAAAGCUGACUUGUCAAUGAUGCAUGUGUGAGUCUCGACCCACGUGUCAUUAACAUAUGAUGACUUCUUGAUAGAUAAUAUUUUUAAUAAAUAAGUAUAUGUGGUUGUACUGAGACUCUAAACUCAACCUCUUAUUACCGAGAGAAAAGAGAUAUCCAGCAAAAUACAGUGCUAGAAACUCAACCUCUUGUUAUCGAGAGAAGGAAAGUAUUUAUUAGAAUAUAAGACUUGAACUGAAUAACCUCUUGUUAUCGAGAGAAGAGAGGUAUCCACUAAAAUACGCUAGUUGAAACUCAACCUCUUGUUACCGAGAGAAGAGAGGUAUCCACUAGAAUACACCGUAAUGGAUCAUCUAUGAAAUAAUCGCAAUUUGUGACAUUAGCUAAUAGAAAUACUCACCCUUUCUCAUCAACAAAUUUGAGGCUUCCCAUCUCCCAAAUAAUGUCUUUAUCCUGCUGAAAAUCCUCUGCAACUCUCUUGGGACCAUGCGUUAGAAGUCCCUCCAGCAAAAUAAGCGCCUUAUAUGAACACUGCCACUGCUUUUUGUCGUACAUCCACAGCCUGCUAGCACAAAAAAAAUUCAAUCAACUUUUGUGAUCCUUCUCUAAAUUAAUUAUUCUUUUCACAAGCUAAAAAGCAGCAUAAACCUCUUAUGCAGAACGUCCACAAUUCUCCAGUACUCAUCAACUUCAAACGCUGCACGCGACAAGAAUCUGACAGUUCUACUAUCCAAUGUCAUCAAACUUCCAUCCGUAGCCUCUUCCGUCAGACUUCAACAGAACAUGCACAUGUUAACAGAAAUAAAAAUUGAUAAAAUUCGAUACAGAAAAAAGAAUUUAACAUACAUUUCUGCAGGUGUAACAUCAGUGAAGGCGAGCCUGGCGACCUUGAUCUGUUCUUUGAAGAAGAAAGAAGUCUUUCUCUUGAAUUCAUGUAAGGAAGGACUAGCCAUUGCUUGAAUUCUUGUAGAACUUCAGAGAAAUACUUAUGAGAACGUAUAAGAAGCUAUGAUCUGUUAAGAAUGCAUGUUAAGUAAAUAUGGAUGCUUAAUUAUGUAUAAAUUUAAUAAUAAUCAGAUAAUGCAAGUUCAACUGCUCCAUUACCUUUAGGCUUUAACUAAUUUUACCAACUACAUUCUCUAAGUGGAUUUGCAUAUGCAAUGAGCUAGACGCGACCUGAUAGAGACAAAUUAAUGGUUAUUGCAUUCUUUUCCUUAUCAAACAAUUUUUUUAAUUAAAUUCGAUGAUCAAUUUCUAACUUCUGGUCUGCAUUUUCCAUUUAGUACUAUAUAUGAAAUGCAUACAAGUAGAGGUUGACAAAUAGUAGAAGUUAAGAUACUGACUAGCAUUUGAACAAAUUAAAAACUAAACAAAAUUACAUCAGACACUUUGUGUAUAUUCAUGAGAUAAAUCUAAUAAUUUUGUGAUGGAUUCUUGUGGAUACAGAUCAAAUGGCAACACAACUGACAAAUGGAGGUCGAAAGCCACUUUGAAGUGCAUUGGGAACUUGUUUUUGUUUAAUUUCAAAACAGGUACCAAAUUUUGAAGUCCAAAAAUACCAAACAGGACCAAGAUUUUUUGGCUUUCAAUAGAAUUUCGCCGUGCCUAAAUUCUGAUCAAUCCUGUUGUGAUCUUGUAACAUUCUAGCCCUCUCAUCUCACAUGCUUGCAAGAGUCUCCUUUCUUUUCUCCAAAGCUUGAGAGUUCAUAUACCAAAACACCCACAUCGAAAACAAGGUUCCAAUCAGCACCCAUGUCACCAAAAGAUUCCUCCACCAGCUUUUUCGAAAUCUCUUUAGACUAAAAUACUCAAAAUAGAAAUUAUAAAUCUUAUAAGCCCUGAUCUUAGUGCCUACGUUCAUUGUUAUAAGAAAAUGUUAAUUAGCUUCUUAACAUCCGCACUGUAGAGCCAGCUAGACCUGUCAAUUCGUUCAUAUGGUAUACUUAUAUGUCGUGUACUCAAAGACCAAAUAUAAAACCGACCCAUUUAGGGUUCGUGUACUUUCGUGUCAUAUUCGUGCGUGUUUCGUGCCGUUCUCGGGCGUGUUUCGUGUAAAAUUGAAUAUAAAUAUAAAUAAAUAUUCGUGUGUCGUAUACUUUUUCGUGUCGUGUAUUCAAAUACCAAAUAUAAAACCGAUCCAUUUAGGGUUCGUGUACUUUCAUGUUGUUCUCGUGCGUGCAUGUUUCGUGCCGUUCUCGUGCGUGUUUCGUGUAAAAUUGAAUAUAAAUACAGAUAAAUAUAUUGACUUAAAUCUAAGAUUGAGAUCAAUUUGCAUGUUUUAAAUUUGAGGAUAUGCAUCCAUUUGAAAGACCAAAUGUCUAUAUAUAGUGUGAAAUGAUUGUCGGAGCCUGUCAAACAAUGGCCUAAUUAAAUGGGCUAUUUGCUUUUGGGUCAUUAUCAUAAUCUAAGACGGUUGCCAGAGCAAUUGGGUGAUAUGAAAUGGCUAAAGGAGCUUGAUUCACGCCGCAAUUGAGGAACUGCCAGAUUCAAUUACUCAGCUCAAGGAGUUGGUUCCAAUGAAUUUGGAUGGUUGCAAGAUGCUUAGAAAGCUACCACAGCAGAUUGGAAAUAUGAAAGGCUUAAUUAAGGACAUUUCUUGCGAGUUGUAGUGCAGUUGAACAACUUCCAGAUUCGUUUGUAGGCCUCGUUAAUUUGGAGAGACUGGAACUGAGCUGCCGCAGAAACCUUGGGAAUCUUCCAAAUAUCAUAUGGAAGCUCCAGUUGCUUCAAGUACUAAAUCUGGGGCACUGUUCAAAGCUGGAGCGAUUGCCUGAGCAAUUGGAGAUGAUGCAAUGCUUAGAAAAGCUUAAAGCAAAUGGAACGGCAAUUGAAGAAGUACUAGAUUCUAUUGGGCUACUUAAUUAGUAGGUUAAGGCUGUUGAAUUUGUCUUAUUGCCGUAAGCUAAAAUAACUGCCAAGUAAUGUGUGGAAUGGUGCAUCACUUGAAAAAUUAAUUCUUCCCCGAGAGGACAUCGAUAGAAUUAAUUUGCCUGAUGCAGUGAAAGAUACAAAGUUGGUUUCGUUAACUUUGAACUGUAAUAUAAGAUUAUGGUUGCCUACGAUUCUAAGUUUUCCUUCGUUGAAAAAGUUAUUCAUCUGCGAUGAGACUGAGAAUUUAUCUUCAACCAAUCCUUUCGGUCUCUCUGGGCUUUACAACCUACAAGUUCUCGAAUUCUCUGGUUGUGCAAUUUUUGGUUCAUCGUUUCUGGAACAUCGUCUUAAUAUAACACACUUAUGCCUAUCUAACCAUGCAACACUGGUACAUCUACCCGAUUUAUCAAGCUUGAAACAGUUGAAGAAGUUUCAUAUAUUCCAUCACAUCAGCCUUGAAUCACUUCCUCAUCAUCUUCAAACACUUACAGUUUAUUAUUGCCCAAGCUUAAAGAACUCUCAAACAUGUCAUUUUUGAAGGAAUUGAGUUAUUUGAAUUUUGGUAGCUGCAGCAAUCAGAAAUCAUUUAGUACCGAAAGAGUCCCCUGCAGGUAUGUUUCCGUUUGAUCUCCCUCCCUCCCUCUGUCCCAAAAUGAUACACAAUCACACUUCUAUAAAUCCAACUACAUUCUUUCAUGUCACAGGUAAUCAAAAAAUGCCUCCGUUUAUACGAAGCUGAGGCACCAAAGAUGGUAAAUUGGUUGAGCUACGAAAGCAGUGGGCAUACGAUCUCUUUUGGUACAUCCCACCACUAUUGGGAGAUAACUUAUUAGGUCUUGCGCUCUCGAUUGAUUUAUCAUGCAGAGAGCUGGUUCCUCAUUUGAGCAUUAGAGCUGCACUCAUAAAACAAAUGGUACAACAAAGUGCUGUGUGAUCCCUUUACACUGUAAUGGACCUCAAGUAUAUUCACUGGUGCAAUGCUUAAGUGGAGAUGAAAUCUCAAUAAGAAGUGGAGAUGCAUAUAGAGUUGAUGCACCAGAAGUAAUUUAUUAUGUACAAUUGAAGGUGAAGAUGUACGUUGUUCAUGUGAUACCAAAAACACUCUCCACCCCUGAUUUUUGCUCUGUUUUAAGCAACUUGAUUAACUGAUGUUUUACAUCUUUACAAAGUAUUUGAUUUUAUCUCUCAGUCAGUUCAAUAUAUUUUACUAUAUAUUACAAAUAUUUCAAAUAAGUCUCUGUUUACGUUGCUUCAUGUUUAACAUUUUUCUUUUGAUAAUUUCCUUUUUUCGACUUAUAUUUCAAUUUUAGAAGCUACCAUGUUACUAUAAGAGUAGUAAUUAUUGACGCACAGAACCGAAAUUGGAAUCUGCAGACACAUAUAUCAUUUAUGAAACAAAUUCGAAUAAGACAAAUUUAGAACCUAUCAAAAUAGAGGAGAAAAUUUCUAAAAGUAAAAUUUCAUUUAUUAUAAUAGAAUAUAUACAAUAUUGUUUACGUAGGAAUAGAAUCCUAAAAUUAAAUAUGAUCAAAUCUGAAUAUAUCGAAUGAUGAUAAAUAUAGUUUCACAGUGAAGGCACUCGCAGAAUCUUUACUACUUCACAUCGUUACUAUGCCUUCAAAGAUGAUAAUGCUCUUGAAAAAGGCCUAAUAAAUAUGUAGUUAUUUCUGGGGAUUGGCAUCCACCCCGUCCGGCUCGACCCCAAUUCGACCCACGCCCCGUUCGAGUCGGGGAUUCGAAGAAUUUUCGGGUCGGGGCGAGGAAUGAGGAAAAUGUUAUAAAAAAUUUGGAGAUCAGAGCAGCAGGGUCGGGGAUUCGUGUCUCCCCACCCCGAUCGCCGACUCCAAUUAUAUAUAUAUAUANCGACUAAGAAAAAUGAGGAUUUUGAAUUUAUCAUAUUCUGGCUUAAAAGCUAGAAAUUGACUUAUAAUUUCUUUACCCAAAUCUAGGGAUAGGCAUUUACCCCGCCCCGCUCGACCCCGCUCCGAUCCCCACCCCGUGCGGGUCGGGGAUUCGGAGAAUUUUUCGGGGGCGGGUCGGGAAACGGGGGAAGUUCUAUAAAAAAUUUGGGGGUCGGGGAUUCGUAUCUCCCCUCCCUGCACUUCCACUUGACAGCUAUCGUAAUGAUAAAAAACCCCGAUUGUAUAUAUAAAUAAUAAUAUAUUUAUAUAUAUUAUAUUAAAUAAAUUAUUAAAAUUAGAUAUCUUUUCUAAUCUUAUUAAAAUUAAAAAAAUAAUCUUUAUUUUUAAUAAUCGAUUAAUAUAUUGUAAUAUAAUAUAUUUUAUAAUUUUAAAAUUGUCGUUAUUUAUAUUUUAAAUUAGUUUUAAUAUGAUUUGAUGUUAAAAAUAUGAGAUGAUAUCAUUUUAUUAGUGUAUUAUGAGUUAGUAGUUUUAUUAGUGUAUUAUGAGUUAUUAUAUUGUAUUAUGAGUUAUUAUAAAUUAUAAAAUUAUUUUUUUUUUUGAUUAAAAACUAAAAUGCGAAUUCCCGCAGGGAUCCCCGUUCCUCGUUCGGGGCAGGAAUGGGGAAGGAAAAGAAUCCCCGUUCGGGGUUCGGGACGGGAUCGUGGAUAACUAUCAAAUUCGGGGAUCGGGAGGGGAUAGCUAUCCCCGACCCCGAAAUGCCACACGUCCAUCCCUAUUAUCUCUCAUAGCUAUGCUCAUUCACCCUGGUACCUCAAUGAGCUUGUUGAGAUCCUUAGACGCUAGAAAACGGUUUAUUUAACCUAAGCUAAACGACUCAAAUUACGUUUAAAUUAAAUUUUUGAAGCAAUUAAAUAAAUAGAAAAUUCAUAUUUAUUUAGUACUUAUAAUCUCAUUUUUUUCAUUUUUAGUAAUAAAUAAAUUAUACUCUCUUUAUCCGGGCGAAUUCUUUAUAUUGGGGUUGGAUACGGAGAUAAAAAAAAUGUAUAAAGUAGUAUAAAGAAUAAGAAAAGUGGAGAAAAAUUGGGAAUCAUGAAAAAGUAUGGGUUGGAUUGAGUUUUAUAUUAUUAAAUUUUAUUAUUUUGUGAAAAUUUUGUAAUGUAAAAAAAUGAAAGAGACGUUCAACAAAAAAAAUCGUAAAGAAUGCAGCGGGAGUCUUUUUUCCAACUCCGAAUGGGUCGGGGUCCAAUUCUGAGUGUGCAACCCUCUAAAGCGCCAAAAUAGAUGGUAAUGCAUGAAAGCUUGGUGUUUUUAACUCAACAAUUACUACCAGGCUACUGCCAUUUUGAUGAUGAACUCAUUUUUCUUUACAUUAAUAAGAAUGCUCACUUCAUUACUUCCUUCACAUACCUCCAAUUAAUGUCAUUAACUUGUACUCAUUUCCUUUUCUGCUAAAUGUGAUUAUUAAUAUUAACAAUUAAUAAAACAAAAAUGACUUGAAACUUCCAGGCUCAACGUGUUGUUGACAUAACAUACAAAUGGAAUAGAUAUAAAUUUUUCAGUCCCAUUUUUUGAAAUUGUACCAAGGCAGCUAGCUCUCACUUAAGUCCUCUCUCUGCAUAAAUACAAUUGUGUUAUGUGUAUGCAAACAUCAGACACAGUACUGAAAAGAUUCCUAUAAUAAAUAGUAAUAAAAGCCUCAUAUAACCGAAAUGCUUCAAGAAAUGAAAUGCUCUGCCACUGGUUUGGUGGCACAGUAUAAUCUGAUCAUGGGAGUUACGCUUGUCUCAUUAAUACUCCCUUCUUAUCGCUUUGCUUUUGCUUUAUCUAUCUCUUUCUACGUGCUUCCUCUUCAAUUUUAUUUUCUUUUACUGCUUUACCACAGAUAACGCGUUCUUUGCAUGUCUGUAUUAUUGUUUUCUCAUGUGCGAACAAAUUUAUGUCCUUUCCGGUGUUCUAAAAAUCGGCCUCGACCGAGUAAUUCUUACGAGAGGUUGUACCGAUUAUAAUAUGGAUAAUAGUCCUGGACAAUCGAUUAUUAGCGACAUAUCAUUAGUGAUGAAAAAUAAAUAAUAAAAAUAUUAGGACAGAUGAUUUUUCCGCUGAAAGAUAAUGUAAAUCCUCCUGCUUACAUAAAAAAACUAUAAUUAAUGUCUUUCGGCGGAAAAAGCAUGUUGAUAGUAUGAUGCAUCAUAUGCAUGGUAUUAAUUUUUCGAUAAGAUCUGAUUCUUGAAUUCUACAACAAUGAUACCUGCAGCAACAUUUUAGCUACUUAACUUUAAGAAUGAACUAUAAAUUUACAGUAAUUUGACUAUACGAAAUGACUUGUGUUGAUUUUGGUGUUUGGAAUAUUUUGAAAGAGAAAAAAAAGAGGGAAAAAUAUAGGUGAAGUUGUGCAGAGGUAAGUUGGGGGUUAUAAAUGCAUCUCCUGCCAAAGCUUACUACCAUCUUCUUAAAUAUCACUAGCCCUAGACAAUAUUCUCACAACACUCUCUCCCCUCUCUAAUACUUCCUCUCCAUUCUUUCGAAAAACUCCACAUAUAUCAGUAGCAAUGGGUGUUUUUCAUUCUUGAAGAGUUGGUGUUUGAUGCUAGCUAAUACAUGUUCAUACUUGUGACACAUAUACUAUGAUAUUGGCCGGGCUCACUCAGAUGCGCACAUAUGCACUUGAAUAGUUAUGAACGGUGAGUCUGAUUGAGCCGCGCCAAUAUCUUAGUUUUGUUUCAUUCAAACUUCCGGAAACUCAUCACUAGGUUAAUUGCGUUAUCUAUGUAUAUAUAUUUGUUAAUAUUUACCAAUCAGUUAUAUUUGAUUGGUUUAUAGUUCUUACAAACAAUCACCUCUAUUUUCUAGUUAACAAGAAUAUUGGUUUUUCAGAGACUGGAAAAUGAAUGACCCUUAAUUUUCAUUGCGAGAUGUCCGCACAAAUUUCAUUAUAUUCUCUCGUAUUUUGAUAUCUACUUUUCCAAACAUCACAUUAUGCUAAUUACAAUCAAUAGGAAAAUAGAAGACGGACAUCUGCAUUGUACAACACCAGUUGCUCCUCUAUAUGAUAGUUCAUCAGCUUUGAUUUAUGUCUCAAUUAGUCUUACAAAAAUUUUCAGCAUUCUGGCGCCCGUGUCCAGCGUCUAGCGUCCGGUCAUCUGAUUAUGCAGCAACUUGAAAGUGCUGGUUAGAGGAUCAGGGUGGAAAUGUCAGGUGGUGGUUAAUGUGACAAGGUAUCGGCUGCGGUUAUGGUAAAAAUAUAAUGCUAAAUAACAUUAUACACUUCACUCCAAGGAAACAGGACAAAACCGACCGUGCAAAAGAAAUACCGAAGUGUAAAUGCUACUACACAAAAAUUUACACUUGUAUCAUUGAGCUUCUAGCCUUCGAUCCUACUCGAAGGGUUCAUUAUAGAUGCAAAUCGAGUAGGGUUAAUAUUAAUACUAGUGAAGCAUAGGUAUAUAAGUGAGGCUAAAAUCUCAGCUUUCACUCCAAAAAAUUUCUUCUUUUUUUUUUUGCUAAAUAAAAUUUUCUUUUCUUUUUCUUCCAACUUAAAUUUAUUAAGGAUAAAUUAGGAGAAGAUUAAUAUGAUAGUCCUCUUGAAGUUGCUUUUGUAUAUUCAAAUUUAAGAAAUUAUUAUUAUUUUUACUAUUACAAACGACAUCUGGUAUCUUUAUACUGAACUAGAAUAUGGGGCCGUAAACUUGCUUCUCUCAAGUCUCAUCUGCAUGGGCUAAUUCCUUAGAAGUAAAAAUAAUUUUACCUGUUGUCACAAAAAAAUUACGUACCUUCAAAAAGAGUGAAUUUGAACGUUCUGUUUUCUCAAAAUAUUUUUCGCAACUGCUUUAUAAUUCUUUAAAUACCGUCAAAAACAAUUUGUGUAUGUGAGUAAGUAUGUUAAUUUUUGAAAAAAGUAGGAAAAUUACAUCAUUUUCCAGCUCUAACUUGUUUUUAUCAAUGUGAUAAUCGAUUUAAAGCAAUAUAAAUAUAUUUAUAUCCGAUGAUAAUUUUUAAAAUUAGAUUAUUAUAUAUAGCAAAUAGAAACAACAUGCAAUUGUUAGAAAUUGGAAAUGUAAAAGUUGUUUACUUUGUGUGCAGUGGGAAAAUCAUAAUCUAAAAAUCGAGAUCGGCUAUAUUAUUGUGUUAACGUGGUCUUCUGCCUGCAAAGGACAGUGGCUAAUUUGUAGCAUUCAAUAAGGCGUGUUCGUAAAUUACAGAAACGAUUACAUAUUAUGUGUGAACAUCAGACUAUUAUUGCGCAAAGUCAUGUAAACAGCCAAACUAUCAUCGAUGAUUGUAUAUUCAUUAUGUUACACUUCCCUUGACAGGUCAUAAGCACAGUACUGUUUUUGAUUCUUUUGUCGAUUGCUUCUCGUAUCAAAAAUCGAACCGAACCGAGAGAUCGAAGUAUACGCAUGUUUUAAAGACGAAGCCAAAAAUGGUCCGGUCUGUCUUCGGAUGACAAGUCUAUUAUUCUUGGAUGUCAAUGCUUUUGUUCUGAUUUCUGUCUUGGUCCACCCCCGAAUUCAAGCGGUUAGACCUUACGAAAUCGACAUUAUGCGAAAAAGAAUCUGAAUUUAACCAACUGUGAUAACAUGAGUUUCCUCUUGAGGGUAAAACUAGAAAUCAGUGAUUUCGCUUGCAAUGUACUCCCUCCGUCACCCUCAUUUGUUUACAUUGAGGGACGGGAGUUCGACACGCAUUCUAAUGCUCUUGUAAAACAUAGUUCGAUAAAUUAUUUUGAACUUUUUUUUCAUCUAAAUAAAAAAAUUUGAUGUUUAAAUUUUUAUAAAAAAAUAAAAUUUUUUAAAAUAAAUCAUAGAACUAUGUUUUUUAUACGCCUUAUAAUCCAUGUCGAGUAGUGUGAAAAAAUUAUAAAGAAAUGAGAGAAAGAGCAGGUCAUGCUUUCGGUCGGCUAUCAUGUUUUACACUUACUAGUUACUACUAUGAUUUUGUGUUCAUAUGCUUAUCUGUUUCUGAUGUACUGAGGUUGACCUUGGGGUGUGGCUAAGAUUACAAGAAAAUCAUUAUAAAAUUAGGAAUAUUUUUGUAAAAACAGGAGUGGAUUUUAUAUUUACGGAUUCAUCUUUAAUUUGUUAAAAUAUUGCCUGACCUCGGGUUAGCUUCCUGUGAGCACUUUCGGGCCAAUUUUCUUUUAAUUAAAUCAUUAAAAGUGAUUAUAUUGUAAGCAUGAUUAGAUGAGUGUUCAUAUUUGAGAGAAAUAAAAUCUAGUUAUAUGAUUAUUUUAAUUAUUUUAGUUUAGAAGUCAAUUGUUGCUAGUAUAAAAAUAUUUUUUAUAACACAACUACAAUAUCGGUAGUAUAGAAUACGGACACUCUUUUAUAUUAAAAAUGUCGAUUCUUAAUAUAACCAACAUCAUAGAUACUUAUGAUAGAUUAAGAGUAUCGGUUCUAGCGUUCUACACUUAACCUAAAGUAUAAAUGACUAUUACGUUCUUGAGUGGUUUAUUUAUAUUGUGUUUAUUUCAUCGACGCUGUAAAGCGGGUUAUAUACAUCGGCCAAUUAAUUUCAUUGACUUUGUAAAGUAAUUUAUUUAUAUUAGGUUUGAAUUCGAUGUUAUAUAUCAAAUUUAGUGGUGGGCAUAUUUGACUAUGAUAAAUAAUUUAAUAAAGUUGAAAAUAUUGAAAUUAGAUAUAUAGGGAGUGUUUGAAAACGCUUAUAAGUAUUUUCGGACUUUGUUUUAACACUUUAAAAUAUUUCUACUUUUUACGUAGUAAUUGGCAAAAGAAGUUGAAAUUCUUAUUUUGAAUUUUUUAAGUCAGAAUCUCAAAGUUAGAAAUGUUGACUUUUCUGGACUUUUUUUAAUGAUUUGCAUUUUAUUAUGAAAUUUUUAAAUUUUAAUAUAUAAUAAAAUUUAUUUAUUAAUUAAGUUUCUUUUAUUUCAAAAUUUUAAUAUUUUUAAUUUAUAAAUCUAAAUUAACAAACACUUAAUUAACUAAUAAUUAAAAGUCAUCCAAAUAUUUUUUAAUAAAUUACAAACCAAGUUCAACUCUCACUUUUCUUUUUCUUUUUUUUUUAGAAUGAGUUCAACUCUCACUUAUAAAUUAUAAUCAGACUUUGUUAAUAUAAUCGAUAAAUGAAUUUUUCGAACUCAACCCAACCAGCCCCGUAAUCUCCCAUUACCCAGCUCAGUCGAUACCCAGUCUUCGACUACCAGUCUCCCGAGCAAUCUGUGGUGCAUCGAGACAUCAAAUCCAGCAAUAUAAUCACAAGUAACGCCCACUUUACCGAAUUUACAAGUCACGGUGAGCAGGUUUAGGGGUAAUUCGCCCAAUUGAAGUCACUCUGCUAUUUAGGGUUUGUUUUCAUUCUGCUCUGCUCUGUUUAUGAAUGUAUUUAGGGUAUGUGGUGCUUCAAUUGAUUAUAUAUGUGCUUUCAAUUUGUGUUGUUUUGUAAGCUACUGUUUGAAUAAAUUCUAAUAAACAUCUACUGGAGUUCUGUAACUUGUCUCCAGUAUUGUCAUGGUAAAACCAUUACGAAACUUAUAUUUUCUCCCUAAAAAUCUUCUAUAAAGCCUGAAAUUACUAGGAAGUUGAGGAAUAAAAAUACAUAUGAGGAGCAAAUAGAAGGAAAACUUGAUGCAACUCGUAUGGUAAAUAAGCAGCCCAGCGGUGGACAAUGGACAUCACAGCCUUAACUUAAUUAUAACCACGACAAAUGUUUCUGUGCAGCUGCUCUUCGAUUGAACACAGUUUGGUUAUGUGUAUAACUUCUAUGUUCACUGAAGUGAAAUUUUUAUCCAAAUAAGAUCUAUAAAUAACAUUGAAACCCAUUCUAUUCUAUCUUCACCAAAUCACCAGUAACACUGUAAAAGAGGUCAUGCAUUCUGGAGGAUCUCAGAGCUCUGCUUUUAAGCUAAUGUUUUUUUCUGCAAAUUUUCUCUUGUUUUUUGAAACUGAUUAGACCUAAAUGAGAAAUUUAUAAGUGGAGUUUAGUACGUAAUAGAGCUUAAUUUGAUACAGUACUUUUUAGGUGAAAAGGAUGUAAUUGUCUGUAAAUUGGUUGUGCCUCACUAAGUUGUCUGUUGGCUGCAAUUAUAUACGGCUCUGUUAUACAAUGAGUUCUUAGCCUGCAAAAUGAAAAUGACACACAUUAAGCCCUGAUAUCACUGUUUAUACUUUAUACCUUAUACACACUGAACAUUAAAUAGUAAGUUAUAAAUCAGCAAAAAAGUAACGAUAGUGGUCAGAAAUUAAGCAGAACAACCAUAAUUCUCUCCCUCCCUCCCUUCCCCUCUCCCCUCCCUCCCUCAUAUUUAUUGAUAUGUUUGUUUUUAUGAUUCAUCACAUGCAUAUAUGUAUCAUUACUUGAACUGUAUAUAUCUACACAUGCUCAUUAAUUAAUGUUCUAUUAUUGUUUGUUUGAAUAUAUGCUUCAUUCUUGUUUGAUUUGAUUGAAAAGUUUCCACCUUUAUCUGAUGUUUUAAUACGAGGAUGCCCUUUUUUUUGUGUCUCAUUCACAGAUCUGUACUAUUGUUGUUGAGUAGUAAAGAAACUAUUCAUGGAGUAUUGUUUUUGCAUUUUUUGAAGACUAUAGUUUCAUGAAUUAGCUCAUAAUAAGGUAAUGCUCUUAUUUGACCUUCUGGCAAUAUAAUAUAUCCUGUUUAUGUUCUUAUGUUGCAUAAACCCUCUUAAUUUACUCCCUUUUAUUAAUUUUCCAUGAGUAAUAUCUGUAUCUUUAUUGAUACAGGGCAUAUCGUUGUGAGGUCGGCCUAAAGUUUUCAUUUUGCAGACACUUUCACACUUAUCAGUUAUCAGGUUAGACUUUUCACUUUUAUCCAUCUGUCUGUGCUAAUUAUUUAAUUGGUUCUUUUUAUCAUAUUUGAAUUUAUGAUUUGAAUUUUUGGUUGAAUAUACCUGCACUAUUGAUUUUGCGUUUAAUAUUUGGGGGAUUUUUUUUUUAAAAAAAAAUUGUGUCUCCUUUUUCCAAGGAUCAUUGGUGAAAUUAAAUGAUAGUUUAUGUAGCUAGAUUAAUUUGCAAAGUAUAAAUCUUCACUCAUCUGGGCAGAUUUUUUUUUUUUUAAUUUUAAAUUUUCUCUUCAAUUGUCACAGAUCUUGUUUAUAGCUUUUUUUUUAAAACCAACCAACAGCUAUUGCUAUUUGGAACCAAAUGUGACAAGUACAAUGGAAAAAAUUGUCAAUGUAGGUGAAACAGGCGGUAAAGAAUUAAUGGAAAGCUAAAAGUGUCUUGGUGAAAUCAUAGUUGUUGAGAUUCUUAUCUGUUCUGUUAAAGUUACAGUUGAAAUGUGUCUAUUGCCAAUUAUGCGUAGUGCUGUAGUCUAAUCUCACAGCACCUUCUCAAACUAUUUGAUUGCUAAUUUGUUAAAUGAAUUUAGUUAUUGUAUAAUCAUGGCUGAAGCAGCUCAACCUGAAAGGUAGACAUACAUUUUAUACGGAGAUGAUUCCGUUGAACUAGACAAAAGACCCGUGUGUGCCCUGUGGGAGGAUAUCUGUUAAAGAUGCUUGGGAUUGCUUCCCGAUUUCCAGUUGGGAGUGCCUCUCUUAAUUUUGACACAAGGUCCUUGACGUGAGGCACACACUGACUUGUGAGGUUUGAACUUGGAGGAGUGCAGGAAAAUAGUUAAUACAAAGUCAGGAACAAGCCUUGUGUAGCAUUGAACUUGUAUUUCUGAAACACAUUCAGAUCACUAGAUUGUAUAUACGUUUUUUCAGUUUAAGUAUCAUGACACUUUUUUUCUGAAUUUAUUAUUAUAAAGUGUUUGCAAGAAGUGAUUGACCUGAGUUUUAUUACCACUCAAUUGCCUAAGUCCAUAGUCUCGAAGACUUGGAGAUAGUUUUUGAGCAUAGCAUAAAUAUGGGGGUUCGAUCAUCAGUCGCUUGUUGAUCCACUAGCAGUAGUAUUCUUUAUUAGUAGCGGACUUGAGGUUGAGGAUAGAGUCGUCAGUGGAGUCGUUGCACAUACACGUACCUAAAUUCUUGCAAAAGGCCAUUUCCCUAUAAAAGAAUGUGGACCAUAAACAGUUGUGCAUUAUCAUACAAACAUCUCAUCUCCUUUAGCAACUGUUGGUCCAUAGUUGAAUUGUUCACUAAUUACUAUAUGGUCAUCUGUUUCAGUGAUGAAACGGGUAGACUUCCGUUUUAUAAUCCUAUUUUCAGCAUUUCUUCGAAUCUUUCUAAUUAUAUAUGGAGAAUGGCAAGACACUCAUAUGGAGGUUAGAUACACAGAUGUCGAUUACUUUGUCUUUUCUGAUGCUGCGGCGCUAGUGGUUUCAGGAGUCUCUCCUUACAAAAGGUCUACAUAUCGAUAUUCACCCUUAAUCGCAUAUCUUCUCACACCAAAUUCAAUAGUUCACCGGUCAUGGGGAAAAGUUCUCUUCUCUAUUUCAGGUAUCCCUUAUGUUUUACACUAAUUACAAUGGAUCUGUCAAUAUUUUCUCUUUUUGUGUUUAUUUUUUUUUCAUAUUUUAAAUAUUAAAUCGUAAAUAAACAAGGACAGAGCAAAUUGACAAAAGGCAUUCAUUUUAAUCUAUAUUGGUAACAAGUCAAUACCUUUUCUUUUGGUCUUAAUUUGUUCUCUUUUCUAUAUAUAAUUUGUAUGAGACCAUCUGAAAAUACUAACUGUGUUAUACUUGUUUUGAAGAUCUGCUUGUGGGAUAUUUUAUCCGGUCAAUUCUGAAGCUACAAGGUGUUUCUGAUGAAAUAUGCAUCUACUCCGUAAUGGUAUGGCUUUUUAAUCCGUUCACCUUCACAAUUGGAACCCGUGGGAAUUGCGAGCCUAUUAUAUGUGCUAUGGUUUUGUGGAUUAUUUUAUGUCUCUUGAAAGGUAUUUCAUCUUCUUUGUAAUGACUUCCCCAAUCUACUUGUCCUUUGUGUUUUUUGUUGCUUUGUUAAUUAAUUAAAAUGUGGACAACUCAAGUCCUUGUAAAAUAUAAUCUUCAUUGGGUUGCUGACAGAACUUACAGUUAAAAGGAAGAAAGGAAGCCAUGCAAAAUAAAGGAUAAUAUGCACCAACUUUUGUCAAUAUAUAUGUAUGAAUUCCUUAAGACAUUAAUUUUUUAAUGUGUUGGUAAAAUCACAUGCCCUAAUUUUACCUGGUUAUACAAUUUGUACUGUUUUGAAAUGUAUGAAACUUUUGAACGAAACGGUGCCCUCGGUGUGCAAGUGAAGCAUGGUUUUGAAUUUGCCAGUGACAAGUUGGGAGGACUCCAUAUUGUUAAAAUAUAUUGCUGAGCCCCCACCCACCCACACACACACACAACACACACAGAAUUAUCUCUUGUUACUUCUAGGCAAUUUGUGGUUAGCACUCCCAGUACUAGUCACAUUUCACGUAAAUUGUAUUAGGCUGCUCCUCAAUAGUUUUCUCUUGAGUUACGACAUAUUGUUCUUCAUUCUACAGGCAAGUUGUUACAGGCUGCAUUUUGGUACGGUCUUGUUGUCCACCUGAGAAUAUAUCCUAUUAUUUAUGCACUUCCAAUCGUCUUGGCCCUUGAGCCUUGCAAUUUUCAAUCUGGUAAAAGGCUUAUCCUUCGAAAAUGGAGUUCUAGAGAUAUUAAGGCAGCGCAGAGGUCAAGUACCAAGAAUGUAUCUGACCUAGUUCAGAAAUUGGGAGUUAUUGCAAGGUUGCUCACUAAAGAAAGAAUUCAGUUUGGGCUUCUCUCAGGGACUGUUUUCUUCUUUUUUACAGGAAUUUUCUUUUACCUGUAUGAAUUAGAGUUCUUGCAUGAAGCCCUAUUAUACCAUCUUACACGUACGGAUCCGAGGCAUAACUUUUCUAUAUACUUUUAUCACAUAUAUCUCCAUUAUGAGCGAGAGUUUUCACUUCCAGAGAAGCUUGUCUCUUUUCUGCCUCAAGUUAUAGUGCAGCUUGUUCUCAUAUCCCGCUUUAGGAAGGAUUUGCCUUUCUGUUUCUUCUUGCAAACUGUGGCUUUUGUAGCUUUUAACAAGGUUUGUUAUCUAUAACUCAUAAGUUUCUGAAUCUGUUAUAAUCAGUCAUUUGUCAGCUCGAGUUAUUUGAAGGAAUCUUGAAUUUUGAGUCUACAAAAGCUACACACCCUUGUGUGAACAUAAAGUCCUUGUUGUGCUUCAAAAUCAUGUAAGCAGGCAAAUCAGUCUCUUGGAUUAAUUGAUUCUGAAUUAUACCAUUUUCUCUGACAGGUCAUAACAGCACAGUACUUUGUGUGGUUCUUUUGCCUAUUGCCUCUAAUACUCCCUUGGAGUAAUAUGAAGCCAAAACAAGGCUUAGUAUGCAUUUCUCUGUGGGUUGGAGCACAAACACACUGGCUACUGUGGGGCUACCUUCUUGAGUUUAAAGGCAAGCAAGUUUUUUUGUGUCUCUGGGUGGCAAGUCUAUUAUUCCUGGCCGCCAAUACUUUUGUCCUCAUUUGUGUCAUCACCCAUCAUACCUGUUCCCCGUUAUUCAGACCCUUGGAACAUGUGAAUCGAACGAAAUCAGCAAAAUACAAGCAAUGACCUGGAUCACAAUCUUAACCUGUAUUAAUGAUUUACUAUUGAUUUUAGAAACCCAAUUUUGCUUGAAUUAUAGUUUUUUAGUGUCAAAGUGUCAUUCUUUGAGUUGUAUACAGUGGUAGCGUAAGCCGUCAGGCCAGUUUUGUAUGAUUGUAUAUCUACUAGAUAUUAUGAUGAAGUAGUGUUGAAACUUUAUUAUAACAAGAAACUUGGAACAUGAAUUUGUGAUGAAAAUGCUUUGAUAUCAUAAGAUAAAUCAUUUUCUGGCAGUCUGGCUGAUUAAAGGUCGCUAGUUUUGGUUGCUUCCCUAGAUAAAUUGAUCCCCUACUCCAUUAUCCCAUGUGGUUUACGCCAUACGUACAAUGUGGUGGUAACGGAUAACCCAGUGUCAAAGACAUAUUUAUCCGUGUAAAGACAUAUUUGCGGCUUGUAAGAGCAAGUCUAAUAGGUUACCUAAACUUGCUCUUAAACUUACAUUUAGGUAAUGUAUUAAAAACAAGCACUCCAAUACUAAAUCACUGACACAACCUCAAAUAGCCAUUAUUUAUUUAUAGGUAAUCCCUAGCCAUUACCUAUAUAAUAUUUAUGAAUAAAACAAUCAUUUCUCUCCUUAUUUCUUUGUCUUUUCCCUCCUCCCCCAAAUUUAUUAUUAAAAUAAUCUUAGGAGAACAAAUACAAGGAUUGCUAUUGGAAUUGAAACUAAAAUAAAUUACCUAAAUCACUAAGACUCACUAUGAUUCAUUAUUUUAUAUUAUUAAUAAGUAAUGAGAUAAGUAACCUAUUCAACUCGCUCUACAAGGUCAAUUGAUUUGUUUACAUCAAAAGGUUACAAGGCGGCAAAAAUAGGGAAUUGAAAAUAAUUAAUUGAUAUACCGAUUCAGUGAUUGACAUACCGAUUCAGUAUUUGGAGAGAUUUAUCUGAUUUUUUGAAUAAAUCAGAGAUUUUUAUUCAAAUCGAAAUAUAAUUGAUAAAUUAAUAAAAAAAAUUAUUAGAAUUAAUCGGAGUUUGGAGUCACCAUGUUAUAAUAUUGGCAAAUGGAUGUUUCUUAAUGUGACACCGGACCAAACAUUUGGCAGAAGACCGGAUGGUGAGAAAGUCUAAACUGCGGGAGGGCGCACAGUACCGAAUGUGCCCAACUGAGUAUUAGUUUUUCAUGUGCAGAACAGAUGAAUGUUAUCAACAACUCAACAUAGUCGGGAAAGAAUGGUGAUAGGAGUAUGAUGUAAUAUGAGCCUAGACUCGGACUCUUCCUGUUAUAGUACAGUGAGAUAUAUCUCUUUAAUUCCGGGAUCUUGGAUAUAAACUACUCCCUCUGUCCCUCUCAUUUCUUUACGGUUACUAUUUUGGGAUGUUCCCUCAUUUAUUUACAUUACUAUAAAUAGUAAGUUUUUCUCAUCAUUACACCCACUAUCUUCUUCCACUAUCUCAUAUUUAACAAUAAAAAUUACUAUUACACCCACUACUUUCCUCCACUAUCUCGAAUCUAUUAUUAAAUAUUGAUAGGUCCCACUACUUUACCCACUUUUCAUCUAACUUUACUCAAUUUUCAUACAUGUCUUGGUCUCCGUGUCCCCCUCCAAUGUAAACAAUUGAGGGGGACGGAGGGAGUAGUAAUGAAUGGCACCAAGGUGAGCGAAAACCCGAAUAAAUUCGAAACAGAAAUCGCGAAAAAUUGUAAAAAAUCAAACCGAAAUCGAAAAUAAAAAUUUAAAAACCGAACUGUGUACGUGUGUGCAAAGUAUAACGAAUUAAUUUAAACCAAGCAAUUAAUCCGAAAUCAAAUCAGAAUUAAUUUCCUGCAUUCGUGUCCGCAGGUCGCGCGGAAAAGCCCGAGGCUUGCGAAGCCACACACGCGGGAAAAGCCCGAGGCUUGCGAAGCCACGAAAUUUCCCUCGAAAUCCCACAAUUUGCACCCCUGCGCGCACGUAGGUGGUGGAGCACUAAACAUAAGUUAAACACCUCAUAUGUGUUCUAAUAUAUAAAGCCAUGGAAGGCCCAUUUUCUUUUCUAUGUGGGACACUAGUUUCUUUUCCAACUUUCCACUUCUAAGGAAGCAACUUUGGAUCAUCACAACUCAUCCAUUCCUUAAUCAUUUUGAGUGAAUAAACAUGCAUUGGAAAGUUCUCUCGGAGGAGAACAUAAUCCAAGCAUAACCCGCCACGAACACGUAACUGAGCCUUACUCAAAUUUGUGCUCAAAAUGACAAACUUCCAACAAAAUAUAACAACUGCUAUUUGACAUCUUGUGCCUUGCUAUAUUAACAAAGCAAACAUGCCAUUCAUCAUAGUUGAAGUACGAAGCACUUUUUAAGAAACGGAAUUCUGUGAGUAGGAGCCUUAAAAUUUGAAUGCUUUAGUUGUACCAGAAUGUCACUUAUUUUUAUUUAUAAAUUAUAAAAAGGUAACUCUGUGCUCCCCAAACUGAUGUUUAGUUCUAUGUUUCGGGGUGGGAGGUUUCUUAGUUAAUUUUAUUCUUAAUCUCUAUUGCAAGUGUACGAUAAACAUGUUGUCUCCUUGUGAAAUUCUUAACAAAGCUUCACCUGGUGUUGGAGCUUCGACUCGGAUGAACUGAUUUGUGUUGGAGCUUCACUUAGUGUUGAAGCUUUUCAUGCGAUUUUUAACCGAAACUGAACCAAGAGAAACCGAAUUCGAGGUUUUGAAAUCGAAACCGACAAUGAGAUUAUGGUUGAGAUUUUUUAUUUUUAAAACUGGGGACAUGGGGUUCAGGUAAAAUCGCACCAAACUCACAUCCGCUCUCCCCUAAAUGACAUGACUCUAGCUAUUGGGUGUCGCAAAUUGAUGAUAAACUCGAUUUUAUAUGGAAAAUGUCAGGUACCUCAACAAAAAAUAUUCAAAAAAAUUCCAAAUUUCACGUAUCAUUUUGCAAUUGGAUAUUGAGUCAUUAUUUAAUGGAUCUGCAUUUAGAUCAAUCUCAUCAAUAUAAUUAUCUCAAAUUAAUGUAUCCUAAAAUAUUUUUGAAAAAAUAAUUUGAAUUAUCUAGUAUAGUCCAUUUUAUAUUUUAAAAAUAACAAGAAUAGUUAAAAUUUGUAUAGCUCAGAUCCCGAAACUAGGUGGUCCAAUAAGUGGGAAUAAUUGAUUAUUUAUGUCUGCCACAAAUCUUGGUAACCAUAUGCCAUACAUAGGCAUGUUUGAAUGCUGCUUUUCGCCGGUUUUGUUUUUACAAUUUAGAAUCAGUAUCCUUGUGUAAAGAAGUGAUAGAGAUCAACAUGUGGUUUAUAAAUUAAAAUUUGAUAAGUUGGAAAUUCUAAAAUUUUCAAUUGUUUAUUUUCAAAUAAUAAAUUAAUCACAAUAAAAAAAUUGUUUAUAAUAUCUUAUAAUAAUAAUAGUAAUAGUAAUAGUAAUAGUAAUAAUUUCUAUAGCUAAGAAGUUGUAGAGAUAAAAUAAUUUAUAUAAACAUAUAAAACAAAAAAUUAUUUCUUUUAUUAAUAACAUUUCACUUAUAAGCAAUAAGAACUACUUAUAAGUUAAACCAAACAGCCUUCUGGCUUCCCACCGUUCUAAAUUCUGUUUAAGCAGAUUUUUUUGGCAGCAAAUGUUUUCAUGCUUUUUCCUCUUUCACUUUCAUUUAAGAAUAACCUAAAUCCAUCCAUCUUAAAAGAAGUAGAACUUCUAAUUUUUAUGUGCAUCACGAGAUGUAAUAAUCUUUUAAAAUUUUCUGAAUUAAAAUCCUAUAUUUUUAUUUUAUAAAAUAAAAAAAUAUAUAAAAAAAUGAUCGGAACGGAAAUAGCCCUAGUUACCUAGGUGCAGUACUGAUACUCCCUCCGUCCCCCUGAGUAGGAUACAUUGGGGGACGGAGACGCGGCACGGAUUUUAAUGCUCCUCUAAAGUGUAGUUGUGUAAUAUAUUUUUAAAAUUUUUUUUUUUUGAAUUAAAGUUUGGAUUUUAUAUUUGAAAAAGAAAAUCUCAAAAAUAAAUUACGGAACUAUAUUUCAUAAGAACAUUGAAAUACGUGUCGAGCAGUUGAAAAGAAACGUACACUGUUAGAUGGCAUAGAGGGAGUACUACUUUUGACUUAAUCGACUUGUAAAUGGAGAAAUGACAUCCAAUAUCCAACAUCACUGCAGAGCUGAUACUACUGUUUAAUACUCCAUUUGAUAUGACCGAGUACUGUUUGAAUCCUGCUUUAGUGCUUUAACUUCGUUUUCAAAAUCACAAAAGCAAAAGCCAAAUCAAAUCACACUUUAUUUUAAUCCAUUUUUAUCUUACCAAAGGGGAUGCUCUUGCAAACUAAAUAUUUGCAAUCCAAACCUCUGAAUUUUCGUUCAAAAAUGAUAUUGUACUCAUAAUUUUGUAAACUUAAAUCGCACUCCUUAUAUUUAUAUUUCAAAAACGAUACUCACCCCCUCCGUUAAAUUCUGUUAACUUCUAUUAAAAUAUCUCAUUCGUCUCAAUUUAUAUGUCCCUUUUACUUUUUGAGGAGUCAAAUUGACUAAUUUUUAACCAACUAUUAGAAAGCAUUUAUUUAUUAUUUUAGGAAAUCAAAAGUUACAUAUUAAAAUAGACUAGAUCUACUUUUUGAUGAUAUUUUUUAAAAAAAAUUUGUUCAAUUUUUCAAAGAGAAUAAAUUAAAAUUUAUAUAUUUUAUUCAAUAUAUAAAUUUAUGUGUUAUUUAUAAUAAAUAUCACAUAAUAUUUAUUUUUUAUAUUUAAAAUAGUGUAUAUUUUAAGUACUUAAUACACACACACUAAAAAUUUAAAAUUAUUUGAUAUGUAAAAUUAUUUUGACUUGGGGAUAGCUUAAUUAAACAAAAAUUUAAAAAAAAAUAACGUCAAAAAGUAAAUCUAGUCUAUGUUAAUAUGUAACUUUCUAUUUUCUAAAAUAAUAAAUAAAUAUUUUCUAAUAGUUGGUAACGAAAUUAGUCUAUUUGACUUCUCGAAAAACAAAAAUGACAUGUAAAUUGAGACGGAGGGAUAUUUUAACGGAAUUUAUCGGAGGGGUGCGUAUCGUUCUUGAAAUGUAAAGAUAAGAGGUGCGAUUUGAGUUUUCAAAAGUAUGGCUGCAAUAUCGUUUUCGAACGAAAGUUACAGAGUUUGAAUUGCAAUUAUCUCUUAAAAUAAUAUGAAAUAUUGAUAUAUUAAAUUUAACCUGCGAGAUGUUGUGUUUGUGUCCAUAAUCAUAUCAAAUCAUUCUGCAAAUGAUUAAAUUGAAUUUUAGCCCGGUCAAAAUUGAAUAAAAUAUAAUCCAACAAUUUCAAUUUUUUCUAACUGUAUUUUGAACAUCCCCGCUUUGAAAAUUAUGUUCUAUAAUAUAAUUUAAAAGUUCAAAAAUUACUUUUAUAAAUUGAGAUACACGAUGUGCAUGUUUGGGGAAGGGCAAUUCCGGCUUGUUUUGACAAGGAGGCAUUUCUACUUUUCUUGACCGUUUGGGUAAAAAAUGAGAAGUAUUUAUGAAAAACUAAGAAUGCUAAGUUUUGUUUCAGGAUUUCUAAUUUUUUUCCCAGACAGUUUACUCACUUAUAAGUUUAAUUAUUUCUCACUUCUGAUCAGCUUCUUUACUUUAAAGAAGACAUACUUUUCUUAAGUUUACUCAAACGGCCCCUUCGUUCUAGUAUAUAAUUUAAUGAUUGUUAAAAUCGAUAAAUGUUAACGAUUAAUUGAUAAUGAUGUUUAAGGUACACUAUAAAUUAUAAAUUACAUAAGAUAAUCAAACAUCAAACAUAUUAAUUAUAAUUAAAUUUAAAAACUAUAAACAAUGUUUCUCUAGCUUAAAAACGAAUUUUCACAUAACCCAACUCUACAGCAAUAUUAAUAAGAAAAUAAAUUAUUUAAAAUUUUAGGAUCAAGAGAGGAAGAGGUUCGACAAAUAUAAUUAACAUCAAUAACAAAAAAUAGUAAAGUUUAGAUAAGAAAAAUAUGUGUUGGGGUGGGGACUUUUUUGUACAUAGUCAAUUAUUUUUAUUUAAUAAAUUUUCUUGUCCAUUUUAAUUAAAUUUAUAGUGUCUUGGAGAUGCCGUUAGACUUUGUUAUUUUAAAAUAUUAAAAAUGAAAAAGGUUUUUUCGUCAGAAAUAAAAAUCAAGAAGUUAAAUUUUAACAAAAACUAAUAUUCUUACAACUAUUCAUAAUUGUGUUUGAUGAGCAGUGUUAUAGAAAUCGGAAAUUGAACAUAAUCGGCUGAGCUACCGACUCAGGGAUUAAUUGGAAAUCGGAGAUUAAUCGGAGUGAAAAUCAUAUUUAUUUUAAUAUUAAAAUAGUAUUUAGUUAUUAUGAUAUUAGCUAUUUAGUAACUAAUAUAUUUACUAUAUUCAUAAACUCUCCAAUUAUUCAUAUUUAAAGUAAUAUAGUAUUUUACUUUUAAUAAUUUAUCAUAUACACUUCGAUUAAAAAAUAUAUAUAAAAAUAAAUCGGAUUUCAAAAAUCCCGUCGAUAAAUACCCGUUGUUUCUAAAAGAUUUGCCAUCUACAUCCCUGCCUCCCAAAAAAGUACUUCCCCCCGUCUCUAAAUACUUUUCCUGUUUGUACUUUCACGUUUGCCAACACACACUUUUGAUCGUUAAUAUUUUUCAUUUCAUAGUAGCAUUAAAUAUAAAAAUUUCACCGUAUUAAAGUACUCGUGAAUACGAAUCUAACAAGAUCACUCAUGACUAUAUUUAGUUUUGUAGAUUAGAUGUAAAUUGGUAAUUUAUCUCUUGUUAUGAACAGUACCGACAUUACAAACAGGAAAAGAAAAAAGAAACGGAGGGAGUAUAAAAGUCCAGCAAAUUCCCACAAAACACAAUUACAGAAAUACCUAAAAAGAAAAAUCCCAAUAAAAUAAAAUAAAUUUAUACAGAAACAAAACAAAAGAGGCGGGCCCACAGAAACGAGUAAAGCACGGGGAUGGGCGUAACUGCAUAAGUGAACUACAAAGUCCAGAAGGAAAAAAGAAGAUGCUCCGGAUAUUCCCUCUUACAAUCACUCAUCUCCCAUCCCCAAUCCAAUCCCUUUCCCUAUUCGAUAACUCAUUAUAAUAAUCUUAUUAUUAUUAUUAUAUUACUCAUCUCUUUUUCUCCCUUUAUAAAUUCGAUUAUUUUCAUUCAACCCCUCCUCAAAAACACACACAAAAAACACACACAAACCUUAAUUAAGACAACUGAACAUGCCGCUUUCAACUGACUCCUCAUCGUCUAUGAAUCAACAACAACAACUGCUGGAUAAACUCAAAGUCUUCAAGAUCCAAGGCCGUGACAAACGUGGUCAUAUCAUCCUUCGCAUCCUCGCCAAAUUCUUCCCUGGUAAUUAUUUUAUUUUAUUUUAUUUUUGUUUAUCACAUGCAUGGGCACCAUGUUUUGUAUUCGAUUAAUUUUUUUUUUGAUUUAUUAGCUCGAGAUGUGAGCGUUGACGGGGUGAACAAAUACUUGGAAGACAAGAUAUUCCCGGAGCUUGAGAAACGCUCGUUUUCCGUUCUUUACGUCCACACCGACGUCGAAAAGAGCCAGAAUUUCCCCGGAAUCUCCGCCCUCCGAUCGUUUCACGACGCGAUUCCGGCCACCGUCAUCAACAAUCUCCAGGCUGUCUAUUUUCUCCACCCGGGACUUCAGUCCAGGCUCUUUCUCGCCACUUUUGGCCGCUUCAUGUUCUCCUCAGGGUACGUGAAAUAAUUGUUUUCACGCUAAAAUUGUUCUCGACUUUUUCAAAUUAAUCACACCUAAUUUUCUCUGAAUUAAUUUAAUCAUAUUUGUUAAAAAAAUAUUAGUAAAUAUUAAUGUUAUGUUUUUCGAAAUUCUGAUUCCGUCAGUUACGAAAGAUUUUAAUACGGAUUGAUUUUGUUUUGUACAGGUUGUAUGGGAAACUGAGGUAUGUGAGCAGAGUAGAUUACUUGUGGGACCAUGUAAGGAGGAACGAGAUUGAUCUCCCAGAGUUUGUGCAUGAUCAUGAUGAAGAUCUUGAGUACCGUCCGAUGAUGGACUAUGGAUUGGAAAGUGAUCAUCCGAGGGUGUAUGGUGCGCCUUCAGUGGAUUACUCCCCUUCCACUUACUCCACCAGGUGUAUUUCGUAGUUGGGGGAUGGGACGACGUCGUUUUGAAGUUGCCUGCUUUGAAUUUUGUUGUUAUGGUGGUUUGAAGCUUUAUGGGAAAUAUAGUGAAUGUUAGGUUGUGAAAGAUAGUAAAAAACGAAGUUUGGAAGCAAAGAGAAAAAUGGAAUGCUUCUUGUAGUAUAGUUUUGUUUUCGUAAAUUAAUUUCAUAGUUUUUGUUCAAUCUUUUUAUGGAAUGGUUAUAUACUCGAAUAAAUAUUUCUUUUUUAAUAUCAUUACUAAGAUUUCAUUGGGUAAGCCAAUACACAAUAACUUGUGAAGCUAUAUCAGAUUAUCGAAAAAAUUGAGAAUCGGAAUUAAUAUGAUUUAUGAUUUAUUGGAAUUUUGUCGGACAUUUUAUUAAGAGCAAUGCUAGGUACCCCAAAAGAUUUAAUCUACAAGGGGCCUCAUUAUUUUGGGAGUAAAUGCAACCAAUCAGGAUUAGACACCUCAUUUGGGAAAAAAAUUUGGGACAAUUUUUUGAGGUCCCUAACAUUUUUCUUUUAUUAAUGAAUAGAUAAUUUUUAGUUAAUCAAAAUAUAAAUCGAUGAACAAUUGAAUACGUGCCGAAUUUCCGUCCCCGGUAAACAAUUGAGGGACGGAUCACGGGAGGAGUAUAUUUUUGGCCAAUGAGUAGUGUCCACAAUGUUGUGAUAACUGAUAACGGCAUAACGCUAACUUCUCAUACAAAUAUACAUUUUUUUGACUUUUUUUUUUUUUACAGAUACAUAUUUUUGACUUUGAAAGUUCAAAAUGAUACAAAACAGGCUCUCGUUCAAAAAGUGAAAGCUGGGUCAUCAUCAAAGCAUUAACCCUAUCACUAAGCAAGUGGUAUGAAUGUCAAUAAAAUUAUCUAGCAAAUGAAACAGAUAAUUCAGAUUCAGAGUACUAGUCAUACAAUCAAGCCUUACCGUAGAAAAAAAAAAAUGAAUGAUAAAUUAACAUUGUGGAUUGAACGAGAAACCAAAAAUUUCAUUGACAUUCAUUGUGGAUUAAAAAAAAAAUGAAUGAUAAAUUAACAUUGUGGAUUGAACGAGAAACCAAAAAUUAUCACUAAGCAUUAACCCUAUCACUAAGCAUUAAAAAAAUUGAUGUAAAACAAAAACAAAAAUAUCAAUUUCAUAAACAAAAGAAAGACAUCACAUCGAUUCUCAUAAAAGAAUGAUGUAAAACGUUACGAUACACAUCAGUUUCACAAGUCUUUCGAUAUUAAUAUACCGUUCUAUUAUAUAAUGAUAUUGAUGACAUACGAAUGAAGAACUGAAAUUAUAAUAAAGGUAUAUACUUUUAAAGUGGCUAGAUUAAAGUUGCGAAUAGACAUAAUGAAAUUUAAUUUUCAAUAAUAACAAAAUAGUAUUCUCAUCCCAUUUUAUUUCAGUUAUUUUUUUUUUGGUUGAAUUUUCGAAAGGAAUAAAUCUUUUAUUCACAACCUCUAUAUAAAAUUAUAAAUACACUUUUGUAUAAUAGUGUAAUAAUUAUUUCACUUUUCAUGAUUCAAAUUAAAGGCAAACAUUUCAUUCUUAAAAAAUAUGUUGCUCAAACAGGUUCAUAUAAAACGGGAGAUCGAGGGAAAUGAAAAGGAAAGCAUAAUAUAGCAUUCUAAACAUGUUUUAAAUGUAUGUGAUUUGAAAUAAAAAAAAAUUAUUUAUGAAAAAACUGUUUUAUCAAUUUUUACCGAACAAGAAUAUAAAAUAUUAUUAUAAAAUCAUGAUAAAUUCUAUUAUUCCAAAACUGGCUGCUAAUCUUAUAAAAAAUAAAAUAAAAUUGUCCGCCACUAAAUUCGUGGGCAAGGUUUAUCAAACAGUCCAUAAUUCCACCCUUCAACUACACACUCACUCAGCUCCGCUCACAUUUCCGGUCAGUUUGCGACAAUCUCGCUUAUAUUCACGUCUCUUUACUUUGUUGCCCAAUUAUCUUGGUUUUUUUUUUAUUAUUAAUUGCAGCUUGUAUAUCAAUUAUUACAUUUUUAAUUGUUAAUACACCUGAUGAAAUGAACAUAAUUACACAUGAACAAUUUCCCUCGUGAAAUCAGUUACUAAUUUUGAAGUACAAUUGUGCGAUGCUGAAUUCUGCGGUGCUAAUUGUCGAUUAAUUAACUUAAUAUGACACCUGUAGUUCUGAAUUUCGAUAUUUAUGAGUAAUUUUUAGACUGCAUUUAGGUUAAUGAUGUCCGUGUUUGGAUUAGCCUUGUUAGCCGAAAACAUGUCAAAUGUGUGUCUUGUAAGGGAAUAGAGGCAAUGUAAAAUCUACGGGAUGAUAAUCAUAAUAAAUUAAUAAUAAUGGCGAUAAUGAUUAAGUGGCUGUUUAAGGCCUAAUUGUUUGUUGAUUUCAUUUGUUAGGGUAAUUGUUGGUGGAUGUGAUAGACAUGGAUUUCUUGCGUUGGGCGUGUCCAUCACCGGAAGAACAGAAGUCGUGCAUCAACAAGUAAUGCAAGCAAUUAAGUUGAUUUCUAUAGCUAUGAAUUUAGAGAGUUAAUGAGUGUGAUUGGCGAUUUUUUUCUAGGUCUGUUGCUUUUAAUUACGAUAUUAAAUAUAAAGGAGCUAGUGCGAAGCCCGCGUCUUCGCUUCAAGAAAAUGAGGAGCUUAGUAAAGAUGGUUUCUUUGUUAAUCACGCAAAAGUUUUACUGGGUUCGGGGCCUGAGACUUAUGAGAAAGGCAAGACUGCACUGCAGACUUGGAAGUGAGUAUAUAAAAUUCUGGAUAGUAGCUAAUUUAAUUUAAAGGAUAUUUUGGUAUCUAAUGGAAAUUUGGUUUGUAGGCAUUUCGGAAUGAAUUGGGCUUUUGUUGAUCCUCAGACUCCAGUCCAAACAGGGGAGAAGUUGUGUGUUUGUGUCAAAGAGAUUGUACCAUGGAUCAUGAUGCCCCUGCAGGUUGUGUUUGUAAAUGAAAGCAAAAUGGCUAAUAAGCCUGUGGCCUCUUUCAGUUUCGGUAGCGGUACCCUCAAAGGACACCUACUGGUUAGUGCUUCUUUGCAAGUUCUGAGCAUGUAUUCACUGCAAGUCCUGGGCUUUUAGUCAUGCCAAUAGAUAUGAGUUACUAGAAAAUAGUUUUGUUUUCCAAACUCAUCAUAAUUAUUUUUUACUUGAAUGAGGCCUUGAUCUUCAGUAGUCUUUGGAAAGAAUUCUCAAAUUCACCUUUACUAAAAUCAUCAAGAGGUUCAUUGUCAGAACAUUUAAACUGCAUUGUUUGUUUGUCACAAAGAAGUGUACCUCGUUAAGCACCAAAGUCCCCAUGUAUAUAACUCAACUUGCAUCUACUCUUUAGUCUCAACUGUUAUUACCUUUUUUGCAACCUGAAACCUUUUCCUUGUGCAAGAGGAACGGUGUCCAGUUCGUAAAAAAUGCCAUAGUUUUUUCUAUCAACAGCUACAGUUAUGACAUUUAUGCAUUAAUGCUAUUAGCUAUAUAUAAUUGACUUUCUUUCGGUUUUAGUUGUUUAACAAUUGUUGUUCAUACAUACCAAGUCUGGUAAUGUAGGUUGGUCUAUUGCUCUCGGUCUCGGAUAUUGUAAAUUUUCAAUUAAUGCUAUUCCGAAUUUAUUAGGAAAAUAUUCUGUAGUGCUGCAAAUGGUUGUAAUAAGAACAUUCCAAAGUGAAAAAUUAUUGUUGGAAUCCCACAUUGAUAAAAAGUUUCAUAUCUGAAUAGAUCUCCAAGUGAUAUCAUGCAACUUUUAGACUAUUCAGAGGUGUCAAUCUUAUAAACCAAACCAAAUGUACCCAGUAUGUCCCACUUAUCGCAGAGGGUAAGAUUUUUGGAGUCUUACCUUCAUUCAAAAGAAUGAAGAGGAUGUUUUCAUAAAGACUCCCGGCUUGUGUUUGUACAUGUGUGCGAUUAUGUACAAAGUGAAAAUUACUACACAUAAGAAAACAAGAUAUAUCAAAUACAUGUACAAACAAAAUUUGAUCAUAUAAUUUGUAAAGUGAUCAAGUCAGUAAGUAACCGAGCCCAUAAUUUUCUUGACACGGGACUUACUUGUGAUUUGAAUUGAACCAUAAAAUCUGUAGAUUUCACUGCUCCAUCAAAAAUCCCUAAUUUCUUCAAUUAUUUCCAGGGUCUUAUUCAUCUCUAAAUGUUAAUAAAAUAAUCUCGAUUUCUGUUAGCGUUGUUGAUGUCCCUGUCAUGUGGUUGUGCCUUGGCAGCAAUACACUCACCCACAAUUUUAUACACAAAUUCACACACAUAAUAUACAUAAACCUUAUAAACUAGAUAGAAAGGAAUGGUUAAAGUUUGUUAUUUGUACUUCUGAUUUGACAGUCAGUAAAUAAGGAAGAUGAAAAAUAAUGAUAAUCACAAGUAAUUUGUAUGGAUCCAAGUAGAUUUGAAGAAAUGGAAAUGACAAUGUAAAACAAAUUCUUUUUCACAUUGGUAUUUGGGAUACUAUGGCCCUGUUUGUUUAAGAGAAGCUGAAGCUGCUUCUGGCUUCUGCUUCUCUUGAUCCGUUUGUGUAAAAAAGUAGAAGCACUUUUAAGAAGCUGAGAAUGCUAGCUUCUCUCUCACAACUUCUGCUUCUUUUCCAAACACUUUAUUAACUUAUUUACUUUUCACUUCUGCUCCACUUCUCUAGUUUAAGCAAGAAGUCACUUCUUUUAAGCUUGUCCAAACAGCCCCUAUAACUAUUGGUUCCAUUUUCGUUAAUUGCUGUAAAAUAAAGCAGUCUGAGUUUCUUAUGUACUUUUUAAUGCUACCUGAAAAGCUUAGCAGUUAACCAUUCUAAUGUUAUCUAUCAAUUGGAUAUAAUUUGUUAUAGCUCCAGCUUAUCUGUUGCAUGCAUCAGCCAAGUCUAGUGUUUAAACUAGUGACUAAUUGGUGGGGCUGACAUUCAGAAAUUGUGGUCAUGCUUAUCCUUUCAUUGGUUAUUUGCUAAACUGGUGUGUUCAGUGCAUUUUUAUUGUUUUAACUUUAGCAAUCAAAUCAUUCAUCAAGUUUAUGUAAAUACCUCUAGUACUCUAUAGUUGCUGUAAUAAGUUAUUAGCUUUGUGCUCAAUACCCUCAAACAAUAUAGUUGCAUAAUAAAUAUUAAGAUUUUACUUGGUUGUAUAUCUUUUUAGUAACAAAGAGUUAAUGUAAUAUAUUCCUUUGUUGAAAACAGGCUGGUGAAGAGCGUUUCUCAGUUGAGCUAGACGAGAACAAUCAAGUUUGGUAUGAGAUACUUUCUUUUUCAAAGCCGGACCACUUUAUCUCGCGAAUUGGGUAUCCAUAUGCGCGUCUCAGACAAAAGUACUUUGCUAAUCAAUCUAGUUCUGCAAUGCAAAAUUAUGUAUCUUCCAACUAAAUUACUUAAUAUCCUUGUCACUUUUUAUUUUGAACUUUUAGCAAAUAUUAUGUCCUAUAGAUCUGUAUAAUUUGAAUAUUUUCAGUUAACUUUAUAUACAAAGAUUAAUAGGCUGUUUCUGGAGUCAAUAAUUCUAUAGGUGAACUGUUGACCAUCAUUUCAAUCAGGAAUGCCGUUGUCAAAGUCGCACAUUGGUUGACAUAUAUUGAACGAUAUGGUGGCAUCAACUUUUCACACUUAGUGACUUACAAAUCGGGAUGAACAGAAAGUGUGAUAUAGUGCAAAAGCAAUAAUCAUGUUGAUAAUUAGUUUAAUUACAGGAUUGAUAUGCAUUUUGUUAGUAAGAGUUGGAAACUUGAAUAUUAAAUAUAGUUAUUAGCAUUUUGGUCUCAGUUCUGAAGUGGGGUAGUUGUGGAUAAUGUAGGGAACUAUUAAAUGAGAAUAAUAUGUGAAAAAAACUAAAUAUUAAAUGAGAAAGAAUGAAAAACCAACACGAAAAGAUUUCUCCUUAGGUUUGUAUCGUAAUUCUUAGCAUUUCAGGUCUAUAUUCUUUAAGCACAUAAUGAAACCACUAAACUUCUGAUGCUAUGAAGUUUCUUGUGGAAAUUAGGCUGCUGCCUUCAUCUCGAAGAACUGAGAGAGUUAUAUAAUGGGAAUUUUUAGUUGAUCGGAGUUUUGCAACGCCUAGAGUCUUUUAAAGAUAUUGCUAAGAAGGUUUAUGCAAUUCAUUUUAUGCUUCUAUUCAGUAGCAAAAACAUACCUGUAGGAUCUUGAUGCUGAAGUAUGUCAUGUGUAUCACCUAUUAGAUAUGGUGGAUCCAGAACUGAAAGGAUUUCCUGAGGAUGAAGUCAUUAGAUAUAUCAAAAUUGCAUUUUUCUGCACGCAGGGAUCAGCAAGUAGGAGGCCAACAAUGGGCCAAGUUGUUGACAUGCUCUCAAGAAACACCAGGUUGAAUGAGAAGGAACUGUUGGCCCCAGGUUUUUCCCAAGAUAUGGGUGCACGUUCAUCUUCGAGGAACAAGUCAUCUGAUACCCCAACAAGCACUCAGAUGAGCUCUGUCCCCAUCUCUGUCACUCAAAUCACCCCUAGAUAAAACUCGAGUUUCCUUAUUUUGUAGACAAGAUUUAAAAAGGAAUUCGAAGGCAAAAAUGUGCUACAUAUGCNUAUUUGAAGACCAUAUCUUACACCCUUAAUUAAAACAAUAAACAACGGCAGAUGUGAAGACAUGUGGCAAGUCUUUAAUAUUUUAAUAAAUGUAGAUAACCUCAGUAUAUCAUACUGUAUGAAUUGUAGUUUUGCAAACUUCAGUGAUACAAGACAUUCAAUUGACAGUUAAUUACUCGUCAUUUCUCCUGCUUAAUUUUUUCCGUCAGAUCAAAAUCCACAUGAUCAUAGGAUAAGAUCGACAACGCGAAAUAGUGCAGAACAACUACGACAUAAGUCGGAGAACCGUCUACAAGUAACGUGUUAUUGGGAAACUACAGGACAUGAAUCAAAUGUGAAGAACUAUAAUCUGUUAAUUUUUCGAUUGUUUUGUUGUGUUCUUGUUUAAGCUCGACUGGAUGCUUGCUGCAUGUCAAUGAAAAUAAAAGAAAAUGGGGCCAUUAUAUGACUUUGAUGUUCUUAAAAUGACUGUGUAAUAAAGUAUUAUCGCUUGCUAAUAUGGUGGUGUUGUUUAGUUGUUUAUGCAUGACCAAGCAGUUUGAUAAAUGUUGUAUUGUUCUGUUUGAACUAUGAUCUGCUCUAUUUUGUGUAUUGUUCUUCAGUCGCAGUAUACUGAGGGACAAGUAGACUGAGAAUAAGAAGGAUAAAUAUCAAAGAUAAUCUUGGUGCUUGAAUUCAUGAGAACAGAACAACCGCCUGAUUUCACGCUUGAUUUCUGAGUAACCGUUAUAAUGUAUUUAUACGGUGAAGAGAGUAUAAGAAACAAUAAACAAGUAAACAUUCUUUUUAAAAUAAUAACCACCAUUAGAUUUGAAGAAGAUGGACGGACCAGAUGGGGUCUCCAAUACUCCAAAUAAAUCCGGUCUCCACAGAACUUAAGCCUAUAUAUAUAUACUUCCAUUAUUUGAGAUAAAUAUACAUAGGCCCUCCAUCUCAAAAUACUCAUAUCAGUUGAGAAGUAUAAAUCAGAUCACAUUACUGAGAGACAAUGUUCAAGAGACCCUUAUCCUAGUCAGGAUCCCUGGUAUGUGUUAAAAGUAUAAAUUUCAUUUGGUGUUUUGUUAAAUACAUAUAGGUUCAAGGAGAGUGAUAAUGUAAAUUGGCAUCAGAUUCUAGGUUUAUUUAGAGAGGUCUGUUGUUGCUCCUUGUUACAUUGGGAUUGUGCCCCCUUGAUUAAUAUGUUAUGGUGGCCCCCUUGUGCAUUCGAGGGGAGUAUUAGAGGUAUAAGAUUCAUUUAGUGGAUUCUAUCAACACCUAAUUUUUUUAAGAAUUAGCUAUCUAACAAUAUGCUCUCUAUGCCAUUCUCUGUGACUCAGAUGCCUCCACUCUUUGUUAUUUACAUGAUUCAGUCUGCCCUUCAUUUGACCUGAGUCUCAUUAAUGCUCCAUCUAUGCUAUCUAGUUAAUUAAAACAUAUGUCAUGUUCUCUUCCUGCUUGUGACAAGUGACUACUAUGUUCCCUUGGACUUCAAGUUGGUGUGAAAAUAAAGAUCAGGACAUGCUGUAAGACUUUUGAUGUUCGUGGAAGUAGAAAUAUUUGGUACUAGAAUCACCAUGGCUAGGUGGUCAUCCUGAUUAAUAAAUUGCAAUGUACUCCAUGUUGCACACUUGCCUCAGGGCGGCAAUCAACUUUUUGUGAUCUUUUAACCUCUCUCCGGAAAAUGUGUACUGGGGCAGUGUAGCCUUCAGUGCUUAACUAUCCAUUUCUUCUCCGUAGAACAGACUGUAGGUUUCACAUUCACUCGUGUGGUAACUUAUGACAUGAUAUAUGUUUACAUUCAUAGUUAUCAGAUUUUUGAUGAAUUUGUCAACAAACUUAUCAUAGCAUUACUCAUGUUGGUUCUGAGAGAUGGUUUGUGGCAAAUCGAGAUCAUUUGUCCAUAUGUAAUUUUUUUUUUAAAAUGGUAACAAUUUUCUUGGCCGUUGGCACAGUUGAUACUUCAGUUUCUCAUAUUUUGAGUUUAUUCAGAUCCUCUUAGAUGUCAAGUGUGCUAGGAUGCAACCUACUAGGCAAGCUAGUUUGAGUUGGGCUCUUAUUAAAUUAUAUAGAGUACCUGAAACUUCUAUUUACUGCUGUAUAUACCUUAGUAACCAAGAUGAGCUAUAAACUAGUGUCGGAAGCGUGAUGAUAUGUCUGGAGAUGGUAUUCUCUGAGUUAUAUCUUCUUGUAAAUUGCAGCAGUUAUAGUUAGAUUAAUAUCGAAAACAUUUUAUACAUAAACAUGAUAUACAUGGUAAGCCCUUUUAUAAUGUCUAACGAGCGUCUCUAACUCAACAUAAUAUCAUGGUUUUGUUGAACCAACCGUUUCAGAAAUCCACAUAAAACCAUAAAAAUGGCCUUUGAGUACCGGUAAGCAUGAUAUGCAUAUUAAGUUUUCAUCCUUAGCACAUCUAGAUUUUAAGAGAAUCGGUAUUCUAGCAAAAAUCGUUGGUCAUUUCAUGUUGCCCACACGUAGCCCACACUGACUUCCACAUUUUCCUCCUUCCAACACCUUUACACAAAGUUGCAUCAAUGGGGAAUUCCUCAAGUCACUAAAUUAUUGUAAUCUAUAUACGACAAAAUAGUGCAGAUUCUUGAGAUCUGUUUAGGGAACUAAGAAAUAAGAAUGAAUGAAGAUUAUAUAUAUUAAGAUUAUAUACAUAAGAAGAUAUAGAGAUUGGCAAUUGAUAUUAUAUACUUUCUUUGCACGUAUGGCAUUUUAUAUAUGUGUCUCCACUGCAUUCAUUAUUGUCUAUUGAUAUUUUUAUAAUGCAAGUAGAUGCCUGACUCGCUUAGCUCAUUUGAUAUGUCAUACUUAAUGUCUUAGUUCCUACCUUAAGUUUGUUGCUUGCUACAUUUGUAUUUUAAUGAAAGGAAUAUUCGAGAAUCAUAUAGAUGGAUUCUAAAGAAGAGUCUCCAUUUUCUGCUAUCUUCUUUACUUUUCCAUCUCAUUUGCUUUUCCAAUUGUAGACACGAAUCACAAUUUCUUUUUUCAAGAAAGAAUUCAUUAAUUUGAUGCUGUAAUUGUCUAAUAGGAUUUUGCUUGGGCGAUUCACACGUUGCGACUUACUGACUCUUUUAUUGUUCUUUAAACACAAAAAAUUGCUUUAGGUGGGUUUCACGCCCAUAAGUUUCGUGAGGUUUGUUAUUAUAUAGCAAGGCUCUGUUGUUGCAAUCCAUCAUCAUAGUUUCUCAAGUAAAAUAUUAUAUUUGAUAUUGUAGGUUUGCCUAGUCGUAUAUCUCUGUUUAAAGAGGGAUUUAGCUGUUAAGACAAAUAAUGCAUACUUGAGUCUACCUGUUAUAAUAAAUGUUUGCACGAGUGGUAUGCCUCCUUUGUUUCCGGCACCGGGGUUUUGCUACCUGCCAUAUUAUCUGUAUUUUCUUUAUAUAUUAAUGAUAUCUUAUCAAUGCAGCCAAAUAUGCUUUGUACUACAUGCAUUAUCAUGAUCCUUUUAAAUAUUCAUGUUGUUGCUGCUGUGACCUCCUUGAAUUACUCUUAGAUUAUAAAUGUUACUAGUUAGCAAUAUAUCUAAUUUUUCAGACCCGAAGCCUUUUCAUUCCUACCUUCUCAAUUUUCAUACACUAACUUCCCUUGCCGGCUUGCCAUGCAUUUGAAAAUUUUAUAAAUUAGUUGUGAGAUUUUUCCUUCUUGUUUUGCUGUACACAAUUGUAAAAUAUCAUAGAUUAUUGUUUUUAGUUUUUAUUGAGACUUGAAUAGAAAGUGAGCUGCUAUGCUAGUUACAGUGGCAGGGACGGAACUGAACUGGAGGGGCACGGGUGACGGCCGUCCCCCCAAAAGUUGCUAUUUUUUAUCUAUAAAAUUUCAAAAAUUGUUAUUUGGUCCCCCCAUUUUUUACUUGAUUACUUAUGUUAAAAGGAAGUCGCUGGAAAAAUUGACAAUGAAUCUGUCAUUGAAGUGUUUUACGAGAUGAAAAUGUUGUCAAAUGCAGUUAAAGUAGUAUCUAUGUAUAGUUUGCCUCAUUUGAUGUUUAAAAGUUGCGUAUAUGAAGUGAUAUUUUAUCUAUCCUUUCAGAAUAAAUUAUGCGAUUUAGUUUAAAAGUUCGGCCCCUCCAUUUUUUCUUCAAGUUCCGUCCCUGUUCAGAGACAAUGACUGCUGCUGGCUCUGUCAUUGUCGACUCUCCCAUACUUGAAGUAUUAAAUGGAACAUUGAAUUUAUUUCAUAAUUAAGUAACAGGGGCCGGCCAAGUGCCAACUAUGUACUAUCUAACAGUCCUUUAUGAAUUUUGUCCUAAUGUAUAAUCUAUUUUUUGGUCAUUGAAUUAUGUAUUUUGUUCAAUAAAUUCAUUACUAUAUAUAUUGCUGAGCUUUUCCAAUAAAUGAAGAUCGUUUCGUUUAGUCUAGUUACCAUUAAGAAGGGUAACUGUUGCUCCUAAUUAUGUCUGGAUGGGUGGAACCUUCGUAAGAUUAUACUGGAGAUUGUAGAAAUGAGAUCAAACUGAGAUCACAUGCUUAAUUGUUAAUCAAGAUUCACAUUGAUAUAGUCGCUGAGAUAAACAUUGAAUAAUGUUUUAAUUUGUUUACUUAAAUGUUGCACGAAUGGUAUUUUGUCAGUAUGUCAACACUGAGGUUUGUUACCUAAAACUAUAUUCUUUUUGGAAUCUGGAUAUAUAUUAUCCUCUAAUUAUUGUGUUGUAGCAAUGACUUUCGUUGUGUGUGUGUGCACGCUUUUUGUUUAGCAAGUUUUGUCUAAUGAUUUGUGCUUUCAGACCUCGGUUAAGUUUUCUCUGAUUCUUCCUGACGUUUAUAUAACUUGCUUUUUGAUUAAGCAGUUAUCCGACACUGUGUGACAUGAUAAAACUUAAUCAUCUUAUCAGGUGAAACUCUGAUCAAUUUCUAUCCUGUUACAUUACCAUGGACCUCGAAUGUAGGCCAAAAUUUAGAAUCUGGGAUGGCUGUUUAGAGAUAUUGAUGUGAUAUGGACUAUAAUAAUGCAACUAAUAUACAAUAAUUUGUUUGCAUAUGGGUGGUGGUUUCUACUUUCUAGAUAUUGAAUACUGGUAAAGACAAUAUGAUAUUUGUGCAUGGCUGGCAUGUUUCCAAAGUGUUCCCUUUCAGGUUUGCACUUGGCCAGCCAAAGAAGUGACUACAGCUAAGAUGUUGUAUAAUUAUUUAUUCAUUCCUUCUUUGCUUAGAUCUGUAUUGUUUUUCUAUAUCGAGGUUCAUGGAGACUGACAUUUUCAUCUAUAACUGAGGAAAUAAUUUUUAACUGUUUAGUUAAUUUAUGUUUUUACCAUAAUUAUUUCUUUGAGGAAUGAAGUAGGUUGAUUCUCUGAAUGUCCCUGCAGGCCUGGUUAAUUAUCAGUAGGAGAUGCAGGCAUGCGAUUCCAAAUUUUAUCUGUUUAUAUAAUUUUGAAAUGUUUCUAAAUUAUUAUUUUUUCCUUCGAAAAGGUUAACAGGGAAUCUGCAGAAACUGACUCCCUACUUUAACUUUUUCUAGUAUCAUAAUAUAUGCUCAUAUAUCUUACCCUUUCCAGAUUCUAAUUCAAAUGAGAUAUGCAUUAUAUGCUAUAUGUUUCAGUUACUAUGUCAGAUGGGUUUCAAUUGGUUACUAAUAUACUGAUGGAAUUUUAUAUACGAUGUGGUGAAGAAAUCAUAAAUCAUAAUUUGGAUGUAAUAAUUAUUCACUUCACCAAUUGUUUUGGAUAUGUAGGAACCCAUGAACAUAGAAAUUUAAUGAGAUUAGUGUAUGGGAGAUUAAACUUAGGAUAAGGCUUUUUUGAAGGAUUAUACCAUAUCAUGCUUUGUGAGAUAAAUUUAGUGACAUUGAUUUAAUUCUUAUCAUAUCUGUUGCAAAAUUCCUCCAUGGAUAUGUUUUGCAUUAUCAGAUAAUCCUGGAAAUGAAGAACACAGUGACAGUAUGGUGGAGACCGAGGUAUGUGAAACAUUGAAGUACUAUAUUGGAAUUGUGUAUAUACAUUCGAAAAUGAGCAUGUAAUAGCUAAUAGUUUUGUUUACAUGUUUAUACAAUGCAAAAUUGAGUUCCACAAGCUUAUCCUCUAAUAUUCGGAUACUUUUGCAGAUGUCAAGAAUCACAGAUCAUACUACUUAAUUACUGGGAAACAAUGUUGAGCAGAGACGCUCUUGUUCUAAUGAAGUGCCUAAACAUGCUCUCCAAGCCAUUCUCAAUGCCUUCAACAUCACUCUCCAAGGUCUUUACUCGAUCCACUUCAUUUACAUCAUGCUGUUGAUCUUCACUUGACACAGCACCCUUGUGCAUCAGUUUUGAAACUUGCAACCACUUUGUAGUAGCCUUUGGCUUCAAUAUAGGUGUAGAUAAGAAUAGCAAAACAGAUUGAAAGACAGAAACACUUGCGGCAGUGACUUCUUUUAGUGAUCUAAUCACUGCACCUAGGUGCUGAUCUUGAUCAAAGAUUUCUAAUACACUGCUUUUGGUAUCCACUUGCUUGAGAGAUGCAGUCAAUUUUUUCGAAUCCUUGUUAAUCGCCUUUCUGAAAGCUGCAAAUUCCGCGCUUGAGUCCCCCUUCUUCCUUCUUAAAGCAGACAGAAGCUCUCUGGCAUGAACUUUAAUCUCUGACAUAACAUCUCUUGUAUUCCCACAGAUAUCCAAAAGCCUCACCGAUUUAUCCAUCAACUCAUUGACACACUUCUCGUUCUGAUGGUGAGAAAGCGCUUGCUGGGUCAGUGGCAAAUUCAGAAACUCAUCUGUAUAUUUGUACAACUCCCCAAGCCUGCACAGACCAUCACAAACCGUGUCCGCUGUCAAAACAUCAGAAGCCUCCGCUUCCCAUGAUCUGAUCCUGGUAAGCCCUUCUUCGAUCUUGCAAGCACUCGGAUGCAACGUCGACGGGAAGCUAGUCGAUCGAACAGUGCAACGUUUGUUGAAUUUCAUUGAAGUAGCCAUUUUCUUAACUUGUCAAAACUUUUGAUCUGCCAAGCUCUGAAAAUAUUUGAUACCUCAACCUUCAACUCUCUGCUAUUUAUAUGCUGAUACCCUAGGAUAUUAUACAAAUGUAUCUAGAUAUUAUUAUAAAAAUAUCGGCAACUAGCGGAUGAAAAGGACGUAUUUAAAAUUUCACGGGUAACUCUUCGCACAAGAUGGCUCCGCCCCUGUCGAUAGUAACGUGGCUGGCAUUUCAUGUGAAAUGGACUUAUUUAUUUCAAUUAUUUCAUCUUUGUCCCCAGCAAGCUCAACAAUAAUUUGCCACAUUUUUUUAGCAUUUUUAUAAAAAUGCAUUAGUCACGCCAAUUUGGCCUCCCAAUUAUUGCUCUUCGAGUGCCACAUUUCACUUUUUUCCUACCAUCCACAUACGUGUAACUUUUUGCAUCAAUGUGGAAAAAAGAUGGUAUUAUAAUCGCAACAGUGGAGAUCUGGAGAUCUUUCAGCAGAUUAAAUAAGCUACGGCUAUGGUUUAUUUGCAAACGUGUUUCCACCGUUUCAUCUGCCUUGCUGCCUAACUUGCUUACUCUAGUUUUGAUCUUUUUGUACAAGUCAGAGCAAGAUGCCUAAUCCGCUUAAUUUUUCUGGCGAGUUAUCGUUUCCACUUGUUUAUCAUUUUCGUCGUGUAUUCGGACUCUCAAAUUCUCGACCUCUUGUUAUUAUCACUAAUCGGGUUGAAACGGGGAUUUUUCGCGUAAAUUUGAAAAUUUGGCUUCUAAUUAUAUAAAAUUGUUUAAAUUAUAUUAUCCAAGCUGUUUAACGUAAUUAUUUGUAUUAAUUCUAAAUCAUGUUUAUGUUGGUGUGCUAAUUGUUGGUUGUAUGAUUAGGAAAAAAACAGGUAGAGUGGGAUCUAAGGUGAUUAAUAAGCUAAUUAUUGAUAGAUAUGGGUUUACAAACUUACAAUGAAUGCAGACACAUGUUUAAUAAAUGUAUACACGAGUGCUAUGUUCCACAUUGUCUGCGCUAAGGUUUGCUACUAGCUGGCUUUCACUUGUCUCGUCCUUCAAGUGUUCUCUCUAGUCUCUACCGUUGGAAAAAAUUCUAUUGAAUAAUUUUUUAAUCGUAAGUGUUCAAGAGCUUAAUAAGGGUAAUUUUGCGAUAAAACCAGAUUAGCUGCGCUUAAAAAGUUAAAAUUACUGGUUUGUUGUUGUGGGCCUCUACUUAAUAGGUUUAAAUCAUUUGAGUAGCUUUAAAAAUUUUGUGGGCUUAAAAGUGGGCUCUGCAUGCACCACAUGGCAAGAUAGUGUUAAUAGAAAAACAACUUGUCAAGAUAAUUAUUAUUUAGUUUAUGUUAGUUUAAUCAAUCAAUUAUAAGUUUAAUAAAUUAUUAAAUUCUAAUCAAUAUCUAUUUUUUGUUUUUUUAAACUUAUAUUAACUAAUAUAUCAGUCAAUUCCAUUAAAAAUACUCUGAUUUCUAAUUAUAAUUUCUACCUAGUAACCUAGAAGAAGAUUAGAUUAUAUAAUUAGAUUUUCAGGAGCCGUAAAACAUCGUUGUGAGAUGGAAAAUUAGUUGGAAUAUAAAUAAUAAAAUAAAUCUAUUAAUAUGAGAUCUUUUAAGAUGCGCUCGAAAAUAAAUUUGCAUAAAUUCAGUCUAAAAUAAAUAAUAUUAUAUUAUUUUGAAUUAUGACUCACUCAACAGCUUAAUAAACAGUUCACAAUUUCAGAUUAAUAAUAAGUCCGACUCUCCCAGAAUGGCCACGAGAUAGACGAGUCAUCCUGCAUUUUAUUUUUGAGCUCAUCUCGAAAAAUUUCACAAUAACAAAAUUAUUUGACCUUAAUAUUCUAACUACCUGCCCAGGUGUGCCAACUCCCCACACUUGCUAGUAUGUUUAAUACAAAACCUACAUAGUGGUAUCUUCUUGUUGAAAGAAUAUUAUAUAUUAUUUACAAAGUAAGGACCAGUUGAUUUGUCUGAUUAUGAAAUUCUUGAGAAAACAGAUAACUUUUUUUAUUUAAUAAUAAUAAUAAAAAACAAAAAUACUUUUUCACAGCUAAUAUAUAAAAUUGUUACAUACUUGGCCUAAUUAUUGUAAAUCUAACUAAUUAUGGUUCCAAGAAAAGGACAUUUUUUAAAUAAAUCUAAUAAUGUGAUAAUUAGAACGCACUCCAUGACAUGGUUCACACAAAUAAGAUCUGAAUAACUUCAAACUUGGGUAUUUAUAUACGACUAUAAGAGUAUUAUAGGCGCAAAAAAAAUGACAUAAUAAUUGAGUGGAAAAAUUUAAUUGAUAUUAUUAAUAGAUGUUUGGACUUUUUUUUAAUAAAAUAUUAACACAUACUUACUUUGUGAAUCUGGUGGUACACAAUUUCAUAUAUCAAAUAUUUUUCAUUGUAUAUACAGACGUACAUUUCUCACACUGUCGCACAGAUUCUUAACAUACCGAUACAAAAUUACAUGCUGAAGCUCCUUUCCACCAACAAGGCCUGAAACCGUCUAAUAUCCAAAACAUUCAAUCAAAAUCUUUUCUAUUCCCUUUUGUAAUAUCAGCAAAAAGUCGAAGAAAAAAUAUAUACAGCCUAGAUACAUCUUCCUAUAAAAGAUUUCAUCCUAGAUUUUCUACAGGCUAAUUUAUAAUUUGGUACCACCGUCAACUUAUUAUUCUUGUAAAAGGGUUCAUGAACCCAUGAAAGUCGGUUGCUAAUUUAAAUGAAAUGCAGAACUUGUACGUACAUUUGUCUGCAUAGGAUGUACCUUCAGUACACAAUAACAUUGAGAUUUUUGUUUAGAUUAAUUGUCUGGGGAUAUUACAUGUUUUUAAAGAAAGAGCAAUAGGAUAAGAUUAUAUAUGUCAUAUGUAUGUAUGGGUUCUUAUAUUAAAGUUAUUAAUAUAUUAUUAUAAAGCAUGCAGGCUUAACUUUGGCAGAGAAGAUGGAGUUAUAUUCUAACUUGUGCAUGGCUGUCAAUGUUUAAGCAAUGUCCCCUGUUAAGGUUUGUAGCCGUAGAUAAAAAUUUGAUCUAAGAUGGCCUGAAUAAGAAUCAGAAUAUUUUCCAAUAAUAUUAACUUAGUCCAAAACUGGUGUUAAUUUUAAUGAAUAAAGGCAGCUGACUCGUGCAAGAGCAACUUAGAUUUACUUUUAACAAAAAUAAGUUCCUUUUAUUCAAGAAAAAUACACUUCUAUUCUGUUAAUAUAUAUCAAUAUUUGCUGACUCUAUAUGAACAUAAUCAACAUACUUAUAACUAGAAAUACUUGAUUAUUGUAUGUAACUGCUCCAAAACAAUACAUCAUUUAAAAAAGUGAAAUUUUUCCAAAAUAAUUGUUCAACACUUUCUUAACAAAUGCAAAACAAUUGGUCCCACUGUUCUCACAUGAACCACUAUCUAAAUCUAUAUAUAAAUACGAUUCUAAUACAUGUAUAAUAGAACCAUUAAAGACUCACUCAUAUUGGGUUCACACAAUUCUUAAAUAAUAUAAGAGAUAGGAAGUUUAAAAGGAUGCAUUUCAUUUUAUAUAAUAAAUUUUAAAUGACAGUAUUUGAGUUGUUAUUUCAAAUAUCCAUAUGAUGAAACCGGGUUUCCAAACAAAUUAUAAAUAUAGUGAUAUUAUUAAAUAACCUUGAUCUCUGAACCUAAACGUGUUAUCAUUAAGAAACCGGCUAAGGUUAUGAAAUUAGGUUAGUUUGUUUCAUGAAAUUAUAAUUUGUGUAAUUAGUCUCCUCAUUAUUAAUUUUAAACAUCAUACAUUGUUAUAAACUUAUUCAUUUUUCUAAUAUAGUAGGAAUGUGAAUUGGGAGGGAAGGAAUUGAAAGGAUCCUCUGAAACAGUUUCACGUGAUUUAAUUUUGAAACAAAUAUAAAGAUCUUUAAGCUUAUCGGUUUAGAUAUAACACUUUGGAUCUUAGUUGCAUUCAUUAUUUAUACAUAUAGAAGCAAAGAAGAAGAAAUCAUGGAAUAGAGAAGAGACUAUAUGUGAUGGAACUCAAAUGUUUGUAUAUAUUUACUCAUGGAAAGAACUAAUACAGUUCUUUCUCUUUACAUUUCAAUCAGCAUCUAUAAACUAAUCAAUCCUCUAAAAUUCGGAUAGUUUUGUCAAAACAUCUAAUCACUGCGAAACAAUGUUAAGCAGAGAAGUUCUUAUUCUAACAAUGUGCCUAAACAUGCAUUCCAGUUCGUUUUCAAUUCCUUCAACUCCGGCCUCCAAUGCCUCUAGUCUUUGCUUCAGCAAACCAGACUCUUUAGUUGAACCCGAUGUUAUACUUGAUAAUUCCGCGUCCACCUUCUCCAUUUCAUUCAUUUGUUGAUGAUCUUCACAUGCAACUCUGUUUUUGUGCAUGAAUCUUGAAACUAAUGACCACUUUGUGGAUUUCACCUUUGUGGAUGUUGCUAAGAACACGAGUACGUAGUUGAAUACAGAAAUAGUGGUGGCAGUAACUUCAUUGAGUACUCGAAUAACUGAAAUUAAGUGUUGAUCUGAAUCAGCAAAUUGAGAGCCACUUGUUCUGUUAUCUAGUUGGUUAAGAACUGCGGCUAGUCUUUUGGCAUCUUUGUUUAUUUUCUUUCUGAACAAUGUGUACUUGGUAAAGCUACUUGGAUCGCCUUUAGGCCUCCUUCGUAGACAUGAAUGAAGAUCUGCAGCGUUUACUUUAACUUGUGACAUAAUAUCUUUUGCACUUCCACAGAUAUCUAGGAAUCUGAUGGAUCCAUCCAGCAACUCGUUGAAUGGGUCGUCGUGUUGAAGGGCAGAGAGGGCUUGUUGAGUCAGUGGCAGAUUGAGAAGAUCGUCCGUGCAUCUAUACAACUCGCCUAAUCCAGAUAGGCCGUUGCAGAUGGUCUCUGCUGUUGGUGCAUUUGUUGAUACUUCAGCUUCCCAUGUUUUAAGCUUGUUCAGCUCCUGAUCCAUCUUGUAAGUACUCGAAUGUGGCCUGCAAGGUAAGCUAAUUGAUCGAAUGCCACCACGGGGUUUGUUGCAUCUCAUUGAAGCAGCCAUUGUUUGUUUCUGUGUUAAGAAUAUGAAGUUAUGUGAAGUGUUGAUAUCCAAACCUCUGUUGCAUUUUGUUAUAUAUAGACAAAUGCUAAGACAAGAGCAAGAUUAGUUUUAAAAUUAUGGGACAAAGUAAUGGGCAUGUGAUCAAGAUGACCUUUGCUAUUUUUUAAGUCUUGGUAUUUGGUGAAAUUCAUUGGUCAUUUUUGGUGUGGCAUGCUCUUUGAGUGCCACAUUGCCAUCUUUUGCGCAGCUUCAUCUACGUGCAUUCUGCAUAUGCAAAAGUUGAAUCAAAGGGGAGAUUUCAAGUCAUCAAGAAAGUAUUUAACAAUAGAUUUUAAUAUGAUGCUGCAGAUUGUGUGAUCUUUCUGGGGAUUAAUAAAUAAUUACAGAUGCAGAUGAGAUUUCUGGAGUAGGAUUGAAGAUACAUACCAGAUUAGUUUAAGUGAUUGGCCAUAAAUAUUCUAAAAUGGUUGCAGGUAUGUGUCUUUUGUAGACGUGUCUCCACCGUAUUGCUCGAUUUUCUCUCUUAUUGGAUGUCAGUUGCUGCCCAACUUGCUAACUCUUAGGUGAGUCAUGUCUCUUUCUAUUUUUUAUGUCUAGCUCCCACUUAUUGGUAAUGCAGUGCUCAUCUUAGGCCCUUGUUAUUGUUACAACUCACCGUCAGAAGUAAGGCAUGCGUACAUCUUAGUCAUCGGACCUCCGAAAAAUAGUAUAUUCAGUUUGAUCUUGUAACACAAUCUUCUUUCACUAAUACAGAGUUCUCAUCCAUUUGACUUUAGAACAUGGUAAAUUUUUAACAUAGCUUCAGGUACAAGAAGGCCCCAGACCAAUGCACCAGGGAUUAUCCUAAAUGCAUGUAUUAGGACAACUAAACUAUUGAGAUUAACAACAAUCUUGGUAACAUAUAUCUCAUUAAUGAUUGGUUUUUGUUUUAUCUGGAGCUAUAGUGCUCAUUGUUUAUUUUGGCGCCCACAUAUGUGUAAGGGACUAAGGGUCAUAUUGAUUGGUCUAUUUCAUGCAUGCAUCUAUUAAUGACACUCUCACCCUUGUGCUUAUACAUAGAUCUUCUUGGAUUUAUCAAAGUCGGCAGCCAUUAAAUUUGCAGACGGUGGCUUGCAUUUAAGUUGUCUAAAUGAGAAGAACCUUGUACAAAUAAUGCAGAGAAUUACUAGUACCAGUACUCUGUGGAUUUAGCUAGAUCAUUAAGUUCUUAAAUUAUUGAUCUAAGAUUAUGAUGGAUAUGGUUGUUAAUUCUACAUGUUUGCAAGAGUGGCAUGUUUUACAAUAAUGUCUGCACUGAGGUUUGCUUGGAUUAUUGUACCUUUCCAUAUGCAAAGUACAUUAGUACUAAACUACAAGAUCUACAGCUAAUAUAUACGUUUUCAGAUUAAUCAAUCUUGACAAAGUCUUCCUUUUGUUGAUGAAUUUUAAUGGGUGCAAUUAUGUUUUUGUUGUUAAUCAUCAAUUUUAUGAUUAAGAAGCUUACGAAAUAAUCAUGUACAGAUGUGUAUAAGAUAAUCAUGUUCUGAGUGAAAAUUAUUUUAGACUAAAAUUAAUCAUGCACAAAUUACCGGUUACAGUGGUGAGAAAAUAACAAUAGUGCAGAUCACUUGAACCAUUGAACUUUGUUAGAAUAUAAUAUGAUCCUGGUAAGCCCUUCUUCUAACACCUCGAGGUUUUAGGAGAAUUGAUCACUUAACAUGGUAUUAGAGCUCUGUAUAAUAGAGAGUUGUGAAGAGUUUCUAGUUUCUAUUCAAGCCCAGACAUGUACAUAUAUGAUACUGAAUAUGGUUUAAACCUGGUAACUUAGCAAAAUUUCUGCCUAAACCUUUUACCCGUCUAAAUCAAGUUAUCAUGUGUGCGUUUUAUUUGUUUUUUUUACUUAAUCUCGUGGGUCUUCUUGAUCCUGAUGAACCUUUGGCAUAACUGAACCAAGUCUGUAGUUACUUAUUAGUAAUAGUAUUGCAAAAACCAUAAGAAAGCACAAUACCAUAGUCUACAGGCUGAUAUAAGUUUAUAUUUGAUGAAACACUUCAGCAAAAUGAAUGGAAUAAAUCCAAAGAAGAGAAAAUGUUACACUGAGCUAGCUUGAGCUUGAUGGAGAUCUUAAUAUUUACUUUUUAAUAAGUUGUAGAACAAGGAUUGCAUGCAAUAUUAUGAUGUUCGAAGAGCCAAAGGUAUUCUGAGAAUAAACAAAAGCAAAUAUAUAUGUAGCCGUAGAAGAUUAAUCUUGUAAAUGUUCCAGUAUAAGUAUAAAUAUCCCUCAUUUACAUUUCAGUUGAACUAAUAAAUGAAUAUGUAAAACUAAGGCACUUUCUGAUGCUAGAUCUAUAAGCUGGAGAUGAUAUUUAGAAAAGAUGCUCUUGUUCUAAUCAAUCUUCUGGACAUGCACUCGCUUGCAGAUUCAACGAGUUCAAUGCCAUCAUGGAGUGCCUUUAGCCUUUCUUGCGCGAUUUCAAUCUUUUCACUUUCACACGAAUCAUAUGAGUCUAGUGCAGAAUCAACUUUUUCCAACUCAUUCUUGUUUUGGAGUUGCUCUUCACAGGUUACAGUUCCCUUUUGUAUUAAUUUUGAAACUAAUGACCAUUUAGUUGACUUGGAUUUGGAAACUGGUGAAGAAAAGAACAACAGGAGGGACUGGAAAACUGAUAUGGCCACUGAGCUAACUUCCUUUAGUACUCUGAUCACCUCUGACAAGUGGUAAUCUAAGUCGAAGAUUGCUGAGCAUGUGAUUUUGAUAUCCACCUGCUUUAAAUCUGCAAUCAAUUUUCUAGCUUGUUUUUUCAUCUUUCUUCUGAAUGAAUUAAAUUUUGAUAUGCUGGUGGCAAGGGUCAAGUCUCCCUUCUUUCUUCUUAUCGCAGAUUGAAGAUCCACAACGUGUUCUUUAAUCUGCGACGUGAAGUCCCUUGUGGUGCCACAUAUAUCUAAAAGCCUCACAGAUCCAUCCAACAACUCAUCAACCCAUUUCUCUUGGCGAUGGUUAGAAAGGGCUUGUUGCGUAAGUUGCAAGUUUAGAAGAUCAGCAAUACACUUAUACAGACCUUCAAGUGUCAAUAGGUCACUGGAGACCGCAGAUGCAUUACAAGAUGAUGAUACAUCGCGGGUUUUGAGCUUCCUAAGCUCCUCAUCAAUUUCAACUAUAUUUGGAUGUGAUCUUGAAGGCAAGCUAAUCGAUCUGAUAUGAUGACUGUUGUUGGCUUCUGAUGCACAAGCCAUUUUUGCUAUAUUGUCAAAAAAUUCAGAAGAUUUGAACUUUGAAUGGUAUGUAAAAACUGCAGACUUUGCUAUUUAUAUCACCACAAUGCAGGGGACAGAAGAUCAAAAAAAUGAUGCUAGUGUGGGCUCUCCCUUAAAACUUGUUAAUCUGUUACAACUUGUCUUACAAAAUGCACUAAAAUUUGACAAAAAUUGCAUGAUUCAUCUCCUUGUAGCUUCCUCAUAAUGUGGUAUGAUUGACACCAUUACAAAAUGUUAACUAAUAAAAAAUUGCAGCUGCAUCACCUCCAUAUAAAUUAGCUGGCAAUGCUGUCUCUGUCUCAUCCAGAACAUACUCAUGUCAUUGUAACAGCAACACAGCAUAUUUCUUUAUUAGAUAUGAUAAUGCAGGGAGAUACAUGAAAUUUCAGAGAGAUUUUCAUUAGCCAUUGCAGAAAAUUAGCACACGAAUUGUUUGUCUGCAUCGUACAACAAUCUUUCAUUUCGUGCUACUGCAUUGUUAUUUGGAUGUCGAUGAGAAUAUGAGAUUGGGGAUCAUGCAUAGACAAAAUCAAUCUAGCUCUUUCUUUAAUAAUGCAUGAUUAUAAUGCAGGCUAACAGGCCUAAUGAGGGAUUAUAUUAAGUUUUAGCAAGCGUCCAGGGGCUCUAAAUUUCCGGGAAAUUUCAGUGGAAUUAUUGGGAUCAUACGGAGAUGAUGUACCAUAUUCAUAUAUUAAGGAUCAUAUUGAAAAUAAUUAAAAGAUUCCAAUGGAUUUAGUUGGUAAGAUGGUCUUUGUUUUUAAUAUCUGUACACGAGUGGUUUGCUGUCAUAAUUCAGUGGGUGUUCUUUGGAUCAGGGUGAUUCUAUUGCAUUGUCAGAUGAUUCAAAAUCUGCUUGUUUUUCGUUUAAAAUUAGAUCUCAGCAAAACGAAAGAAUCAAAAUAGUUGCAAGAACCUCAAAAAUAAGAAUGACUUCUCCCUCUUCUUUUUUCUAAUAUACCUGAUAGGGAUAAGUUAUAAUGAUUCUGACUUCUCAUCCGUUGAGACGAAAUUUAACGAUCAGGUUUUAAAUUGAACAUAGUACAUUAUUGGGAAAAAAAAGUUGAAGCAGUUUAAUUUUAUUACUACAUGGAAGCGUAUAAUACAAAUUAUUUUUGGCCCUCACUAGACCAAAACUUUAUCACAGAAUAUUAAUUUUUUUUAUUUUUAUUAUUAGCCUCACGACACUAAUUUUCUGACUCCACCAUAGAUUACAAAUUUUCUGUAUUUUCUAUUUGCUUCAAUCUUUCAUUUCAUACCUUUGAUCCCUAACAAACUGCCAGGCUCUAUUUCUGAAACAUGGCUAAAGAGAUCUCGUGUUUUCAUAUUGUUCUUGAUGUUGGUGCGGCUUGGUGGUAGAGCCAAGAUUCCUCUGACAUAUAAUCUUCACACCGGCACCAGAAAAAGUAUUAAUGCAUUCUAAGUUUGUAACGAAACUAUGAGAGCACAUUGUAAUGAAGGCAACCACUCGUAUUAAGACAAAAUCUAAUGUAUUCAAAGUUUGUAAUGGAACUAUGAGAACACAUAGUAAUGAAGACAAUCAACUCUGAAAGUUAGUAAAGAAAUCAUAAGAAGACAUUGUAAUCAAGGCAACUAACUCAUUUUAAGAUAAAAAAAUUUAAAACAUUGCAACUAAACUAUGAUAGCACAUAGUAAUGGAGGCAACCAACUCAUACUAAGAAGCAGCAAGCAAAGAAAUAGAAAAUUGUUAGAGCCUUGUUGGCCAAAUGCAUAACAAGAUAAUCAGAUCACAGAGGAGCCCACAUGGUAAUCAUACUGCAUCCUGUGACACAUCUUGUCUCCUCUCCUGUCUUUUGUGCAUGCAUAUAUAGCAAUGCCUAUAGCAAGUAGUUCUCAUCAAAAAAACUACAGUUGAUAAAAAAUCAAAACACAGAAAACUAAAGCCAUGGCUAGUACUAGCUACCAUGUUAGAUCAAUAAGCUUGCCUUGCAGAUCACAUCCUGCGAUAAUCAGAGUCAAAGAGGAGCUUAGCAAGCUCAAAACAUUGGAAACUCCAUGCUGCCAGACAUCAGAAGCAAUUUGCAACAGUCUGUCUGGCUUGGCAGAGCUGUAUGAUUGCACAAAUGAUCUUCUUGGCCUUAAGUUAACCAAACAGUCCGCUCUGAUGGAUUGUCUGUUAGACGGGUCUGUGAGGCUUCUUGAUAUAUGUGGUGGAACAAGGGAUAUUGUUUCACAAAUUAAGGAACACACAAGAGACCUUGAAUCAUCUAUUCGAAGGAGAAAAGGAGACAUAAGCAUUGAAAGUAGCGUUGUGAAAUUCAAUUCCUUUAGGAGGCGAAUGAAGAAGGAAGCCAAAAGAUUGAUUGCAUCUUUGAAACAAAUAAAAAAACAAUAUGAGGCUUUGGCAAUGUUGGAUUCAGAUCAGAAACACUCAUCAGUGAUAGGAUUGCUGACAGAAGUUACAUUGUCAAGCAUUUCGGUUUAUCAAUCCUUGUUGAUGUUUGUGACGGUACCAGUUUCAAAGACAAAGGGAAGGAGAUGGUCAGCUAUAACAAAGCUGAUCCACACAGAACGAGUGUCGUGUGAAGAGGAAAACAUGAAUGAGUUGGAAAGGAUUGAUGCAGCAUUGAUAAGUCUUUGUAGAUCAAGGAAAGGGGAGAAGAUUGAAAGUGCACAACGAGGUCUAGUAGCACUGGAGACUCAUUUUGAAGGCAUAGAGAGUAAUUUAGAGUGUCUGUUUAGGCGCUUGAUCAAAACCAGAACCUUAUUCCUAAACAUGGCAUCAGACUGAUGUUCUUUAAGAUGCUUCACUUGAAAUUUUCCCAGAGGCAACCAAAUUUUAGAGGAUAUGCAUAUGGAUAUGUAAUUUUCAAGAGUUGUGUACAUUAUAAUAUAAUUUUCGGAAACAUAAUGUGAAUCAAUGCUUUCAUCCAUCUGUUUUACAAGUCCAGUUACUUUUCUUUUAAUCUCCCAAGCCCCACUACUUCAAUUUUGUUACUAAAAUAAAUAUCAGUUAAGUAGUUAAGUAGUUAACUAAUAACAAGAACAUAGCUUAUUGACAAAAACCUGAUACAUAAGCAUCACACAGUGCCACAAAGAUCUUAUUCUAUUAGACAACUUAUAAGCUUCCUUCCACCAAUGCUCGCUGACAGCCUGAGGAGAAGAUGGUGGUGAUUAAUGCAUUACACCCGGAGUAACUUCCAGGACAGAAUACACUUAUCCAACAAUGCAAUUUACAUAAAUAUUUAAAGGCCUCUCUGAGAACUGGUAUUACAUAUAAUUAGAGGUCAGUUUUUUAAGUAAAAUCCACAAAUAUUGAGUAGUAGCAGGUUCAAAAUUUGCUCACAUGUAAAUAAUAGGCCAAGUGGCGGAUUAACAAUUGGUCAGCUAUUUCCUAUAAAAUGGUUCUUGUGGAUAGAGAGAUUUUUAGUUGUGUUGCAAACAAGGACAACCAUCUUUACGUGUACAUGUACUUAUUGAAUUCAAAAUCUCUAUCACAACUUAAGAAUCAUAGCUAUGCACAAACAACCCUUCAAUCCAAAUCAGCUUCAGAUUUCUUAAUCACCUUCUCACACAAAUCUUUUAAUUUGUAGUAAGUUUGGCUGUGGUAGAUGUUUGUGAUGAUUGAUGACAGUGUCCUCUUACGCAUGAAACACCUAAAUUUGCAAUUUGGAGUUUGUGAAGGCUGAUAAGUCAUUCAUACGAAGCAACCAACACAGUUUUGCCUUCUUCCAGAAUGAAAAUAAGAAAAAUUUAAAAGAUUGAUUGCAUCUCUGCUGAAACAAGUAAAUAACCAAAUUGAGGCCUCGCUAUUGACCUAUCUAGAUCAGCAACACUUAAAAUGUUAAGAUCAAUUAGUUUUGAGAGCAUCACAGUGCUGGAGAAGAAAUCAAAAAGACUGAAUGCGUAUUUAAAGCAUAUAAGGAACCAUUAUUGGAUUAUUCCGCAGAAGUUAAUAGCAGUAGCAUACAAAUAAUUCCAGUACAACCAACUGGACAGCAUACAACACCUCGACAAAUUAUUCAGGAUUGCACUGUCCAUUUCUCUAAUUUGCUCGACUAUAAAGGAUCAGUGAACUUAUAACCGAGUAAAACGAAUACAUAAUCAUGUACUUUAGAUUAUUGGAAGCCAUUCUGUGCAAAAAAUAUAACUGGCACGAUAGAUUAUUGGAAGCCAUUAUGUGCAAAAUAAAGCCAGGAUGAAUUUAUAGGCAUGGAUCAAUUAAGCAAUGUGAGGAAAUCAAGUCCAAAAUGUCAGAAGUGGGAUUUGAACCCACGCCCUCUCUCGAAGACCAGAACUUGAGUCUGGCGCCUUAGACCACUCGGCCAUCCUGACAAUGUUGAAAUAUUAUGCUCUACUAGCUACUUGACUCCUGACUAGUUGCUUGAAAACUAGUAGGACAAAGAUAUGUAAUAAUAUCACAAGCAUAAUAAAGCAAAGACUAUCUCCCUGUUUGUCAAGAUAUACUUAUGUUCUCUACAUAUGCAAAAAUCUGCAGUAUCAGUGUAUUACAGUGUACUAACGUCUAUGAUAAAAGAGAAAAAAUAUAACCAUCAAUGAGUCUGCUUUGUAUAAUGCAGAGUUAAUCGCCAUUCUGAUAACUAGGAUACAGUUAUAAGUUGUUGCUAAAAGACAAUUCCUGCGAAAACCACAUUUUUAUAUACUAAUUUAUCUUAGUUUGACCUUAUUGUAGGUAACAAAUUUGGCUGAAACUCUCAGGAUUCUUGGAAACAAAAGAAGCAAAGCUACUCAUUCACAGAUGCUGAAGGUACCACCAGUAGUAGAAGUAGAUGGGAGGUUCAUGCAUAAAAGCAGGGCAUUAGUGAUAGUUUGUAGUAAUAAUUGGCAUAAUCAGUGAGUAAUCAGUGAAAUAAGAGUUGCAAAGUUCAGGUUGUGUUCCAGGAAAUUAGAUGCUGCAGAAAAUAAUCUGAAUUUAAUAAUUUUAGAGAUGUAGCAAUCCUUUUAAUUUAUAAAUCGGUUACAACUCAGAUUUCUUAACUGACAUUUUUCUCGGUGUAUUUGUUCUUUUACAUAUAGCGCGGUAAGUGAGAAUUGAAAUCUAGACCUCUUUUACCAGUAGGAGCAACUCUGCCACCGCUGAGCCUGUCCUAAUUCUUUUGUAACUCAGUUUUUCAUAAUAUAAACAUCAAAAUCCUAUCGAAAAUUAGCGUGAAGGAAAUGCUGGAGUAACUUAAUCUAAAAAAAUUAACAUGCAAGACAGGUGCAUGAGCACUGAUUAAUGAUUUUUGGGCUUAGCUUCCUUGAUAAAUUAAGAUUGAGCUGAACGUUUAAUAUAAAUAUUUGCAGCAGGAGUCGAAAUCAGAAGUAUUUUAACUGUACUCUUCUUAUAUCAUAUUUUUGUACAAGCAGAUUCUGUAAACAAGUAUAAUCCUAUGACCCCUAGAGAAUAAGGGGGUGAUUGAGAAACUAGCAAGUAAGAACAUUAAGGAGAGACACUCUAUACUGGAUAAGUCGCCUAAUUGCAGCGUCUAUUCCAGACUCGAGUCCAUCAAUGCUGACUGCAAGUGCCUCUAACUUAUUUUGUACAGUUCGAACUUCAUCUGUAACACCAGUACCUCGAGCAUGUGCACUAAGGCUGCAAAGGGCAACAUCAACUCUCCCUACUUCGUUAUUGAUCUUCUUUCCCUUCUCAAUAACGACUAAACCUACUGGCAUCAGUUUGGAGAUCAAGGAGCAUCCUCCAAGCUUGGUUUUCAAAAGGGAUGGUGUGGACAAAAACAAUAAGAGAUGUCGAAAAAUUACAUUUGUAAUACUGCUUAGUUCUCUAAGCACUCUGAUCACCAUCAACAAAUGAGGAUCUAAUUCUAAUAGAGGCAAAAACACAAAUUUGCCUUCGGCUCUCUUUAGUAAUCUAAUACACUUCAAAGCAUCCUUCUUUGCCUUCUUCCUGAAGGUGGUGUAUGCAUUUACAUCUUGUUGGAUGGAACCUCCACCUCUUCUACGCAAAGAUGACUGAAGUCCUUGCACAUGUUCUUUCAUCUUCGACAACAAAUCUUUAGCACAGCUACCCGCAUCAAGAAGAGUCACUGAACCUUCAAGUGCCUCUUCAAAAACUUUACUAUCUUGAUGGUGUAAAAUGGAUUCUUGAGUGCGGCUAGUCUGAAGAAGCUCCUCGACACUAUUGUACAGCUCAGCUAGCCCAACCAGACCUUUUAGGAUAGUCUGGCCACUAAUCGAUUCUUCCAAGGAUGGCAAUGAGGCUUCCCAAAUUUUAAGCUUGUCAAACUCUGUAUCAACUUUGAGGGAAGUAGGGUGCAAUCUAGAGGGCAAGCUAAUGGACCUCACUGGGUGCAACCCAAAGGAGCAAUUCAUGGUCUAGUGUUUGUUUUUCACAAAUGGUUACAAGUACUCUGUGUCUGAGAUAUGUCGGAAUGCAAAUUAAGGAUCAAUCUAUAUAUAGAAGACACAACAAAAGCAAGCUAGAGAAUCAAGUUAAACAACUUCCAUGUGAGGCCAAAUUGAGUGUACCUACUGGUUUAAUGAACUUGUAACAAAUUUGGAGUACAACAAAAUUCUUUAAUCUUUUCUCUAAUUGUGGUCAUUAAAUGAACAACGCUCAUCCCUGAUUAUCUUUCAUUAUCCACCCACCGAUGUAUGUAGAAUUGAUAUAAAAAUUAACCAUUAGUUCGGAUUUCUGCCUACAUGCCCAACUUCUCCCCAUGAUCAAUUCACAAUCUACUACAGAAUAUUCCUUAAUAAAAUACACCAAUUGAGCAAUGAUAAAUCACUGACCCUGCUGAUAAUAGCCUUGUUACAAAGAAUCACAGAGGUGCAUAGAGGAGUAGGUAAUAUAAUUUCGACAAGGUUACGACAAGAAAUAGUAGCUUAAAAAAAGUUCUUAGGUCGUACAACCCUAGGAUUUAGGGACGCCACAUCAAGUAAAAUUAAACAGGAUCAGAAAAUUAUGCCUAUGGUUAUUUUAAAAUGCCAUUUUAAUAAUGUUGGCUGGCAUGUUUAGGAGACAAGGAGGCAUAAGCCAUUAUCAUUUCCUUGUCAAAUGGCAAAUACAGUUUAAUAAUAAACCUGCAUCUUAGAAUUGAGAAUGUGACCUCAUUGGUUAGGGGAGGUGGAAUGACUGACACAUAAACAUAAGAUCGGCACUUCUGUGUAUAAGACAUGUUACUUACAUAUGGUUCAGAGGGUCCAUAACUUAGCAUGAAUCUCGAAAAUUGAUAUAUGUUUUACUGAAAUUGAGGCUAGUUUCAGACCACAAUCAUGAACGGAGACAGCAUAUUCUUUGGCCUUUUCUUGCCUGUAAAAAAUUGAGACUAGAGAUUUUUAGAAGUCUUUGAAUGAACAUUUAGGUAUUGAAACAAUAUAUGUAAGAGAAUUAUAUAAUGCAUGUUUAGUAGACAAGGAGACAUAGUAUAAGGUUUUUAUAAGGUCGGGUAACUUGGAAAUUGGAGUGAGUCACAUAAAAAAAAUUCAUGAAACGUUAAAACCAUAAUCUGCUGUUCAAGAAUCCGGGGAAAUCGAAUGACAAAAAUGAUUAACACAACAUGGGCAACAUUUUGUAUUACUAUGAGAUGUACAUUGAACUUGUAGUAUUCAUGUUUGCGUAAAAUGUCUUCAGUUAAGCUGCUUGUCACAUUGUCUGAUAACAUUGUGGACUAGUAGUUCUUGCAUAGCAGAAAAGAAACGCAGGUUAAGACAUGUAUUUAACGAAUGAUCAAGCAAACAAUAUUAAACAUAAUGAUGCAAACCUAUAAUUAUUUUAUAGUCUAACUAAAUAAUGAUGGCAAACUUCAUUUUUUGAUUUUUUUUUUCCUUUAUUUCUCUAUCGUCAUCACUAAUUCCACGUAACUACGUGAGUUACGUGAUUAUUUCUCUCAGACAUUUGAUUCCUCACAAGUGAUUCUUGCAACCAUCUAUCAACGAUUUUUAAAGUUGAUUGGACACUGAACGCGGAUGAAGUGUCCCUUCCGUUCACACAAGAUACCUCAUAGAUGGUUGAAUACUCAAAUCAGCCGCUUGUCAGGAAUCGAGACCCAUCAGUUUUUUUUGUAGGUUUAUAUAAUGCUCAACUUACCGGUUAGAGUCAGACUGAAAUUUCAGAGUGCAUCAUAUAAUAUAACCCAAUCUCCAAUGUCAUGGCCGUCCCAACUCCCAACCCAACUUCAGAGUUCACCUUAAAGUUAAAUUUUAAUGACAAGCGUCACAAGCCCUCAUAUCAUACUGGACCCUAUUGCAACUAUAGCAGUCCGAGAACCCAGUCAAGCCCAAUGAUGGACUCAAUUGAAUGCCAGGAGUUUUCUUUUUCUGAAGAAAAAAAUGAUACAUUUAAAAACACCAAAUUUAACUGCAUAUCACAUAUAUGUUCAAAUAUUGCAUGCUACAUCAGUAAAACAUGUAGAAAGAAAAAUGUUCAGAUUCUGCAUGUCCUGGUCUUCUCCCUCAGAACAAACUUCUGAAUCUUUCCUGUUGAAUUAACUGGUAAAUCAUACAUAAAAACCAUCUGAGGGACCAUGUGAAGGGGCAGUAGUUCCCUGCAAUACUUGAUAAUCUCUUCACCACUCACAUUAUCAUCAUAUUCAUCCCUUAACUUUACAAAAGCACAAGGUGUCUCACCAUUGACACUGUCAGGCCUUGCCACAACCGCAGCUUCGAGAACCAUAGGAUGAUUUAACAAGACAGCUUCAAUUUCAAGUGUCCCUAUGAUUUCUUUCCUAAACUUUAUCACAUCCACUGCGCGAUCCUUCACCUGUAUACAACCAUCAGGGAGUCUAGUGCCAAGGUCCCCGGUUCUGUACCACCCAUCUUCAAAAGCCUUUCUAGUCAUAUCCGAAUCUCCGAGGUAACCGGACAUCAUAGUAUUGCUCCUAAACAUCACUUCCCCAAUGGUUCUUCCAUCAGAUGGUACACUUUUCAUUGUUACUGAGUCUUUGACAUCAACUUCUUCCAUGAUUCCUUGUCUAAACUUUAGGCUUAUUGUUGACAUACUCAACUCUGCAUUGGACAACUUAUUAACAAUCACGGGUCCGAGAGCCUCUGUCAUUCCAUAUCCAUACGUGAUGUUAAAUCCCAAUUCUUGAACUCUGGACAAAAUUUCAAUUGCUGGCAGUGCUCCAGCAAUUACUGCUUCCACUUUGUAGGCAUUUUUCCGCGUAUAGUUAGCUGGCGCCUCUGCAAUCUUGUUCAGGAUUGAUGGCGCCCCGCAUAAAUGCGUUACUUGAUGAAGCUCUAUAGCAUCAAAAAUGACUUCUGUUGUGACAUUUCGGGUGCAAAUAUUCGUGCCACCUAGCGCAGCCAUUGCCCAAGGUAAGCACCAACCAUUGCAGCGAAACAUGUCAACUGUCCAUAAGAACACCGGAAAUUUUCUCAUCUCAAAUCGAAAAAUUGCAGCCAGAGUAUUGAGAUAGGUUGCUCUGUGGCUGUAGAUUACUCCCUUAGGCUUCCCUGUUGAGCCAGAAGUGUAACUCACUGAUAUGGGAUCAAUUUCGUUCUUCGGUUUAACUACUUGAAAAUCAUUUUGGCCCAUAGCAAACAGGGAACUAUAAUUUAGGCAACCAUUAGGAAGUUUUUCGAAAUGUGAAACUUCUUGAUCCGAAUCUGGUAUCAGAAUUAGGAUGGGGAGCUUGGUUUGUGCCAACGACAAAGUUUCGAAUGCUGAAUGCACAACUUCGACGAAUUCAGAGUCUACGAAAAUCACUUUGGCUUCCAGUUGCGUUAGUAUUGAAGCCAACAUUGUUGUGUCCAACUUUGUGUUAAGUGCAGAAAGCACACCUCCACUCAUGGGAACUGCAAAAUGUAACUCAUAGAGUGCUGGGAUAUUUGGUGCCACAGCUGCAACCUGUCAAAUUUAACAAGAUCUAUACUUACAGUAACUCAUUUAACGGUUUUUCUAGUCUGUGUCCAUAAUCACACAAUAAUAACCGUUUUUUAGUUAUGUGUCGGAUUUCUAAUGACAAGUGUCUUUGCCGAGGCAAUUCGGGUUUGGUACAAUUUUUGAUGCCUAAUUUGGAGUAAUUAAGAUGUCAAAGAUGAAAUGUUAGCUUUACACUUGCAAGUUGCAGGGAGAUAUUAAUUUUGUACUCCCUUUGUCCUAUUUAAUUGUAUACAUUUCUUUUCAACUGCUCGACACGCAUUUCAAUGCUUUUAUAAAAUAUAGUUCUGUAACUUAUUUUUGAAAUUUUCUUUUUCUGAAUAAAAAUAUAACAUCCAAACUUUAAUUCAAAAAAAGAAAAUUUUAAAAAUAAAUUACACAACUACACUUUACGGGAGCAUUAAAGUCCGUGCCGCGUCCCGGUCCCCCAAUGUAUACAAUUCAAGGGGACGGAGGGAGUAUUAGAUAAACUCAACGGUGUAUAAAGUCAAAAUAUAAAAUAGUCUAAACUACUCAACUUCAAAUUGUCAUUCCCUGAACUAGAAUUAGGAAGCGUAAACAACGUUAAAGAAAUAAAAAAGUCAGACCUCAUAUAUUCCACAGAUGUAAUAUUUGAUGGCCGUCGUCAUAGGUUUAGUCUGGAGUGUAAACGAAUCUUAACCGACGAGUACUUUGGAAGGACAAUCCCUCCAUUGUUUUCCAGACAGGCAGAGCAGAUUUUUUAUUCGAAUAAAGAUGUCUGAGCUCGAGCUCGUUAAUUUUUUAAACUUGAAUUUUUAAAAAAUAAAUCUGAUUGUUCAGAAAUAAUUAUUUUUUUAAUAUAAAUACUUAUACGUUAUAAAUAGAAUACAUAAAUAUAAAUAUUACUUGAAUAUGUUAUUUAACAAAUAUAAAUGAUAUUUUUCAAAUGAGCCGAUCUCCACACACAGAAAUCAUUAUUCUCAAAUGAGCCGACCAUAGUCGGAAGAAUGGGUCAUAAAUAUCAUCAAACAAAUACUUAACUCAUAUUAGUACAAUAUAAUGUGUUUUAAGUUAAGAAUAAAGUUCAUCCUUGAAUAUCUUCAAAAUAUUUUCAUAUUAACGAAGUUGAUUGAUCGGUAUUCAAGUCGUAUAAAGUUUAGACUAAAUAUCAUAAUACAUAAAUUAUCGUUUUUUGUUCUAAUUUUAUCGAAGUUGAUAAUUUAUGUAUGAGAGCUAAAUCAAAUAUUCUUACAUUUAUAUACAACUCGAUAAUUCUCGAAUUAUCGAGAAUUGAUAGUUUAGUCUCGAUAUAUGCAAGUUCAGUUUAUAUAUAAGAACUUAAUUAUGAGAACUAAAUCAAAUACUCCUACACUUGUAUAUAACUCAAUUAAAUUGAGAGUUGAUAAUUUAGUCUUGAUAUAUGAGAGCUCGAUUCUAAAUCAUGUUCUUAUGUAUAGGAACUUAAUUAUGAGAACUAAAUCAAAUACUCCUACACUUGUAUAUAACUCAAUUAAAUUGGGAGUUGAUAAUUUAGUCUUGAUAUAUGAGAGCUCGAUUUUAAGUCAUGUUCUCAUUGCAAGUGAGUAAUACUCCCUCCGUCCCUUUUUAUCUGUCCAUUUUGGAAAGAAAAACACAUACCAAGGAAUACUUAAUUGUAUAAACUUUUUCAUUAAAUACCUCUAAUUAAUAUCUUGAAAAUGGUGGAAUACCCCUACUUUAUGUCUUGAAAACAUGAAUUCAACCAAGUUUUAAAUAAGUCAAGUCUUGAAAAUUGAAAUUAUGGAGAUAUAUUUGAAAAACUAUCAUUAAAUUAGUUUUGAAAGUAUAAAUGGACAAAUAAAUAAGGACAAAUCACUUCAAGAUAAAACAUAUCACUUCAAGAUUUCGAGGAGAGUUAAAGCUUAAAUUUACGAGAAUAAUCAAAGCAAACUAACGUCGAACUUUGUCCUUCAUUAACGAGCAACAAAGUACUGAAGCCUUGAAAAACAUGUAACGGCAAUCAAUUAGUAGAAGCUAAUUAAGGAAAUGAGAAAACUUACAACAUCACCACGGUUAACUCCCAAAACAUGUAGAGCAGACGCGAUCUUGAGGCAUCUUUGACGCGUUUCACGCCACGAAAAUUUAGUGUUUCGAUAAACGAUAGAGACCCUUUCGGCAUGAACCAAUGCUGCUUGUUCCAGGAAGUUGAUCGGAGACAAAGGCAUGAUCAUGUUGUUUGCUGAGCAUUGAAUCACACACUUCAUUUUCUCAAUCUUCUCGUCAAUGGUAGCUACAUAUACAUGCACAAACCAUAUAAAAUAUUAACCUGAGAAGCACUAACUCUUUUAUAUUCUAGAAUUUACAUUAUAUUAUUAAUAUAUCAUACGAUAGGAUGAACUCUUGAAAUACAGCGCAAAAACACAAGACCUGCGCUAAUGGUUCAUACUUGGUUAUGACGUUUAUUUUUGCCGUCAUCCAUUAAUUGUCAGUUUUCUGUGACAAGUACGAAUACGACUUAAUAUUAGGGGUGUACUUCAUGAAAUUCGAGUAUAUUUAAUUGUGAUUAUUCAAAUUCAUUAAAAUCUUUUGCUAUUCAAUUAAGAUUUUAAAUUAUGCUACAAAAUAUGGUGAUAUUUAAUUGAGAUUGUUUGAAAUCAACUAAAAUAUGGUGAUAUUUAAGUGAUAUUUUUUGAAAUCCCACCAAAAUUCAUGAAAUUUGAAAUAUUAUGCUUAAAUCCUAAAGAAUCUGCAUAAACUCUACAACAUUAAAAUCCGCACAAAAUCAAAAUCACAUACAAUACAUUAAAAUCUAUAGAUUAAAAUCCUAAUUAAAUGCACCCCUCUUAACAUUUCAAAUAUAAAAUGUGAGAAAUUCUUAAAAAUACAGGAACAAUGAGGUAAUUACGUAACAUAUUUAACAAAACUAGACCAAGCCACCCGUUAACAAAACAAUCUACGAAGAUGAAAAACAAAUCAAUGAAAUACAAUGUAUUAAUGAAGACGGUAAAAGAAGUGUACCGUUCACUAUAGUCAAUUAGUCAUAACCGUGUACAAUCAACAAGGCAUGAAUGGCUGAAUUGUCAGGCCUUCAAAAAACAAGUCCCGACUGCUAAAUAGAUUUUUGCCCACUUACACUAUGAUAGUGUGAUCGUUGGAGCUAGUUUAGAGAAAAAGGAAAGAGUUUAUGAUUUGUGAGUUGCAUACAGGAGUACCAUCUUAUGAGUUGUUCUUCUAUUUAUAAGACGAGAAUAGGAAGUGUAACGGCUGCAGAUUUAAAUUGUUGUAACUCAGCCGUUAUAAAUUAUUCAAUUAAUUCUCAUCCGUUACAGAAUAUAUAUAUCUUAAUUCUCAACUGUUACAGAAUAUUUAUAAUUAAUAUAUACUCACCUGAUAAAUAUACAUAUUAAUUCUCGAUUGUUACAAAAUAUUUAAAUUCAGUUCUUAGCUGUUAUAUUUUUUGCUGUUGUAGAUUAUAUGUUCUAUGGUAGUUCACUAUUUUAUUGGAGUUCUUGGAGUUCAUAUAUGUUUUGCAAGUAAAAUAUAGCUUAAAAUUUUGCAAAACAUAUUAUUUUUCAAAUAAUGUUCUACAAAAUCACUAUUAUAUUAAAAAUAUUGCGGAUCUCAUACAUUUUACGAGUAGAAAGCAAAAUAUAUUAUUCUAUAGAACAUGUUUAGUUUGUAGACAUACGUAUUUUACUUAUAAAUGUAUGAGAUUUGUAAUAUUUUAUUAAAGUAAUGAUAUUUAUGAAAUAUCUUUUGCAAGAUAACAUUUUUUACAAGAUAUUUUAUUUGUAGAACAUCCCGAGAACUCCAAUAAAAUGGUGGACUCAAUGGAACUCUAUCCCCAUACAUAUUUUGAUAAAUUUAAUUUAAUCAGAUUCGACUGUUACAGAAUAUAUAUAUAAUAUAUUUAAAUAAUUCUGAUUUUGAAUUUCUUUUUUAGUUUAUUCAAUUAUAUUUAUAUUAAUUAAUCAAUUAAAUAAGCAAAUAACAAAAAUUUCUCGCCAGAUCGCCUCACGUAUGCAAGAUAUUCACACAAAUGACCCCGAGUCGAGAUGUGGCAUGGCAAUGUGACUACAGGUGGCAAUCGUUUUGUUUCGUAUACUUUCGUUUCGUGUAAUUUCGUGUUUCGUGUACUCGAAGGUGAAACCCGUAUCCGCCCGUUAUUAAUUUCGUGUACCUAAUUUGAAACCCGUAUCCGAUCCGAAUCGUUUCGUAUAUAUUUCGUGUACUUUUCGUGUAUAUUAUAUAUAAAAAUAUUAAUAUAUUUUUUCAUCAAAAAAUGGAUUUAAUAUAUAUUUUCCUUUAUAAAUUUAUUAAAUGUGGAUGAUAUAUUUAUUUACAAUUCUCUAUAAAUUUGUUAAUGUAUCUACAAUAUAUAUCCACACAUACAUAUAAAUAUAUACUUUUUACUCAAUUAUAUAUCUAAUAUAUCAUAACAUAUAUAUAAUAAAUAUUAUCUACAAAUAUUUCGUGUACUUUCGUGUAUUUCGUGUACCCCAGAUGAAAACCCAUAUCCGACACGAAAUCUAUCAUGUAAUUUCGUGUUCGUGUAUUUUUGUGUUUCGUGUAUCAAAAAUUGAAACCCAUAUCCAUUUUUUUCGUGUCGUUUCGUUUCGUUUCAUGUUAGCGUGUCACGUGUCAAAUUCACAUAUCAUGCACAUGAUAUCUAAUAAAAUCACAUAUCACAUACCGCUCUUUAUUAUUUAAAUGUCACACAAGUCAAAUUACUCAUUUCAAACUUUUUAAUGUUCCUAUUUUAAUCAAUUUCUCCAAUAAAUUACAUUACAAAAAAUUAUUAGAUUCAAAUAUGAUAAUUUAAGUUUUCAGUUUUAGAAAAAACCUCUAAUUAUCAGAAUUCAAAAAUUACAUAAAGAGCAUAAUAUAUAUAGCCUAAUUUUUUUUUAUCUUUCUAAUAUAAAAUACGUGUGGUAAUAAAUGAAAAUCAUACAGAGAAGCUAAAUCUCAGAAUAGGGUAGUGUAAAUGAACACUUUGAAAUUCAUAAAACAUUUUGAUUCUGAUUGAUGUGAAUGCGAACGUUAUUACUUAUUUAUAAGAUAAUUUUAUCCACGGAAUGUAUUAGGCGCUUGAUUUGUUUGACACCAAUUUCGAUCAUGAUUCAAAUCUAAAUUUAGAAAAAAUUUAAAUAAUUAAAAUAUUUAACAUAAAUGAAAAUUUCCUUUUAUAUUAAUCGAAUUAAAAUCUCAUAAUCGAAUAUAAACAAUCAUUUUCUUUCAGCUGAAAGAAUGAUAGAAAUGACUUUUCUCCGCUGCCAAACAGGAUGGCCUCAGGCUACGCACAUAAACUGAUAAACAUAUAAAACCCUGACACUGCAAAUUUAACUAAAAUAAUCGAUAAGUGAGCUAAUAAAUUUUCUUAACUAAAGCUAUAUAUAUUACUUAAAGAUUUAAAGAUAUAAUAUAUUAUUAAAAUAAUAAUUUCAUAAAUUACAAACAUGUACAUUCCGUGUAUACCGAGUCAGACCAUUUACUGAAUUAAAAAAUAACUCUGCGUGUUUUGGCCGGUGACGACCGACUUUAAACGAGCAAAGUCAGUCCACCAUCAUAAUUUAGACAAGCAUGUAUACAACUGCGUCUGCAAGUCUAGGUCUUUUUAGCGCACUAUUUAAUAUUGCAUAUUACAAUUGUGGUAAACAUCGGUGCAUAAAUUCGAAUCAAUGAGGUAUCUUAAUUGUCCAUCUGUGGAGCAUGAUCGAAUCAUCCGGUCCUGGUUUCGAUUUUUGAUAACUUAACAACUGAAGUUCUCAAGUCAAUAUCAGGAACAUUAUUCUCAUACAUCACAAGACAAACCGCAUAUUAAGAAAAUACUUGAAACACAAUUACAUAGCAACCAACCUCUCUAUGAAAGAAGAAGGAAAUAGCGCCAGGGCGAAAACCACAACAUAUUCAGUAUUCAUUCAGCUUUCCACGAUGAAAAGGGUGGAGUAUCCGAGUUCAGAUAAGAGGCUGCUCCGGUUGGGUAUCUUUCACCCUGGACAGAAUUAGCAAUGGAUUCAAGUUCCGCCAUUUCGUGAGUUGUUAAUUUUAUCUUUAAAGCUCCAAUAUUUUGGUCAAAAUUUUCAAUUUUGGUGGUUCCGGGAAUAGGACACACAUCCGAUCCCUGAUGAUGGACCCAAGCCAGUGCUAGUUGUGAUGGAGUACACCCUUUAUUUGAUGCAAUCGCAUUAACUCGAUCAGAUAAGAUUUUAUUACGCUCUAUAUUUUCCUUCUGGAACCUUGGUAGAGCCUGCGCAGAAAGAAAGAAUUAUACAAAUUGAUCCAAGGAGCCAAGAACUAAUAUUUAAAACAUAUUAGUUCAGAAUACGGAUUAUUAUAAAUAAAUAUUCUGAUUUAUGAAGUAUGUUAAGCAAUUGCAACUUUUGCAUUCCUUCACGGGUUUACAUAAUCUAUUUUAUACAGCUAGUACUAGCAGUACGAGGUUCAGAAUAGUUACUAGCAACCAAACCUUCAAAACAAAUCAGAUUGUUAAAGUUUCUUUAACGAAAGAGUUUCAGACAGUUAGAUUGUAGUUGUUCAUGAAUUGUUUUAACUUUGCUUGCUGUGUUUUCAUGAAGAUCCAAGCUACUAAAAGAGAACUCGGCACUCUGCAAAUAGUGAUCAGUUUCUUCAAUAAACUUGAUUUUAUUUACUUUUUGGCUAAUUUAGACAAUAAAACUGAAUUUUAGAUUUUGAAAUUAAAAUACAAGCUUGAUACUUAGUAUAAUAGAGAAAACAACCUUUCUGUAGUCAUCUUUUGCUAAGCUGUCAACCAAAUUUGAACCUCCAGACAAGAAUCCCCGUCCCAGAGGACUAUAUGCAACAAUCCCAAUGCCUAGUUCUCUGAAAAAUACAAACCAGUGAACUAAGUUUCUGAUUUUUUUUAUAGGUAGUUGGAAAAUAUGAUGAUUUAAACAGAUACCAUACCUGCAAGUAGGAAUUAUAUCUUCCUCCACGCCCCUCGACCACAAAGAACACUCCAGCUGCACGGCAGUGAUGGGAUGAACAGCAUGAGCUCUUCUGAUUGUAGAUGCAGAGGCCUCAGAAAGCCCUACAUACUUGAUCUUACCUUCUUCAACCAGUUUUUUCAGUUCUCCCAUCUUCCAAACAAAUGCACAUUUUUAAGGCACAAUGGGUAAAAGGAGAAAUAGGAAGAAACAACAUAUUAUGGUACCAUCAUCACAUAAAUCAACAUUUCUUUGCACUAUCAUGGUUAAUGGCAUCAACUUACAACUGUAUAAUAAAAACAUAGCACUUUGACCUCCCGGACGACUAUGCGCCCCAACUGAGUCGAUGAAGAUAGUAGUCAAAUGAUUAAAUAACAGUUUUUUGAUGGACUACUGGCCUAGAGCUCUCACAGAUAGUCUUCUAAGUUGGAAAUGAUUUAAUACAAAGUGAAACUGACGAAUUCUCGACACAAUCAGAUCCUUUCGCAAAUCCUGCUAUCAUGAGAGUUGCUAUUUAACAUUUAACUGGCCACUGUGUGCACACACUUUCACAAAUGAAAUAUCACAGAUAUGCUCACUGCAGCCAUUCCAACAGCACACCAAGAAAGACUCAUCUAGGAUUUGGGUAAAAGCAGCAAAAUCAUUCAUUUGUCUAUUGUUGAUUUAUGAAAAUAACAUUUUUUAAUUAAUCAAAUUACCAGUAAUGAGGACAGAUUAAUACAACAGCUAUAAAAUUUUUAGCAGAAAACUUAAAAACAGGGCAAGUAAUUUGGGACACGACAACUAUGUAUUGACAUACCGUAACUUCAAUUGGCACUUGAGUGUCAAUACGGUGCUGAUAGUACAAAUCGAUAAAAUCAAUCUCAAGCCUCUUCAAGCUAGCCUCACAACACGCCCGCACGUAUUCUGGAUCGCCUUGCACUACUCUGAUUUCUCCAUCCAUCCUGAUCCCAAACUUGGUAGCCAGCUGAACUUUGUCCCUAACACCGUCCUUUAAAGCCUACAUUCACACAAUCUCAUUCAAAUCCUUUACACAUUUUGAACUCAAGAUUCAUUUACAUAUUGAACGGGUGUCAACCCAAGUCCCACGUCAUAAAAAUAAAGAAGAUUUAUCUUGAAUAUAAACAGUCAACGAACUCUAUUAAUAUGAAGCGUUUUGGAAGUAGCCCCAAAACAAAUCCUUGCGGGCUUGCCAUAAUCAUCCCCUUAAUCAUAUCGAGAUGAUGAAAAAAAGGCACAUAAAAAGAAAAACGGACCUUAGAAAUGAGGAUUUCGUUGGUGUGAGGUCCAUAAAAAUCUGAAGUGUCGAGAAGAGUGACACCGCUUUGGACAGCAUGGUGGAUGAGUCGAAUCAUGUCGGAAUCAGGCUUGGUCUGACCGUAGAAGUAGGACAUUCCCAUGCAGCCAAGACCCUGAGCUGAAACUUCAAGACCUUGUGAACCCAACUUCAUUCUGGGGACUGCAUCACCCAUUGUAAGGCUAGUAUAAUUUGGAAUUAUUUAUGUGUAUCAGAGAGUUGAGCCGAGAUUUUCCUUGACAAAAGAGAGAGUCUAGUAGAGAUGAUUUUAAGCAUGAGUCUGGAGAUCUAUGUUAUUUAUAGGUGCAGGACCGGAAGCACAGAACCGAAUGGAAUCCAACCAAAAAUCAAAAGUUAUGGAAUUCAUGGACCUAGUAGAGGACUACUAUAGUCUGCACUAAGACCAGACCAUGACCAAAUAGAUAAUCACUUAUGACUUAUGACUUAUCUAUGAAAAACAAAAAAGGGCUGCCGGACGUAAAAUCAGGACAAAGACGAGUAGUGUUAGGUAAUCAAAAUUUAUUUUUUAAAUAAAAUGUGAUAGUUAAAUAAUUUGGUUCGAUUUAUUGAUGUAUGUAUAUACAUAAAAAAUCUCAUAUUAACUUAAAAAUAAUACUCCCUCCGUUCCAUUUUAACUGUUUUUGACUUUUUUACACGUAUUUUAAAGUGUAAAAAAAAUCACAUCUAUAUAUAAUUAUUCUUUAUAAAAUUUAUAUCAAAUAAAAGUUUAGAAUCUAAACUUUUAUUUGAUAUAAGAAUUGAAUUUUUUAAUUAAGCGUAGACAUUGUCUUUUUACACCUCAAUAUACGUGUUAAAAAGUCAAACAUCACUUAAAAUGGGACAGAGGGAGUAUAACUUAUAUGCAUAUGAUUGUUAGAAUAUAAUAAGAUUUUGGUAAGUUCUCUUCCAUUUAAAAUUUUAGAACAAUUGCUCACUUAACUUAAUACUAUCAAAGUAUAGUCUGGUGGAGCCUUUUUGAGAUUUUGAGAGAAUUGAUUAUUUAACGGACACAGUUUGGAAUCAUUUAUUAAUACUUUACAUUUUUUUUUGUGACAGAAAUACAUUGCAUUUUCCAAUCAGGACAAUAAGUGCAGUUUUUAUAGUAACAAAUUCAAGCCACCAAACGUCAUUGCUUGCGUUUUAAUAUUUUCCACUCUACUUUCCAAAUAUGGAAACAUUAUAAUAACUCAGCUUUAAAUUUAUGUCAGGCCGCCGGGGACAAAAUCACAAAAUACAGCAAAGUUAUAGUAAUGUAUAGCAAACUUCUUCAAUUAUAGCGCUCCGAUAUGUAGAAUAUGGUGGCCCGUUGGGUAGAAAACUAGAUACAACAAACUAAUAUCAAUUGAUGCAGCCACUAGUCAUGUGGAAUCCAGAAACUAUUUUAAUUCUGAUUAUAUUAUUCAGUUUAAAAGCGGAGCAAAGUUUAAUUGACCACUUUUUUGAAAAUUUGGAACUCAUUUCUGCCCGUCUGUUACUCCCGUUAGUAAUAUUUAAUGAGAGCCACAUUUUUAAAAGAUUAAUUGAAAUUAUUAAUCAUGAUAUUAAACAAAUAUAUUAAAUAAUAUAAAAUAUCUAAUUUAUUAAGAUUAUUAUAUUAAUUUUAGAAAGAUAUGUUAUGAUUAAUGGGAUUUAAAAGAUCGAAUCAACUAAAUAUCUUGUAAGGUGAUUUUUAGAAAUAUCCUAAAACGUUUUACAUACAGGUGAUAUUAAGGAGAGUAAUGUCAGGGACAUCAGAAUUUGUACCGAAAUUCUGUUCUCAAAUUACAUGGCAGACAUAUGACGGAUUUUAGUUGAGUGGUUUAUGCAGAGACGGAAUCAGAAAAAUAAUUUGAAGGGGCGAAAAAUUUUUAUGUAAAAAAUACAUUCCGACAAUUUAGAUUUUAUUGAUAAGUUUAUGAAUUUGUAUGCACAAAAUUCAUAUUUACAUGAGAAUUGGGAACAUAUUUUGGGUUACUUAGUAUCUUCCUGUUUAGAACUAUGCUACAAGGUUUUACAUGCUGGACUGCUGGAGUCUAGAUCAGCACUCCUGAUUAACAUGUGACCCCAAUUUCUUGUAUUAUACCUAUUUGGAUUAGAAAUCAUAACUUAGCUAGGAACAUAGAUUUUAUUUCCAGAAGGAUUAGGAUUUAAGAAUGUGAAUCUGAUUCGGACAGCAAGCUUCUUACACUUGUUGCUGUUUUUUAUAAACGAACAUGGUGGUUUUGAAAGUCUUGAAAACAUACGAAACAACAAUGGGAAAUUUUGUACUUGAUGCUCUAAGAACAUCAACUCUGUCAAUACAAACAUCAUUCCAUGAAAUCAAAGUAUCUUUCGGGUCCAUCAAAUCAUUAUUAGUACCCUGGACAAGAUCAAACAGUAACAAUUCCAGCCCUGUCAUCUCGAAAACAAAGUUGCGCGAAGAUAUCAAAGAGUUUGAUGAGUCUAAGGUUGGCGUAAAAGGCCUAGUUGACGCAGGAAUCACAUCGAUUCCACGUAUCUUCUACCAGCCACCUGAGAAUCUAAUUGAUUCGCGCUCUCUCACGCGAACCUUGGAUAUCCCUGUCAUUGACCUGGCUGCGUCUGACAGGGCUAUUGUUGUGAGACAAGUUCAAGAAGCAUCGUCUAAGUUUGGAUUCUUUCAAUUAAUCAAUCAUGGAAUUCCUUUGUGUCGUAUGGAUGAUGUGAUUUUGUCGAUCAAGGCUUUCAAUGAGCUUGAAACAGAGCUGAAAUCGCAGUAUUAUAGUCGUGAAGGAAAUGAGAAGAGAGUACUUUACUAUGGUUCAAGUUUGCAUUUAAAUGAAUUAGAAGGCGCCAGCUGGAACGACACGUUGCUGGUAGCAUUGGGACCGGAGCCAGCAGAAUCAUGUUAUGUUCCGGAGGUAUGCAGGAUGGCGGUGGCUGAGUGGGAUGAAGAGAUGAAGAAACUAGGGGGUGCUUUAUUAGGUUUAAUGAGUGAAGGACUCGGGUUGAAGAGGGAAGCACUAGAGGAGAAGUUGUGCAUGGAUGCUAGAAUCAUGGCUGGAAAUUAUUACCCUCAUUGUCCACAGCCAGAUUUAACUCUGGGCUUAAAAUCGCAUACUGAUCCUUCUAUUUUUACUCUGUUGUUGUCUAAUCAUGUACCUGGCCUCCACGUUAAAGUUGAAGGACAUGAGUGGGCUAAUCUGGUGGCUCAUCCGGGGGCUCUUGUGGUAAACAUUGGUGAUGUUCUUCAGGUAAAAUCAAAUAUUUCGUAUUACAUCAGGUCUUGUUUUUAUAUUUUGCAAAGUUGUGAAACUAUGUGUCCCUGAUAUGAAUAUUUUUUUUUGCAGAUUAUUUCAAACGACAAGUACAGAAGUGUUGAACAUCGGGUGUUGGCCAACUCAUUACAAGAACCACGAAUAUCAGUUGCAGUUUUUUUCAACCCAGCUAACGAUGCAGACACUUAUGGACCGUUACCUGAAAUUACAUCACUGGAUGAACCAGCUCGUUAUCGCGACUUUGAUUUACUAGAGUUGAGACAACAAAUGAAAAAGGAAGUGGGUGUCAAAAGUUUGAUUAACAACUGCAGGAUUGGUCCAAAUUUGAAGUGGAGAGAUUGGAAUCCGCUCAGGCUUCUACAGUCUUAUGUAGGUUCUAGUCAGAAUUAGAUAGAUAUUCAGUUUCAUCAAUUUUCAGGACUCGCUGUUCCCUGUAGUUUAUCACAUUUUGAUUCCCGUCACUGGUAAUCCGGCUAGGAGGUCUUUUAACCAAGAAUUUCAUAUGUUAAUCAGAUCUUAUCUCUGCGGCUAGUUGUAACUGUUAAUUACCAGCUUCAGAAUAGUUCUUUUGAUUGUUUUGUCAUGUGCUUAAUUGUGCAAAAUUUUAAAAAAUGGUUUUGAUUGUUUCAAUCAGCAUGUUAUUGAGUCAAUCCUACAGAGGUUCUUUUCAUUUACAUGUAACUGCUCAGUUAUCUUAGCCUUUUUUUUCUUUAGGUAAACCAAACCAAGAAUGUAAUACUUUGUCAAAUAUUUUUAAUACACACGAGUUUAUACUAGAUGAGCAUCUCUAACAAGGGUUGUCAAAAUAAUUGUCAAUAUUGUCAAAUCAUCAUAUAUUAAUAUUUAUUUCACUCAUUUUUUAUCAACUUGACAACAUUCUAAUUCAAUAAUUAGCAAAUUUUGAAAGUUGUCUAUGUGGUCCUCUCAAUUGAAUUAUAAAUGACUCAUGAACUAAUAGAAGUAUUAAUAAUCUACAUUUUCGGCACUUAUAUAUGUAUUUUAACUAUUUUGGAAAGUUACGAAGUUUUGACGAUGGUGAUAGGCAGCCUCUUGGCAAUCAUACAACUUCAAUAGAUUGCAAUGAAGAUUGUCCUACCACAUAAGAUUUAACAACCUCUUAGCAAUUUCUAUCGGAGAUGCUCUAAGAUAGAUUUGACACCCCUUUGACAAAAUCUCUAUCGGAGAUAUCAUAAGAUGAACAAAUUUUUUUAAUAAUUAUAUAUUUAAAAAAAUUAUUGAGUAUAUAUAUUUAUAAUUUUUAAGUAAAUAAUUUAUUAUAAUAUCAGUCAGUCGAAUACUCAACCCCCACCGCCGCAUAGGGUUUGCAAGUUGUAACUGAAGAGAAAAUAAAAGCAAGACAAGAUCGGUGCUGCUUAUUACAAAGAGAAUACCCAGUUAAACACACUCUCUCUCGUAACGUUUAAACAGGUUACUUAGCAAAUGGCGAACAGCAGUAAAAUUCUUCUUGAUUUGGAGGCUGAAAAAUCUCCCGCAGGUCUUUUUUCUAUCUCUUUCCAUCCCUGUUAAUUUUUAUAUAACUUAUUUGUUUGUGUUUGCUGAUACUGUUUCGGGGUUUUACAUUAUUUGCAGAAUCCAAGUUUCUGUUUUGUAUGAAUCAUGAUUUCCCGCGGCAGCCUAAGCCUACAAAAUAUGAAUUGCCUCAGAAAAAGCCUAUAAUUACCUCGGUUCCGAAAAGCCAAGGUAACCAUUUUCAUUCUUUGUGCUUUAUUUGUUUUGUUUUAACACUGUGUGGUAAAAACUCGUUAAAUUAAUACUCGAUUAUGUGAUAACAUCUGUUAAUUGAUACUCUACUAAAAUUUGUAGAAAUUGCAGUAGAGGGUACUGUAGGGGUGUAAACAAACCAAACUAUUCGUGAGCUACUCGAGCUCGGCUCGUAAAAUAUUUGAAUUUGAUUCGGUAAUAAUCGAGCCGAGCUCGAGCUCGAGCUAUUUGGAAGUUUUACCGAGCCGAGCUCGAGCUUCAAAUUACUCGGGUCGUAAAGUUCGCGAGCCUUAUCGAGCCUCUUUUAUUUUUUAAUUUUUUUAUUAUAAAUAUAUUUUUACAAAUAUUUUUAAUAUUUUAUUUAUAAUUUAUAUAUUUAAUCGAAUCGAACUCGAGUCGAACCGAACAUAUUUCGAGUUUUUGUCAAUAUUUGGUGACUCGAUUCGAGCUUUCGAGCCGAACUCGAGCUUAUCGAACUAUUUACGAGCCGAGCUUCGAACUUGAAAUUAAAGGCUCGGUCGAACUCGAGCUCGAACCCCGAAUUUUUCAGUCGAGUUCGAGCCGAGCCUGCCAGUGUUCGACUCGGCUCGGCUCGAUUACACCCUUAGAGGGUAGUAUGCCUAAUUAUAGUUACUUAAUAUCACCUGGAGUAUUAUUGUGUUUAUUGCUGAUUCACAUUAUGAUGAUUGGUUCCCUAUUAAAUUAAUAUGCAAUUAAAAAAAGGUUUAAAAGAAAUGGUUCAAGGAUUGCCUCAGUCAUGUCUUGCUUUAAAUUAUUGAUACAUUCAGUUUGCUUAAAGGAUUGUAACUCAUUUGUUUGAUGUAUAGAUGUUUGAGGGAUAGGGGAGCAGUGGGAAAAAUAUUUUGAUUGUAUAUUUUUGUUAUGAUUGUAGACUGUUGUUUAUCACCUAACUGAUUGAGCUUUCGUUACCCUUUUGGUGGGCAAGGUUGUGUUAUGGUUGGGAUGGUGGGAAGGCUGCACAUUGGUUGUAGGGUGUGAUGUUUCUAGUUUCUAAAUUGUAAAAACUACAAUACUAUGUUUUUGAAGUAUUAGAAUAGGUGGAGUUAACUAAGCAUGAAAAUAGUAUCUUUUAUGGUGAACUGAUCUCUGCAUACCCAUUGGUUGGUAGCAGAGAAAGGCGAUGAAAUGUGAAUUAUAUGGAGGGUUGUAUAUAAAAUGGUGGAAGACCUUAGCUGGGGCACGGGGCAAAUCUUGUCAGUGUUGGUAUGUUAUAUUGUUGCUAGAUGUUGGGGAAGAACAAGUGAGUGGUUUUUCAGGGUGAUAUUAGUCAAUGAAAUAAGUCUGCAAACACCAUUAUGUGUAAAGUUAUAGUUUCUUAGUGCUUUAGUGUAGCAUCCAUAAUUACUAUACUUGAUUUCAACACGGUAUUAUAGUGUGUAUUACAGAUGCACAUAUUAAAUUUGACUGAAAGUAUGAUUACUUUAUAGAAACUUCAGGUUAUGACAUUUUUCUUGCUUAAGUAUCUAGAUAUUAAAAAUGACUUUGACGUCUAAGUUAAUGUAGGAAUAUACUUAUAAACUAUUGUUCUGCAUACUUUAACCCCGUUUUAACAGUUCUGGGAAAAUUGAAGGAUUUCUUACCAGUUAUGUCAGAUGCAAAUAAAAAACUGCAGCUCGCUGCCAUGGUACGCUAUUGACUGUAGAUGUAAUCAGAUUGUUUGUCCAAUUACUUUCUUUCCCCACCUUAAAUUAUCAGGACCAAUAUGUUAAAUGUAGGACAAUGCGAAGGUAUUUGAUAUUGAAUCACUUGAAGACAAUGAUUCUGCACACAUUGAAAUGGUAUAUUUCUCUUACACCUAAUGAUGAUUCUAGCAACCAAUUUCUGUACUUAAUUUUGGGGGUAACCUAAUAGGAUCUGAUGCUGGGGGUAGCUGACCUCCAUACCCCUGAAGCUAUUGCUGCUGCCGAGUCUGCUAUCAAUGGUAUUCAGCCAGUUUUACCAUUUGCAACUACUAGUAAUAGUGAUGAAGACACUGAUGAAUACGAUGACAGUGAGAGUGACAGUGAGAGCACUUAUGAUGAUGAGGAUGGGGGAGAAAAUAAGCGUGACUCUGACAAACAUGAUCAGGGCAAUGAUGGUAUUGAACUAGCAUGCUCUCUUGCAAACACAAAAAGAGCCAAAUCCGUCUGCAAGGAAUCAUCUGAAGAUUUGGGAAAUGCAAAAUCAAGCAAGCGACCAAAGAUUGUCGAGCUUUCAUGAAACCUUUCCGGACAUAAAAAAAAAUGAGGUCUGAACUCUGAAGAUGUAUCUUCCAGAAUCAUGGAAUAGGAUGGAGCUAGAAGAACUAUUACCCCAAGUUCACUGAUAUCAAGCACGGAUGAAACCAGCCUGUUGGGAAGCUUGUUGGAGGACUGUAACAUGUUGAGUGUAAAAUAUAUCUGAUGGGUUAUACAUUUUGUUGCUACAAAUUUGUGGUGUUGAAUUCACAGUUCAAUUUGAUUAUUGUACCAUGUGAUAAGUUUUUUUCUCAGUUUAUCAAUUGAAUUUACUCAUGAUGAGGAUGGUAUUUUGGAAAAGCUUUAUUUCCUGAUCGGAAUGUGGUGGCGUGGUGCAGUCAAUUUGGGUGGUGUGGCACCCUGCACCACCCCUGCUUACCGCAGUAACUUCUGAAGCCAUUUAAUCUAAUUAUGUUAUGAUAAUCGAUCAACAUUAAUCACUUCAUCUAAAUACUAGCAGAAAACUGUUAAUAAAACCGAAGAAUGACCCAUAAGUAUUAAUAGUAUGUACAGCUGAAAGGUAAAUUUCUUGCUGCUGUUGGUUGUAAGUGGUCGAAAGAAAAAAUUGACAACAUGAAAUUAAAUUUAAGCGUGUACAAUUGUGUACAGCUGAAAGUGAAAACAGAUGGUCUCACCAUUCCUGUGACAAUAUAUUUAAAUGUGAUUUGUAUAUAUAACAGUUCACGGUGACCUUCCGCCCUUUUCAUGACUAUCUUGAUCGAGAUGAAUGAAAUCAUUUCAAACUACUUUCACUGGCAUUGUUGUCCAGUGAGCGGGUAUCGGAACUUGUGUGCGUCAGUAUUUAAAUUAAGGAUCUUUCUACUUUUAAUUUAGACGAAAGAGAAAUUUGUUGUGUACACAGACACAUAUCAGAAAAUCCGUUAAAUUAAAACGCUUGUUAGUGUAGGAAGUGUUUCUGUUUCAUACGUGGAUGAAUAUUAUAUGAAGGUGGAGAUUAGAGUAGUGUUCUGGCUUUGACAUACGUGUCUUCGGGAAUCAGGUCUCUACUCAAUUCCCAGUAAAACAGUGGUUACUGUCUCAAAUUCUGCAGACUGAAUCACUCUGCUUUUCACCCUUGUAUCUUCUUUAAUUCCAUUGUGCAACUCAAGAAGUUUUAGUGCCAUAAAUUAUGAGAUUUCUUAGAAAUACUCGUUUCCUUCAAGGAAAUGAAUGUCUGUCAGACCUAUACUUUUACUACCACAAUUUGCAUCGCCGUGACUGAUUAACUAAUAAGAGGUCGAGAUUUAAGUGUCGGGAAAUUACACUAGCAAGUGAAUUUUCCAGCAGAGCAGUGCUACAGGGACAAAAUUGGAUACAAAAUUUUGUACAAAAUGACACAGCACGUUCCAAACAAAACUUAACACAUGUCAUUUUGUGAAAGAUUUUGUACAUAAUUUUAUGCCCGAAGCACCAAAUUGAUUAUAUCUGUUCUGUUGUUCUUACUGCAUUAAUGUAAAAACUAGUGACUCCAAUACUAGGUAAAGUUAAAAUGAUACCUUGGCAUCUAAUAAAGCAGGCUCCUUUAUAUCAAAAGGUUGACAUUUUGUAUAAUCAAUGGACGACUAAACAAAUUAAAGAAAAAUAUAUUUAAAAAAAUUAAGGAGAGAUAUAGACAUGCUUAGCUAAUGAGCCAUGGCAACCGGAGCUGCAUAAUUGAUAGACCUCUGGUUGGGCAUUGCAAGCAUAAAAGUGUGAUCCAAGAAAUCAUUCAACGCGACCACAUGUUCCAGUACGAACCUAAGCUCAUCAGCACACGAAAACGCCAUGUUUCCAGCUCUCCUCACUGCAUACACAUAAAAUGUUAAGCACCCUUUCCUGAAUUUGAAUCUUGCCAUCUCACAACCGGUUAGACCCCGGAUGAUCUUUCGGUUUACUUCUCCCAGCGGUAUUUCCUGUGGCCAUAUCCUGUCAACUGCAUUCUUCAAAUUCUCAGACUCGAACACAAAAAUAAGUACCUUGGAUUUUUUGGUGCCUAGGCCUAGUGUAAGAGUGUGCCAUGCAUGGUGUGCUAAGAUAGUAAAAUUUGUUGGUAAAAAUGCAGAGGUGGACCGGAAACUUGUUGAUGUUCUUGAAUUCCCUGCUGGGCUUUUUUCGUCUAGGGAGAGGAGGUGCAGAAGCUGCAAUGGCCGCGCUUGGCGGAUAGUGAAUGAUUUUACAAUAAAUUGGCCUCCAAAACGGAGGCCUUUAACAUCAGAAGAGGGCUUGAAUGAGAAAUCUGAGGCAUUGGUGGCAAUCUUGGUGGUAUGAUCCUGAUUUGGAUGCUGAUAUUUUUGCUUCUUGGCCUUCUUUUUUUCUUUUUCUCCCAUGAAUUUGGUAUUUGUCUUGAGAAAUAGUGUGAGUGGUUAGAGGUGCACUGGUUAUAUUUUUGUAGGGUGGGGUUGAAUUAUAGCCUUUUAGGGAGUAUGAUAUGAUAACAAACCAAUUUUUGAGAGGUGGCUAGUGGGUUUCAUGAUGUUUGUGUUUAUGUUUCCAGCUUUGGGCUUUAAAUUUUAGGUGAAAGUUGAACCGUGAAACUAAUCAUACAAUGACUAGAAAUUGUUUUUUAAAACAUUUAUAUAAUUCAUAUGUUGUACAGUAGGUUGGAGGGUUGAAGUUAUUACAAGUCCCUACAUAUUUAUGACAUAUAUCUCAAGAUGUUGGCAGUUCAUUCACUGCAAUUUAUGAUUCUCUUCAAAAGUUUUGAUUUCUAAAAACAAAAAGAGAAAAAAAAAACAAUUUUUCUUAUCUGCAAAACCGCAUAAUUAUUAGUACAUAGUAAAUGUAUAAUGUAGUACAGUAGAACAUUUUAUAAGAGAACUCAGCUCUUGUCCUAUCUUAAGCAAAUGAAGUGUCUAUCUACCAUCUCAAUCAAAUGGAAAUUAGGAAUUUAAGAGGUUUUAUGCAUGAUAUAUAAACAAGUCUUCCCAAUAAAGUUGUUUCCUACCAAAGGAAACCCCACUGCCUUUAAUCAUUUCAUGGAAAAUUUUAUACACUGUUGGGUAGACCAGGCUGUGAUUGUCCCACAAAUGGUCCCAUAUAUAUUCUUGCAGAUUAUAUGUCCUUGGAUAUUUACAUAUAUAAUAUCUUCUUAUUGAUCAAAAUGAAAGACAUCUCCUACCAAACUUAGGUAGGACACUAAUUAGAUUGUAUCCAUUUAACAAUAAUGUGUCUGAUUAAUGCCUCCUAAUUCAAACCGGUAAGAGUUAAAUGAUAUUGAUUUGAAUAUGUAUCUUUCAACAUAUUGUCAAUUACAGGUUGCACAUGAAGGUGGUAAUAUGAUUUUAACAUUCACUAUAAAUCCAGAAGCCACGUAUAGCUUCAAAUGACUCGCUAACAAUGUUUAGCAAAAACAUUAUCUCAAACCAAACUAACAUUAGCUGCUUUAUCUCAAACCAAACUAACGUUACAUCAAACUAGCAUCAGAGUGCAGAUUACCUACAUUAUUAAUCAACAUAAAGAAAGCAGUAUUCGCCAAGAUGUCAAAAACAGUGAAUAUCCUCCGAUGACAUUCCACAAUGCUCGGGCAAAAACUUUAUUAAAUCUUAUUUCAACCCGACAUUGCCCAUACAUAUUACAACUCUUUCAAGAACUUAUUCAUGCUCAAAAAUAACACAAGACAAAAGUCAACCCCCAUGCAUCAUCACCAAUUCACCAUACACAGGUUACAUAUACAAAUCGACAAACAAAAAAGAGGGAAGAAAAAAAAAAGAAUAACAAAAGCAGAACAUAGAACAAAUUUGUAAUAGACUGAUGCUCCAUGUUCCAGCGUUAUCCAAGAAGCCCGACUAUCUCAAGAAACUGAUGCUGUAGAAAACUACACCCUUCAACAAUUUCCAAGUCCAACCAUCUUGCAAUAUCUGAUGAAAAUAGGUCAACAACCUGACACCCAAACAUGGGAUGGGGAACAAAAACAACCCCACAUAAUGUGUUUUAGCUACUUAUUUGAUGUAAAUAUGAACCCAUUAUCCCUGGUCCAUAACAACUUAUUAUCUCCCCCAAAACAAUUAAAAAAAAAAAAUCUAACAGGUCCUCACUGGUAAAAUUUAUGUAAAACGAAUUUUAUGUAUCCUAAAAAAUUAAUUUCCUCGCGGACAAAAUUUGUAAGACUCAGAGAGUCUUGUAUGAUAUGAGCCUACGCCGGUCAAGCUUCAAUAUACGACUCUUGUCACUGUUUCUUGGCUUCAGUAAUCGCUGCACUUCCAUUUCAGAUUGAAUUGAAGCUUGCAGUCUCUUUAAAUGCCCAUAACAUUGCCUGUGAUCAGACCUCGCAGUGGCCCUCAGUUUCUCAACUUUCUCUUCAAUUGGACAAUAAUGCCUCUGAUAUGGAGACUGCCACUUCGCUUGCAAAUAAGCAAGGGAUCUCCAUGGAGGGAAAGGCAUCGAGUUCUGCUUGAGAGAAGACCUUGCAGCUUCAACCAUGACUUGAAGGUAUUGUUUCAAUUUGCUCAAAGAGCCCACAUAAACAACUGGAAGGGUAUUCAAUAUCCUGUCAUAUGAGUCAACAGCUCUAGCUAUUUCAAAGUGACUCCUAAAGUCUAUAUCAAUGAUCAGACGCUCAGAGCUUCGAGCAUCAUUGUGAUUAACAACAUCAAUAUACUCAUGGUCCCCUGGAUAAAAAAGUUAAUAGAGGAAUAUCAGUAGCAACAAAAAAUGUAAUUAACUCUACAACAGUACCCGAGCUUACAAAAUUAUAAAUUACUUAGUCAAACCCAAGAAUAAACUCUACAUAUCCAACAAGUCACAAUUAAACAUGCAACAUCAUCUGAGUAAAAUCAUUUGUGCAACACCACCAUAUUGCUACCAUUACCAUAUAAGAUAGCAUGCUUCCCUUUCAUUUAUUCAUUCCUGAAUUCAUUAUCUUAUAUUUUAACUUUCUUACAUACUCUGCUAAAGCCUAGGAAUCUAGCUUCUUACAAGUUUAAAGCAAAAAAAUGGAUUCAAGAACAUACCCCCAGGAACCUUUCCACUACCCUGCCACUUAGAUGAGCACACAGCAGCAUCAUAACCAGAAAGUCUCAGAAGCUUUACAAGGGAAUAUCUGAUACAACUAGCAUUACAUGGACCUGGCUUGACAAGGUGUAGGUCUAUCUCACUGAUAGAUUGCAUCAAAGAAUCCACAACAGACAACAAGUCACGUUCAUACUGAUCCAUUGACAGCUUAUAACACUGUGGAACAAGAAAUCAAGACUAGAAGUCAGAAACUUUAGAGAUAAUCUUCAGUACAAACUUUCCUCUUCUAUUUAGAAGGAUAGAGAUAGAGGGAGAAAUUCAAAGUGCAGCCAUAAAUAUUUAGGUUGGCAAUGACAACGUAACAUAUUUAAUUAAAACCCCAAAUACAACUUAUUAGACUUAUUCUAUCUGAUGUUCAUUUUCAAUUACCUUAACAAUUUCAUCACAACAUAACCACCACAAAAUAUUUUCAAAAUGUUCAUUGUUACCUUCUUCCAUGUUAGAUUACUUCCUUUUACACUUAUAUAUGAUUUCCACUCAAUUCUAAUCAUGAAGGAAGGUAUAAUCAAUGACAAAUCAUAUAUCAAGAAAUUAUUCCAUAGACAAGACAAAGCUCGAAAAAAUUUCAAUAUAGAUCUGGUUAGUGAUCACUCUACCCUGUCAGGGACUAAGUAGUCCAAUAAACUUUAUAUGUAAUUUAGAGAGAAUAAGUACUAUAAUUUAGAAGUACAUUUACAUCUUCCCUGCACCCUAUGGCGUAUAGAUUAAGCCGCUCACUCAUCAUAUAAAAUAGCAACAACAAAUCAAUAAAAAUCAUCACUAGAAAAUAAAAGACAGUCAAUCAAAAGACUUCAAAACACAUUAAAGAAUUGUGUAGACCAUAAAAACAACUUAACAGCUGCCUCUGAAUGAAUAACGACAGUGCACACACAUUUCAUAUGUGCACUGGAAAUUUAAUAACUUAAACCAGUAAAUUAUUCUUCUAAUGUUUCAAAAAAUUAAUAAGAAUUUCAAAAAUGUAGUUUAUGUGCUUACUAUGAACCUUCAAUAUCUUAGUCCAUUCUAAAAGAGGGAGUUCUUAAUUACAAUUUGUUGUCUUCAUAAAAUACCAUCUCCUGUUACAUUGAUUACAAAUGUCUCCGUACAUCAAAUACAGACAUCUCGUAACAACGGUAAGUCACCACUUUUGGCCAAUUACAAUCAAUUUUUUCAAAUGAACGAUUUGAAGACCCUGAAACCUUGCUUCGUGCCUUUCUACGGAAAGAAAAAAGACAAGCUCAAUCUAUGCUCAAAUCAGAUUACGAAAAGCCUGUCUCGAAUUAUUAGCAUCAUAAAGCCUUACAUUUAUGCAUUACAUAAAAGUGAUAAAUCCAUAUUAUAAACACCUUAAUACUCAUCAUCAUAAUAGAAUUAUUAGUAUACCAAUUAGGUAGUCUCUUAAUUUAUUACAACACACAUGACACAACACAUACAAAAUGCACAUAAACUUACGUAUAUUAAAUUAAACUUUUAUUCAAUUAAAGUCAAUAAAAUUAGGCAUUCAUUUAAAUCGCAUUACGAAUUUACAACCAAUCAACCACCUAAUCCACAUAGACACAACAUGGCCAGUUCCGCAAAAUCAACACACGCAAAAUUCACAAAAAAAUAAACACAAAAUUCACCGAAACACGAAAUACGAAACCGAAAAAACCUUGAUGUUAUCGGCCAGGCUGGGAAGAUCGGAGAAGCCGGAAUCACUAUCACUACUAUUAUGACACCGAUGCGAAUCACCGCUCCCGUUCUCCAAAAAAUCACUAACCAUCACCGCGAGAUCAUGCUCGCUCUCGUGACUAUAACCUCCGUCACCGCCGGCCGCCAUUCUGAUAAUCGAUAAUAAUUCUCCNCCCUCCGUCACCGCCGGCCGCCAUUCUGAUAAUCGAUAAUAAUUCUCCCCGAGUCGCAUAGACUCCACAAUCCAUACUCACCGCCAAACACAGCCUUACAAAAACAAUUAUCACAACCUAAUUAACAUAAAAUCGAUAACAUAUUAAAGUUUCGAAACGAAAUGAUUGAUGAAAUAUUAAAAUUUCAUUUGUUUGGGCGCCGAGCCCUAGAAAAUAUCGAAUUGGACGAAAAAAUGCCAAUUAUUAGAUAUUAAAUAUAUACGAUUGAAUUAUUGAGUUUCGGUGAUUUGUGUGUAUAGGUGUAUGUAUAGGUUUGGUGGUGGAAAAACCCAACGCGGAGAGGAAGGAUGAAGGGGAGGGGGAAAUGGUGGGAAUAUAAAGGGGAGGGGGGGAUGGGGGAGUGAAAAGACGAAAAGGGGCUUAGGGAGUGUCGUAAUGACCAAGGAAACGUGUUGAAAUGUGACAGGGGGAUGGGGACGAGAAAGUGGAUAAAGCUGGAGAUGAACCUGGACGCUGUGAACAAACCAGGGGCUGGGCUUGGGUUUGGGCUGGAUUGGGUUAUUUACGGCGGUGAUUUUGUUGGUUUUAUUGGCAUCGUGGACGGCAACUGGUUUUUUACCGUUUCAAAUUUAUGGAGGAGUUCACUUUACUAAUUAUCUUAUCUCCUUGAUAUAUUUAUAUUAUCAUUUUCAUUGGUAAAAUUAGUUACAAAAUCAGGCGGUUUUCAAUUUUUUCCAAAAUAAAAUAAGUUCAAAUCAAGUGUUAGAACAAAUACUAAUUCGGUUUGGCUAGUGUGUGCCCAUGGGCACAUGCUAAGCGCGUAAAUUUUUGUAUUUGGGACAUUUUGAUGUGUGUGGUCGGUGUAUUUGCAGGGGGGUCCACCAUUAUCAUGAGAUAGGAGCCAAUCAAAAUGAUUUUCCGCGCUUAGCAUGUGCCCAUGGGCACACCAUAGAAAAACCGAUACUAAUUCAUAAAAUAUAUAUGUGUCAAUAGUCAAAAAAGAUAAAGCUCAAAGUAUUUUCAAAACACAAUCUUCCGUGUAUCAUGCAAAUGUUGGAUUAAAAAAAUAGUUUUAUCAGGAGAAUUUUAAUCUAUUAAAUAUAUGUUUCAUAUAUUUGGAAAUUUGAAUUUUUCAUGUUUUUUCUUUCCAAAAAUUAAUUGUUUGGUCACAGUGGAAUAAGCUUUUAAAUUCACUUAAAAAUUCUAUACAUUUCACUUUCCGAAAAAUAUAUAGGAUUAAAAUAAUUUUGGAGAUAAACACAAAUGUGGAUAUCCAUUAUCCGGUGGCGCAACUUUAUCCUGGUCAUGGAUUAAUAUAAUAAUAUAUGAAGAACGAGUUGGGGACCAAGCCAAAACAUGACGGGGUACUUGUGAGUUGUGAGCUGUAACAGGAAAAUUCAUAUGAUCAUAUGUUAUCCGUAUUCGGCUUCCUAAUAUGAUUGUGGAUCUUUCAUGUGAACAUCCGCAACUGGUAUCCUUUUUUAGUCACCUCUUUUUCAUUUCUUUAUUGCUCCAUAAUGCCAUCUCUCUCGUAAUUCUCUCUCCCAUCUCUCUCGUAACACUCUCUCUCCUCCCCCAAUGGUUUAUUCGGAUUUUCGUAAGAUUCUUUUGACAACUCAAAGUAUAAUGAUUAAUUAUUUUAAUCAUAAAAUAAUAUUUUAUAAAAAAAUUGAAAUAUAGGAAUUGAUUAAACUAACUAAAAUGUAAAUCAUAAAACAUUAUUACAAUGGUAGGCCACUUGCUUGGCCCAUGGCACAUUAUCAAAGAUACCAGUUGUACUUCCUCUCCAAAGAAAUUAUACUACUAGUUGUACUAUUAUAUUCAAGUACAUGAGAAUAAAGUUAUUACAGUACUACUAUAACUCACGAGGGCCUGAUUUUGACUCUUGACUUGAGAUGAAUGGAUGGUACUUGGUACUAGUAUGGUAAUAUAUCUUGGUCAACCAGAGCUGCUAACCUUGGAUUUAUCCUACAUGUCCUGGUCAAGGUUCAAAUGUGAUGACUUUGCAUUUUAUACAUCAGUUCCAUUACAAUCACCGUCUUGUUCUUUCUCGACUCAUAAUUAAUACACUGCCCUGCUCGUUAGUUUGCUUGGCUCAGUCGGCCAGAUGAACAAUUCAGGGGUGACAAUUUUGGUAACAGGUCGUGUUCGUGUCAACAAUCGAGUCGAUUUCGGGUCAAAUUAAAAUCAUUUAAAAUUGAAUAAAACUUGAAAUUGAAGUUUUUAGAAAUGAAAUUCUAAUUUCAGGUCAUUUCGGAUCAAUCAGGUGAUUUUCAGGUCACUUUCGGAUUUUGUCUCAGUAAAUCGGGUUACGGGUUCGUGUCGGUUUUGAGUCGUGUCUGAUAUUGCCAGUAAACCCUGUUUAAACACUCUAUUUUAUCUAUUAGUCAUGCUAAUUCAUAAAAUAUAUAUGUGUCAAUAGUCAAAAAAGAUAAAGCUCAAAGUAUUUUCAAAACACAAUCUUCCGUGUAUCAUGCAAAUGUUGGAUUAAAAAAAUAGUUUUAUCAGGAGAAUUUUAAUCUAUUAAAUAUAUGUUUCAUAUAUUUGGAAAUUUGAAUUUUUCAUGUUUUUUCUUUCCAAAAAUUAAUUGUUUGGUCACAGUGGAAUAAGCUUUUAAAUUCACUUAAAAAUUCUAUACAUUUCACUUUCCGAAAAAUAUAUAGGAUUAAAAUAAUUUUGGAGAUAAACACAAAUGUGGAUAUCCAUUAUCCGGUGGCGCAACUUUAUCCUGGUCAUGGAUUAAUAUAAUAAUAUAUGAAGAACGAGUUGGGGACCAAGCCAAAACAUGACGGGGUACUUGUGAGUUGUGAGCUGUAACAGGAAAAUUCAUAUGAUCAUAUGUUAUCCGUAUUCGGCUUCCUAAUAUGAUUGUGGAUCUUUCAUGUGAACAUCCGCAACUGGUAUCCUUUUUUAGUCACCUCUUUUUCAUUUCUUUAUUGCUCCAUAAUGCCAUCUCUCUCGUAAUUCUCUCUCCCAUCUCUCUCGUAACACUCUCUCUCCUCCCCCAAUGGUUUAUUCGGAUUUUCGUAAGAUUCUUUUGACAACUCAAAGUAUAAUGAUUAAUUAUUUUAAUCAUAAAAUAAUAUUUUAUAAAAAAAUUGAAAUAUAGGAAUUGAUUAAACUAACUAAAAUGUAAAUCAUAAAACAUUAUUACAAUGGUAGGCCACUUGCUUGGCCCAUGGCACAUUAUCAAAGAUACCAGUUGUACUUCCUCUCCAAAGAAAUUAUACUACUAGUUGUACUAUUAUAUUCAAGUACAUGAGAAUAAAGUUAUUACAGUACUACUAUAACUCACGAGGGCCUGAUUUUGACUCUUGACUUGAGAUGAAUGGAUGGUACUUGGUACUAGUAUGGUAAUAUAUCUUGGUCAACCAGAGCUGCUAACCUUGGAUUUAUCCUACAUGUCCUGGUCAAGGUUCAAAUGUGAUGACUUUGCAUUUUAUACAUCAGUUCCAUUACAAUCACCGUCUUGUUCUUUCUCGACUCAUAAUUAAUACACUGCCCUGCUCGUUAGUUUGCUUGGCUCAGUCGGCCAGAUGAACAAUUCAGGGGUGACAAUUUUGGUAACAGGUCGUGUUCGUGUCAACAAUCGAGUCGAUUUCGGGUCAAAUUAAAAUCAUUUAAAAUUGAAUAAAACUUGAAAUUGAAGUUUUUAGAAAUGAAAUUCUAAUUUCAGGUCAUUUCGGAUCAAUCAGGUGAUUUUCAGGUCACUUUCGGAUUUUGUCUCAGUAAAUCGGGUUACGGGUUCGUGUCGGUUUUGAGUCGUGUCUGAUAUUGCCAGUAAACCCUGUUUAAACACUCUAUUUUAUCUAUUAGUCAUUGCCUAUAAGAAAAACAGGCUCAAUCCCAUUUUUCAGCAAUAUCAAGUUAUUGAAGCUCACCCUUACCAACUGCACCCACAAUCUUUAUACAAUAAACCAGCUUACGCACAAUGCUAUAAGCAAAUUUUGAAAUGAAAUUGUGUGCAACAUGUAUGACAAUAUUAGUAGCCGACUGGAUCAAGAAGUUAAAGGUGGAUUUGCCUUGCAAGUAUGUGAAACCUUCACCCACUAAAAUCUUACUCUUCGGAGUGAAGCAAAAGUAAAGAAUCCCCUCCCCCCUCCUUAUUUUGUGCCCCAAACAAAAUGAAGUUUACUUUCUGAUAUCAUAGUGUCGCAAGUGGAGAGCAGGAGGAGAAAAUUACCAACAAAAAACAGCAUCUUUCUUAUUAAUCAAUUAAAGAGUCAAAUCCACAUAAUCUUGGCUCCUAAAUCAUGUCAAUACCUCCAAGCCUAACACUCUUAUUCAAUAGUUCUACAUAAACUAGUAGAAGGGCCAUCAGUCAUUACACUUGCAUCUCAAGAGCAAGAGAAGCUUUAUGAAUCAAAUAAAAACUUGAUCCAAAUCAACUUAUUGUAUAACAAAAUUGCUAUGUCAUUAGAAAAUGCAAGAGAUCAACAUUGUUACAUGGUCAUCAUUCAAGAUAAAGAAAACAUGACAGAUGAUAAAGGGUGCUCCACUGAAAUUUGAGAGUACAAAGUCACCCAAAUAUUCUAUGGGAAACUGAAUGUUCUAUUAAAUAUUUAACAACAUUACAGGACAUAACGAAUAUAUUCCCAAACCUAUCCCAGUGUACUGUCCGUUGUUUCCUCGAGUCAUAAUCAAUGGUCUUCCAUCUUUUUCAAUCCUUUCAUAUCAGUUGUCUCCACCCUGUAUUAAAAGCAAGGUCAUAACUUAUACUCGAUGCCACAAAUACACUUGCAAAUUUAAUUACUACAAGAUAUUCUAGGAAAGUAUGUUCGCCAAGGCAUGGUGCAUCUGUCCUAUGCUAUUUUUAAUCAAGCCUUAGAUUACACACAGAGCUUAGAAACAAUUUAUGUUAUCUCUGCCCAAUUAAGUUGUGUAUAUUACAGGUCCACUGGAUUUCCAAAUUUAAUGGGAAGUAAAAAAAUCAAUAAUGUGCCUAAGCCUUUAAGGGAUAGGAUUAUAUCAGAAAACAUUGACAAAUUCCGAUAUCCGCAUAUAAACAAAGUUGUUAGACCAUGUAGUGAAGUUCCACAAAAGGACUGAAGUGAACAGAGCCCAUGCUUAAAAAUCGAGCUUGACGAACUACGUUACUAAAUAGAAAAGAAAAUGUAAUAACAAAAUUAUACAGUAGCAUAAAGCAAUUAUCAAACUAGAUUCAAAAGCACCAACACAACUUAAUACAUACCAAGUCUUCAAGCAAAAUAACAAUUGAAUCCGCAGCAAUGUAACAAUGUAUUAUGGAUAAUAAGUCUACCACACGGCAAAUUAACAUAUUAAAACAAGAGAGUAAACUCAUAUUCGUCAAGCUUCAAAUUUUCCUUAUGUUUGUGAUUUUUCAUGAGCAACCCUCUCAGUGUUAGUAGGUUGGUGGGGGAUAUGUACGUACUUCCGCAUCAUCAUUAUCAUCAAAAAAUAUCCAAAAUUCAGCCUAAUUUACUUUUUUUAGCUUUAGCAACUGAAAAAAUAUUAAUCAAUUAAUAAAGACUGUAUACUACACUUGUGUAUAUAAUAUAUAGAAUAAUAGAAUGCAUUACUUUAACCAAAAAGAUACACCAACUCCUACAUCAUAGUUUCUGGAUACACUAUAAGUAGCAAGACAGCUGGGUUAGCAAUUAGGCAUCUAAGAGCAAGUCCAACACUAUGCUAAGAGGUUCCCUAAAAAUAUUAUAAAAUAAUAUGUCUUAUUGAUUUAGCACACGCUUUAGUACAUGAGCUCCAAUAGUACUCCCUAUAUCCAUUCCCUAUUAUUAUAAUAAUAGGGAAUGGAUAUAGGGAGUACUAUUGGAGCUCAUGUACUAAAGCGUGUGCUAAAUCAAUAAGACAUAUUAUUUUAUAAUAUUUUUAGGGAACCUCUUAGCAUAGUGUUGGAAUACAAUUUUAUCCCAUAUUCUCUAUUUUCGGAUUUAAGACUUGAUUUAGCACACCUAUUGGACUUGCUCUAAGGAGAUAGACCUCUAGUCAAAAGUCAACUAAGUGCAAAAUUAAAAGCUGAACAAUGAGGGCUUAUAUGGUCCAUCUGUGACUAAGAAUGAAGUUGCAGCUAUGUAGAAUAUCUGAAGUCUUUAGCCACAAAAGCUAUCACUGUGUCUUUUGGCAAGCAAACAUCGUAAGUUAACUCUGUUUCACUUACCAAUCGCAUCCUUCGGCCACUGUCCAAGUGGUCAACUAGUCACCAACCACACAACCGUGCAGUUGACAAGUAUAAAAGAAGCAAAAUGAAAUCAGGAACACACACACGCGCGCAUAUUCAUCCAAUUUCAGGUAAAUUUGGUUUAUAAUUUGUGGAAAACGAUUCAAAAGGAUUAGAAGGAGUAUCAUCAACAUAAUAACUUGAUAGCGUUGCUGUGCUAUGGAUACUCACUGUACACUCAUGGAUAUCUAAUACUAUAGUCAUAUAGGCUUACUACUAUGCAAUAUUUUACAUAGAACACAAAAAGAAGUACACAUACACGACAGGAGAAGUGAUUUGAAAAUAUAUGCACUAUCAGUUCCUAGCUAGCAGCAUAACAUAUGCACUAAUUUAGUUUGUAGUUACCAUUUUAACACACAAAUAUAUAAGUAGGCAGAUUGUUUUGGUUGAGCAGAGCCUGGUAAGAAAACUAGACCAACUGCUUAGUUCUAUAUUCAAUAGUUAACUACCACUUUGCUUGAAUCACAUGAAGGAUUUCAGGUAAUUCGGGUAAAUUCACGAGGUUCAUUAGAAUUAAUAACACUUGGUCCAGUCUUGUUGCAAGGAACUUAAAGUCCUCUCAGAUAUACUCAAAAGGUACUAAAAGCUCAGUCACAACACAGUAUUGUCACUUGGUCAAAUAAAAUUAUUUGUUGCAUUUGAUUCUCCCCUAAAAAACUAAACAGAUUUAAGAAUAUGAUUGAUCAAACACAAAGAGAGCGUAAAAGUACUAAAGAAAUUUAAGUAAUCAAUUUCAACUGAUAAAUAUUUUUAUAGAGCUUAUCAUAUUUGAUCACAUCUAAACUAUUAGGUAAAAAAAAAAACUAUCUGACCAAAAAUGGCUCAAAAAUAUUGUGUAUGUAGAGGAUUCAGUAAAGUCUCCUAUAAACAUGGGUCCUGCUCCCCAGCAUCAGCAUGUGUAUGCUGGGGAGCGCUUAUCUGCCAUACAAAUUUCAGACCGUUGGAUGAGAUACCAACAGCCAGGAUUAUAACAAAAUUUCACCUCAUCCAGCGCUUUUUAACCGCUAGACACCUAAAUCAGACAAUUUGGGGAGCUGUUUUUUUCACUAAACCAGACAAUUUUCUGGAAAAUAUUAUGAAACUGCCAUUAGUAUGUUCAGCGCAAAAAAGCACUUAACGUCCAAAAUUUGAAAAAAGAAAAUACUCGGAUGUCCAGUACUUUUUAAUCACGGAGCAUAUUGAACAUAUUAAAAACAUUAACACAUCCAGUGGAAAAUAACCGCUUGAUGCUAGGUGUUCAGCAGUAAAUUGUGCUGGACGUAGCUUAAAAAUCUUAUAAUCCUGGAAUGUGUAUGGCAGAUAGGAGCUCCCCAGCAUACACCUGCUGGGGACCAGGAGUCCAGGACCCUAUAAUCAUUCGCUGGAAGUCUUUAUUAAAGAUGUGAAAUAUCAGAAGACAAAGUGAUAAGGUGGAAUUUACUGGUCAGUAAACUAUAUAGUAUUGGACAAAUUUAUUAUCCAAGAAGAAGAACAAGAAGCAUUUCUCUACAAUGUACUUGUAUGAAACACAUAACAGCCCAUUUGAUACUUACGUAGUUCCAUAUAAGACAAUCUUUUGAACUUUUGUUGUCUCGCAUUCAGAUUGGUUAUCCUCGAUAAAAAUUGUCAAGCUGAUACAAUGUCCAGAGACAAAACAGUGAGAUCAUUUCAAAAGAUAAGUAAAAAACAUUGAAAGGCUAAAAUGCAAUUCUGAAACUUACCUGCGAACAUUCUGAAACUUGACAUACUUUAAAGCAACUGGUUUUCCCUAUAUGUGCAAGUAUACAAUAUUUGUAUGUUAGCAUUUACAACAUUGUCUGAAACAUGCAAUGGCUUUCACAAAGGAUUCAUCAUAUCACUGGAAACUCUUACCUUGUUAUCUUCAGAGGAUAAUACUAUGGUGUCAUUUGGAGCAUAGUCGUUAACAUUACUGCAAAUUACAUCAUUUUGGCAUGGUAAUAAGGUGCACGAAAAUUAAACUAUGACAUAAUUACUGCGUGCAACUACAAAUCCACAAAUCAGUUACCUGAAUCCCAUAUGCUCCCUAUUUGUAUACAGUUUAACUGUUUUUGGACCUGGAAAUUGACACAAAGUUCCAAAUUUGAAGACAAAUUCCAGUAUGAAGGUAUAUGCACCCAUGGUUCCAAGUUAUCACAAUUAAUUAGUGGAGACCCUUUUACGCAGUUUCUAUUAUACACAAAAGGGAUGCACAAACACAGUAAAUCACUGCAACAAUCCAGGAAGUAACUGGCAAUCCCGGUGGGUUGUGACAUAGGGGAAAAAUGUAUUGACAUCUAAUCAAUGUGCAUGAUUAUGAAGUUUUAGCAAUUAGCAUACUAUCACUUAUUACCAUAUUCACAGAGUAGGCACAAUUUAAAAAAACUAAAGCUAGAAUAUGUAAGACUAACUAGAAUAAAUGCUAAAAAGCAAACAAUUGUAAGAAACAAGUUCACGAAAAUAUAUACCUUCCUCGUCAAGUCCUUGAAUGGCAAUUGAGUGUAGUUUGAUGACUUGGGUGAAAGGUAUAUAAAUCAAAAGUUGUUCAUCUGCAUCACUCUCUAAAUUCAACCCAUCAUCUUCUCUAUAACCCUAAUGCACAAAAAAAAAAAAAGCAAAAGCCAGUUUAAGUCACUGAUACAAUUACUAAAUGGCUGAAGAAAAAACUGCCAGAAUAUUCGAUAUUUUCCAAUAAAUAUCAUUUAAAAUUCUUAUGUAAAGGUUUCUACUUCCAAACAAGAAAAUGUAUAGAAGCAAGGUAUUCCCAGCUUCUUGAUAAUUUCCACUACCACAAAGUCUGCAUACAGAACGAUUUUGUCUCUCACAGUUAUGAACAUACACUUGAACUCAAAUAUUUUUCUCAAUACAGAUUGAACCUAUGGUAACAAAAGCGUGUCAAAUGCUGCCUUUAUUCUUUCAGUACAAAUUUCACCCACAUGAAUCAUGGACGUUAAUUACGUUGCAGCAGUGAAUGAUGAAAUUUUCCGCAACUCUGCAAAACCACUGUUUUCUAAUCAUUCAAAUUGUGCACUAUAUGGAACACCGCCCCACACUUCUACUAAAAAAAGAUCAUUUAGUUUUCAACCCCCUAGCUUACAUGAAUAGCCCAUUUCUAAGAUCAAUUCGAGUUUGCUGGAAGGCAUCGCAUCACCGUAAAGAUGACAAGCUACUUCCUUAAGGUUUCCAAUUGAGUUAUUUGGUGUUUCCUUUGAUGCUUGAACAAUAGCAGUAUAUAUUAAUUAAUUUAAUAAUUUUAGAUCCAUAUUAGAUUACAAGGAAAAAGGAGGUGUUUUUCUUUGUAGAAAUAUAGCAGAUUACUUUUAAAAACUAGAGUACUAGACCAUAAUGAUUAGCUUUUUUUUAGUUAGGAAAGUACUUAGCUUUGAAACAAUAAGAUCUCUGUAUAAAUUCUUGUAAUGCUGAAAACAGUUCUACCUAAAGAUGAUUGACGAUUAUCACUUAUUUGAUGGAAUUUUUUGAAACUACGAGGCUCGCCUCCAUCAAUUCCCAGCAGAGGUAGAUUUUAUCCCUUAAAUAUGUACCACAAGUUUUUAUGACUUCACAAAGUUAUAUAUCAUAUUCAUCACUGAGUUCAAAAAUACUCAUAUCAAGAACAAGAAAACCAUUAACAAGUUGCUCUAAUUUGCAUUGUAAACUAGUACUAUUAUACUAUGUUCAGCAUAUAUAUUAACUAGUAUGAUCGCCCCAAUCCCAAAACACGAGUAUUAUGCAAUCAAAAAACCACCAAAUGUAUCACACAAUAAAACCCCUUGCGAGAAACAUAUACAACCAAAUACAAGUCAAUACAAGUAAAAUUGGAAACAAAUUUUAAAAAAAAAGGGGGGGGGGGGGGGGGGGGGGNNNNNNNNNNNNNNNNNNNNNNNNNNNNNNNNNNNNNNNNNNNNNNNNNNNNNNNNNNNNNNNNNNNNNNNNNNNNNNNNNNNNNNNNNNNNNNNNNNNNNNNNNNNNNNNNNNNNNNNNNNNNNNNNNNNNNNNNNNNNNNNNNNNNNNNNNNNNNNNNNNNNNNNNNNNNNNNNNNNNNNNNNNNNNNNNNNNNNNNNNNNNNNNNNNNNNNNNNNNNNNNNNNNNNNNNCGGUAUAUAUGAAGACCUUUUUGAGAGCAUUGGCAUAAGCCUGGGUUGAAGUUUGAUUCAGACAUUCGACUCCAGUCCAAUCUAUGAAGUCCACUAGAUCAACCUAAGACGGCAACAGAAAUCAGACAUAUAUACAUACAUACACAUAUCGAUACAGAUGUAAUAACGAAAAGACAGAAGAAAACAUACUUGGUUUCUUUGAAUUGCAGAGGCGGGUUCUCCAGACAUUGUGAAACGGACCAAAGAGAAAACCCCUCUUCUGUGUGUACGAGAGUCAAACGUAUGUAUGUAUCUUGUGUAUAAAGUCCGAGGUAGUGGGCGCGGCGCGGGUGUCUCACGCAAGGAAUAACUCAAUUGGAUUAUUGUGCCUGUUUGUCGAUCAAUUUUUUUAAAAAAUAAGUUUUUACUUUAAAAAAAAUUAUUUUUUAAAUAUAAAUGUCAAGAAGUUGUUUUAUAUUUAUUAUACUUAGUAAAAAAGUAAGGACUUAUUUCAGAAAAAAUAGAGAUUACUCACAUCAUAUUUUAUUAAAGAUUAGUAAAACAAAAGUUUUAUUUUGUUAAAGUAAACGUUUCAAAACAAAAGUUCUAUUUUGUUAAAGAUUUACUAAUUUCGUGGGAUAUCACACAUGAACUUGCGUGUUUUAUGAGAAUAUAAUUAUUACUAGUAUUAAUCUGUCACUGGUGAGUGCAUCUUCUCGAUGAGGUUCAUAAGAAUUAAGCACAUAUGAGAAGUGAUAAGUUGAAAUUGCAUUCAUGAAGAAUACGCAAAGGCACGCUAGUUUUUAAUACAAGAUGAGAUAUAUUAACCUGCAUCAACUUAAUAUUUAGAGUGACAACUUCAAUUUUCGCUUUAUCUUUUGAAAAUGAACUUGGACGUACUUUCUAGAAUUGGGGUUUUGCAAAUAUAACGUUCAAGCAAUCUACAGGUGUGGGAGUGAUCAUUAAGAAUGCAGAUGGCCCGUAUAGUUGUCAUGGUCUUAGGAAUCCUAGGGCCUCUGAAUCAGAGGACCAAUGAAAUAUAGGCAAUUGUACUUGGCACUAUUUAAGAAUGAGAAAACGGACUGAGCUGGAGACAGAAUCAACUGAGGCACUGCGUGAAUGAGAGGAUUGGCGAUGUUUAUUGAUGUUUACCAUUAUUGAUUGGUUGAGUAACUGAACCAGCGCCUUAAAGACAACUACCUAGUGCUUCAUAAGAAAGUUAUCGCGGCUAGUCAGAAUUGCUUGGCUAAAUACUUGGCUAAGAACAUUGUAGAAAUCCGAAAAAGUCCUCGAAGGAUCUUCGGGCCAUUUGAUCGAGUUAGGGGUAUUUGGUACCUUGAUAUGUUUCUAGGUUUUGUGAGGGAUGGAUUCAUGAAGAUGAUUAAAAAGAACAACAGUAACAGCAAAAUGAGUGGGUCAUGCAAGCGGACGCGCGCAGUAGUCUCAAGCACCAAUGAUUCAUCGGUUGGCAACGAAAACAACAAUCUGAUCAUCAUUGACUAAUGUGCUAGUUCGAUCACCCUGCUCGUGUAUUUAAACCAUGCCCCUCUCUCAGUUCAGGUAACUAAUUUUAGUUAUAUUAUGUUUUAGAUUAGUAUGUUCUCAGCAUUAGUUCUUAACCUGCUUUGAAUAGCAUUUAUAUGUGAUGAUGUUGGUGCAUGGAAGUUUGCCUUGGAGACCAUGAGGUUCCCAGGUCUUCUUCCAUUUUGAUUCCAAUGAAAAUGUUUAUCCGGAAAUGAAUCUGUUAGAAUUUUUAAGAAUUAAGUAAUUUGCCUUAAACAUUAGUUGGAAAUGAAGGAUGUUCAGUUUUGAGUUGGUAGUAAAGCUCUGUAUUGAUUUGCAUACUAAUGAUAUUGCACGCUCACACCCACCACUCACUCUUCUCUACUUCGAUACACAGUACCUGGUAUAAUAUUUGAUCAAAAAAGUGUUUGAGGCCAUAAUAUUUAAAAUGAGCGAAUGGUCUGUGUGAAGUAACCAGGUUGUUACAAUUGUUGCAAAAUUAUUUGCAGAUGUUGUGACAGAGAGUCUGUCUCACAUGAGUCCAUGUUGGGUUCUUUUCGUGAGUUAUGAUCGAGGAGUUCAUUUGUCCAAAAUUUGAUGGUCAUAUCAUUUUUUAAAAUUGGAUGGUAAGCGUGUAUAAUGACCCAAACUUCAAAGACAUGAAGGUAAUUAAGCCUAAAUUUCAAAGGCGACAACCAACAUUGAUAAGUCCAUCUUCUAAUAAUUUUUACUUUCUCUGUCAAUUUUUUUUAUAUAUCAAUAUUAAAACAUUGAAUUAUAUUUGAAUAUGGUUAACAGUUUAUCGAAAAUGCUCAAUUUUAUACGAAAUUAUAACAACACGUCGCACUACGAAGUAAUAAAUCAGAUGUCAAAAUGAUUUUUUUUCCACAUAUAGCAUAUUUGAUCUAUAAUAUCAUCAUGUUCUAGUGUGUACUAUUCUAUUUUUGACUUCUCGAAUAUCUUUCUAUUUUUGUCUUGUGAAUAAUACCUUUAUAUUUUAAAUUUAAUGUAUAUCAUAUCAUUAUCUUACUUAAAUAUUAAAUAAAUGUUGAAAUUUAAUUAAAUCAUCUAAUUUUUCAUUUAAACUUCAUUUUUUUCACAUUUUCAACACUCGUAACAAGUUACUACUUAAAAUAUCUUAGAACAAAACGUAGUUUAAAACUUCUGUAUAGUGUUUUCAAAAUAUUCUUUUUAAAUUCCUGUACAAUCAACUUUUUCAACUAACAUCAUUACUUUUUGAUAUAUGUGGUACUUUAUAAUUUAAUUUUAAAUUAACUUUUGUGUAACAUAAAAGUAAAUAUAAAAAUACCAUUCAUAAGUAGUCGAAAAUAUGAAAUGCACCACGCAUAAAAUAAAAAAUAAAAAGGUAUUUAACUAAAUAGAUAUAUAUUUUUUAUAUUAUUUUCAUCAUUUAUUUGAAAUUAAAUAAUUAAUUUAACUAAGUAUGGCAUAUUAUUCUUAAUAUGAUAAUUUUUAUAGAUUAAAUAAAUUAAAACGCUUAUCUUGAUGGAUUUUAUUAUAAACGUGAUUAUUAAUUUUUAGAUUGAUAAGAUGAAUAUGUUCGUCUUGAUUCUUGAGUUUUUUUGUGAUUUUUUAUGGACCUAUAUGAUUUGACAGUUUGUCCAAUUUGAAUUAUGACUAGUUAUUACUCCCUCCGUCCUCCUGAGAUAUAUACAUUGGGGGACGGGGACGCGGCACGGACUUUAAUGCUCCCGUAAAGUAUAGUUCCAUAACUUAUUUUUAGAAUUUUUUUUUCUGAAUAAAAAUUUGAAUGUUAUAUUUUUAUACAGAAAAAGAAAAUUUUAAAAAUAAGUUAUAGAACUAUAUUUUAUAAGAGCAUUGAAGUGCGUGUCGAGCAAUGAAAAAGAAACGUAUACAAUUAAAUGGGACAGAGGGAGUAUCAACGUAUAGAUAAUGUUAUACUUUCUCCGUUAAUUAGUCAUUAUAUUGGGGGUGUUUGGCAUUGAGAAGCAGAGCUUCUUUUCCAUGAAAAAGCAACUUCUACAUUUUGAUGACUGUUUGGGUAAAAAAGUAAUGCCAAAUUUUCUUGAGCUUUUGCAGAAGAAUUGAGAAGUUAGGAAGUCUAACUUCUCUUCCCCGGCUUUCAGCUUCUUUUUUUUAACUUGUAUGUAAAACAAAAACUUACCUACUUGCAUGUAAAACAAAACUCACCUAUCUUUUCGUUAGUAAUUUAUUUUUUGAUAUGUACUUUAAAUAAUGAUUUUUAUAUUAAUAAUAGUUUGAUAUUUUUAAAUAGAAAAAAAAAAUUAUGUUUAAAAUUAUCAAAUCUACCAUUUAUUAUAAGUCAAGUUAUCCAAACACCUAAGUACUUAAAAUUCACGGCAUCCAAACACCUCUAAUCCGAACCAACUUCUCACUCCUCUUCCACUUCUUUACUUUUAAGUAGAAGUCACUUCUUUUAAGCUUAGCCAAACGGCCCCAUUGUCCAUUAAUUUUGCAUUACACUUCAUGCGUUGUGUUAUGCCUAGGGCUGUUAACGAAACGAAUUCGAAACGAAUAUCUUAAUUUUCGUAUUUGUAUACGGUUUAAAUACAUAUAUUCGGAUUUGUAUUCGUUUAUUAUCCGAAUAAUUAUUUGUUUUUUAUUCGGAUUCGGUUAGAUUCACUAACUAUUCAUAUUCGUUUAAGGUACUCUUUUAAAACAAAAUGGAACUAAAUAACUGAAGUGCUAGCUCGUGACAAAAGUAAUAAACUCUUAUACUACACCAAUUCAAGCAAACUAUAAAAUACUAAUUACACAGACUACAAUCAUCCAAUUCAAAGAAACAAAAUUCAAUUACAACCAAAAUGUAAAAUUUAAUAUGUCUUAAUUAACUCUAAGAUCAUGCAACAGAACUUUCACUGGCUCAACCUUUUAGUAUAUGGACGGGUAGGGGUGAGCAAAAAUUCUCCAAACCGACCGAAACCGGCCGAUCCAGUCCGCUCAAACCGAAUUUAACGGUUUAAUAACGGUUUGGUUUGGUUAUGGUUUCAAAUUAUAAAAACCGAAUUAUUUCGGUUUGGUUUCGGUUUUUACCUCCAAACCAACCGAUAAAUCCGAACCGAACCGAUUAACCGAAUGUGUAAAUUUAAAUAUUAUAAAUAUACAUGUACGAAUAAUGUAUUAUUAAUAAUAAAAUUAUAAUCUACGAAAAAAUGUAAAAUCUUAAAAAUAUAAAAGGUAUCCUAGUAAAGAUUUUUUUUAAAAAUAUUAUUUAUUCUAUUUUAUGAUAUUAAUUUCGAUGUAUGUAUAAUAUUUCCAUUCUUUUUAUUUAUAUUUUUGUAAAAAUAUACGAAUCACAUUUUUUUUAAUUUUCUUCCGUCUCUUUUUAUCUAUCAAGCUAAUAUAUUCUUGUAUCCUCUUUAAAUAUGAUUAAAUAGAAAAUAUAAAUUGAAUUUUUCAUUCCUUAUUUUCAAGUUAAAAUUUAAUUUUGUUGCUAACUUUGUUUUACAUAUAAAAAACGGUUUAAACCGAAACCAAACCGAACCGAACCGUUUUAAACAGAUUGGUUUGGUCUGGAUUUUAAACAUAAUGGUUUGGUUUUGGAUUGAGAUUUUGAAAAACCGAUUAUUUCGGUUUGGUUUGGUUUAGACCUUUCAAACCGCCCAAACCGCCCGAUGCUCACCACUAUGGACGGGGCUGGUUUAAUUUAAUAUCUGGUCUCAAAAUAAUCUAUAAUCCUAUUAAAUAAGAAAUAUAAUAUUUUUAUAUAAUAUAUAUAUAUAUAUAAUAUUUAAUUUCCGAAUAAUUAAGUGAAUAGCGAAUACGAAUAUUUAUCUACUCGAAUUUGUAUUUGUUAAUGAACCGAAUAUUUUUUAAGAUUUGAAUUCGUAUUUGUAUUUGUUAAUAAACGAACACGAAUAAUACUAAACGAAUUCGAAUACCGAACAUUUCAUUAAAUAUUCGUUUCGUUAACAGCUCUAACUUAUGCCCUGAAUUUUACAAACGUGACUUGAAAUAUUAAUUACAAGAAUUUGGAUAAUGGAUGGUAUAAAAAUAAAUAUUAAUAUAUUUAUUUUUGUUACAUUUAUUUUUCCUAACAUGGCUGCACUUGAUAAACAAAAAAGAAUGGGCCUGAAAUACAAACUGGACCACGAUAAUUAUUUUGGACUACGGCUAGAGGAUCUUCAGCCCACAUGGAGUCAUAAAGCAGUUGAAAGUUGUUGGAUAAGUCAUGGAAUGGAUCGUAACUCGUAACAAUCUGCAGGAUUACAGAAGUACAAUUCAAAUAAGAAAAUGAGAUAAGGAGGCACCAAAAUUGGAGGCGGUUACAUGCACGUGGGUUGGUGGAGCAAAAGUAGGAAGGCUGGAGUUGUGGAAUAAACAGGAUUCUCAGCAAAAUAAUCACGAAAUAGGCGCUCAUGCCCCCUGGUUAUGAUUUCGACGAAUGAACUUGCGAUGUCGCCUGUUUUCAGAAUACUGUCUAUAAGCCCUUUCACUUUCAACAUCUGUAUCAUCUUUUGAAGAAAAGUAUGCUAAGAUUUUGCGAAACAAUGAUCUAACCAUUUAAUGAUAUGUGAUACCACAAAGAAAUUUCUACAAAUAUUUGAAAGAAUUACAAGUUAUUGAUGAACUGAUGAAAGAAAGGAGUAUAUGAGAUAGGAAUAUAUAUUACCGUUAUACAAAUUUAAAUUUUGUAAAAGAAGGAUACAUAAAAAAAAUAUUAAAAAAACAAUAUAGAGAUGGAGAUAAGGACUGGAAUGUGAUAACGUCUUAACAGAAAACUAAACUUUUGGGAUAAUUAUGGGAAAUUACUAUAUAUAGUAAGUUUUUGGGGUUAAAGAAAGAGACCCCAAUGAGAAUGCUCUAAAUAGUAGGUGUGUAAACGAAGAGAGGACAACAAUUCUUACUCGAAUUACAAUUUCAUCUUCAUCUCCUGUAAACCAUUCAUAUAGUGAAUAUUUUCUUUCGGCUGGGUAACCAAUCCCAUCCGCGGUUUUUACCCUACAUCGGGGGUUUUCCGCGUCACCAAAUAUUUGUCUCGUUUUAUUCAUUUUAUCGCUCAAAUUAAUUCACAUAUCAUUCACCCGUAUAAAAUUUCGUUAAAACACGUUGAUACACUUUAUUCUUCAUUUAUUGAUACUCAUGAAGUUAUUUGUUGGUCUUCCUUUCACUUGUGAGAAUUUCAUGCUUUAGAAUAGUUAUCAUUUGACUAAAUGUUCUUUCCAUCCGGACCGUUUCAUUCAUGAUUUAUUUGACAAUCAACUGUUAUUUUAAGAUCACUUCACUUGUUACGAAAUCUUAUCCGUUAAUAUAUAAAAUUUACUUUAAAAUAUUUUUAUAAUACUAUCAACUAGUAAGUAACCUAAUCAACAAAUACUCUUAUGAAUAUCACUCGCUGACUGGUUAAAAAUAAUUAUAAUUUAAUGCUAAUUAGUGAAUUAUUAUCAUUAAACCCAAGAUUAAGAUUGGCGAUUUCGGGUUUGGGACUGGGUACGGGUCGGGUUAACAGGCGCAAGUCGGUUUUUUAGCCAACUCGAACCUGACCGGAAUUUUAAUGGGUCACAAUAUUCAACUUGAACCGGACCCGAUCCAUAAUAUUUAUUAAUAAGAAUAUUUUUCAAAUAAUAAAUAAUUGUCAUUUUAAUUCAAGUAAAUUAAUUUCUAAUAAAUCAAAUAGUAUUUUAUUGAAUUUAACUAAUAGAUAUUAAAAAAUAAUAUAAAUAUAUGUAUUUUAUAUAAAUAUGUAGGAUUUUUAAAAAAUGUAUUCAUUUUCGGGUUAUUUCGGGUUAAUUUCGGGUAACCCGAUUUCAACCCGAAAAUGACCCGUUUUUUCUGGUUGAUUUUGGGUCAACCUGAAUAAUCAACCCGAAUUCUACCCAAAUCCGAAAAACUCCAACCUGAAUUCGUAUUUUAUGGGUCAAAUUCGUGUCGGUUACCAUAUUGCCACCCCUACUUAACAUAUAUUCCCAACAUAAUCCAUAUGAUAUAUAUGAUGCCCAUGAACCUAUAACCUCAUACCUUUUUAAAAAAAAAUAAUUGAUCACUUAGCAUAUACAAGUAUUUGUGUUUUGAACACACAAAAAAUCAUAAUAUACUACACCACUUUAUUAUUAUACCCUGACAUUGUGACCAACCAAAAAAAAAUAGAAAUUCAUAUAAAAAAUAUAAAUAUCUAGUUGACCUAUAUUUCUUACCUUUGCCUCACUUUUUAUUGAUUUGUUUUAUUUACGUACUUCAUUUUUAGGAUUGAAAAUUUUGCAUGACACUAAAGUUAACAAGAAGAUGUAUUAUUUGAGUUUGCGAUUUUAAAAUUCAAGCCCGUAUGAGUCAUUUAAAACUAAACCACAAAAUUAAUUCAUUUUUGUGUCAAAUCGAUCUAAAUCUAAAUAAUAUAAUAUUAAAUGUUAUAUGUAUAUGUUAUAGCGUUCUAUUUGUAAGCCCAUCCCACGGUCCAGCCCAAAUAUAUUGGCAAAAACCCUAUUUUUCUUCGAUCAUAUCUAUAUAUAUCCGCCGCCUCAUCAUUUUUAUGUGUUCUUAUAUCUUAACAUCUCUAUGAUUGUUUUCUCAGUUUUUUUCUUUUCAAACAUCUCUUCUCCAGUCUAUAUCAAGUGCUCAUAUCCAUGGUGAUACUACAUAUGCACACAAACAAAAUACUUAGCGUCACAAUAAUUUUGAUAUAUCGGUAAGUUACUGCUUUGACUUUUGAAACAAUAAUAUAUGAAUACAUACAUAUGCUGAUAUAGUAAAAAAUGUGCUAGAUCUAUCAACAACGUUGAAUACUUACUCAAUUUUCAUUGAAAUAAAAGCAAGUUUCAGAUUUGUUAUUUUAAAAUUGAAACGAAACAAGUUUGUGUAUGAUCCAAUUCGCAACACGCGCACACACGCACAUUGUUUGAAAUUAUUUUAUUUUAAAUUUUAGAUAUGUUUAGAUUUUAGUAAGUUACGGUUUUAAAUGAGUUUUGGGUAUUUAAUCUAGAAUUAAAUUGAAUCACAUUAUAACCCUGUAGUUUGAUAAUUAUUUAAAUUUUAAAUUUUUAUUAAAUCAAUUUCGGUUAAGAUUUUUAGUUUGCCGACAAUAAAAGAUUAGUUGACAACUCCAACAUAACACAUAACACAUAAGUUUAACCAUAUUUGAUAUCAUUUUUCUCCUCCAAAAUAUUUAUUGGCAUUAUUUUUACUAUCUCCAAUUUGGUUUAUGAAAUUUAUAUGAUUUAUAUACAUGAAUCUCUUGCAGUAAACAAUGAAGAAAGUGCUCCACGAAAGAUUAAAGUCUUCAUUUGAUUGGAUACAAUUUGCGGGUAAUAUUUUUUUCCUUUCAUAUACAUUUGUAUGACUUAUGAGUUAUUCAAAAUAUACGAUUUAGCAACCAAAUGCAAUUGGAUGGAACCAAGACCAGCCUUUGAUGCAAUUAAAAUUGACUUCGAUUUUUUUCAAAAAAAAAAUUGUAUUAGGGGGUUACAAUUAUAUAAGAAAAAUGGAAAAUAGUUUUUUAUUUACAAACCAUAUUUUUGUUAAUAUUUUAAUAAAAUCACAAAAAAAAUCUAAAAAUAAUAUUUUUGAUAAUUCUUCUUGUUUAUUCUCUUUAUAAUAGUUCAGAACAUUAUAUAAGUCAUAUAUAUAAUCAUAUUUUAAUUAUUUAUUAAUUCAUCUAAAUUUUAUAUAUUUAUAUCCAAAAUUGAUUUGUUACAUUUUCAUUAACAGGCAUUCGACCAAUAAUGAACCAAUUCUAGCCAGAUUUAGACAAUCCAUGAUACAUAACCUUUUAGUUUUAGUUACUCCGGGACCUAAAAAUGAUGUCAUUCACUAGAAAACCCUAGUGGACUCCAAGCAGUGCUGAUGAUGCAACAAGCGAGCUAGAUGAGAUGGAACAUCUAGCACAGAUUCUGAAUCUAUUUGAACCAACAAGACGUGAAGCUUCACGCCAUGUAGCUAGAGAAUUACUGAACCCCACACAAUUGCUUGAUAUAUUCAUGAACAAGAUAGUAUAAUGCUAUACAGGUGAAGCUUCGCGACAUAUAACAUUAUACUUACCAUGUUCAUAAUAUAUCAAGCAACUGUCUAGGGUUCAGUAAAUCUCUGGCUACAUAGCGUAAAUUUUCACGUGUAUAGGCUAAUCUUGUUGGUUCAAAUAGAUUUGGAAUCUGUGCUAGGUAUUCCAUCUCAUCUAGCUCGCUAGUUGCACCAUCAGCACAACCUGGAGUCGACAAGAGUUUUCUAGUGAAUGACAUCACUUUUAACUCCUCCGUAGCUGAAACUACAAGGUUCUGUAUCAUAGACUGUCUAAACCUGACUGGAGUUGGUUCAUUAUUGGCCGAGUCGAGGACAGCUCCUAAAGUAGUAAUACGAGUGACUGCAUCCCCUAGACACUUGGAGAAAGACAACAUAUAUCAAUUGGGAGAUUGAGACUGAAGUAACAUCACAAUGAUUUUAAUUAUCUUUCUUUCAUCUUCUUAAUUUUAUUGUUGUGUUAAUCUUUGAGAUGUUGAACUAAUUGUUAUUCAAGGCCUUGAUGGAUUCUUGAGUUAUAUAUAUAUAUAUAGGCUCAUGAUCAAAUAGAAACCACUUUUAAAAUAAAAACUAGAAACCAAUACAAGUUAGUGAUAUCCUCAGUACAAUUUAGUGAUAUUCUCUUUACGAUUUAGUGAUAUGUGUUGCACGAAUUAGUGAAAACUUGCGGAAACUGCCCAGAAUUUCUGAAUCUGUUCUAGUUGCCGAUUCAGGUGGUGGUUGCGGUGGUGGAGAUAAUGGAGGUGAAGGUGGAGAUGGAGGUGGUGGACAUGGAAGGAGCCUUUAGCUUUGUCCGGCAGAUUUUUGGCAAAGAUCUGGAAUUUAAAUCGGUAUUAAGCUAGAUAUACGGUACUGUAGGUGAGGAAGACCGAGGUGGAGGUGAGGACGAAGGUGCAGGUGGAGGUGGAGGUGGGGGUGGAAUGGAAGGGGCGGUGGAGGCCGGAGGGGGGUUGGAUUUGGUGGUGAUAUAAAUAAUGGAGGCCGACAUGGAGGUGGUGGCUAUGGAGGGUCGGGCGGCAUGGAGGUGGAGAGAGUAGCAGAGACUUGGCGGGGGUGGUAGGGUGAAGCUGCCGGAAGCGGGGUGGAGGGUUGGUGGGUUGGAGAAGAAGAAGGCAGAAAAUGGGGUUGUUUGAGAAUUUAGUGAUAUUCUCUUAGAAAUUUAGUGAUAGUUUCUAGUUUCUAGAAUAAGGAGGUUUCUAUUGGAGUAAAGCUCUCUCUCUCUCUAUAUAUAUAUAUAAGUGUGCGUUCUUCUUGAUUCUUAGAUUUAGUGUUCAUGUAAUUGAUUAUGUUGGUUUGUGUAUAAUGCUUCUGAAGGAGUAAUUAACUUUGAGAUUGAUUCAAUAAUCUUGGUGAUGCUUGGAAGAGACAACCUUAAUUAGACCCGAUCAAUUUAACUUGGGAUUGACAUAUUGUUAGUUUGUGUUCAUGAUAGGAAUGUACUUGAUCACCCCCAAAUAGUCAAAUUAGGAUCAUGUAUUCAUGCUGCUCAUGGAUUUAACACGUGAGAUACAGAAGGUCCUUGUGAAUAUAUGUGUACCUUAGACUAGCGGUUUGAACAUGAAAAUAGAGAUGAUGGAAGGUGCUUGUAAACUCAAGAUGGAGUUAAAGGUCUAGAUUUAAAUCUUGUUUCAUUCUUAGUCUUGUGUGUAUUUUCAUAUUAGUACUCCCUCUGUCCCAGUCAUUUGUAUACAAAUGGCUGGGACACGGAGACCAAGAAAUUGUUUAAGAAAUUAGUAAAGUUAGAUGAAAAGUGGGUAUAGUGGUGGGACCCAUGUAUAUUUAAUAAUAGAUUUGAGAUAGUGGAGAAAAGUAGUGGGUGUAAUAGUGUUUAUAUUAUUAUAGAAUGAAGAUAGUGGAGGAAAGUAGUUGGUGUAAUGAUAUUUUAUAGUAUUAUAAAAGUUUACUAUUUUUGGAAUGUAUACAAUUGAUGGGACGUCUCAAAAAGGAAACUGUAUACAAUUCACUGGGACGGAGGGAGUAGUAGUUUAUGAUAAAAUUUUCAUCAUAGUUUAUUUAACUUGGAUUGGGCGAACGAUAGUGAAUGGUAAUUAGCACUUAGCAGCUCAAAUUAAACUCGUGAGAAUGAAUUAAUAUACUACUUGUUGGGAUAAGUACACUUGAGUUAAAGUUGCAAAAUCGCUAACACCUACAAAAUAUAAUUGUAAGAGAUAAAUCUUUGUAAUUGUCGUUUAUUCAAAUUAUCCAUCACUCGUUGAUUGAUCUUAAUAUAGAUGAACGAUGAGCUCAAUGAAUCCACGAUCUGCUAUCUAGGAAAGGAAUUAAGAAACUUCUUUAACAUGAAUACAUGAUGACAAAUAGAAAAACUUGAUGAACUCCUUUUCAGUUAAAUUUAAAUAUCCUUUUUGUACCAGUAGACUCCUUUAGUCUCACCUUCAUCUUUCUCCACGUAAAUGCAUUCCUUCAUUUCUCUGUACAUUGCCUUGAGAAUUGGAGUUCCAUCAUACUGAUAAUAAUCACCCAAUAGAGGCUUCAUGGCCUCUGUGGCUUCGAGUCCGUGGUAAUGUGGGAUCAUGGAGAAUAUGUGGUGACAGACAUGAGCAUUGCAGACAUUGUGGAACACCUUGUUCAAUAUUCCAUAGUCUCUGUCGACAGUGCAUAGAGCUCCCCUCAACCAAUCCCAUUCGGUUGAAUCGUAGUAAGGCACAGAGGGAUGAGUAUGGUUGAGGAUGGUGAUCAAUGUGAACCAUCCAUUGACAACAAGCAAUGGACCUCCAUAAACACAGAAAACCCAGACAAAUCCUUUGGCUAAUACUAGAUUGUAUAGGCCAUAGAUGACUGCAAGAAUGGCAACAUCAGAAACAAUGAUUUGUUUGCGUUCACGUUCUGUGUAAAGAGGGCUAUGGGGAUCAUAGUGUGAAGUCCACCUCUCAUACUUGUGUCCAGAAACAUUGAACAUCAGGUACAAAGGGAAGCCUAUGAGGAGUGUGGUAACCCACACAAGGACACGGCCAGGUGGGUUGUUGAAAAUUUUGUAGUAAUUCCUGAUGUUGGACUUGAACCUCGGGACAUAAACCUCGUCGUUCUCAAGAGAUUGAGUGUUGGCGUGGUGACGUCUGUGGCUAAUUUUCCAAGAGAAGUAAGGGACCAUGAGAGAAGAGUGGACAACAAGGCCGACAAGGUCAUUGAUCCAGCCAUAGUCACUGAAGGCAUCAUGAUCACACUCAUGGCCUACGACCCAAGCCCCAGUCAAGACACAACCUUGGACAGCAAUGUAAGCCGCCCAUCCCAAGUAAUUAAGAGGAUGCGGAAGGUACUGGUCUAUGUAAUUCGUGGCAACAUAGUAAAGGGCAUAGGCCAUGAGGAGAUCUUGAAUGAGAUAACGAAAAGAAGUGAUGAGGGAUUUUUCAAAGCAAUGAGCAGGAAUGGCUUUCUUAAGGUCACCUAUGGUGAAAGGAGGUUUCUCAUGAGGAGCACGUCGAAGUGCUUCUGUUUCAGUUUUUUUGGCCUUAGGAGGAUCCGACAUUCGACCACCUGCACCCAUUGUUCCUGAUUACUGAAUGCCUUCAAUAUAAUCAGGAAGUAAAAUAAUUGAGUUGUGUUGGCUGUUUGAUGAAGUUUGGUGGUGUUUAGUUGAAGCUGAAGCUCUGAGUAUUUAUAAUGAAGAUAUCAUUGUAAAAUUUUAUUGGAACGGCUCGUGUUGUGGACUGUGGUGGCCUAUAGCGCCCGCCACACUUGAGUUUUCAACGUGCAAAAUAUUAUUCUUCUACUUGAAUCUGGUGUUCUGCAAGAUAUUAGUUGCCCUGUCAUGAUAAUUUGCAAAUAAGGUCAAAUAAAUUCUCAGUCUCAUAAGGCUACUCCAGGACACCACUCUUGAGUCCUUAUUGGCAGCUAUUCUUUAUUGAUUAAUGCAUUGGUAGAUUUACUUUUAGAAUAUAAAAAUAUAAUUUUAAAGUAAAGGGAUAGUGGGAUUUUAUACUAAAAGCUUAAAAAGAUUGCACUUUGCUAUCUUUGUAUCAUUUAUCAACUUCUUGCAGGUUACUUAGCAUGCCUCGUAUAGAACUCCCGCUGUUAAGAAAUACUAAACUUAAAGUGUUUUUAAUUUCAAUUUUAUUAAAAAAUUUGAUUACAUCAACAUAUUAUGAAAAACAGUUUCGAAUUUGAUGUUAUCAAGACUAGUUGGUAUUAUUAGGAAAAAUUGUUAGUAUUGCCUUUUGGGAUAUAUAUCAUGGAUUGGUUGAGCAUGACUAAACAAGACUGUUUUCUCAUAAUAUAUAGUUUUUCCCAUUUUAUGAAUGGCCAAGUAGCAAAACAUAUUGUUCAGAUUUUCUUGCAGAAGCACAAGACAAUGGUAGAUGUGUGGUGUGAAAUUCGAGGGAUUCCAGACCUCUUCUGGUGAGAUUCGCUCAUCAUCUUUAUUAACAGUUACUCUUAUGUGACAACAAAUCAGCUCCGCACAUAUGUGUUGAGAGGACUAAUAAGUGGUUUUAGUUUUAAUUUUAUUAGUGAUUACAUCAACAUAUUUGUGAAAUACAGUUUUGAAUUUGAUGUUAUCCAGACUAGUUAGUAUUAUUAGGAAAAAAGAAGUUAGUAUUACCUUUUGGGAUAUAUCAUGCAUUGGUUCAGCAUGACUAAACCAGUCUGUUUUUUCAUAAUAUAUCAUUUUUCCCAAUUUAUGAAUGGCUAAGAAACAAAACAUAUUGUUUAGAUUUUCUUAUAGAGCAUAAGGCAAUGGUAGAUGUGUGGUGUAAACUUCAAGUGAUUCCGGACCUCUUCUUCUAGUGAGAUCUGCUUAUCAAUUUUAUCAACGGUUACUCUUAUGUGACAACAAAUCAGCUCUGCAUUGCUCAUAAUCAUAUAUACGUAUUUAGAGGACUAAUAAUUUUUUUAUCAUGUUGCAAGCUAUAAAUUAACAAAAUGAUAUCACCAUUGCUGCUGAUAUAAGCAUUCAUCAAUAGGUUGUUCAUCUGUUCUGGCACCAAAACUUUAUAUAUUACUUGGUGCUCUGUGGCAGGCUACUUUCUAAGAUUGGAAUUUUCAAUCUCUUUUAACCCUCAAAUCUUUACAUGAAAUGAUACGAUCGAUUAAUCAUGUCAAACAUUAACAAGACUAGUGAAGCAAAAGCAAGAGUAGCUGAUCUCUCUCAAUUUCUUUAUAUAAACAAAUUAUAUAUUAGAUAUAAUCAUCUUUAACAUUUUUAAGUUUUUCAACACAUAAUGAGAUUGUCCUUGUUCAAUAAAUAAACCAGCAUGCUCUAAGAUGUUUCUGAAUCUUAAUCAUCCACUGGAAGAAGGAUUACUGUAUCAGGCAUAUUAAAGGCACAUGCUCUUUCCCACAGACUAAAUCACUAAGAUCAUAGUUUUUAAUAAUGUCAAUAUUUCAUAAAUUUUCAUAAAUGGAAUUUUCUUUUUUGCCAAAUUAAUUUUUAUUAUGUCUCAUAAAACUAUCUGUUACUCCUUUUGCAAAUAAGGAAAAAUUCAACCAGGGACUAUGAACGGGCAAGCAUGGAAAGGCCUCAUCUUUAAAACUCUGAAUCAUCUCUUCCUAAAAACUUCAACUCUUCUGGAAAACUUUCUGAAAAUGGAAAAAAAAAAAUAAAAAUAUUUUACCUUCGAGUUAACUAAGCGAACUCAAAUGCACCAUUGGUUGCCUUUUCGAUACAGAACUACCUUUAUCCUUCUAAAUUUUAGUUUCAUGCAAAGCACAAAAAUGUUUUGAGAUUAUACACACAUUCAACAUAAGUAAUUUAUUUUUGUAGAGUACUAAUUGUAUUAACCCCACAAACAAAAUACACAGGGCAUGCCCUACUAAAAGUGGAGCAAACUCAUCCUACAAGAGGUCUCACAAGAAAGCCUGUGAGAGUGAGACCACCUUGACAGAGAACCAUAUCUCUUUGUCUUGAACUUAAAGGAAAUUUUAUCAUUGUUUAAAUUCCCAUAUUAUUUUGAAACAUUUGAAAAGCAUUUCUUAAUAUUUUAGUUACAUUUAUUUUCUAUCUUUGUACAAGAUUCCAGCCUGCCUUUUAAGGGAAAUGAGCUUUUCUUCCUGAUACAGUUCUGGCCUUUAAGCUUAGGAAAGUUUUUGGUCAAUAAUCAAAGGUGCUCUCCCUCUCAGGUGUUUGAUUAAAUUUCAUAUCUUUCUUUUUUUUUAUGUUGGUUUGUAGUACUUUGUGUUUGAUUGUCUCAGAAAAACUGAGGUUCACUGUAAUAUGUUUCAUGGAAUAUUUGCAGCAUCCACAAUGGGGACCUCCACUCAUUUUACAAAGUAUGUUCUUGGACAAUCAUAAUUUCAUUGAUGCAAUCAUACUAGGCUACAUUACAACUUACAAAUUAUCCACUGCUUGUGGACUCAUCUUAUUCAAAAUGAGCAAUAAACUAAUGAACCUACAACAUGCUAUCUAAGGAAAUGUAGAAAAUUGCAACAUGGGAAUGAGUAGAGAAAGGAGUCAAUAUCGUUUUCAGUUUCAAAUGUCCUUUCUGUACCAGUAGACCCCUUUGGUCUCUCCUUCAUCUUUCUCGACGUAAAUGCAUUCCUUCAUUUCUCUGUACAUUGCCUUAAGAAUCGGAGUUCCAUCGUAUUGAUAAUAAUCACCCAAUACAGGCUUCAUGGCCUCUGUGGCUUCGAGUCCGUGGUAAUGUGGGAUCAUGGAGAAAAUGUGGUGGCAAACAUGAGCAUUGCAUACAUUGUGGAAUACCUUGUUCAAAAUCCCAUAGUCUCUGUCAACGGUACAGAGAGCUCCCCUCAACCAAUCCCAUUCUGAUGAAUCGUAGUAAGGGACAGAUGGAUGAGUAUGAUUGAGGAUUGUGAUCAGUGUGAACCAUCCGUUAACAACUAGCAAUGGACCUCCAUAAACACAGAAGACCCAUGCAAAUCCUUUGAUUAAUACGAGACGGUAUAGACCAUAGAUGACAGUAAGAAUGGCAACAUCAGAAACAAUGAUCUGUUUACGCUCACGUUCUGUGUACAGAGGGCUAUGGGGAUCAUAGUGUGAAGUCCACCUCUCAUACUUGUGUCCCGAAACAUUGAACAUCAAGUAUAAAGGAAAACCUAUGAGGAGAGUGGUAACCCACACAAGCACACGGCCAGGAGGAUUGUUGAAAAUUUUGUAGUAGUUCCUGAUGUUAUACUUAAAUCUAGGGACAUAAACCUCAUCGUUCUCAAGGGAUUGAGUGUUGGCGUGGUGACGUCUAUGGCUAAUUUUCCAAGAGAAGUAAGGGACCAUGAGAGAAGAGUGGACAACAAGGCCAACAAGGUCAUUCACCCAACCAUAAUCACUGAAGGCAUCAUGAUCACACUCGUGGCCUACGACCCAAGCCCCGGUUAAGACACAACCUUGGACAGCAAUGUAAGCUGCCCAACCUAAGUAAUUAAGAGGAUGUGGAAGGUACUGGUCUAUGUAAUUUGUGGCAACAUAGUAAAGGGCAUAGGCCAUGAGGAGAUCUUGAAUGAGGUAACGAAAAGAAGUGAUGAGUGAUUUUUCAAAGCAAUGAGCAGGAAUGGCUUUCUUAAGGUCACCUAUGGUGAAAGGAGGUUUCUCAUGAGGAGCGCGUUUAAGUGCUUCUGCUGCAGUCUUCUUGCCAUUCGAUGGAGCAGUAGACAUACGCCCACCUGCGCCCAUUGUCUCCAAUUACUAAUUGCCUGCAAUAGAACCAGAAAGAAAAAAAAAAUUGUAAGAACUUGUUAUUUAACUUUGCAUGUUUUCUGAAUCAUUCAUGUGCACUUUUACAGCAAUAUGCAUGCUAAAAACAUAACACUACUAGUACUGUAAUUGAUUAGCUGGAAGUACAGAAGAAUAUACAUGUACCUGAAAGAGCUGGAGUGCUUUCUUGCCUAAGCUCUCUUCUCUGUGAUGUAUUGCUCUUUUAGUUUGUAUAGUCUGAGCAGAAGCUUUGAGUAUUUAUAAGAGGGUUAUGAGCUUGUGAUACUAAUGCACUAGCUGCACUUAUAUUAUUUGAAAAAUAUUAUGAGUGUUGAGAGUGGCCUAAGCGCCCGCCACCCUGAGAAUUUGAACGUGCAAAAUAUAUAAUUCACCUACUUAAGAUAUGGUGUUAUGUGGCAGCAAUAGUAAGCAUGGUGAUGAAUGCAAAUAAUUAAAGUCAAGUAAAUUGUCGGUCAAGAAUGGCUACUACAGUAGUAUUCUCCUCCGGUCAUUCUUGGCAGCUAUUCUUUAUUGGAACAUGCAUCGUGGCAUUGGCACUUAAAAAGUUUUCAAUAAUUCGGAACAAAUUUGUAACUAAUAUUAACAAAAAUACAGUCUUGAAUAUGUAUAGCAAAUAUAUUAACAAAUUUGAGAUACAGGGCACCAUCUAUAAUAAAAAUAAUAAACGACACAGGUCUCUUGCAGCCUGGGCAGCAGAAAAGGGUGGAGGAAACCUAAAGGUCUAACUGGAUAAUGAUAACAUCUAAUUUCUAUAUUAUUAUCACAUAUCUAAACUAAAUAUAUUAUAUGUUGGAAAUAAAUGAAAUUUAAAAUUUAAGAUUUUAAUUAGUUUUCAAGUUUCUACUUCAUAAUCUUUUUUCACAGAUUUUAGUAAUGAUCAUUAUUAUUGACAUAUUAUGAACUUAGCCAUUAUUGACCAAUAUCAACAUAGAAUGUUUCUUAGUUCCACGGAUUUUGCUCUCUUUUUUUCCGAGUGUUUUUUUCGGACAUUAAAAUUUUUAUCUAAUUUAUUGUGGGACAUUUCGAUAUGUAUUCUGGUUAGAUAAAAUCUUUCAGGUAUGAAAGAAGUUCUUUCAAUUCUUUCGAUAUUGUACCCAAUUCUUUCGAUGUUGUAUUCGGUACAAUUUACUGAAGUGAAAGUCUAUCGGAAAAAAAAAGAGAAUGUUUCUUACCCAAUUCAGUUGUAUUGAAUUGAGUCAGAGAGCCGUGGAAUACUACUUAAUAGAUAAUUAAUUAUUGAUUUUUAAGACUUUACUUGUAGGCCUAACAUAUUAUAUUAUUUUGAAAAUAAACAUUUUUCUAGGUGGAGAAUUUUCCAAAAACAAUUGUUAUUUUAUUACAUAGUAAUAUUCCCUGCACAUGACUGAGGGAAUAUUUUUGAUUGAGACCGAUCAAAUCAAAAUAAUAUAAUACUCACUCUGUCCCAGUCAAUUGUAUACGUUUCUUUUUCACUGCUCGACACGUUUUUUAAGGCUCUUAUUAAACAUAGUUCCACAACUUAUUUUUAAGAUUUUCUUUUUUUGUAUAAAAAUAUAAAUGUUAUACUUUUAUACAAAAAAAGAAAAUCUUAAAAAUAAUUUACAGAAAUAUACUAUAUUGAAGCGUUAAAGUCCGUGCCGCGCCCCCGUCCCCCAAUGUAUAUUAUUGACCGGGACGGAGGGAGUAUAUAUUUUCAGAAACGAAUAUGUGUGAUCUAAUAGUAGUAUCAGUGGCGUGCUGUACUGAAAACAAUCUUGUCGACCUCUCUCUUUUUUCUGUACACUCCUGCAUUAUCACUCCAAAUGAACCUCCAAACCAGCUUUUAUUAUUGCUUUCAAGUUUCAACACUCCAAUCAGUCAGCGGCGUGCUGUCCUCUAAAUUCAGCUUUGGCGUACCAUUUGUCAUGUGCAUCAAUCCAGUCUCCACAGUCUUGACUGCUCAACGUUUUGCACAUUACUCACUUUGGUCACUAUUAUUUCAAAUAUUUCACAAACUAUAUAAAUAGACCAUACUCAAUAGCAAGUUAGCAACAUAAGCAAAACACAAAGCUAAUCAGGUUCAAGUUCAACACAUCUUAAACUUGGUAGCUUUUUUCUGGUGCUCAAAUGGGUAAAGGUGGACGAAUGCCUGUUAACACUGAUCAACAAAAACCGGUUGAUCAGAAAUUAAUCCGUCGAGUUCCUCACCAAAAACCGCCUUUUACGAUAUCCGAUAUCAAGAAGGCCAUUCCCCCACAUUGUUUCAAUCGUUCGAUUAUUCGUUCAUCUUCCUACCUUGUUUUCGACCUUAUCGCGUGUUUCUUGUUAUACCAUGUUGCGACGAGUUACAUACCCCUCAUUCCCGCACCCCUCUCGUACCUUGCAUGGACGGCCUAUGUUUACGUCCAAGGCUGUUUUAUGUUCGCGGUGUGGGUGGUGGCGCAUGAAUGCGGUCACCAGGCCUUUAGUGACUACCAUUGGCUAAAUGAUAGUCUCGGCUUUGUUCUGCAUUCUCUUCUCCUCGUACCUUAUUUUUCGUGGAAAAUUAGUCAUCGUCGCCACCAUGCAAACACUAAUUCUCUCGACCGGGAUGAAAAUCAUGUCCCGCGAUUCAAGAACACGAUCAGAUCAUACUACCAUCACUUCAACAACCCUCUAGGCCGCGUCUUCAUCAUCGCCUUCACUCUAAUUUUGGGAUGGCCUUUAUAUUUAAUCGUCAACAUUGCAGGACGAUCAUACGAUCGCUUUGCAUCACAUUUCGACCCCUAUAGUCCUAUUUAUUCGCAACGUGAGCGCGCUCAGAUUAUAUUAUCUGAUAUCGGUGUCCUUGCUGCUGGCUAUGGUUUAUAUCGGAUCGCUGCAAUCAAAGGCCUUUCGUGGGUUUUCUUAGUCUAUGGCGCCCCAUUACACGUAGCCAACGGAUUCCUCGUGAUGAUAACUCUCCUGCAUCACACUCAUCUCUCAUUGCCUCACUACGAUUCAUCCGAGUGGGAUUGGCUAAGGGGAGCCUUGGCUACUGUGGACCGAAACUACGGAAUACUAAACAUAGUGUUCCAUCACAUUGCGGAUACUCAUGUGCUUCAUCAUCUCAUCUCCAGCAUCCCUCAUUAUCAUUCCCAGGAGGCGUCCGAGGCCAUCAAGCCCGUCUUGGGGGAUUACUAUCACUACGAUGACACUCCGUUUUAUAAGGCGAUGUGGAGAGAAGCUAAGGAAUGUCUCUAUGUCGAGGCUGAGGAGGACGGUGAUAAGGCCAGUGGUGUCUACUGGUACAAAAAUAAGCUUUGAGUUUUGAGCUAUCUGCUCUGUAAAAAUUACAUUAUGUAUUUCGGCUAGCUCCAUUCCUUUGUAAUGUUUUCUUUGUUACAAAUGUAGUGUGUUUUGACGAUCAAUCUAAGGAUACUAAAACAAUUUAGACACAUAUGGAUGAUCAAAUCAACCCAAGAACGAUUAGCUAUAAAAGUAAAACCAAUUUGAUGAUCACUGGAUACUGCAUCAAGUGUCACACUAUACUCCAAUUACUGAUGUUCUCGCAAUUUAAAGUACUUUAGUUAUCCAAAUUUGCAAUAUGUGUAUACCUUUAGAACUGAUUAUCAAUAGCACCAGUAAGGUGCCUAAAAGUUUUAAGGGUUAGAGGCUUAGAGCAUUAGUCCUCUGCUUCUUGAGUACAACAGAGUUUGAGUUCAAAGCCUUAGCAGAAGGAAACAGGCCAGAAAAAGAAAGGAUCAAGCAAGUGUACAAUUUCGCGGUUUCUGAAUUGUUUCUUUUGGUAAUUAAAAAAUUUAUACCACGGAAAAACACAUUGGGAGUCCAGUCUAUAGUAAAUUGGAUAGUAUAUGCUAGUAAACGAGGGAUGGUUCAUGGUUGUCCACAUUCCCUCUUACCCUGUCAAAUUUUCUACGGAGAGGGCUUUGUGACCCUGUCCAGCAGUGAUCUCAGGGCCGGCUAUAGAGGGGUGCAAACAGCCCAACUGAACCGCUCUCAUAAUUAUCAGGUUCCCCAAAUAUUUCGACCAAUUUUUUUAUGCAACACAGGGCCCUGAAAUGUUUUAGAGGGGGCCUGAGUGAGCUUUUAUGAAAAUCUUCUUAAGAGGAAUGCAGAUUCUAGUGAGACAUUUAGCACUCUGAAAUUUAUGGUAAAAUCAAAAUGCCCGGUUCCAAAUGGCUUCACAGUCGAGUUCUACCUUGCAUCCUGGGAUAUUGUAGUCUACCUGAGAGCUUACAACUGCCGAGGAUCAUUAACUCAGCUGCUCUUGCAUUAAUUAGCCAGUGUAUCUCUGCAGCCAUGCUAUUAGUCAAGGUGAAUGAAAUGGUUCUAUAGAAGGCUGUGUAAUUUCGAGAUAAUAAACCCUAACGACAACUAGUCCGGUUUUAAUUAAGUUUGUGCCUGCUAGCUAGUCCGGUUUUGGCUCGAAUUUCUGCUACAUUGGUGUCCAUAGAUCGCACACGCGGAAAAGCUGUCCGUAGAUCGAAUACACAAAAAAGCCCAAGACUUGCCAAAGUCCCGAAAUUCACCUCAAAAUCCCACAAUUUGCACCCCAUACGUGAUGGAGCAAUCGAAACUCACCCCAGUUUACAACUCAAUUGACUUGACAAUGUAGGACUCGACUACUCAUACAAUCCGUCUUCCAGCAUUGGUUCGUGAGAGAUUAAGCACAAGCUCCAAUUUAACAAGUUCUUCAAAAUACUAUCCUUCAUAACUACUCUGUAAUAGAGAAGUGAUUGCUUAGUUGCCUCUGUGGCCAGAGUUUGCCGUCUUUGAAUUUCUGUUAUUUUCAACCAUUAAUAAUGAACCUGGAUCCAUUUUUAUUAGAGAUGUCAUCAAAAAGCAGUGAUAAUAUAAACCCACGAAAUCCAUAUACAAUGCAAUGAAAUUUUAAUUUUUACCAAGAAAAACUCUUAUAACACAAAGGGAGAAUUGUCUUCACAGUACAUAGACUCAGCGGUACACAAGCUAGAGAAAAUUUGAUGAUCCACAAAGCUUGUACUAAACAGCAUUCCAGCGUUUUAUUUAUGUUCUAAAGGACAUAAGUACUCAGAUGCUUCUUAAUGUGGCGUCAUUUCUGAAUCCCAGGCCAUUAUUUGUUUACAUUCGGAUAAUGCAGCGGAGGCCUUCCCCUUUCAGCAUCAGAUCAAAGGCCUUGUUGAUUUCAGCAAAUGGGACUUCAUGAGUAAUAAACUUCUCCAGUUCGAGUUCCUGAAAAACAAAGCACUUGUUCUGUCAGGACUGUACCAAGAAGUCUUUUCCUAGAUCAAAGAUGAUAUUCUAUAAAUUUAUAUACCUUGUUCAUGUAUUUUUCGACCACGGAUGGAAGGUCAGUACGAGGUUUGUAGUUUCCAAAGAAACUACCCUUGAGGGUCCUUUCAUUCAACAAAUUCAUGGGGUGAGUCUUAAAGACAGCAUCUUUAUGUGGAACUCCAACAAGCACAGCGACACCCCAACCCUGAAAUAAUUCGCUAAGUUAGAGUCUUGGAUAUGAAAAAUACAAGAAAGAAAUCGCUUUAUAACACAUUCAUAAGCAUGUCAGAGUAAACAUACAUCAUGUACACAUUCAAAGGCUGAAAUCAUGGCAUCAACAUGUCCGGUACACUCGAUACUUCUGUCCACUCCUCCAUUAGUCAUUUCAGCAAUCACCUACACAAUGGCACAUAUACGAACAUCUUAUUAAACAAUUUAAAAAAACUAUGAAAGGGACAUGUAGGCAAGAUGGUAUAUAACAGACCUCUUGAACUGGUUUUUGGUGGUCUUUUGGAUUCACAAACUCUGUCACACCAAACUUCUUUGCUGUAUAUACAAUAUAAGUUAUCUAAUUAGCCAUUUCUUCACUAUUUAGUUAUGCUUCAUAGUUUGAUUGCAUGAUGUAGCUUUUAGCUUACCAGAUUCAAAUCUGUUUGGAUUCAGAUCAAUACCAAUAAUUCUAGAAGCCCCAGCAAUUCUAGCUCCUUCCGCCGCCUAAUCAAAGAAAUUAAAAUUAAAUGCUACCAUAUUACCAAACACAAAAAUCACCCAAAGGCCGUAGUAAAUGAAGAACAAAGGGCCAGAACUUACAGCAAGGCCAACAGCUCCCAAUCCAAAGACAGCCACUGUUGAGCCCUUCUUAGGUUUCGCAACAUUUAGAGUCGAACCCAAUCCUGUUACGGAGUACACAAAAAAUUAGAACGUGUGCACAGUCUAAAGAUCGAGAAAUACCGUAUAAGCAUAUAGUCCACUUUAUCAUACCAGUUGAAAUUCCACAGCUAAGGACACAAACUUUGUCCAAAGGAGCAAGAGGGUUUAUCUUUGCAACACAACCAACAUGUAUGACAGUGUAUUCGCUAAAGGUGGAUGUUCCUACAAAAUGUAGGAUGGGCUUGCCAUUGAUUGAAAAGCGCGACUUUCCAUCAUUAAGCAUAACACCUCUGUCGGUGUUGAUCCUAAGGAGAUCACACAUAUUGCUUUCUUCUGAUUUGCAAUGUGCACAUUCCUUGCAUUCUCCGGUGAAGACGGGGAGAACAUGAUCACCUGGUGCCAAAUCCGUUACUCCCUCUCCGACACUCUCCACAAUACCCCCUGCUUCAUGUCCAAAAAUUCGAGGGAAAACAGGGUUCUGUCCCUGAAAUAUUUAUACAUAAAACAAAAUUUAAUUUAAUACAGUCAUCUAAAAAAAUAUACAAUCACUUAUCAACUCUUCCAAUAAAACAAUUAACUGUACCUUGGCUUCCCAGAAGUAAAUAUCAGUGUGGCAGAGGGAAGUGAAGAGGAUCUUGAUCCGAACCUCGAGUUUCUGAGGAGGGGCAACCUCAACCUCCUCGAUCACAAGUGGUUUCCCUGCUUCCCAUGCUACAGCAGCUGUACAUAGUCGUAACAACAAAUGCAAUAACAUAUAAAAUCAUCAAUUGGUCACAAUUAUAAACACUUCAACUAAAUAAAGUGUCAGAAUAUAGCUAACAAAUGGUACUUUCAAUUUUUAAACUAGGGCCUUCAAAUUCAGAAUUAGAAUUACAUAAUUUCUUGAAUUUUUUCCAUUUUAAAUCAAUGCCAGUGUCAGCAAAUCACUAGAAAUCCUAUUGAACCUCAGCUAAUUUUGUAAAGUAUUCCAACCCUGAUUAUCUGCUAUCCGGAAAUAUUUCAAUACAAACCAUUUUAAAAUCUCGUGAUCCUGAAAGCUAUAGCUCUACAACUUACAAGCAAUCAUGAAAAAGUAUAACAACUUAAUAUAUUUUUUUGUCACAAGAUACCUAAUAAAUUAUGUCAGUAUACAAUAGCCGAAUCGAGGAGUUUCUUUUAUUUAAUAACAUAAUAUCUUAAGCAAGUACUCCUAGGGCCAAUCCUAGUAGCCAUGAACAUUACAAGAUUCAACAUCAAAUAAAUAAUUAAAAGUAAUUACAAAAAAAAAAAAACAGGGUAGAAUUUUAAUACCUUUGCAGCGAAUGACUUGACCAGCAGUGCUUGCCAUCUUUCUUGCUAUUGAUUCACAAGUUGUAAAGUGAAACAGAUGAUUGAACUCUAGUAUGUUUGUGUUGUAUAUAAAAUUCUUGAGAAACUGUGAGAUGAAAAACACAGGUGGCUUGAUGAUGUAUAUAUACUAGCUGGGAAGUACUAACAGGUUUUGACUAAGAAUCACGGGUUAUAUAAAACCACAGGCUCUUCGGACACAAUACCAGAAUCCGCACUUCCCCCCUUUUUACAACGUACGAGUAUAUUGGUCCCCCGUAUUUCCUCGUCUCAUUUUUUAGUACUACAAUAGUAAGUCGGUGCUAACUUUCUGUAACCUGCAAUAUAAUUGAAAUAAUAUAUAAAUAAAUUUUGUGGGGACCGAAAUCAAAUUUUCUGCAUCGUUCAUCAAUCAUCAAUAAAGUUUGAUAAAAUCCGCGGUCUAACUAAAAAGAAGAUUUUAUUAUAAAUUUACGGAGACACACUACAAAGUUCUAUAUACAAAUACUUUUGUAUAAUUCGACGGACAUACUAAUUGUCUAUUUUUGAGUUUUGCUGAGCUAAAAUUUAAUCAAUGAAAUAUAAGAAAUUUUCUUAGAAAAAUUUAAAGUUUUGGGAAUUAUAUUUAAAAUAGAUCACAUAUCAUUUUUAAUGAUACAUUUUCCUUAUAAUUAUAUACUAUAUAUAAAUUCAAUCAAAAUUACGUUAAUUUUAUCAAUCAAAAAUAAAGAAUUGACGGAUAUUUUGAAAUGGAGUAUUAAAAAUUUAUUUUGAGUGUUUUGUUUUGUUAACAUUUUAUACAUCUACUGGAUAUUUAAAUUCAAAAUUGAAGUUAUUCAGUUUGCUUGAAAUUGGCUUUGAAACCCGAAACAUCGAUUGAUCAAAUUUAAUUUGAAUCUAACAGUAUUUAAUUUUGCCGACUCAUUUCGCCCUCAAAAUUUAACAUUCUUGCUCACUAGUUUGUUUCCAAACUAUACGUGUCAGUUGAUUCGAGCACUCAUAUUUAAGAAUACUAAUUUAUUUUUUUUACAAUAUAAGUUUAUAUGACUUACAAAUUAGUGUUUAUUUUGAUAUUUAGUAUCUGUUUAAAUACUUAUUGGAUGCCAAAGUCGAACCGGGUCUAUCAAAACAACAGAGAAUAAAUUCAGCUAUCGAAAUGUGCUCAACUUUCCUAUUUUUUAAUUUAUAUGGAAACAAAAUUAUAUGAGUAUAUCGGAACACGUGCAGGCGAGGGAGAAAAUGCCACGCAGCCAUAGCGGAGAGGAUUCGCGAAGGUUUGAUGUGAAUCCAUGUCACGUUCCCAGCAAAGCAUGUUCCUAAACCAUGUACACUCAUAUCAUAAAACCGCCCUGGUUUUAGUCCUUGGUUUUCUUGUUUUGUUUUCCCAGAAGGAAAAUACUGCUUAGGAAAACUGAGUGGGUGCUGGGCCGAUCAACUUAUUGUCAAGAUGUGACCUAAAGAGAUGUAUAUUAAUAGAACUGUAGAGAAUACAGAGUCACAAGAAUAGGAGGAAGGAAUACAGAAUAGAACUAUUCGUUCUAGAACACUACUGAUACUCUUUUCUAUAGCUAUAGAACUACAUAUAUACAAGCUUGCUCCCGCCUUUCCUAACGAUCUCAACUAACUCCAACUUCUCGUAAUAUAAAUGCUGGAUCAUGACAAUUGCCCUCCCUUCAGACAAAGCUUGUCCUCAAGCUUGAAAUUCUGGAAAUUGUUGUCUCACAAAAGAAACAUCCUCCCAUGAUGCUUCUGUUUUGUCCAGACCUUCCCACUUGAUCAGCCACUGUAACACUGUUAUGUCCCCCCUAGUUAUCUGCCUCCUCUGUAGUAUUAAUUCUGGUUUGAGAACCACUAUGUCAUCAUUGUUGCAUUCUGGAAUAUCUCCUGUAGUUAUGGGAAUAGUACCCACAUGCUUCUUAAGUAAUGACACAUGGAAUACAGGAUGUAUUUUUGCAUGAGUGGGAAGCCUCAGCUUAUAAGCCACACUUCCAAUUUUCUGUGUAAUCUGAAAAGGUCCAUAAAACUUUGUAGCCAGCUUAAGGGAACUCCUGAUUGCAACGGAUUGUUGUUUAUACGGCUGUAACUUCAAAUAAACCCAAUCUCCUAUAUUCAAUGUCCUGUCUGUCCUUUUCAAAUCUGCAAAAUACUUCAUCCUUUGUUGUGCUUUGUUCAGAUUAUCCUUUAGUACCUGCAACACUUGAGUCCUCUGCUGCAAUGUAUCCUGAGCAGAUGGUAUAAUCAUAUCUUGUAUAUUCCCCAUAGACAGAGGCACAGGUUUCACUCCAUAAACUGCUUCAUAAGGUGUGAUUCCCAAGCUGGUAUGAAAGGAUGUAUUAUACCAGAAUUCAGCCAUAGGUAACCACUUCCUCCAGCUGUUAGGUCUCUCACUAGUGAAGCAUCUGAGAUAAGAUUCUAGGCAUUGAUUUAAUCUCUCCGUUUGACCAUCCGAUUGAGGGUGAUAUGCUGUACUGAAAUGCAAUUCAACUCCCAGCUUUUCGAAUAGUGUGGACCAAAACACACUAGUAAAAAUCUUAUCUCUGUCGCUGACAAUCGAGUUUGGCAUACCAUGUAGACGAAAGAUGUUAUCUAAAAACACAUCUGCAACUUCUUUUGCUGAAAAGGGAUGUUUGAGAGCAACAAAAUGGCCGUACUUCGAUAGUCUGUCAACCACCACCAGUACCGUAUCCAUACCUUCAGAUAAGGGCAAUUGUUCCACAAAAUCCAUAGAAAUUUCUUUCCAUGCUUGAGUAGGAACUGCUAGUGGCUGUAACAGGCCCGGAUAUUGGACAUGUUCACUUUUACUUCGUUGGCAAAUCUCACAACUCUUAAUCUCUUCAAUCACCUCCGCCUUCAUCUUUGGCCAAAAAAAUGCCAAUUUAAUUCUCUGCAAACAGGCAGUCUGACCUGAAUGUCCUCCCAAAGCAGAUGAAUGUAAUGUUUUGAUUAUCUGCUUCCUCACACCUCCACUCUUGCCUACAUAUAUCUUGCCAUUCUUCUUGAGUAUUCCUUGCACAUACUCAAAAUCUGAAUCUUCUUGAGUAUCCAGUACUAACUUGCUAAUAAGUUGUUGACACUCAUCAUCACUUUCAUAGCUUAAUUCCACCUGUUGCAGCCAUACAGGUUGAACCAUUGAUAUGGCAGCUAUCCUUUCCUCUGUAUUUUCCAAAGUUCCAGCACUAUUUCCAGCACUAUUCUUUUUCUCCCCCUCCUCCAGGCACCCCUCCAUGCUCCUGGACAACGAGUCAGCUGCUAUAUUUUCUAUUCCUUUUUUGUACUGAAUUUCAUAGUCCAUUCCAAAUAACCUUGACAUCCAUUUGUAUUGCAAAUUUGUAUGAAGUUGUUGUUCCAACAAAUAUUUCAAUGCUUGAUGAUCCGUCCUUAUUACAAAAUGAUUUCCCACUAGAUAAUGUUUCCACUUAGUUACUGCCAUCACCAGAGCCAACAACUCCUUCUCGUAAACUGAUAAUCCAAAAUUUUUACUGUUAAAUGCUUUACUCAAAUAAGCCAAGGGCCUGCCCAUCUGCAUUAGUACUGCCCCCAUCCCUUUACCAGAAGCAUCUGUUUCUAAAACGAAAGGUUGAGAGAAAUCCGGAAUGGCCAAAACUGGGGCUGUACACAAUGCCUUCUUUAGUUGCUGAAAUGAUUCUUCUGCUUCUGCAUUCCAUUUGAACCCAUCCUUCUUCAGUAAAUUUGUCAAUGGUCUGGAUAUCAUCCCAUACCCUUUGAUAAAUCUACGAUAAUAUCCAGAUAAACCCAAGAAUCCUCUCAAUUCUUUGACACCUGUUGGCGUAGGCCAAGACAUAACUCCUUCAACUUUUGUUGGAUCCAUACUCACCCCUUCUCCAGAAACUAAAUGUCCCAGAUACUCCACUGAAGGUACAGCAAAAGUGCAUUUAGAUAAUUUUGCAAACAGCUGAUUAUUCUGCAAAACUGCCAACACCUGUUCUAAGUGUUCUGUAUGAGAUUCCAAGGUUGGACUGUAAACCAAAAUAUCAUCAAAAAAAACAAGAACAAACUUCCUCAAAAAUGGCUGAAAUAUCUGAUUCAUAAGUGAUUGAAAUGUAGCCGGGCAUUUGUUAAGCCAAAUGGCAUAACAACAAAUUCGAAAUGGCCAUGAUGUGUUUGGAACGCUGUCUUCGCUGUGUCACAAGGCUUAACCAGAAUUUGAUGAUAACCAGAGCGAAGAUCAAGUUUAGAAAACACCUUGGAACCAUGCAACUCAUCCAAAAGCUCGUCAAUAUUUGGAAUUGGAAACUUGUCCUUAACUGUGAUUUUGUUUAGGUGCCGGUAAUCUACACAGAAUCUCCAAGAAUUGUCUUUCUUUCGAACUAAUAUCACGGGUGAUGCAUACGGACUGUUACUCUUCCUGAUAGUACCAGCAUUCAACAUUUCUUGCACCUGAUUUUCAAUCUCCGUUUUUUGUGAAUGAGGAUAUCGGUAUGGCUUCAACUUGAAUGGUUUGGCCUCUGGCAUUAGAGGAAUUUCAUGGUCUACAGACCUGGUUGGAGGUAAAGCCUGCGGAACCUCAAACACUGCUGCAUAAUUCUCAAGAAUCUUGUUAAUCAUCUCUGGAACCUCAGCUUUACUCGAAUCUUCCUUUCCUACUGCAGACACUACUUCAUUUAUAAUUCUUUUCUUGACCAGUUCUUGGUUGAAUUCUUGCAAUUUAUUGCCUCUAACCAACUUGAUCGACACCUUUUCCUUAACAUCUCCAUGUAACAACAUCUGUUCAUCCUCUCCUUUAUCAGCCUUCAACUUAAGAUACAACUCCUUGAAAUCGAAUAAGAUUGGAGAGUAUUGCUCUAACCAAUCAACUCCUGCAAUCAUGUUCCAACCCCCUAUGGUCAAUAUUCUGGCAUCACAACAAAAUUUAUGUUGUUGAACCUCCCAUCUUAAUCUUGGAAUUACUCUUUUACUGGUAACGACCCUGCCAUCUGCCAUUUUCACUCUUAUGGUCUCUUUCUCCUCACCUUGCAUACCCAACUUUUUAGCUGUUUCUGUAUCUAACACUGUUACUGAACUCCCUGUAUCCACCAAUAUCUUGAUUGGUUCUUUUCCAAUCCUCCCAUCUAAUGUAAUAGUCUUCCUUACUAUGCUUUCUGACAAAGCAUUCAAGGACACCUCAGUUACCAACCCUUCUGUUUCCUCCUCUUCAUCCAGAAAUUUAGCAAUUUCUUCAUCCCUGGAAUCUUCUACCAACAUAUAAGUGUACUGCUCAUUCCUACACACAUGUCCCUGACCAAAUUUCUCUCCACACUUGUAACACAAGUGAUUGUUCUUCCUAUACUGGAAUUCCUCCGGAGUGAUUUUCUUGAAAUAGUUACUAGCUGCAUUUUUCUUAUCCUCUCCUGUAUUCUUUUUUUCCAUGGUAUUCUUAUAUCCUACUCCAUUGUAAUUCUUUUUACUCUCAUGUUUCUUCAGUAUAACUUCAAUGGUUUGUUCCUGAAACUGAGCCACUUCUAUAGCAUGCAUCAAAGUUUGUGGUUUCAUUAACCUGACCAUUGGUUUCAACUCAAUCUUAAGGCCAGAAAUAAAGCUAGAAACAAAAUACCCUUCACCCAAAUUUGGGUUCCUGUACAGAAUCAAAGCCUUCAAUUCCUCAAACUUCUCCACAUAUUCCAUCAAAUUACCAGUCUGACUUAACUUGUUAAAUUCCUCUUGAAAAUCUAUUCCCCCAGUCUUCCCAAAUCUAUUCAUAAUAGCAUCACAAAAGUCUCCCCAAGAACCCCCAUCAUGCAUCAGUUUAUAACUUUGAUACCAUACAUCUGCUUUACCAUCUAAAUGCAUUUCAACAAUAUCAAGCUUAGAAGAUUCACCAACCUGAUUCAUCACGAAGUACUUAUUGCACUUCCGUAUCCAAGAUCUUGGAUCUUCUCCCAUGAAAUUAGGAAUUUCCGCUCGGUAUUGAUGUCCACUUUGAUUCUUGACUGCUUUAGUCUUAUUGCCAUUGCCCUCUUCUUCGUUGUUUUUCCCAGUGCUUGCCAAUGGAGAACGCAAGAUGGGAGAUCUCUCCACCCAAAUCUCCCCAUCUCUGCCCACUUUCUUUUCCCAAUUGUUUUUUUGUAAUACUCCUGAUACUUUCUGUGAGAUCUUUUCCUCCAUUGAUGCAUUAUAAGCUUCGAUUUUCGCAUCACACCCAGAUACCAUCGCCAUCAAUUUAUCCAUUUUAUCUAUGAUUUUGUUUUCCAACGCAGCAUUGCUCUCAUUGAUCUUCUUGAAACAUGAAUUACUGACUUCUUGAAUUCGCAGAUCCAAAUCUCUCCAUUGAUCUUCAGCUGAUCUAGAUCGUGUACUACUUGCCAUAAUGCUUCUUUAAACAAUUCCAAUUGCCAAGAAUCGUUAGCUCUGAUACCAAAUGUCAAGAUGUGACCUAAAGAGAUGUAUAUUAAUAGAACUGUAGAGAAUACAGAGUCACAAGAAUAGGAGGAAGGAAUACAGAAUAGAACUAUUCGUUCUAGAACACUACUGAUACUCUUUUCUAUAGCUAUAGAACUACAUAUAUACAAGCUUGCUCCCGCCUUUCCUAACGAUCUCAACUAACUCCAACUUCUCGUAAUAUAAAUGCUGGAUCAUGACACUUAUCGGCUUAAAAAUUAUAAAAGCCCACUUUGCUUAAAAGCAGUCCGUUUGGCAAUUUUGCGGAAGCUUUGACAUAUCAAAAUACACAACUGUAUUUACAGUUUUACACUUAUCUUUCAGGCUAUUUAUAUCACUAAUUUGACAUUUAAGUCUUAAGCAUUUUUUAGUUUCAAAAAAAAAAAAAAGUCUUAAGCAUUUUUAGUGAUACUUAUUUUAUUUAAGAGGUAUAACUAUUUAUUUUGGAGAAAAAUUUCACUUAGAUAAUAUUGUUUAGAAUUGUUUAUUUAAUGAUAGUUUAAUAUUUUUUAUCUGGAAAAUAAAACUUGUUUUCAGAAAAACAUACUCUAUAUAUUUAUGUAUUUUUUUAGAAAUGAAAAUUUAUUCAUGAAAAAUAAGAUAAAUCAAACAAAUCCAAAAUUUAUUUUCCUUUUUCCGACAAAACUGUUUAUAAAAAGCUAAAAUGUCAAUGCACCAAUAAUUUAUUAAAAACAAUCGAAAUUAAUUUAAUACAUAGUAGGGAUGCAAUCGGUCGGUAUGAUUCGGUUUUGACAAAAACCGAACCUGAACCGAAUAGUAUUUUUCAAAAUCGAACCCGAACCGAAUCGAAAUCUGAAGUUCAAAAACCAAACCUGAAGCACCAGGUUUCAGUACGGUUCGGUUCGAACCGAAACCCGAAAUUAUAUAAAAAAUCUAAAAAGUNGAUUCUANAUUUAAGAGGUAUAACUAUUUAUUUUGGAGAAAAAUUUCACUUAGAUAAUAUUGUUUAGAAUUGUUUAUUUAAUGAUAGUUUAAUAUUUUUUAUCUGGAAAAUAAAACUUGUUUUCAGAAAAACAUACUCUAUAUAUUUAUGUAUUUUUUUAGAAAUGAAAAUUUAUUCAUGAAAAAUAAGAUAAAUCAAACAAAUCCAAAAUUUAUUUUCCUUUUUCCGACAAAACUGUUUAUAAAAAGCUAAAAUGUCAAUGCACCAAUAAUUUAUUAAAAACAAUCGAAAUUAAUUUAAUACAUAGUAGGGAUGCAAUCGGUCGGUAUGAUUCGGUUUUGACAAAAACCGAACCUGAACCGAAUAGUAUUUUUCAAAAUCGAACCCGAACCGAAUCGAAAUCUGAAGUUCAAAAACCAAACCUGAAGCACCAGGUUUCAGUACGGUUCGGUUCGAACCGAAACCCGAAAUUAUAUAAAAAAUCUAAAAAGUAUAUCUAAAAUAUAGAUUUAUAAACAAGUCUCUUAUUCAAAAAUUAACAUAUCCUUAAAUUAUUACAAGCAUAUUAAGAUAUGCAUGAUUAAAUCAGAAAUUACAAUAAUUUAUAAUUAAAAAAGAAGCUUCAUUAUUUUUUGAAGUGUUAGUUAAGUGUUACUCCCUCUGUCCCAUUUAAUUGUAUACGUUUCUUUUCAACUGCUCGACACGCAUUUCAAUGCUCUUAUAAAAUAUAGUUCCAUAUCUUAUUUUUGAGAUUUUCUUUUCCUUAAAAAAAAUAUAACAUCCAAACUUUAAUUCAGAAAAAGAAAAUUUUAAAAAUAAAUUACACAACUACACUUUACAGGAGCAUUAAAGUCCGUGCCGCGUCCCCGUCCCCCAAUGUAUACAACUCAGGGGGACGGAGGGAGUAUUAGUUUAGCAUAUUAAAAAUAAAUGUAGGAUAAUUGUUAUACACAUGAAAAUAAAAUAUCAUGUUUUAAUAUAAAAUUGUAUGGAAUUUUUGUUAUUUAUUUAGUUAAACAAAAUUUCUGAUAAUAUUUUUCCUUUUUAUAAAUAUUAUUUAAUACUAGAUUAUGUCAUAUUUUAUAAUAGAAAGAAAAGUAUUUAGUAUAUGUAAAUAAAUUUAUAUCAUAUUUAAUAUUUGAAUACGUAAUGAAAAUUUAUUAAAAAAAGAUAGCAAUAUAAUUAUUCUUUUUUACAUGUAUAUUAUAUAAUGGUAUACGAUAAAUUUAUAAUAUCGAGUUCGGUUGGGUUUUGGCUUGGUUCGAAUUCGAAUCGGGUUUCGAAUAUUCGGGUCGGUAUUGGUUCGGUUGACCUAAAAACCAAACCAAUACCAAAUUCAAUCGGUUUUUAAAAAUAAAAACCAAACCCGUAACCAAACCAUUCGGAUCGGUUCGAUCGGAUAUUCGUCGGUUCCCAUCUCUGAUACAUAGAAUUUUAUUUCAAUUAAACAUGCAACUAUAUAGGUAACUCAGUGGCAGACACUCCAUCAGGCCACUUGGUUAAGACGAUCAUUCCCUGCUGUAAACAUAGUUAUCAAUGAGCAGUGAUGUAUGUAAACCACAAGAAUCAAACAAUUCAAUGAAUCUGGAAAUUUUAUAGAAAUGAUUGAAAUCAAUACUCCCUCCGUCACUAAAUACUUUUCCUGCUGUUUGUACUUUUCACGUUUGCCAACACACACUUUUGAUCGUUAAUAUCUUUCAUUUCGUAGUAGCAUUAAAUAUAAAAACUUCACCGUAUUAAAGUACUCGUGAAUACGAAUCUAACAAGAUCACUCAUGACUAUAUUUAGUUUUAUAGAUUAUAUGUAAAUUAGUAAUUUGUCUCAUGUUAUGAAAAAAGAUACGGAGGGAGUAGUACUGUAUCAGACUGUGCAUGAAUUCACCCGACAACUUUGGAAAUUAAGAAUAAUAACACAAAUAUUCAAGAACCAACUUGUAGAAACAAGUUCUACACAAGAAAAUUAUUCUUUUAUUUGAAAGAUGAAACUGUUUCCGGACCCAAAUGAUUCCUAACUUGCAACCAUUGAAUCUUUACAUACGGAUGAUGCAGCGGAGUCCUUCGCCUUUCAGCAUCAAAUCGAAGGCCUUGUUGAUUUCAGCGAAUGGGACUUCAUGAGUGAUGAACUUCUCCAAUUCAAGUUCCUGAAAUAACACAACAUUGAUACAAAAAGUCAGGCAUGAUCACAAUGCAGACACAUAAUUCGUGUAUAAAUGUGUGGAGCUUUACCUUGUUCAUGUAUUUUUCGACAACAGAUGGAAGGUCCGAACGAGGUUUGUAAUUCCCAAAGAAACUGCCCUUGAGAGUCCUUUCACUUAACAAAUUCAUAGGACUGGUCUUAAAGACAGCAUCCUUGUGUGGAACUCCCACAAGAACAGCAACACCCCAGCCCUGAGAUGGUAAUUUGUUCAACUUAAGAUUAAUAAGCCUGUCACAUAUUUAGAAUUGAUCAUAGAUUCUUUAGAGAACUUACAUCAUGUACACAUUCGAAUGCUGAGAUCAUGGCAUCUACAUGACCCGUACACUCGAUACUGCGGUCCACUCCUCCAUUGGUCAUUUCAACUAUGACCUACACAAUCACACAGAUUAGAGAAAUUUAAAUUAAACAAACAAGGAGAAUUUAAGUGGAGGGGAUUUGGAGGUAAAAUUUUAUAUAGCAAACCUCUUGAACUGGUUUGUUGUGGUCUUUUGGGUUCACAAACUCUGUCACACCAAACUUCUUUGCUGUACAUUAAAAUUAAGUUACCAAAUUAGUCACUUCUUCACCACUUAAAUUCAUGUUUCAGAGAUAAUUUCAUGACAGUCUGUAGUUUCUAGCUUACCAGACUCAAAUCUGUUUGGAUUCAGAUCGACACCAAUAAUUCUAGAAGCCCCAGCAAUUCUAGCUCCUUCUGCAGCCUGAUUAAAGAAAGGGAAAUGGAAAUGAAUUACUAAACACAACAAACAAAGGGAAACUACAGGAUGAAUGAUCGAGAACUUACUGCAAGGCCUACAGCUCCCAGUCCAAAGACAGCCACUGUCGAACCCUUCUUAGGUUUCGCAACAUUCAGAGUCGAACCCAAUCCUGUAAAUAAAAAUAUUAAACAUUAGUAAAUUGUAAUUUCCAUAACAUAGAAAAUAAAAUAUACCAUAGAAGUAAAUCAUUUUGCAUCCAUACCAGUAGAAAUUCCACAGCUAAGGACACAAACUUUGUCGAGAGGAGCAAGGGGGUUGAUCUUGGCAACACAUCCAACAUGUACGACAGUGUAUUCACUAAAAGUCGAUGUUCCAACAAAAUGUAGGAUGGGCUGGCCAUUGAUUGAAAAUCGCGACUUUCCAUCAUUGAGCAUAACUCCUCUGUCAGUGUUGAUCCUGAGGAGAUCACACAUAUUGCUUUCCUCUGACUUGCAAUGUGCACAUUCCUUGCAUUCUCCGGUGAAGACAGGGAGGACAUGAUCACCUGGUGCCAGAUCUGUCACUCCCUCUCCAACACUCUCCACAAUCCUACACAACCAAGAAUCACAUGAAUAAACACUAAACACUAAACAGAGACAAUCAAUACAACAGCAAAAAAUAUAGUAAUUUUUUUUAGCAUUGUUAACAUACCCUCCUGCUUCAUGACCAAGAAUUCGAGGAAAAACAGGGGUCUGUCCCUGAAAUAUUCACAUAGAAAAACAAGAUUUAAUUUCAAAUACACUCACAUCUACUCCCUCCGUCCCAUUUUAACUGCUUUUGAAUUUUUUACACGUAUUUUAAGGUGUUAAAAAAAUCACAUCUAAACAUAAUUAUUUUUAAUAAAACUUAUAUCAAAUAAAAAUUUAGAUUCUAAACUUUUAUUUGAUAUAAGAAUUGAAUUUUUUUAUUGAGCGUAGAUAUUACUUUUUAUCACCUCAAUAUACGUGUUAAAAAGUCAAACAUCAGUUAAAAUGGGACAGAGGGAGUACAUUGGUUAGAUAAACAGUAAUUGAGCCAUUUAUAAGUACAAAUAAAUAACAAUUUACUAGCACUUUUGACCGGCUUGUGGUGAGUUAUUGGUUCUGAUAUGCAUCUAGUUGUGAAUUUGAGAUGUUAUAAAUGAUAUCAGAGUUAUAACUGGUUUGCUAGGAGUGCAAAUGAACUACCCGGAUUUCGUAAAUUUGAUUAUGAGGUCGAUGAGGACUUUGCGCAUAUAAAAGAAUGUGUUUGUAACAUCUCAUAUCUUUUAGAUAAUGAAUAUAUGAGUCCUUUACAAGUAUACCAAUUUGCUAGCACUUUUAAAUCAUUCUUGGUGAUGAGUUGUUGAGUCCGAUAUACACAUAGUUACAACUGUGAGUUGGAUGUUACAUAAUGGAUCUACUACUUUAAUCUCAGUAUCUUAGAAAAGUGAUCGAAAUUGUUUAAUAUAGCAUUUAAAUAUCUAUAAAGAUUAUUAUCUUGUGAUCAUUUUUUUACAGAUAUAUCUAAGCGUACCUUAGCUUCCCAGAAGUAGAUAUCAGUGUGGCAGAGAGAAGUGAAGAGGAUCUUGAUACGAACUUCAUCUUUCUGAGGAGGAGCCACCUCAACCUCCUCCAUCACAAGUGGCUUUCCUGCUUCCCAUGCUACAGCAGCUGCACAUAUAUUAUAACAUCAGACAACAAGUAAGAAAAUAUCGAUCAGGCUCGCGCUCAAUCGAGAACAGUUUUUAGUAAAUUCACGUAUUAGUAUUACCUUUGCAGCGAAUGACCUGACCAGCUGUAGUGCUUGACAUGUUUCUUAGUGUUCUGAAGGAUGAAAAUUAAAGAUGAUUCAAAUUUGUGUGUAACGAGACUGUAUGAUAUGAUAAUGUGAGAUGAUACUAGACAUUUGUGGUAAUGGUAUAUAUUUAUACUCGAGAAAAGAAUCAGAUUUUUUAAGGUGGGCUGGUUUUGAUUGGAGAUUGUAUUAUAAUAUUCCUAAAUUAAAAUAAUUAUAAAUUGCUUUGUGAAUAAAGAAGAUUGAAAAUGGAAACUGCUGGUUUUUAGCAAAAACCAGAACCCACUGUCUUGUCGCUUGUUUUCUUUUCCUCUUUGGUUUUCUUUUUACUAGCCGCCUUCCUCAGUCGGUACCGUUAAUUUAGGAUUUUAUUACUGCUUUGUUCAUUUUUGGUAACUUAUUACUCCUUAGUAUUUUAUAAUUAGUAUAAAUUUAUCUUAAUAAUAAGUAAUUAAAAUUAAAAAUUAAAUAUAAUUAAGUGUUGAAUUUUUGUGAUGUUGUAAAUAUAAAACAAGGUGAUAUUUUUGUGAUCUUACAAUGCAAUACAGUCGGGGAUGGCAAUUUCGGGUAAUGCGUCUUGUUCGUGUCAGCAAUCAGGUCGAUUUCGGGUCGACUUUGAGUCAAGCUAAAAUCAUUUAAAAUUAAAUAAAACUGAAAAUUGAAGUUAUUAGAAACGAAAUUCUAAUUUGGGAUCAUUUCGGGUCUAUUUCGUGUUAAUCGGGUGAUUUUCGGAUCAUUUUUGGGUUUUGUCUCAGUAAAUCGGGUUGUGGAUUCGGGUCGGGUUCGAGUCUGGUUCGGGUCGUGUCUAAUAUUGUCACCCCUAAAUACAAUACUUAAGUUGACAAUAUUUUUUAGUGGAGAAAGCAAAAUUGAUGAAAGUUCCGGAACAUGCUUUACAACUUGAACAAAUAUUCAAAUUGACUAACGUAGAAUAUUAGAGGACCAUGUAUUAGCAGCUGGCAGUUAUGUAGAAUAAUCGAUAUUGUCCACUCCCUAAUCAGUAAUUAUCAGCUUAAACCAUGCCCUUGUUUUUUGUUUUGUUGGUUUUGAUAAUUGUAUAGUGCCUAUUGUAUUGCAAAACUGCUGAUAAAACCACUAAUGACCGGUGGUUUGUGUACUUGCCUAUUUUUUCACCUAUUCUAUACUUUUGAUAUAUAAAAAAAAUAAAAAUAAACCAAUUGGAUUUAUUGUUAUGGUUAUCCACUGUCCAUGUGGUACCUUUACAGUUUACACCAAACCAACUCAUUAUUAUAAACUAAACAGGUCUACCCGAUAAGAAUCGAAAUCCAAACUGAAUUAUAUACUCCCUUCGUUUCAAAAUAUAUGUUAAUUUAAAAUAAAAAAAAUUUGUUUCAAAAUAAUUGUUCACUUCAAAUUUCAAUGUAAAUAGUAUUUCCAAAAUCAACUCUUGUUCACAUAUUUCAAAUUUAUAUUUCCAAGAUUAACCAUAUACCACAUAUUAGGUUCAAUUAAUAAUUUAUAAGAUCUCUUUUUUCUCAAAAUCUACUUUUCCUAAAUUAUGUGAUUUUUUGAUGGUGGACAUAUAAUUUGAAACUAAAGGAAUAUUUAAUUAUGUUGGUAAAAUCAAGAAAGUCAAAAUCUGGAAUUGAAUCAGACAAAGUUCAGGAAUAUUUUUAAUACAUUCUCAAUCCAACAAACUUUUUAUGAAGGUAUAAUUUUCAAUAAGAAAGGUAUAAUUUUUACUUAUGAAUUGAUUGGAGUCUCGAACCCACAUAGCGAUAUCAUGUGACGAAAGUCUCAAACCUUGAAAUAUUAGAAGAAGGACAUAUCAUAUUUUAUUCUAAUAGUAUCUAUUUAGUCUGCACCAGACAUCCCAAUGUAAUGCUGGUUAUGCAAUCACAAUUCCAGGGCAGCCCCAAAUGGCAGCGACCAUGCAUUGACUAAGAUUUUGCUCUCUGCCGAGAUGUCAUAACCUCCGAGCUUUGCAUCAUCAAGGUACAUGUGAGGGACUAAGAGAGGAACACAAAAAUAUUAUGCUAAAAGAUGGGUAGAAUUCACAGAAAUUUCCUGUUGAUUUAAGAUAAAUGUAUAUCCGAUUUAUAAAAUAAUCAAAGAUUUUCUUUUCAGCAGGAACAAAUGAACAGAGAUGGGAUAAAAUAGAACAACACAUGCCUUCAAAUGCACAAGUCAGACUCUGAGAACAAGAGUCGGCUGCUUCUAUUAGCCUAUCUCAAUCCAAAAAUUAGUUUCACAUCACGGCCAAGCACAUGUGAAACACUUCACAAAGAACUAGUGGCACGAACCACAGUUUUAGAGAAGCCGACGCUACAGCCUAAGUUGCUCCCUUAGUUCCUCCCAUGCCCAGGACCCUCAAACUUGUUAUCUACUAUCUAGUAUUUGCAUCCUAUCUUAACUUCAAAACAUAGCAUUAGAAUCAUCACAAUAAUUGAAAAUACACAGAGAACACUUCUCUACUAAAUCCAAAGUUGCAGUAUACUUCGGCCUUUAUUUUUCAAAUUCAUAGAACUGCAGAAACAACAGUUUCUAAUAACUCCACAAUUUGACAAUCAAAAGUAAAGAUAAGAAGAGACACCAAUUAUCAAAUUGAUCUUGGCUUGGCAACCACAGUUGAAUGCUUCAGAAUUUGCAAAAGGAACUGUCCUCUUUUCUCUGCUGUAUCGAUCUUAGACUGUCCAGGAGGAGGCAAAAGCUCAAAAUUCUGCACCAGACGUCCCAAGGUAAUACCCAUAAUGGGUAAUGCAGUCAUAAUUCCAGGGCAGCUUCGCCUCCCAGCCCCGAAUGGUAGGAAUCUGAAAUCAUUUCCAUUUGUCUCAACAUUUGAUUCUUCUUCCAUGAACCUCUCCGGCCUAAACUCUUCAGGGUUCUUCCAGUGAGCUGGAUUGUUGGCAAGCCACCAUGCAUUCACCACAACUUUGCUCUUUGCCGGGAUGUCAUAACCCCCUAGCUUUGCAUCAUGAAGGUUCAUGUGAGGGACUAGAAGCGGAACGCCCAUUCUGAGGCGAAGAGUCUCCUUGAUCACAGCUUCAAGGUAGGGGAGCUUGUGGGUGUCGGGCUCAGUAACUUGAACUCCAACCCCAAGCACACUGUCUAUCUCAUGCCUCAGCUUCUUCUGAACUUCAGGGUGAUUUAUCAGUUCCGCAAUUGCCCAUUCAAUUGACCGUAGUGUUGUGUCAAUUGCUGUAAUAAUAUGAAAUUAGUAGAUACUACUUUCAAUCAGAUACCACGAUGAACAACUUGAAAUAAAUAUGUAGAGAUCAAAGAAAAUAAAUAUGGGAAGAAGCAAUCACACCAGCGAUGUCGAGGCCAUCAACAAUAUGAAAUAUAGUCUCCUCGGUGAUAUCUCCUUGUUGUUGAGCUUCUAAAAGGUGAUCCAGGGCGCACGUUAAGCUGUCGUUAUCUACUCUCCUUGUGUUUACAAGCAUCCUGUUACAAUUUCAUGAAGACACACUCGGGCUGCAUAUUAGAAUCGCUAAUCUAUUGUUGGCCACAAAACCGAAAUAGAUGAAGCUGGACUUGCUAAAAUUAGUUUUUAUAUAAAUAAAACAGCUUUUACAUUAAUGAUAGUUGUAAUAGCAGUGGCCAUUGGUUGAAGAUUAGUUGUCAGAGAAAUUCGAUCGGGUUUUACUAAAUUUAUAGCGACUCAUAUUUCAUAAUACAUCUGAUAAUUUGAAAUGACAACUCGAUUCAUAUCACUUGAAACGAUCAUUUGAUACUCAUAUUAUGUACUUAAGAUCAAGUUCAAUGUGGACUGAAUGAGACAUCCUUCUUUUGCAGGUAAUUUCAUAACAGAACCACAGAAAGACAGGCAUAAUAGUAAGCUGAUCGACUAAAGCAGAGAAUGAGUUGUGACUGAUACUUACUUCCGCGGAUCAACAAAAUUAUCCUUAAAAAGCUGAAACCUUUCAUCCUUAACUUGCUUGCAGAGUCUGAGAUAGCCCUUCAAGAAAGGGCGGAGAACAGGGAUAAAAUCUCCGUAAUUGUAAUCAAGGCUCUGAGUAAGCCUAAUACGCUCCCAACUCGAGGCCUUGAGCUUCAAUAACAAGGGAUCAUCUUCGCUCUCAAACCUCCUGCCGAACAUAAUCUUAUAAGCAUUGUUGUACAUCAUCAACUGCAGUCGCUUCCUUAACACGAUCCCAUUGGUGGAAGAUUCUGGAUUGGCCUUAACAUCUGCAACAACACGAGCCGCCUCAUCCUCCCAACCAAACCGGUAUCUUUGCACAACUUUGUUAGUAAAGAGAGGGACAGUCAAUAUGCGACGCAUUUUUCGCCAAUGCUCACCGUAGUUGGUGAACACCAAGUCCUGUCCAUUGCCUGUUACAAGUUGACAAACCAGUGUUAGUGAAGAUAGAAAUCUUAAAUGAGAAAAUUGGCAAAAAUAUCCUUAUUUGUAAAAAAGAUUUAUAAAAAUACGGUCAAAGUUGUAUAUGAGAUUGCAAUAUGUUAUAAAAAGUUGCAAUUGAAAUUGCAACACCGAAAAUAAUUGUUUUUCAGGUUGCAACAAUUACAAAACAAGAAAAGGGUCCUAGAUGUCACGAAACUCAUGUGUAAUGUCUAAAGUAACAGAACUUGGAGAAAUGGCCCCAAAUAUCAUUUAUUAACGCCGGAUUAUCCGACAUUUUGAUUUUGAAAGAAAACGCUGGAUUGUGUUGCGUUUGGUCCGAAAAAUUCUACAAAACACAACACGAUCAAACAUUUUAGGAGCAAGACACUACAUGAAAUAACGUUUAGGGUUUCAAAAUGCUAGAUCUUGUGGUAUUAGUAAGAAAACGAGGAUAAACGACGGACAAUCUCGCGUUUUGGAUCGUGAAAUGGUAGCUCGGGACCAUCUUUUCCGACACUAUUAUUUGGGGCUAUUUUCUUGAAAAUUGUGAUAAUUAGGGCCAGCCCCCAAUUGAAAUUGAGGUUACAACGUUGAAGACUUGAAGUAAUCAUGCAAAUCCCUUGCCUGUGAAGAUAUCGUAAACCAUAUUACUACAGCGAGAACCAAACUCAACACCCUGUGUGUGGAGUACUUGUUUAGCCAGUUCAGGUGAGGAAACAACCACCAAAUUCCGCACGCCCAUACGGAGCAGAAAGAGAUGGCCAAACCUCUUGGCGAAGUCCACAAGGUUGCCGUGGUUAAGAUCAUUGCCAACUUGUAGCCAGUUACCGAAUAUAGGUACCGGCGUGGGGCCUGGUGGGAGUUUGAAUUGCUUGCGCCGUAGCUUGGAGAUGAAGAUGGCUAUCAUGAUUCCGAGGAAGAUGCCCAGCAUGGCCUUCUCUAGUUCAAGGAGAGCAUCCAUCAUUUUACUUGUUUCUUUAUUUUUUGUUCAGUAGAAAUUUAAGAUGCUUGUAUAAGUACAAACUGUAUCACCUAAUUUUGUCUUUUGUGCGAAUAGAAUGACAGUGACAACUGUACACUGCUUUUCUUAGAUCAUGUUGAAGAAUUUUUUUGUAAACCGUUAUGAAACUUUGUGUUAAAAUUGUGCAUUUGAUAAGUACUCCCUCAUUCCCAUUUUAAUUGUCCACUUUGCACAAAUCACACAAAUUAAGAAGUAUUAAAUGUGAUAUGUUGUUAUCAUUGUCAUGCAUUGGUUAUACAAAUAUUCUACUAAGUUUUCAUUCAUUUUGGUUAAAAGUCAACAUUGUUUGCAUUGUAAACAAUGAAAAUUGUGUGAACUAGUAUAUGUUAACAUUGAAACUUGCUGUAAUUUGUAUUGAACAACGAAAAUGGACAAAUAAUAUGGGAAAUUUUUUCUUGACAAAGUGGACUAUUAAUAUGGGAAGGAGGGAGUAAUAUAUUUGUAUAAAAAAAUAAAUUUAUAUUUAAAAUAGAAUUUGAAUGUUAUUUUAAAUUUAGAAAAUUCAAAUAACAACAUAAAACUGGAAAUUUGAAAUAAUGUGUCACUUAAAAUUCAAAAUUUGAAAUAAAAUAUAUUUUUAAAACAUAAUUAUAUAAUUAGAUACAUUCACACGGAAUAAAAUUUCUUUAGUUCAUAACAAGAAUAUCAUGUUUCGUAGCUGACAGUCAAAAAUAUCAUUUGAACACACAUUUUUAAAAUAAGUAUUUCAAGAUACGCAUUUUUAUAUGUGUGUGACAUGUAAAUUACAUUCGUUUCAAUGUUUUUUAUUUUUUUUUUAAAAAUUAAAUAAGCAUCAUCAGAAUGGAUAUUCUACUCCCACAGUCCCACUGUACCCAUAUCCUUCUUAGGGUUUUGUUUUUCAAUCCAAAAAUCUAUAAUAUCAGCACCGCGAUCAUCAUCAUCAUAUGUAAGUUACUCUGUCAAGAAAUUGGAGACACCAAAUAUGAAUAAAUUGAAUUAUUUUAUAAUCAUAUUUUUAUUAUUAUUUUGAAAAAUAAUAUUCCCUCCAUUUCAUUUUUCUUAUCAUUAAUCAAAAUUCACAUAUUAUUUAAUCAUAAUUAUAAAUUAUAUAUUAACCGGAAAUUCGUAAUGGUUUUCAUAAAAUAUAAAAUAUUCAACAUUUAACUUUUCACAUUAAUUUAAUAUGGACAACAACGAAAUAAGGAAUAGACAUUAAUUCUCAGUCAUUGAUAUAUUUUAACAUAUAAAAUAGAAAAGGCCUAAAAAUUAUUUGAAAUAUAUAAUUUACGAAUUUUAAUUCUGACUUUAAUACAGUAAAGUUUUUGUCAUAGUUUCAACUUCCAACUGAACCCUGCUAUGUCCAGUACGCUGAUUCUCCCUAAAUACCUUAAUACUGUGAGCUUUUCUACCGGUCAAAUUGACAAAGACUGAAAUUUAUUAAUAUUUUAUAAAUUAAAAACAUAAAAUAUAUAUGACACCGGAAAUAACUUCUAAUCUACUUCAAAAUUUUUAAAUAAAUGAAAAAGAAAAUUAUAAUAUCUUUCGUCAAAACUUAAUCAAGUUGACCAACAAAAAUAAAAAUGUGACAACUAAAAAAGGACGGAGAGAGUACGUGUGAAAUGAGCAAAAGGCUCAUCUAAAUUGGGAUGGAGAUAAUAUUUCAUCUAAUUAGGGAUGACAACGGGUCGGUUUCUUGAGAUCCAGACCCGAUCCAUUAUAUUUCGGUUCGGAUCGGGUCUGGGUCCGGAAAAUGAAGAUCCAGAUCUAAUCUGUCGGGUCUUUUCGGGUUCGGGUCUAAUUCGAAUAUUUUUAAAAAAUAAAAUUAAAGAUUAUAUAUCUAUAAAAAAACGUGAUUAUUGAUUUUUUUUUUAAUUUAGGAAUAUAAAAAAGAGAGUUACGGGUUUCAUUUAGUACAAUGAACACAUGAAACAUGUUAACUUAAUUGUAUACAAUCAUUCAACUUAUAAUUUAUAUUUUAUUAUUUUUAUUAUAUUUAGAUUUUUUUAACGUACAAUAAUUGAGACAAAUAUAAUAUUGAUGAAAUGAAUAUAAAUUAUGUAUUGCGCAUUUAAAAUUAAGUAAAAUGUUAAUAUUUGUACCUAAUAAUUCAUAAUAUAUAUAUAUAUAUAUAUAUAUAUAUAUAUAUAUUAUUUUGUAUCGGGUUUAAAUCGAGUUUCGGGUUUAAAUCGAGUUUCGGGUUUCGGGUCGGGAUACCUCAGAUCGUCCAGACCCAAACUUUUUCGGUCUGAAAAUAAGAUCCAAAUCCGGAUUCAAAUCCAAAAAGUCGGAUCCGAGCGGAACGAGUCGGGUAUGCAUCGGGUUGGAUAAAACUGUCAUUCCUAAGUCUAAUUCCGUCUUUUCUGCUGCAUUUCAUAGAAUAUGACAAGGGCGAUAGUUGUACACCACUUUUGAUACAUGUACAGACAUAGUUAGGUGAGUUAGUAUUGAUUAGUUACAAACAAAUGAGGCGUUACAUUCAAGAUACAUUUUAUUUUGCUAGAAGACCAUUGCAUUUUUUACAAAAAUUUAAGGCUUGUUGGUAAUAUAACAAAAAAAAAAAAGAGGAGUGCUCUAGCAAAUCUUCCUGUUACAAUCCAGAAUAAAUGGCUACAGGAGUGAUGGAGGUGACACUUGUGAAAGCCCGAGGCCUUAAAAACACCGACUUCAUCUUGGGUAUGUUUUUAAUCUCUUUCUAUCCACUUUUUUUUGAUAGUGAAGUAAAAUGGGAAAUCUUACUCGUCUUGAAGUUCUACGCAAAUUUGUCUAAAUUAAUUUAAAAAUGAAAUAUUAUUUUAGUUUCUUUAUUUUAUAUAUUAUUUUAUUAUUUUGAUACUGCAUUCGAAUGGAUUUACUUAUUUUGAUACAAGUUAAUUUGCACUAUUAACUACUUGUAUCUCCCAUCUUCCGAUUACAAAAGGUGGUAAGAUCGACCCGUAUGUUGUGAUUCGAUACAAAGAUGAGGAGCAGAGGAGCACUGUGGCCAAAGGUACAAACAUUUAUUAUAGUCCUCCUGCUAGCUUUAUUAUUUUUAUAUUUAGAAGCGGCUUGGUUUUUCGAUUUUGAACUUCUUUUAUUACAUUGCUGAGUGAUCAAGCCUCUGUUUAUUUGUUAGAAAUUUAGUGUUCAUUUAUCUUGCAAAAAUUAUUUUCAGAAAUAUAAUAAACACCAAAAAAUAGGAUUUCCUUAAAAAUAUUUUCUGUGUUAGUUUGAUCUCUUAAGAUGGAUUUUUUUAGAGGUGGAAAUUUCUUUUAAUUUUUUUUAUGAAUUUCAAAAAUUUGACUUCCCGUAGCAAAAAGGAAAAACGUGAAAUUGAGAAUUUUCUAUCAAAUUACUUUUUAUAAAUUUUAAAAUCGUCAUAUAGUGAAAAUAUUUUUCAAAAAUGAUUUCGAAAUGGAUAUUUCCUUUCCAAAGAAUUAUUUUUUAUUGAAGAAAUAUUUUUUCAAAAGUAUUUUUCAAAUUCUAGCACACAGGCGUGCAAAGUAGCUUGCAAUAAAAUAUUAAAAUUAUUGUUUGGUAUGUAACAUGGCUAUAUGUUUGAAGCAGGGAAGGGAAGUGAACCAGUUUGGAACGAAAAAUUUGCAUUCAGCGUGGACUAUCCCGGUUCAGAUGAUGAGCACAAGCUCCUUCUCCAUAUCAUGGACAAGGACACUUUCUCUGCUGAUGAUUUCCUCGGCCGCUCCACGUAAAUUUUCUUACCCUAAUUAUUAUCUUAAAAUAAUAGACAGCUUAUCCUAAACAUAUGAAUGAUAUUUGCAUACAUGAGAAAAAAAUGCUCAAGUUGAAUUUAGCAUUAAGAGUCUGUUUGUGAGUGAUGUUUAAAUUUGUUGUACUGUCAAAAAAAAUAUUAGUUGAAAAGUCGAAAAAACUGCUUUUAAAUUUACCAAACAAUUUUUCACAUGUUUUUUAGCAAAAACUGUUGUUACCGUCUGGAACAGCAACCCCACACAACACCUAAGUUGUCGAGGACUCUUUUUCCGCUGAACCUUCUAAUGUACUAAUAAUGAAUUAUGCGGAACAUCCGAACAUGUAAUAAUAAGUCUGAAAAGCUUUCUUGAAUUUGUAGAAUUUACUUGAACGACAUCUUUGAGUUGGGAGUGGAAAAUGGGACUGCUGUAGUGGAGCCUACUAUCUACAGUGUCGUGGAUAGCAACCAAAGGUACAGUGGGGAGAUUCAAGUUGGCAUCACCUUCACACCAAAGGUAAUUUUAUACGAGUAUUUAUUUAGAAAAACAUAUAUCAUCACAAUGAAAAUUAAUCUUGUAAUGUUUGCGUGAUGAUUUUUUACAUUUUAAUAGAACUCCUCAAAAAAAGUCUCAAAGUUUGAGAUCUUCGCAUUUCCUCAGGGAUAUAUAUAGUGUUUAUACGUUUACCAUAAUUCCAACCAUCAGGCUUGUUUGAUAAUUGGUGGUUAGGAGUUAACAAAUUGAAUAAUUGUUUUAACUAGUGAUUGUAGUAAUUGUUUUGAAUUUCAGAUUAAAUUUAGUCAUUUUAGCUGAAAUUAUUUGAUAAACAGUUGUUCGAUUAGUUUUUUAUUUUAACUAGACACAUAUCAGUCCUCCAAUAUGAUGGCUCUAAUCAUUAAUUUUUUCUCAAAUAUCAAACUUUGGCCAUAACAAGGAUGUUUGAUUUAAAUGGUAAAUAGGAAAUUGCGGAGUAUGCCUAAAAUGUAGUGUAGAGAACAUUUCAUCUAAAAUAUUAAGGUGUUAGAGGAAGCCCAUUUGGGAUCUUGUACUUAUAUUUCUAACACUUAGUGUGUGUAUAUAAUUUUUAUUUGGCCUAUUAUCACCUCCUUAUUCAUCAUAUAUUGUUUAAAUUUAAUAGGUUCAGGCGGAAGAAGUUGAAGACUUUGGAGGAUGGAAGGAGAGUAACCCUGAUUAUUUUCCCUGAUUGCACAAAGCAAUGGUUCUUUGUUUGAUCCGUUGGUUUAAGGGGAAAGUUCGGUUAAACUUUAUUGUUCUCUUUAAUAUUUCAGACUUUUGUCGUUCAAGUGAAUUUCCUGAAAAUUAUGUAAACGUUCUUCCGUGAAAGAUUGCGUUUCGACUUUUGUACUUUUAAGUGAUUUUUCGUGAAAAUUAUGGUUUCCUUGUGCGAAAUAAUUAAUCAUUUUCAUGUUUUUUUUUUUGACGGAAUCAUUUCGAUGUAUGUGUUGUGUUUUGCUAUAUAAAAUCAUAUAUUUUCGACGUAUUUGGGCGAACAAGACAUGAAUGAGUAACAAAAUUGAGGAACGGAGAAUGAAGCAGCAUAGGAUAUCAUAUAUAGGUGGUGUUUGUUUGCAAGAAGUGCAAACUGCCUCUUCUGCUUUUUUUUAUCCAUUUGUGUAAAGACGUAGAAACCUUUUUAAGAAGCUGAGAAUGUCGGCUUCUAUCUCACAGCUUCUGCUUUUUUUCCAAAUAUUUUAUUAACUUAUUUACUUCUCACUUAUUUGUAAGUCAUUUUUUUAAGCUACCCCAAACGGUCUUAUAGUUAUUGAGAUUUAUGUUAAAAGAUCUUCUUCGAGUCAGUUUAAUCUCCUUUACAAUUAUUAAGGUUCUAAUAUAUAAAUUUUUUUAAAUAUCUGACAUGUUUUUCAAUUAGAGGUUAGUUGAUGAAUUUUCUUUCGAUUUUUUUUUUUUUUGAUCUGAUAUUAAAAAUCUGUACGAGUGAGUAAAAGAAAACCUUUAAUCCAAGUUAAAUUGUAAUUUUGAGAAUUUAGUCAAGGUUGCAAUUAUGCUUCCAAAAUUUAAAUUAUAAAUUAUAUACAGUAAAAACCUUUGAUGACAAUGUAAAACCAAAUCAAAUCAUUCAUGCUUGUUCAAACUUAGAACAAAUUAUUACUCCAUCUCAACUAUUUCUUUACUCUCCUUUUACCUUCUCCAUUUAAGAUAUUUUUUUCUAAUUUUUUAUAUUUUAAAACUUAUCAAAUAUAAUAAAAUUGUUAUAUAAAAAUCAAUUAUUCUCACUAUUUUUUCUACUAUACUUAUUAUAUAUAUAAAAUACUAAGCAUAUCUCACCACUAUCCUCACUUUUCCUACUUUUUAAUUCUUAUUUUAUUUAUCUGUUACGACAUUAAUUAUCUAGAUAGGGUAACUGAGAGCAUCUUCAAGGGUAAUGGUCCUGUUUGGAAGUUAGAUGUUUGGGCAAAAAUUAGAGGUUUGAGGUGAUUUAGAGAUUUGACCACUAAAAUCCGUUAAUUUUAGUGUUUGGUAGUUAACGGAUUGAAGCAGAGGUUUGGGUCCAAAAAGCUAAUUUUGAAAAACUAUUUUGAGGAGUUUUUUGGAUUAGAGUUUUUGGUUUGUGUCGGAAAAAGUUAAUCAAUCAGUUAUUUACCAAACAGUUUUACAAGAAACAGUUAAUUCAAUCCGCUAGUCAAAACAUGUAAUUCAAUCAGCUAGUCAAAACAUCUAAUUCAAUCCGCUAUCAGCUAACCGCUAUUUCCCAAACAGGGCCAAUAUUUAAAUUCGUUAGCUAUAGUGGAUAAUGGAUUAUACAAUUUUUUUGCUAAGAGUAAGGAUAUGCACUCCAAUGAUGUUAUGUAUAAUUAUUAUAAGCUAAAAUUAUACCUAAUAUUAGCUUUUUUGGUUGAAUGAUACUUAGUUAUCUAUAAUUUUUUUGGUAAAAAAUGAUAGUUGGAGUGCUACUUUUUUUACAUAUAAUCUAAAAGGGGGCCACCUAACACAUAGGAUGACACGGAGAUUUUUAGCUCACAGUUUUCAACCCACAGAGAUGCUCUGAGUCAACUGACAGGUGGAACUACUUAGAAUGUUAUUUAAUAACAUCUAAAAUCGUUUUAUCGAGUCUGCUGGCACGGAAGCCGACUUAGCUCAGUGGUAGAGCGCGUGACUUUUAAUCCCGUGGCCGUGGGUUCGAUCCCCACAGUCGGCGUCAUUAAGUAUUUUGCCCUUUUUUAUCCUCCUCCGUCUCAUUCCCUACAAAAUUAAAAAAUACAUCUACGAGACUUCUCACACACCAAACUAAUGAAAUUAGGAAAAUACAGGUGAAAUUGUGGAUUUCGUAAAAAGUAUCACUGGUUAAUCAAUUUGAUUGGAAACAACCAUUUUUUUUAGAGUUGUAAUUGAUAGGGUAUAACCCGGAUUGGCUUAAUCUGGACCCUGGAUUGGCUUAAUCCGGACCCGAACACGAUAUGACCCGGAGAUGAUCCCGGACCCAGGAGACGAUCCCGGACCCAGGAGAUGGUCCCGGACCCAAACACAACCUAUCCACUCUUCUCCCGGACCGGGACACAAGAGUCCAAGCCGACACCUGAACAAGCCACAUUCUAACAUGAAAAGGAUUGGCUUAACCCGGACUCUGGAUUGGCUUAAUCCGGACCCGAGCACGAUAUGACCCGGAUAUGGUCCCGGACCCUGGAGAUGAUCUCAGAACCAGGAGACGAUCCCGGACCUUGGAGAUGAUCUCGGACCCCGGAGAUGAUCCCGGACCCAGACGCAACCUAUCCAUCCUUCCCCCGGACCGGGACACAAGAGUCCAAGCCGACACCUGAACAAGUUGCAGUCUGACAUGAGAAGGACAAUACCCAAUGCCAGCUGCUGACACUAUGAAGACAAACCUCAUAACACUCCAAAAUACUAUUGCUUAGCUGACACCUGGACAUGUGUUAAGCAUCCAAGCCCUACAGAUGGACAGCAGGAUCCAAGGUACACAUCCUUAAACCCUAAUCCUUGGCCUAUAAAUAGACCAAGGAUGAGAGGCUUAAGGAUCUUCUUCUCCACACUCUCAUAUUUCUCACACACUCUAAGCCACCAUACACAGCAGCCAUACACCCUCACCCACCACACAUAGAUAGCUCAUUUCCCGUCUAUCUAUUUUCCGACGCCUGUACUCAUUCUCACGCCGGAGGCGCCGCGGGGCUCAAACCCCCCUCCGGUGUUGUUUUGCAGACACCCGUCCAGCAGCUACACCGCAAGACACCAGUACACAGCGGAGGAAGCACCGGAACGGGAUUUGACGUUAUCAGUAAUAACAACAUUAACAUCCCUUUUAUAAAGACGUUUCCAUGCGACGCUGAAUAAAAGUUGAUAAAUCUUAUUGCCAUUACUAGUUUCCAGGAGAUUUUCCUAACAAAUUCACCACCACUCUACUCAGUCCUCCUGCAUUAAUUAGUGAUAAAAAUCCAGUCAUCUGAGCACCGGAGUGGACUGUGCUUAUGCUAUGACUUUUUCUUUUGACAUAUGGGUGCUUAUGCUAUGACUUUUUCUUUUGACAUAUGGGUGAUUUUUGUUUAAAAAUAUUAUAAUCCCCUCCCUAUUAAUUUUAUUUAUUAUAAAUGUGAAAUAUUAUAAUCUCAUUAAUUUAUAUUUUAAUAAUUAUUGUAAUUAAUUUUGAUGAGAUUAUAAUAUUUGUGAAAAGGAAAAUAUUUACAAUUCAUAAAAAAUUAAAAAUAAUACAGUGUCAUGAUAUAAAGUCUCUCGUAAUGAUAACUAAAAAUUUUAAAAAUGUUAUGACUGAAUUUAGCAUGAAGGAAAGGACAAGGGCGCGCCCUUCCCGGAGUAAUUCCGAGGGCACCGCCCUAAAGUGCGGGGUUGACUGAAGGCGCGUGGAGAAACGAGAAUGCGAGGACUUAGGGCGCGCCCUCCAUGGUCGCGCCCACAGGUAAACUUAUUAUGUGUGAGGAUGAGUGAGUCUCGAUGACGACCCUUCCGAGGGAUACGAAGACCUACCCCUCCGGGGGAUAUAACUACCCUUCCGAGGGAUAUGAAGACUAGUGCCAGGCUCAUCUGGAAGUUAUCAGGCUCAUCUGGUAGUUCCCGGGUUACGACCGGGCGUGAUCUAUAAUCCCCAAUCCUGCUAUCUGCCGGGUUGUCCUCGUGCGGGGGCUUGGGGUGAUCAUGGUUGUAGAAGGCCCUCAGGGGUGACAUGAAGGCCGAUCAUAUGUCUGGGUCCUGUAUUCUGGUGAGUUAGCCCUCAUUGGGGGACUGAGACGAUCGUGUAACUUGGCUCCUUACUUGUCUUACCUCUUAGUGAGAACCUUCACUAAGGGGGAAGGGCGCGCCCUACACCUCAGGGAAUUGGUCACGGCUCUACCAAGAUGUCUCCUCCAUGCUACGAAAAGUAGCGGUUAGUGUCAUCUCUCGUAGUGGGGAUGAUGCCGUAUCCGUGAUGUACUUGGACUAGGAGUCUGAGGUAGUUGCCUCAAGGCUUAAUUCUAACUGGAGUAGAACUCUAAGUGAUAAGUCACCGGCUUAAGAUUGGUCUUAUCCCCAAGAAGCCUAGUCUUGAUCAAACUAGGAGUCUUGGUUCAAUAGAACUACGUAUGGCUUGAUCCCCUAUAAAUAUAGGGGUACGUAGGCACAUUAGGGGAUCAUGAGUUGAGAGCACGUGAGACCAACUCAAAACCCUUAUCUCAGCCACCCCUAAAACAAACAACCACCACUCUCCGGCAACCAAAACCACCGUCACAGAUCUUAGCUAUGAACCUCAUCUUUGUUGAUUACCAAAUUCCUCUAUCAACAAAUUGGCGCUAGAAGGAGGGGCCUAUUAUUCGUUUGUGGAGGACAAACGAGACCAAACAAAUAGAAUGUCGCAGUGUCUGAUUUAUGGUUAAAAGACGAAAUCGUGACUACACGUCUUUUAAGAAGAUAGGUGGUUGAUUACAGGAUAGUGUAUGCAGGUACACGUACUCAGGCACAUCUACGGCGGGACGUGGAUGAUUGGCGCAGCAGCAGCGUGGAAAAGGCCACAUAUUAUAACAAUGUUUUUUUUUUUGUUUUGUUUUGUAAUUAACAGAAGCCUAACAAAAACAAAGGACGCAUGUUUUUUAAUCGGAGUCCGGAGAAGCACCACGGAGGACAGAGGUCAUUAACAACAUGCAUGGAGCAGGGGCUACAAGUAGAGGUGGCCAAACGAACGAGUUCAAACGGAUCGACUCGUCUCGGCUCGCCUUUUAACUCGUUGAAUACCGGUACGCCGCGAGACGAGUUAAAACUCGCCUCAUCUCGUUAAUCUGUACGAGACGAUCACGAGCCUGGGUUUGAGAAAACGUGGACGCCUCGUCUCGGCUCGUACGUAUCGGCACGCACGCACGACUCGCGCCAACUCGUCUCGGCCGUCUCGCACGUCCACGACUCGUCUCGCACGUCUCGGACUCGUCUCGCACGUCUCGGACGUCUCGCCUCUGUCUGCACGCGCACUCUGCACUCUGCAGCAAGUCUGCACUCUGCAGCAACAGCAAGCCAGCAACACAGGCGGAGAUAGCGACCACUCCAUCUUUGCAACGGCUAGCUAGCAACUGUCCUUCCCAACGGCUAGUUCUUCCAAACGACUGAACCUGCAGGCUGCAAGGCUGCAGCAAGCAACGGCUCCAAGGCUCCGACUUCCGAGCAACGGCUCUUAAUCAGUUCCUAUAAAUAUGCAACGGACCUCCAUGCCUAUCACACCAGCUCUGAUUCUCUGAACUUCUAUCCCCAUUCUUUUACUCUCUCUCAUUCUCUUACUCUCUUGAAUUUCUCCGUCACUCACAAGUCACAUCCGGCGUGCUUAAAAUUUUCCGGCGAGUUACAAUAUUUUGUCAAGCUUUAUUUAAUUAUCCUACAAGCUUUGUUUUACAAAUGGCUGAAGGCACAGGCACACGAUCAUCACAAGGAUCCACCCAAGCUACUUCGAUGCGACCCCCUCGACCCAAUACUCUGGAACCCGGUUAGUUUUUAAAAUUUAUUUAAUUUUGCUUUUUAAGUGUUUUACUAAUUUUAUAUCCGAUAUUAAUUGAUAUAUGUUUUAUUUUUGUAGGCAAUGCUUCGGGUUCGCUCUCAUCAUAUGUAUGGAACUAUUUUUCCCGAGAAAAAAUACCGGAAGAUCCGAGUCAUUAUAGGCUUUUUUGUUUACUUUGCAUCGAAAAGGGCAAAAAUCCAUCACCUUUGAUGCAUCCUAAAGGGGCCGGUACGGGUGGACUUGAUCGUCAUUUGAAAAAACAUCACGGAAUAACGAAAGAAAAUCACGAAAGUGGAGCGGCACGUGGAGGUACAUCGCAACAAACUCAAAUUGGUGGUUUUAUGACUUCGUCUCCCGGUGGAGGUAUGCCUUUCGCUUAUAAUCGAGAUAGAAUGAUCGAACAAUUUGCCACUUAUGUUACGUUAGAUGAGUUACCUUUUUCACAUGGAGAAAGUGAUAAUUUAGAACACAUGAUAAAAACUAGCAUAAAUCCCGCAUUUAGAAGAAUUCCUAGGAACACACUUAAACGUCACACACAAAAACAAUAUUAUGGUCAACGAGCACAAUUAAUAGAAUAUUUUCAUGAUUUUGAUGGUAUGGUUUCUUUAACUAGUGAUUGUUGGAGUUCGAGUCAAGGUGAGCCAUUUAUUUGUGUUACCGUGCAUUGGAUUGAUUCUGAUUAUUAUUUACAAAAACGAAUAAUUGCAUUUGAUGUUAUGGAUGAGAGACACACCGGUUACAACAUUAAACAAAGAAUUUUAGAAACAAUAAAUGAAUUUAAUUUGCUUCACAAGGUGUUUACGAUAUCCUUAGAUAAUGCGUCUUCGAACAAUAAAGCUAUGGACUAUAUUAGGAAUGAUAUUCCCACUAUAAUAGAUGGCGUUUUUUUGCAUGUUAGAUGUUGUGCACAUAUUAUUAAUUUAUCGGCCCAAAAAGGAAUUGAACAAAUAACUUUAUUGUUGGAACCCAUUAGAAAAAUAGUUAAGUAUUUACGUUUAGCACACUCCACAAGAUCUAAAUAUAAAAAAUUGUGUAGAGAAAACGGGUUAAGGCCGAAGAAGUGGGCUAUUGAUUGUCCAACGAGAUGGAGUUCGACUUAUAAAUUACUAAAAGAGGCAAUUAAAUAUAAGGUAGUUAUCACUGAGUUGUAUAAUUCCGACCCGAGAAACCAAAAUGAAGAUGGAUUGAUUACUGAAACGCAGUGGGAGCUAGCAACUAGCGUACGUGAUAUACUUGAAUGUUAUGCACAUGCUACUAAUGUUUUUUCUUAUGUUUAUGAACCAAAUGUGCAUCAUGUUAUUAUUGAAUGUGUUAGUAUUGUUACUACUUUACGUGAUUAUGAAAAAAAUCGUCAUUUUGAAAAUAUUAUUUUUGACAUGAAAGUUAAGUGGAUUGAAUAUUUUUCGGAGUUCCCUUAUAUUUAUGGUGUUGCAUGUCUUCUUGAUCCCGGUGUUAGAAUGGAAGGUUUGGAAAAUAUGUUAGAACAUUAUUACGAAGUUUUAGGUGUUCAAUAUGAUUAUACUCUUUAUGUAAGGAAUUGUUUAAAUUUAUUAUACCGUCUUAUAGAUAUAUAUACUCCCAAAACUCCAAAUGUUGUACAACCUAAGCCUACUGGUACUAGUAGGUUUAAUAGUACAAUUAGUGGUAUAUUAACAAAAAAACAAAAGGUGAGAAUUUCAACUACAUCUACCACAUCUACACAAUCUUGUUCAACUAACAUGGUUCGUGAGUUUUUUUCUUAUAAUUAUGAGUUAGAUGAGGAUUUUUCGAUAUUAACGUGGUGGAAGAAUCAUGAGAAUCAAUUUCCGGUUUUAGCUAAAAUUGCGAGAGACAUUUUAGUAGUUCCCGCUUCUACAAUUGCAUCGGAGUCCGCUUUUAGUGCGGGAAGAAGAGUAUUGGACGAAAAAAGAUCAAGUCUAUCUCCGGAUGUCGUAAAAAUAUUAGUUUGUAAAAAAGAUUGGGAUCAAGCCGCAAAAAGACAACAAGGAAGGAAAGAAGAUGACUCGGAAGGAGAAGACGAUGUUUGGAUGACAAUGGACACUUCAUCGGAAUCGGGCACGUCGGCGAUUCAAGAACAAGAACAAGAAGAAGAAUAAAAAAUUAGUUUUGUGUUUACAUGUAAUUUAAAUGUAAUUUUUAUAUUUCAAUUUAAAUGUAAUUUUUUAUUUUUAUUUUUUUAAUGUAAAUGCGGUUUGUUCCGUUUUUUAGAGAGGAGUCCUCUCAAAUCAGUUGUAAUUUUUUUUAAUUAAUAAAAUAAAUAGAGGUACCGUCCUCUUUUUUUUAUUACAUAAUAAAUUAAUGUAAAAACAAGUCAAAAAAUGGAUAUACAUCUCUGUGAUUUUCUUUCCUUUUCAUCAGUAGCAAACUAGCAAUUUAUUGAUGCCUUGAAUCUUGAUAGAUUCAAUAAAUUAAUGAAAACGACAAAGUUGGUCUGCAGACUGCAGCAUCUCUGUACAAGUUGGUCUGCAGAGACUGUAUCAUGACUCAUGACUCACGAGUUGGUCCACGAGUUGAACGUGACGAGUUCAACGUCCAGCUCGCCAACUAAUCCAAAGCAAACUGCAAAGUAAAAAAUAUACAUAACUCGUCCAACUCGCCAAACUCGCGAGUUGGACACGAGUUUAAUAUCCUUCGACUCGUCUCGUAUCGUCUCGUCUCGCUACCCUUACACGAGACGUCCACGAGUACACCAUUCAUCAACUCGUCUCGCCUCCGACUCGUCUCGUCUCGUCACGGGGCGCCCGUUUGGCCACCACUAGCUACAAGUUGUCCACACCGCCGAAUGAAAAGAUAAGUUUUCUUUUUUAAUUAUUUAAGUUAUUUAUUUGUUAAUUAUAUAUUUUUAUAUACGUAAUUUGUUACAAUUAUUUUGUAAUGUAAUAAUUAGUAGAAAUAUUUAUUUGUUAAGAGAUAUAAUAUUAUAAAAGUAUUGUUUUAUUUAUUAUAUGCAUGUUUAGAAAAAACUUAUAUAUUAUAAAUACAUUUUUACAAAGAUAUAUUUUAUUAUUAUUAUUAUUAUUAUUAUUAUUAUUAUUAUUAUUAUCAUCAUUAUUAUUAUUACUAUUUUUAACGUAGAACACUUUUUUAGAAUUUUUUGUGAAAAUCAGGCUUUUUACUCAAAAUACAGAUUAAAUGUAUUCAUAUUAAUUUGUUUAUUUUGUGGAGGAAUAUAUUCAUUACGUUUGAUUGAGUUUUUACAGGAAUUUAUUACUUGCGCGUGCUUAUGCCUUAAAGUAGUUUUGAGUUCUGUAAUAUUAGUUAUCAACUUGGCAAAGGCAUAAAAUUUUAUGGGUUAAGCAAGAAAGAGGUGGUAUGUGCACUGGCUUAUCCUCAAAAAUUAGGAGGUUGGAUAUGAACCAAUGAACAACGAGGGACAGGCGGAAUAAUUUCCUCCGCAUGAUCAACAACUCUGUUGCAACACGGCUCCUCAGCACCAAAUCAAGACCCGAACGACUUUCAAAAGAAAAAGGAGAUAAGAUUUUCUUUACUUAAAUUAUUUUUAGAUUAUGAGAUUAAUACUUAGAUUGAAUAUAUUAUGCAUAAAUUCUAUAUGCAUGACUAGCGUAAAAUAUUUUAUGCUAUUAGGAUGCAAAUGAGAUAUUUACUUACCAUUGCUAAUGCAUUUAUAUGGACCAAAAGAAUAACAGGCUAUGAACUGGAGGGGAAGAGAAAGAAAAACAAGGAAGGGAGGCCUGUCACCGUAAACAAGUAACAUAUUGCCGAAUCUUGCAAUGGCCGGGCGAAAAAGAUAAGUUCACCUUAUUUUAUUUUUGCAAUGAUAUAUGUGUGGUAGUUUAAUCUUUUAAAAAUAUUAACAUAGAUCCUUGCAUGAUAGUAUCAAUACUUUAUAUUUGGUAUUUUUAAAAAAUUUUGUAUACAUGCUUGGAGGUAUAGAUUUUUGUUUCAGAAAUGCGCAGGACAUAUUUAAAGGGCUUGAACGGGUUCCAACUUACAAAAUCCAGAGAUGUUGUUAGCAGUCAUCAAGUGACACUAGUGGCAACCAGGGAAUAUAAAGAUAAGUAUUUUACAUUUCCUUUACAAUUCUUUUAGUAUAUACCUCGGUGUCAUGCAUAUAAAAUAUAUGUUUAUAUAUGUUUAAUGUUGUGUAUUUCUAACCUAAUAUUUUAUUUUAGUGAAGCUGUUUUUAGACAGGGAAAGAACUUCAGGAAUUUCGUACGGCGCGCCUAGAUACGCCCUUAUGAAUGAGAACGUGCUAUCUCGAAAGGAUUUUUUGGAAAUAGCAUUUGACUUGCCAAGGUGCACCAUAAGAUAAUGUUUAAUAUUUAUUAUCAUGACCAUUGUUAUUUAAAUUUGUGCAGGAUGAAAAUGAUGCAAAAGGAAAAGGAUUAGGAUAUUUACAAGACGCGUCUCUCCCUAACAAGGUACGUCACGAGGUAAGUAAAUAAACUCUUAUUAUUUGUACAUGGAAAGUUUUAUGCAGGCACCCUUGAAACAUCUCUUAAGGCGCGCCUCCAGGUAAACUUUUUACAUCACCUUCGCAUGCUAUUACUUUCAAGUUUGUCGUGGUUUAAGUCUAUUGCAGGAAGGGGUACGCAUACUUGGAAACUUCAUAGAUUUUCUAGAAGUGGCGCGCCCUCCCCUGAAAAUGCUUCAGGGUUCGUGAGGGGCGCAUUUUGAAGGUGUAACCACAUGUGGUGAUGUGAGAGGAAAGGUUAUAAGCGGGGAGUUAUUCAAAUGGAGCCUAGCUCGAAAAGUUAUAAAGGGUGCGCGCCUCCCCCUGACAGGGCGCGCCUCCAGGUAAACUCCAACCCCCUCGUUAUUUCAUCCUAUAGAAAUAUGCCUUUAUGAAAUCGCUGGUAAUGUGGUGUUCGAUUACCCCCAUGAGGAAUGCACCUCUUGGCUUUGAUGAAUAGUCGCGCCCUCAGGUACGAAAUUUAUGAUAUGUAUUCCUGUGUCUACAUAAGCUCUUACAGGAAGCCAAUACGAUGAGCCCGUCACUCAUGGAAGAAAGAGGCGUGCCACAUCUAGCUAAUGUUCUGUCAGAGAACGAAUUGCGCGCCUCCCUCUGACAGGGCGCGCCCUCAGGUAUGUCUGAUGCAUUAAUUGCUUAAUAUGAUUUUAUGUGAAGCCAACCAUACGCAGGAAAGGAGCUCAAUAGUCUUGAGGAGGUCACGUCCCUUCUUAGGAUGCCCCCUUUCAGUAGUACUCAUCACUUGAGGAAGCGCACGAGGGCGCGCCCCAGGAUAAAAAUGUUGAGAAGGAAGAUGCUUCAAAGACAUUCCUUCUCCUAAUUGGACGCGCCCCGAGUUCCUAAGUCAUGCGCCAGGAUUAAUAUUUCCUGGGAGAGAGCGCCUCCCCCUAGCAGGACGCGUCAUGAGGUAACACUGACCAUCACUAUUGUUGUUAAGGAAGUCAUAUGUAUAUGAUUGUGUGCAGGUCAAGUCCAACAUCUUAGAGGAGCUGUCUGUCUUGAUUAGGACGCGCCCUCCGAUGGAUCAUGAUACUUUCAAAGGCAUUGUACAUUAUGAUCAUGGGCUCAUGCUAUUCAUACCAGUACACGCAAUACCUUUCAAAGGUCUACCUAAAUUAUCCAUGACUAGCUCUGGAUACUAUAUUUGCGCGUCCAUGAUAUGCUCUGGACAUUAUAUUUGCGCAUCCAUGAUACGCUCUGGAUCUUACCUAUCCAUGAUAUGCUCUGGACAUUAUAUUUGCGCAUCCAUGAUACGCUCUGGAUCUUACCUAUCCAUGAUAUGCUCUGGAUAACACUUUAUACUAUUGAUUCCCCAUUGAGCCAUAACCUCUGGGACCCGUGCGAUGCACCGGAGUUAUAUAAACCACGAUAAAAUUCGUGAUGCCCCAUACGGGAUGAUGUAUGGACUGGGGAGUGGUCUUUUUGAUUUUCUUAAGCAAGUGAGUCACGCGCGAAAAAGUAAGGCUGCGCCAAAAGUCGCGCCCUCUACUUAAUCCUUGGAAAAGAUCAAAAGAGCCCACAUUACAAGUAAGGCUGCGCCGUAGGCUGCGCCCUCUACUUAUACAGUCCUCGGAAGAAAAGAAAUAUUGCGAGUAAGGCAGCACCAUCGGUCGCGCCCUCUGCUUAGGCAAUUCUUUAGAAAAAGAUAAAAAAGGGGUCAUGUUAUAACAAGGCGGCGCCAUUCUGUAAGUCGCGCCUUAUAUGUACUGUUCCUAGGUAUCAUGGACACACUAAGGCUGAAAAACAGCCACAAACCUUCGCAUCCCGAAGGCGCGCCCUUCUUUUGUUGAAGUUCAUUGGCGCGAAUGUUAUGGUUGAAUGUGUCCUUUUGAAGGAAUAAGCGAAGCUGCGCCACUGUCAACGACAGAUAGGCCGCGCCCCCUGUUUUCUUUUAUCUACAUAAAGAUUGCUCAUUACUUAUGAACACAUCAUAAAAAUGCGCUAGCCUCAUACUUAGCAAUUUGCUAAAUGUCCAAAGACACUGGCAUUAUAUGUUUGCAAGGCGUGUGGCACAGUCUGCACCUUGAAAUAUCAAGGAAUAAUACGCGGCUUAAGUCGAGCCUCUAUGCGUGGACGCGCCCUCAGAAUAAUGUGUGUGGCACGGUAUAAAAAUUCCCUUGAUAUCUUCAAUAUCAAGAAAAUUUGGGGAGUACUUGUUAUGACUGAAUUUAGCAUGAAGGAAAGGACAAGGGCGCGCCCUUCCCGGAGUAAUUCCGAGGGCGCGGCCCUAAAGUGCGGGGUUGACUGAAGGCGCGUGGAGAAACGAGAAUGCGAGGACUUAGGGCGCGCCCUCCAUGGUCGCGCCCACAGGUAAACUUAUUAUGUGUGAGGAUGAGUGAGUCUCGAUGACGACCCUUCCGAGGGAUACGAAGACCUACCCCUCCGGGGGAUAUAACUACCCUUCCGAGGGAUAUGAAGACUAGUGCCAGGCUCAUCUGGAAGUUAUCAGGCUCAUCUGGUAGUUCCCGGGUUACGACCGGGCGUGAUCUAUAAUCCCCAAUCCUGCUAUCUGCCGGGUUGUCCUCGUGCGGGGGCUUGGGGUGAUCAUGGUUGUAGAAGGCCCUCAGGGGUGACAUGAAGGCCGAUCAUAUGUCUGGGUCCUGUAUUCUGGUGAGUUAGCCCUCAUUGGGGGACUGAGACGAUCGUGUAAUUUGGCUCCUCAAUGGUCUUACCUCUUAGUGAGAACCUUCGCUAGGGGGUAAGGACGCGUCCCUACACCUCAAGGAAUUGGUCACGGCUCUACUAGACGUCUCCUCCAUGCUACGAAAAGUAGCGGUUAGUGUCAUCUCUCGUAGUGGGGAUGAUGCCGUAUCCGUGAUGUACUUGGACUAGGAGUCUGAGGUAGUUGCCUCAAGGCUUAAUUCUAACUGGAGUAGAACUCUAAGUGAUAAGUCACCGGCUUAAGGUUGGUCUUAUCCCCAAGAAGCCUAGUCUUGAUCAAACUAGGAGUCUUGGUUCAAUAGAACUACGUAUGGCUUGAUCCCCUAUAAAUAUAGGGGUACGUAGGCACAUUAGGGGAUCAUGAGUUGAGAGCACGUGAGACCAACUCAAAACCCUAAUCUCAGCCACCCCUAAAACAAACAACCACCACUCUCCGGCAACCAAAACCACCGUCACAGAUCUUGGCUAUGAACCUCAUCUUUGUUGAUUACCAAAUUCCUCUAUCAACAAAAAACAUGAUUGGAAUCAAAGUAUCUGGAUUGGGAGGAAUAUUUAGCAUAGAGUCUUGUCUUUAACUUAAGAAAUAGUAUCAAAGUUCAUUCCUUGCCCACCAAGCGAAACAGAAGAAAUAGUAUCAAAGUCCAUUCCUCGCCCACCAAGCGAAACAGGUGGUUUCUUGAUCACGACCGGGUAUAGCUAAAGUUUCAAAGAGAUUUAGUUUUAGUAAAUUGCUUAAUGGUUAAAACGCCCAACCCAUAAUUGACGAAUUCGUAUACUUACUAACAUAGGAUAUGGUUCCAUUAUUUUGCAACAACCUAUUCUCUAAAUUUUUAUUAUGAAAUUACUUUUCUUUAUAAUGAAUAUUUAAAGUCGAGAUGUGCUCAUGAUUUGAUAUAUAUAUACAAAAUCUAGAACUAAAAUAUUUUCGCUAUAAAACAAUUAGGGCUGUAAAUCGAUACGGACUAUCCGGUGUCUCGGCUCAUAUCUGGCUCGAAAAUAUGAUACAUGUCUCAUAUCCGUUUUGAAAACGAUCCAAAUCUGGCGGAAAAAUUAAGCCCGUAUAAUAUAUGAUCCCGGAUACGAGCACACCUAUACCCGCUCAGAUUCGGUCUCAUAUAAUUUUUCAUAAUAUGAUCCUACCCGAAUAACCGAAUAUGAUCCACGGUUCAUAUUCCAUUCAAACUCAUAUACAUAUUAUAUUUUAACACCAUCAUGUUUGCAAAUAAAUAGUCAUCAUUUUAUAAAAUUAUAAUAUCUUAUUUAAGUUUUUAUCUUCAUAAAAUAUGAUUUAUUUAAUGUGAUCAUGGUUAUUAUCUUCAUAUAUAUUUAAUAAAUGACAUAUACCAACAUAUAAUUAUAAGUUUUAAUUCAAAAUUAUUAUACUUUAUAAUAUUAUGUUUACUUAGACUAAAUGAUAAUUAUUUGAACAACUGAAAUAAUAAUGAUAUUUGAUGUUAGUGGAUCACAUCAGGCUCAUAUUCGAUGGAUCAUAAACUACCCGGUUAAAAAAUAGAAAAUACGAUACUGGAUCAUAUCCGGUUCAGAUCCGAAUCUCAAAUACCCGAGAUCGGUUUAUACCCGAAUAAAAUGAUCCCGGACCCAAAUCUGGACAAGCUAAAAAUAAUAUGAUCCGGUACUUGAGCAGAGGGGUACCCGGGAUCACCUGGAUCAUUUUACAGCCCUAAAAACAAUCACAUAUAGGCUAGUAUAACGGUCGAUUAAUAGGGACUUCGAUCCUAUACAUAUAAUUUUAAUUUACUUCUAAUUAUGAUCAUGUCUUAUUUUAAAAAAAAUAUUAAUAAAUAACAUUCUUAUUGUAAUUCGCAUUUUCAAUAUAAACUAACCUGAGCGAAGAUAAUAUUAUCCAAUCAAGAGGUCGUUACUUGAAUCACGCGCUUUUGCUUUAAAUGUGCACGAAAUACAUAAUAUAACAUGUCUUGUGUUUCCAGAAACUUCAUUCAUAUAUGCGAAACAUCUAAUAGUUGGUCUAAGAUGAGGACAUAUUUUGUGCUCCGAAAGAUUUAUUUCAUACAUGUGAAACAUGUAAUAUUAUGUCGGGAUCGUACAUAACAAUCAAGCAGGUACACAUGACAUGUUGGCGGAUCCACUCACUAAAGGUUUACAAACUAGUAAAAUUUUUGUUCAACGUAUCUCUAACAUGGAUCUGACGAAGAUACUCCAACUAAUAGUCACUUGUUAUGUGAAGCUAAUACCAAGUAAACUCUUAUUUUGUCAAAAAAAAAAUUGUACUUCACAUCAUACUAUUGGUUUGUUGUUCUCAUUAUUGUUGCGCACUUGAGAAUUUAUAUUUAUAAGCAAACACGAGGGGGAGACCAUAUGAAUGGAUUUGAUAAUUAUACUUUAUUAAAAAAUCAUUUUAUACUAUUAUGAUUAAUGUUAAUUUUGUUAUGUGUUGAAGUAUUAAUGGUAUGAUCAACGAGGGUCUUGUGUUCAUUGUGAUAUAAAUAUAUUGCAUUGGCCUGCUGUAAUACUUUCGCUUAUACAGCAUGCAUGAAGAUAUUAAAUCAAUAAUUAGUCAAAUUAAAAAUGUAAAUUCAUAUUUUGGAAUAUAAGUAGUAAUACGGUGAAGUGGGAGAAUGUUAGCUUAUUUAUUUGUAGCCUACUACUUAUGUGAUUUAAUCAUUUACAUAAAUAUUGAUUUAAUAGAUUAUAUCUGGGGAUUGAUAACAUUAGAGUUUUAAAUGUUAUCUAGUGAAAGAAGAAAUGAAUAGUUCUCUUUAUUGUGGGUACGGAGCUAUAUAUAUUGUGAUGUACGAUUUAUAUUGUCGUAUCAUUAAUAAUUUAAUAGACAUAUACAUAAAAGUGUAGGUCUCUAUUGGCUUUUCAGUGCUAACAUCUUACGAAAUAUAAUUCCAUCCUUAUUAUUCAAAGAGACAACAGAAGUUUUAGGGGCCGUUUGGAUAAAUUUUAAAAAAGUGCUUAUUAAAAAAGUGGACUAGAAGUGGGAAACAAAUUAAAACUUAUAAGUGAUUAAACUGUGUGGGAAAUAAGCAGAAGUCCUGAGACAAAAGUUAGCAUUCGUAGCUUUUUAUAAGUGCUUCUGUCUUUUUAUACAAAUGGGUCAAGAAAAGUAGAAAUUAGCUUCUUCUCAAAAAAAGCCAGAAGUUUGGGUACCCAAUCGGGCACAUAAUCUUACAAGGUUGCAUCAAGAGCAGACACUCACAGUUGUAACUUACAAACCAUGUCAUCUCUCAGCUCAAGUGUGCACACGAUCAUACAUAUAUGUAUUGACUAAACACCUGAUCCAUUACUUUUACAUGAUGGAGUCUUUGUGGUGAUAUAGUACAUAAUUCAUAUAUAUAUGCGUGUGUGUUUACAGAAAUAUCAUUUCCACCAUUUCAAACAACAUAUCCACUUUUAAGAAAAUCAAAUGAGUAUAAAGAAAUUUCUAUACAUAAUUAUAGUAUUUAUUAUAUUCACUAAAUAUAAUAUAUGGGAUAUAAUUGAUGUUAUAAAUAUAUAUUAUAGAUAUGGUUUAAAGAAAUUAGUAGCUUGUUAGGACACUAAUCAUCUUUAUAGGUACCAUCAAGAAUAUUUAACAGGUGUAAAAUAUGUAUCAUCUAAUGAGGAUGAUUCAUCGAGUCAUACUUCACAGAAGCCGACUUAGCUCAGUGGUAGAGCGCGUGACUUUUAAUCCCGUGGCCGUGGGUUCGAUCCCCACAGUCGGCGACUCGGAGCCUUUGAACUUUUUUCCAUUUAAUCCAAUUUUAUUUACCCAGCGUAGCGUAAUAUUGUAAUUCUUUUUUCCCUUUGUCAUGUUAUUAUCUGUUUUACUUGCCAAAUAAUAUUUCUGCCAGGGAAAAAAUGCAAGUAUGAAGGCGUUUUGAAAACAUGCAUUUCAUUUCAAAGGAUGGAAUUCGAAUUAUAAAAUUUGAGCUAUUACUUCAAAUUCUUAUAUCAAUACUAAUAUUUGAAUGUAUAGAUUUCAAAUAAAAUCCAAAUUCAAAUCCAAAUUUCAAAACAGAUUAUUUGAUAAAAUCCAGAAUUUGAAAUGAAAUAUAGAUUCCUCAACCGGCCAUAAAGGAAAUUCUUUUUCAUGCAUGUCAUGGGACCCGGGGAAAAUAGUAUUAGUCUGUUCGUGAUUUAUCUCUCAGUUCUCAAGCAUAUAUUUUGGUAACAAUUAGGUUUAUCAAUUUGAUAUAAUAAAACGCUUACUUUUUGUCCAAUAACAAUAUAUACAGACCGGGUAAAGACGUUUCCUUGCCUUUUUGUUGGCUGUUGAUAUGGCCGCCUGCUGGGUGCUGAUUCCAGAUUUCAAAUGAAUGCGAUUAAGUUGGUCCCAAAGCAGAAUAAAAUCGGACUUGUAAAAUUUAAUAAUCUUCUUGGUAUCACUUGUUUGCAGUGAGAUGUUAAAUCCAAACCUCUGAGCAAAGGACUAUGCUUAUUUUUGUCUACUGUAUGUGCAUACAAUUAGAAGGCAUCCGGAUAUAUACAAAUUCAGAAAGGCGCUACACGGGGCAAGGGGAGAAACAAAUCUAAGAUUCCAGAUAGGCCAUUUACCUGACAACCUUGAGAUCAGAAGCAGUAGCUAUAUUUAAUUUCCUGGCCGCAGAAAAGGGAUGGGUAUAGAAAAUAAAACAUAAAACCACCUCAGCAUCCAGGAGCACCAAGUGUAUAUUUUUUGCUUUUUAUAAAUAUGGUGACGACAAUGUUGGUAUUAAGUUUCUCGGGGUUUCCCCCUCAAGCAACCAGUAAACAUACAAAAAGUAUUGCUUAAAAUGGGAAGCAAAUCUAGACAGCAAACAUCCCCUGAUAUAUUGUGGCUAUUAAAUAUGCUUUUUAAACUAGAGAAGACACUUAAAAGCCGCAAACAUUGAAAUGUAUAUCAAGUUAAGCAGCAGUACAGUAGCCAAAAAGAGAAGGGAUUUUUUAUAAUGGUCAUGAAAUAUAUUUUGUAUUUCUAAUGGGACAACAAAUGCAAUUGCAUCCCCAAGCUCAAUGGGAUAUGAAAGCACACAACUUAAAGUUCCGCAAAACUACAGAUGCCAAAACAUUUGAUCACUUGACAGAUUUAGCACCUUAAAGAGGGGGCUCAGCUAAGAAACUGACUAUUUUGUUUAACAGAUUCAAUCCAAAUACAGUUUCUUCACAGUUGACUUUCACAGUUGUAUUAAGCGGUUCAGAGCAAUUACCUCUGAGGGUAACAGUGAUCAAACAAGGCAUCGAGUUACUCAGAAUCUCACAAGCGAACCGCAAGCACAAACCUGACACAUCAUCAUGGUUUGUAGUAACAGGCAUGUCCACCGAAAUGAGAGAAAGAUUUGCAUUACUGAGCAUCUUUAAUCCUAGAGUUUCACAUACGACAAGAAACUUGUCUUUUACCAGAGAGAUUUCACCCUUUUCAUCUUUCAGCUCCCUCACAUGAUCAAUGAAGGUACACCUGUUAUAAAUGAAGAUAACAUUAAGCUCUGAAAGCAAUGGCAUUUACCUCUAAUUAUAAAGUGAGAUCAGGACAAAGACAAGCCCGCCAAAUACAUUUACUCUUCUAAUUCGGAUCACAAAGAAAAAUGCUCUACGCAACCAUAUGGUAAACCUGGUGUCAGUGGAUUCAGUUUAUCUUCUAUAUAUAUUUUGGUCCUCUCCUUUGCUAUUGGAAAGAAACAAGAAAAUAAGUGACCAUCCCCAGUCUAAACCCACUAUGAACAGUCUAAACAAGUUGUUUUAGAAGACUCUACAUUCUUAAUAGAUACGAGUUGUUUGCAUGUUGAAAAGUAAUAGCAUUUCUAAACUUACUACAAUGGCCCCAUAUAUCUUCCCGGAGGCAAUAACUGUAAAAUCAAAAGGGGUAGAAUAUGCCUGAUUUUCAGCUAAGAUGUGACUGUAUGAGUGCCAUGGUGUAAUGUAGUGCUGUGCCCCGGCUCUCAUCAGGUGCCCUUGUAAUGUUCCUUCUCUUAGGAGAACACUUAAAUUGCCUUGUGAAUCGAAGGUUGGAUUUACAAUGUUAAAAAAAUCAAGUUCACCAAUUUUUGUAUUACACUUGCGCAAAUAUCAAGUCAACCGUCCAAUGGGACUGACAGACCUCUUUCAAGCUUUACAAUUCACUACUUUUAUACUGUUUUCUUCUCUUCUUCUACUUCUGUUUUAGAUAUUCCAUAAUUUCCAUUUUCUAAAUAACAUGUAAACUACUGUCUUGGAAUAGGAUUAGAAAACACACUAAUCAUAAAUAUCAUAGUAUUAGUUAGUAUGAAAUUAGCAUACAUAGUCAUACCACGAGCAAAAAAUAUUUAACCCACUACAGACAUAGACAUAUAGUAGAACAAUAAGAAUGACCUGUCCAAAUGGUAUGAGAAAUGUAACCCAAACAACUGACCUUCUAUUGUAUUCAAACAUCCCACGGAGUUGAGAUUCCUUCCUGAAGAAUUCUUCAUCAUCCAUUGGCAGGGGUUUUACAAAGUAUCCAAUGUCAGGCCACAACUUAACAGGAAGCUUUAAUCCACUGCAUCGUAGAACUAGCUUUAUAGGCAAGAGAUGAUGAUGGAAAUGAACUUCCAUGAUUUUCUUUGAACUCUGACCAGGUUCUAGACAAGGAAUUUCUUCCACAGGAACUAUAACUUUAACAUCAUUGUUAUGUGGUGCUGAGGAACUGCAUUGUAUGAUGAACAUAUGUGAACUUAUUGGGGUCACAACAUAUCAUCUGACCAAAUAUCUAACAAGUUGAAGCAAAGACAUGCAGAUACUUUAAUUAUAAUCGUUUAUGGACUUGGUUAAAAUACAAGGAAAGCUCAAUGGGAUACAUAUAACAUGUAAAUACUUGCUGGACAAUAGUGCAUCUACAAUAUAAAUUGGCUGAUCAGAAACAGAAAGUAAUAAAAUUCAACUAGACUUCAGUGUCUAGCAAGCAUGCACUAAGUCACGUAUGGAAAGACAUUCACCAGAAGGUCUACUUCAGUAAAACUUCAAAUAUGAAGAAGUAUGUGUAAAGGUAAAUUUUCCGGCUUAAGACCUCGAUAAAGUUAAAUAUAUAUAUAAAAAAAAGAUGAUAUAUGUUCUUUUGAACUUGUGGAAGAAGCACAAUGUAUGUCAGAAGAAAAAAACAAGUCAUGACUACUAGCAGAAAAGUUGUUUCUGGGAAUACCUAAUCAAUGUAAACUGAAACCAAUACUUAGGGAAAAAGAAGAUUUCAUGUGAACUUCACCAUUGAUCCGAAAACAUUGUUUCUUUAUACAGUACACAUAUCAACAGACCUUUUUAGUCACAUGUAAACCUUUUAUACUGAUGGCAUCACAGCGUUGAAGUACCAAUUACAUUAAAACCUAGUUAAAGUAUUGGUGUCCGUGGUCUACCAACCAUAUAUAAAGAGGAGGGGCAGUACAUUUCCUGGAGAGUGAAAACUUUGCAAAUAUUGUUUGCCGACCAAUAAACCAAAAUUGGCUGAGUUAAAUGUUUGACUGUAAAUAUUAUGUAUGAAAGACACAGAUGAUAUGUAACCAACUUCAAAAAGAAAAUUUGUGGAAUAACCAUAGUUCCAAGGGAAGUACGGAAAAGGAAUAGAGUGCUCUCAAAAGCAUAGUAAGUGAUCACCUCUCGUUUGUUCUCAAUGCUUGCUCUGAGUUAUCUUGGCCCCCUUCAAUGUCCUCAUCAAACAGCAAAAUUUUCUCUUUAGGUUCAUUGGAACAAUUUUUGAAAGAUACUUCUAAACAAACAAAUUUGGAUUUGCUUGACAUUUCAGAUGAGAAUACAUAAUCCACCCUCAAGCCAUUUCCAUUUACAGUGUCUAAGAGUGUAUAAGAUUUUGGUUUUACCCUCUCAGAGAGGGACCCGACAGAUAUUCUAGCUGAUGAAUUCUGGAAACUACUUGAUUCAGGAGCAUUUCGGCUUGAAUCAGGGCUUUCAUCCAACCAAGAUUCAAGAGCUCGGUUAGACAUGAGCUCGCCAAAAUCAUUAGGUCUGGAUUGAGGAUCAUUCACCUCUGAGUUUCCAUUAAGGUUUGCAUAUGCAGCAUUACCAACAUCUGAAAAAUUAAUUAAUAACCCAGUGUUCUCGUCACCCUCGCUUGCAGACCCACUCUCAUCACCAACAUCAUUGCCACUUGAGCCAGCUUCAGAAAUUUCAGAACCGUCACUUGAGUUACUAUCAUCAUCUGAAGAACCCGAUGCUCUUUCAGAAUCAUCUACUCCGUAUAAAUCACUGUGAGUGCCACCCUUAACGAUAUUUGAACCGAAACUACUAUCACCAAUGGUCAAACUACAUGGCUCCGGUAAAGGAUUAUACCCUGGAGCUGCAUGAAGAACUAUCUGAGAAAGCGAUCCAGGAAGAUAAAAUCGAUAGUUAUUGGGUUCAGUUGACAUUGAUUUAGGUUUUUCCAAAAAUAAUCGUUCUGCUAGUAGACAUGACAUGUUCUUUGAUUCUGAUAUAUAUCGUGCUUCUUCCACCAGUUCAAAGGAAAAUAAGUACUGCGUAAGAAGUUUUCUUAUAACACGAGCUCGGUCACGGAUGUCAUAAUUUAUAUCACAUUUGGCAAGUUCAAGCACAUAGCUUAAGAGUUUUUUGGAAGCACAUAGAUCAUCCCCUCUUGCACAUAAUACGACCUGGAAAAAGAACAACUUCAUGAAUAAAGACAAGGAACAGAAGCAAAUUUCAGGAAAAAUAGGAUACCUACACAAAUAUUAUUAUACUCUGACCAUUUUUGACAACCAUAUUGUAAUUUGUGAUAUGAUAUUAGGUGUAUGAGUCCAAUUUCCACCAACUUGCAGAGACCAGAUGUCUGUAAAGAUGAUGGUUUACCUUGGGGGGGGGGGGGGGGGGGCAAAAGGAGGGGGGGAAANNNNNNNNNNNNNNNNNNNNNNNNNNNNNNNNNNNNNNNNNNNNNNNNNNNNNNNNNNNNNNNNNNNNNNNNNNNNNNNNNNNNNNNNNNNNNNNNNNNNNNNNNNNNNNNNNNNNNNNNNNNNNNNNNNNNNNNNNNNNNNNNNNNNNNNNNNNNNNNNNNNNNNNNNNNNNNNNNNNNNNNNNNNNNNNNNNNNNNNNNNNNNNNNNNNNNNNNNNNNNGACAACAUGAUGGAUGGAAAAGGAUAAAGAAGAAAUAAAGAUGCAUACAACAUAAUAAUCACUACAGAACCACAAUUGACAUCCUUUCAGGAUGAGCAAAAAAUUAUCUGAAAUUGCUCCAAACUGAAUUUUGCCGUUUUAUUACGACUUGGUUUGGUUAUCAUUAAUGCAACUAAAAACCCGAAUUUUUCUGUUUGGUUCAGUUUUUAUUUCCAAACCAACCGACAAAAGCGAACCACCUACUGUAAUUAUAUAAGGUUGCAUUAUAAGGUUGGACCAUUGCUUUUAAUUUAUAUGUUGUCUGUUGCAGAUUUUGAUCAGUUGAGUUUGAGUAAAGAUAAAGGCCAAAUCCAUAUUUAAAUUUUUUUUAUUUUUUUAGUAAUUCCAAUACAAAUUGCUAGACACCUUUUUACCUAUUCUUUCUUUUCUCUUCUGUUGAUGUCUCUCCUGUCAUCAUUUCUUAUUCUCCCUCCAACAAAAAUAAACAAGAUGCCAGAUGUAAUUUCUAUAUUAACAGCUUCCAAUUCAAUUUUUCACCCUCUUGUUACGAUCUCUCAGCAUAAUAAAAAUAUACAAUAAUAUUUUCCUGAGUCUGCUUGUGAGAUGUGCACAAAUUAUUGGUGAAAAGCUGAGUGGUUCUUGGUUAUUAAUCAGUUUUAAACCAAAUCGAUAGUUUCAAUUUCAGACAGACCAAAAAAAUGUUCAACACUAUUAGAGCUGUGAUCAAAGUUACAGCACAGAUAUGAGAUACAUUAAUAUAUUCUAAACCAAUUUCAUUUAAGACGCCAAAUUUUCAGUAGGUUUUUAAAAUAGAAAGCAUGAAGUUUUGGCGUCAUCACUUAAAUUCACACUUGACAAUCUAGAGUGACAGUGACAAAAUUUGGUGACUAACUUCGAUUAUCCAGUACUAAGUUAAACAAGGGAAACGUUCAAAUUUAAAUUACCUUGACAGCAGCAUAUAGAAUCUGGAGCUUAGUUUCAAGUGCUUCUUUAGUAAAGCAGCAAGCAAGAUACGUAAGUACUGAGGUCAACAUCUUUGGAAGAAUGUGACCAGAGGAGUUGUACUCUCCCAUCAUACGAAUAACCAUUGCCCUGGCUGUGGGUACUUUAAUUGAAUCCAAAGUUCGCACCAGAUGAACAAUUACCUUGAGCAAAAAGUGAAUAUAUUUAUAAGCAAAAUUGUUUGUUUAUCUAAACAAUUUACCGAAAUAGAGCAAUAAGAGAGUAUAGGAUAGCAGCUUAUUUAAAGCAUCUAUACACUACAUACAGCUUACUCAGCAGAAAGAUACGCAAGUUGGAACAAGCAACUCCAAUAAACUGAUCUAUAGAUACAGAAAUAACAUAAAUUAUCUUAAUCAAAUUCUUUAUGCCGUAUAUAUUAUUUGUACAUUAAGAGCCUCUUAUUACAAGGAGAGGUAAGGUACCAAAGUUUGCGUAGUGCGUAACUUUUAACCUAUAAAGAACCUAUACUGGAUAAUUUUGGCUCACAUGAACAAGGUUUCUUGAAAAUUCAAAUUUAAGAGUGUUCCGCAAAACAUACUUUUCUGGACAUGGAUUAUAAUUUUAUUAUGAUGUGUGACCUAAAGUAACUAAACAAGCCUACACAUAAGCUUACCCCUUUAGAAUUAUAAAGUAUAAAUAUACAAUAUUUAAGCUGGGAAAAAAUAUCAAGGAAAACUGUAUUGGCACAAGGACUAUUAUUUAUAUCAAUAAUUAUUUCCUUGACAACAAGCUUCUAUUAUAUUGACUACAUGGCUCGUAAUUUUAUAAUGACAACCCCGAGUCAUUUGCUCAAGAAAAUGCAGUUGUCAUGUCCCAAUAUUCAUCUAUCAAUUCUUGACACGUGCCCAAGGGUUCUUUUGGUUGGUACCCAGGCACUGGCACUGGGAGAGAAACUUGAAAAAGAUGGAUUAGCAAGAAUGAAUGAAAUCUAUGUCUCGGUACUAAGGGUGCAAACAGAACCGAAUAAAAAUACAGGCAGAACAUAAACCGGCCCGAACGCAUACAUAUGUAAUAUGUGAAACGGAUUCUUGAGCACUAGGAAAAGAUUAAAUCAACUCCACUUCAAGAUGACAAAAUCUACCAAUACCCUUUAGACUACGUAGAAUACCUUGGGGCUUAAAAAAACUAAGCAUACACAUGACAUGAUGUAUCUAGAUAAAUAACAUGGGGGAGAAAUUAUAUAUAAGACAUCGUUAGCUUGAAUGAGUAACAUUGCAGCUCAAAAACCUUCUCAUGACGUGGUGGAUCUAGUUUUAUGAUUGAUCUGAUUGAUAUGAUUGCUUGAAUUAGAACAAUUGAAUCUCCACCUGAAGACUCGGUAUCAUUAUUCAAAGAUUCUGCAAUAGUUGAGCCUUCAAAGAAUUAAGAUGAAACCAAAAAUAUUUCGAUACAAAAACAAAUUUACGAAAAAAAAAUGAAACAAUAGGUGACUUACGGGGUAUAGUCAGAGCUAAUAAUCCUUCCAAACAGGUAUUAGCUACAUUUGGAAGCCUUUGUGCACACAAACCUAUUGCAGCUACAGUAUCUGCUGCAAAUCUCCUAUCGGAAUCUCUAACAUAAUCCUAGCAAUACAACAGGGUCAGCAUCGUUGCAUGUGAAUCAAACAAAGGACCAAGGAAUAAAACACUACAGCAACAAGGAAUAAGGAUGCAUAAUAACAAAUGUCUGAAAAUGGUAGGCACAUGGGUAGAUUAGGUACAACAGAAACAAGGAAUGCGGAUGCAUAAUAAUAAAUAGCAAGUAUAAGAAUAUGGUAGGCACAUAGGUAGUAGUAGUGACAGAUUACGUGUAUCUCAUAACUGGACUAUAGGUAUAUGCACAUUGAUAGAGACUAGCAAACAGAACCACUCAUAUCUCUGUUAUCUCCUUUAUUAAACAAUUUUGGCAUUAAGCUGAAAAAAUAAUGUGUACAGUGUACACUACAAUUUCCUAUAAGAAUAUAACCCUAUUAAGGUGAAAGACUGAAUGUUAAAGGUGAGAUCCAAGGUUAAAAGAGAAUCCAAAUGAAUAGACUACUUGAAAAGGACAGGUUCAUUUAAUUUGCAGCUAAUGGUACUCUAAACAAGCAAACCCCGACACUUUCUUUUAUGCCAACCCUAGCAAUCAUUGUAUAAAUAUUCAAAGAUAGAGUUGAAAAGAAAACUAUUAUCCCUUUCUUUUUAAGCUAUCCAUGGUCCCCUGGCACAAAAUAAGUACUUAUAGUUACAAGCACUAAAAUGGCUAAAUUGUUACACAAAGCACAUAUAUGACACUAUUUCCUCCCAACUGCGUUGGCCUUUUAUAGCAGCAACUCUCCUGGACUACCCAAAACAAGCCUCUAACUCUUUAAAAUUAAUUCCACAAACAUGUCUUUAGGCACAACAUUCAUGACCAAUUGGUGUUUUUACAGUACUCAAACAUACAUAAUAACAAAAUACAUAUAACCCUGUAGACAGUUAGAAAGGAAAAAAAACAAACACACACACACCUAUUCUACGUUUCACUUAUUCAGACAAAUAAGAAAAAGUAACAGAUAAAAGAUAUCUAUUUUCCUUAAAAAAGGCAAAAAAACGANGAACGCAUACAUAUGUAAUAUGUGAAACGGAUUCUUGAGCACUAGGAAAAGAUUAAAUCAACUCCACUUCAAGAUGACAAAAUCUACCAAUACCCUUUAGACUACGUAGAAUACCUUGGGGCUUAAAAAAACUAAGCAUACACAUGACAUGAUGUAUCUAGAUAAAUAACAUGGGGGAGAAAUUAUAUAUAAGACAUCGUUAGCUUGAAUGAGUAACAUUGCAGCUCAAAAACCUUCUCAUGACGUGGUGGAUCUAGUUUUAUGAUUGAUCUGAUUGAUAUGAUUGCUUGAAUUAGAACAAUUGAAUCUCCACCUGAAGACUCGGUAUCAUUAUUCAAAGAUUCUGCAAUAGUUGAGCCUUCAAAGAAUUAAGAUGAAACCAAAAAUAUUUCGAUACAAAAACAAAUUUACGAAAAAAAAAUGAAACAAUAGGUGACUUACGGGGUAUAGUCAGAGCUAAUAAUCCUUCCAAACAGGUAUUAGCUACAUUUGGAAGCCUUUGUGCACACAAACCUAUUGCAGCUACAGUAUCUGCUGCAAAUCUCCUAUCGGAAUCUCUAACAUAAUCCUAGCAAUACAACAGGGUCAGCAUCGUUGCAUGUGAAUCAAACAAAGGACCAAGGAAUAAAACACUACAGCAACAAGGAAUAAGGAUGCAUAAUAACAAAUGUCUGAAAAUGGUAGGCACAUGGGUAGAUUAGGUACAACAGAAACAAGGAAUGCGGAUGCAUAAUAAUAAAUAGCAAGUAUAAGAAUAUGGUAGGCACAUAGGUAGUAGUAGUGACAGAUUACGUGUAUCUCAUAACUGGACUAUAGGUAUAUGCACAUUGAUAGAGACUAGCAAACAGAACCACUCAUAUCUCUGUUAUCUCCUUUAUUAAACAAUUUUGGCAUUAAGCUGAAAAAAUAAUGUGUACAGUGUACACUACAAUUUCCUAUAAGAAUAUAACCCUAUUAAGGUGAAAGACUGAAUGUUAAAGGUGAGAUCCAAGGUUAAAAGAGAAUCCAAAUGAAUAGACUACUUGAAAAGGACAGGUUCAUUUAAUUUGCAGCUAAUGGUACUCUAAACAAGCAAACCCCGACACUUUCUUUUAUGCCAACCCUAGCAAUCAUUGUAUAAAUAUUCAAAGAUAGAGUUGAAAAGAAAACUAUUAUCCCUUUCUUUUUAAGCUAUCCAUGGUCCCCUGGCACAAAAUAAGUACUUAUAGUUACAAGCACUAAAAUGGCUAAAUUGUUACACAAAGCACAUAUAUGACACUAUUUCCUCCCAACUGCGUUGGCCUUUUAUAGCAGCAACUCUCCUGGACUACCCAAAACAAGCCUCUAACUCUUUAAAAUUAAUUCCACAAACAUGUCUUUAGGCACAACAUUCAUGACCAAUUGGUGUUUUUACAGUACUCAAACAUACAUAAUAACAAAAUACAUAUAACCCUGUAGACAGUUAGAAAGGAAAAAAAACAAACACACACACACCUAUUCUACGUUUCACUUAUUCAGACAAAUAAGAAAAAGUAACAGAUAAAAGAUAUCUAUUUUCCUUAAAAAAGGCAAAAAAACGACAUAAUUUGUUUUUAGUUAUUAUCAACAGGCCAUGCUGGAAAGUGGAAACCAAUAAAAUAUGGAUUACCUGAAACUCUUGGAAUAUAACCGGGAUAGAUGACUCUGUGGCAAUGUUAGAUAAUAUCUCAAGUUUGAGGGCCUUUAUUUGAUAUGUAUCAGAGGAACAUAUAAAGAAGUCUUCACUGUAAGAAGCAAAGAGAGAAGGCAUCGCUUUAGCAAACACUUGAAUAUUGCAGAGCGCCUGCAUCAACAAGCAUACAUAUGUAUAAGCCAAAAUUUAAGGCUAUAUACAUGGUUUCAAGAUGUACAAUGGUUCAAACAAAAUCUUUUUUGAAUAAUCAACUUUAAAGACUUGGGAUAUCAUUAUUCACGUCGUCAAUGCUGUACUCUGCACCAAAAGUAAUGAAACUGACUAGCAUUGUUAUACACUAAUUUCAAAUUUCACACAUAGGAGACUCAUACACCAUAGAGUGAAUAUGAGAACUCAGAAGUAGGUCAAUCACCAUUAUAGUCUUCUUAGUACUGACAGACAUGCAAUUACGAAGCAUGAAAUAUUAGAUGUACAUAGUAAUAGCAUAUAUGAAACCAGUACAAAAUAAAUCAAAUCACUGACCCAGAAACUUUCAUGGCAUUGUAUGACUAUGUAGCAAGCUAAAGUAAUUUGAUUUCAGAUAUUGGCCAUAUAAGAAUUUUUAUUUUAUUUUAUUUUAUUUNNNNNNNNNNNNNNNNNNNNNNNNNNNNNNNNNNNNNNNNNNNNNNNNNNNNNNNNNNNNNNNNNNNNNNNNNNNNNNNNNNNNNNNNNNNNNNNNNNNNNNNNNNNNNNNNNNNNNNNNNNNNNNNNNNNNNNNNNNNNNNNNNNNNNNNNNNNNNNNNNNNNNNNNNNNNNNNNNNNNNNNNNNNNNNNNNNNNNNNNNNNNNNNNNNNNNNNNNNNNNNNNNNNNNNNNNNNNNNNNNNNNNNNNNNNNNNNNNNNNNNNNNNNNNNNNNNNNNNNNNNNNNNNNNNNNNNNNNNNNNNNNNNNNNNNNNNNNNNNNNNNNNNNNNNNNNNNNNNNNNNNGUUCACAUCAAGAGAUUUACAAAGAAAAGGUAGUGCUUGUAUGUAGCUAAAAGUUAAACUAGCACCGAAAAUUAAAGGUCUGGGCAUGACAGCCAUACAGAGUGGCAGAGCCAGCCUCAGACUCUCAGAGUGUGAUGGUGGCCAAAAUAAAUUUCCACCCAGCCUAGCUAGGCAAGUAAUUCGGGGCAAAAAGUAUUAUUAAUACAGUAGAUCUUUAUUAACUUGUAUAUUGAAAAUGUUAUUUUAUGAAAGAUAAAAAUUAAAAAUAUAUUGUUUAUUUAACUUUAGAAUUUAGAUAGAAGAGGAAAUAUUGAGUCAUUCAUAUCUUGAUGAUUUUCAUCAUUUAUUUGUUUGUUUAUGUUUAAAAAUUUCCUUUAAACAGUUAAAAAAAUACUUUUAAUUUUUGAUCUAUGUAGCAAUUUUUAAUAUUAAAAUAGCAUUGAUAUAUACAGAGAAUCAAAGAAACAUACAGAGAGAAUCAAAAAGAAUUUCUGAUACAGUAUUAAUACAAUGUAAACGUAUUAAAAGAAAUUUAGGAAAAUAUAUUAAUAUGAGAUAUUACAAAAGACAGACUUCCACUUCUCCUGCGUUUCUCUCUGUACAAGGGUCUCACUCUGCUCUCUUCAUACAUUUUGAUAUCAGGCCACAUCACUGCUUUGAAACACAAUUAUCUGUGUGUAUAUCACAUAUAUAAAUAUAAGUGGUAAAAAGUAGAACGUCCGAUAGGGUCCAGUGACAAUUAAUUACUGUAGUUUACAUAAAAAGGCACCUGUAAAAAGCAAUUAAUACCUAAAAAAUAUGUAAAAGAAUCUGGUCAAAAAAAAUUCAAAACAUGUUCAAGUCCUAUGACAAACAUGCAGCACCAGAGGAGAAGUGCUAAAGACAUCACACCUCUCCUUCCAUUGGGAGUUCGAAGCUUCAUGUUUCAGUGCAGAAAAAGUGUGUGCGCGAAUAUAGUGCAAAAAACCCCAAGCCACUCAGAAAAGAACAUGGACCCUUGCUACACCAAACAUUACAGGGGCAUGUAUCUAGGGAUAGGACAUACAAAUCCUACGGAAUUUUAUAGUCUAUAAUCAUAACGUAACAUGUGCAAAAUUCAUAUAAGAACGCAGAAAUGCAUGAAAGCACACAGAAAAUGAAGGAUGACAAGGAACAGAGUUAACAUAGAGGAGUACUUUAUAAUUUAUAAAUGUUACUAAAAAGUUUCAAUAUAAGUGGUAGUUGAAUUUAUCUGGGGCUAGGAGUUCAUUAUACAUGUAGGUUAAUAUAUUAGAAGCCCAAUUGUAUUGGGCUUUAGUCCAUAAUGUUAGGAUAUUAGGGCUUUAUUCCCUAUACAAGCGACGUGAUUCCCGCAUAUUAUAAAGACUUGAUUACUGAACUAUUACUUAUAGUAUUACCAUAUUGAGUCUCUUCUUGGAUUGUGAUCCAUAAAUUGUAUCCCUUUCGAUGUAGUUAUGCUUCUGCUUUUAAAUUACCCUGGUUCUAUCUUGUAACUUAUUUAUUUAACAUAUCUAUAUAUUAUAAUCUGUACUGCAGCACUUGAUAGAUACUAUUAGAGAGAUGGUGUACCACAUAUGCCGAGGCACUAGACGAUCUCAAGAUAAACAAGAGUGGUUUGACAAUUCUUCUGAGAUCCUCUUUGGGUGCCAUAAUCCAGUGUAGCCCAGCAGCAGCAAGUAUCACUGCACUAUUAUGACUCCAUAACAAAGGUGAAGUACACUGAAGCAGGAUCUUUACAUCAUCAUUUUUGGCAGAUGUAAACUUUGGUAAUCCCGAUUGGAAUGCGCCCUUGUCUUCAAAAUUCAUUUGUGAAAGAUAUUUUUCUGGUCCUUCAAGGUAGCUCUUAGAAGCCAUCUGUAAUAAUUGAGACUGAUAUGCCCCAAUGCUAACAACAUUAGUCUCUUCCUUAACCGCAAAGUCUCUAUCUGGACCAUCAAUUUCAGAAUCAAGGUAUUCGGAAUAAGGAGAUGCCAUAAUGGAUUCUCUUACAAGCCCUUGCCUAGCAAUCACAUAGCGUAAAAGAAUCUCAAUUAAGACAAUCUGGCCCCACUCCUCGACAUCAGGAAGUGUCUCGCAUAACUUUUUAUAGUGUCUACCAAUUAAAUUCAGAUUGUUCGGACAUACAGAAGCAAAUGCUGCUGCAGCAGCUCCAACUACAGAAGGAGAGUUGUCAUUCAGCAAGAUUCCAACUAUCUGCAUAACAUGAAAAUACACUGUACUGUAUUAAUGACUGCUGCAUGGUACUUGAUAAGUACAAAACUAAUAUGCAUAUGGACAUACACCCAAAGGAGCCUUCCAUUAAGACUCUUAUUAAGACACAUGCUCAGUGAGAUGUACUCGUAUACUACGCAAGUAAGAGACAAGAUACAAAAGUUAGUCAUUCAAAAUUCAACAAUAUAUCUGAAAGGAAAUUCUGUAUUCUAAUUCAUAGACCAUUUUUAGCUACUAUUGCUGAUGAAUAAUUUGAAACUUCCAAUAUUUCCUGGAGUCAUUUUUCCGGUCUAAAAUUCAUGACUAAAUUAACAUGAAGUGACAAAGACUUGCAGACUACCUCAUCUCAAGCUCUUAACAUGGCAGACAUAUGCAAACUCCAAUACAUAAAUUUGCACUAUGCAUGCCUGACAUGAGAUUUGGACCUUGCAGGAUAACCACUACAUGCGAGUAGAAAGACCUAUUCAAGUGAGCAUGGCCAGCAAGCCUGCCAGUUAAUGGAUACAGAAUAAUACCAGUAGCGUCAUUGUUUUGGAAAAUUUCAAUUGUUUAGAUAAUUAAAAUAUAGAUUGUCAAACUAAUAAUAUAAUUAUCCACCUCGGGGGUGGUACGGUGAUGUCAGAUGAUCUAAAAGUAAAAUGACUAAAAGGAGGUAAUUACCCUCCG